AAGGACCCGUCGGGAGGCUAUGUUGUGGGAUCGAGCUGCGUUGUGAAGGCGGAUCUCACUAUCGUUGGUUCAUCCAAUGAUGGUUAGAUGUUUACCUCAUGGCCUGAUGGAGAGAUAAUGCCCUUACAUCCUACUUAUAACUAGACUUCUAUUUGAGAUAAUGUUGUGGUAGCACUACUAAAAACUUGUGGGAUGAUUUAGUAGUAAUGAGCUGGAUUUGAGACGUAAGAUGAUUUCACGCAUAUAUUUCUAGAUAUAUGCAUCGAACAGAUUAUGUCAUCGGAAGUACUUCUAUAUGCAUGGAUGAUGCAACUAUGUUAGCUUGAUGUUUGGUUCAGCUGACCAUGUUAUCUCUCGCUUAGUUUUUGUGCAUCAUGGAUGUUCCCAGUUGAUGAAUCAUAUAGUCAUAUGGUUCCAUGUCAAGCACUUUGCGUCUAUAAUUUAUGUUGAGAGCGAAGGUGUUUCAUAGUUUCAUUUGCCCUCCGUCCAGUGGCGGUGCUUCAUGGUGACUAUGAUGUCAAACCACACCAUAGAAUUAAGGUUUGCAACCUAUCUUUUAAUACAUUUAGAUACAGUUUGUGUACGCAUAAACUGAAGUAGUAGGCAAAGUGCGGCGCCACGCCACGUGUCUCAGUGCCCAUUGUUAGAUUAGUUAUCGUUCAUUGGGUCGUUAUUCUUAUUUGAAAGAUCAAGUGAAAAAUGGUAAGCAGCAGCUGUAGUAAUGUUAAUGGAAGAACAGGGUGUUGCGUUAGCAGGUGCCACGGAGUACAUCUUGUGUUCUAAUAAAUGGAUGCGCCAGUUUUCCAUCACGCAUUUUUAAGAAUCUUUACGAAAGUGACUGUGCCAAUGCAAUAUUACUCAUUCAUUCAGGUUCCAGUAGAAUAUCUAAUAGAACAUAUUCUAGCAAAAGCCACAUAGGUUAGUCUGCAAAUACAAAUAUUGGCUUCAGAUAACUGCAAAGAGCUGAAAUAUGGGACAGAGAUAAACACAACAUGAAAAGGCAAAAUGCAUACACAGGUUUCAGAUAACUACAAAGAGCUGAAACAGGUUAGUCAUAUCAGUAGAAGAACAGUGAUGUUCAAUAUUCUUUCCUGCAAAGGAAAAGGGAGCAAUUAAUUAAUGAAGCUCAGAUUCAGGCAAAGUGAGACACCGCUAGAGCAACUGCUAGAGCGCAUAGAUGAUUUCCUAGUACACAAUAUUUCUAGUCACAUUUUUAGGAACUCAAUGAUCAUCUUCAAGGAGAAUUUUAAUCCUCUUCAUGAGGUCACUCUGAAACAGCCACAUAGAGCUAUCCAUGGGAAAAGACUGGCAGAGGAAGAUAAACACAUAUCUUGAAAGUUUGUCAGUGUCGAAUCUUGUAUAGUGUUCGGUACCAAUAAACCACUCACAUAGAUCACUUUUUUAAAAACUGGAAAAUUCAAGCAAAAUUUAUCUGUAGGUCCCAAUAAGUUUUGCCGAGAGAGUUCCUAAUUGUGUAAUGGCCCAUAGUGAUAUUUACAAACCUAAUAGUGAAUAAACAAUGUCGCAAGAUGAACAAUUCUCUUGAUUGGGAAUGAUUAAUACAUACUGAGAUCUCAAUUGUUGCACUCUGUCAUGGUGAAAAGGAAGUAACAAACUACUCCCCUUCCAGUAGUGAUCUCAGUAUUACUAAAGUAGUGAUCUAAAAAAUCUUAUAGUAUUACUUUACAGAGGGAGUAGUUUUUUAUCAAAAGGCAUUCCAGUCGAACAUGGAUCUGAGCAUCCUUAACAAUGCUUAAUUUUUUUUUUCAUCAUCACACAAAUAGACCAACAAUUUCUCACCCUUCACAAUUUAUGGAAGAUGGCCUCACAAUAUGACCUGCAUCAUUUUUGUAUCAGUAGACGGAUGGAGAAGGUACAUUAAAUACAAAGAAACAACUGGAACCGAACCCAAAAACAUAAAAGAUGGAUAGUAAGUUGUCCAGAUAUCAUAGUUUGUUAUCUAAAAGGAAAAGCGAUGUCAAAUAAAUAGAAAUCUUUCCAUACAAAGAGUGGAACCUGUUAGAAAGGCUGGUAUCUGAGAUUUUACAUAUAUGUUAUCUAGAAGACAUCACCUUAGAUCUAAAAGAAGAAUUCAUGCGUGUUACAAAUAGCAUUUGACUGCAAGCUAGAAGAAUAUAUUACCAGGGUAGAUCAUAUUAAGGGACUAAGAACUACAAUGCUUGCAGGAUAAUUUUUUAUUGUGAAUCAACACAGAACUGCAAAUUCAGAAAUAUGUUUGCUUGCAUAUUGACUGACCGCUCCACCUAAAUUCAAUGAUAAUUGGUGACCAAAACAGAGCAUAUUAUUUUCAUCAACUUCAUCUAUCACCCCACAAAGUCCCAGAGUGCAAGAAGGAUGACUUGCCCAUAAAUCACUAUCUAUUUUUGAAAUUCUCAAGUAGCGAGCAAAUAAAUGCCAACUGACUUCGUCAAUUUGAAUUAUGUUGUCCUCGAUCAAAGACAUCGGACUGGAUAUCUGCAACACCAAUCCUCAAAUUCAAUAUGACACAUUUGUGGAAAAAAUUUGAGCAUCUCAACCUUCAACAGAAGGCCCGCAUGAGUAUAUAUUAGCCUGGCAGGGCACACCUCCUGCUAGCGCAUACAUUGGAGAGAUCGAACAUGGUGUUCACGUAAGGAACAACCAACAGAUCGUAUAUGAGAGGUUUAAACAGAAGAUAAGAUUAUAGGAGAUAUACUAAAGUCCUGCCAACUAACUACUCCUGUUAUGUGCGCCUAACAAUAUAUGUGCGCCAACUAACCAGAAUCAUGUAUGUUUUACAUCCCCCCAUAAUCAGAACCUGCCAAGUUCAGAUUACGCUUAAAUUUCUCAAAUAGUCGUGUAGGCAAUGCUUUAGUAAAACCAUCAGCAAGUUGGUCUUUAGAGGGCACAAACCGAAUCUCUAAUUCCUUGUUGGCAACUCUUUCUCGAACAAAAUGAUAGUCUAUCUUAAUGUGCUUGGUUCUUGUGUCGGUGUACAAAAGUAGGGGUCUUUUUUGCACCCCUUUACUUGUGCGCGGGCAGUCGCAGCCCCACGCCCCUGGCCACACUUGGCGGGGCAGAGGAAGCAAAGGCACAAGGCAACCAGAGCAACGCUAAGACAGAGACACAAAGAGCAGAGGGGCGAGGUGAACUUCCCCGGCAAGGCCCUUGCCGGGGCAGCCUCCACAACCCCGGCAAGAACCUUGCGAGGGCAACUUGCCCAACAGCAGCAGGGCUGCCACCCUCGAGCCUGAGAGUUCCAACACCAUCAACCACAUUGAAACCAAGGCUCGGGAGGCACCUCCAUGGUGACAUGCAGAUCUUUGUGAAGACCAGAAGCAUACAAGAUCAGAUGAGAAUCGGAAGACGACGAUCCUCGGCAAGAUCCUUGCCGAGGGUACCCACGAGACCCCUGGCAAGCCCCUUGCCGGGGACGACCACAACGCCACGGCAAGACCCUUGCUGGGGCCUCGGCAAGACUCUUGCCGAAGACAUCCGCGGGGCCGCAGCCAGGCCCACAUCUGCCAAAGCUCCGCCGCCGUUCCCAUGCAGCUGCCAGCCCAUCAACUAGGCGAGCACCUGCGUGGCGGCAUGCGGCCUCUAGGCCAAUUCAGCAAGCACCUGCGUGGUGGCAUGCAGAUACUCGUGAAGACCCUACCACCACGCCAACUCAGCAGCCUGCCAGCUUACAUGGCGCUGCAUGCCUCGUUGGCCUGGACGCGUGUCGGAGCAAGGCGGAGCGGCGACGGACGGGACGGGCCUCGUUACCGCCCCCGAUAAAGCAAGAGGACACCUAAUUAGCACAUUUAAUGCGCUUUGUCCUGUAAUGACAGGCGAUAAGCUUGUGCACUGUAUAGCUUUCCACCUCCUGUGUGCCACUGUGGCAGCCCCUUUGCCUAUAAAAGGAGGCCCGCGGCGUACUGGGAGAGGAUUCGGAUCUUUUGGGCGACGCACGCACCGUAGCUAGUUCAAAAGCUCAAGAACACUCAAAUAUACACCAAAGCAGGACUAGGGUAUUACGCAUCCUCGCGGCCCGAACCUGGGUAAACGAUCUUUGUGCUAGCUCCUAGACCCGCUCUUUGCACAACCCCGCGCCCGCCAACCGUAGAAGGGGUUCCAGUGAUCCCAUAGGUAUCGUUUCCCCUGACAUCUUUAGCGUGCCAGGUAGGGGGCGCAGUUGUGAAAAUCCGGUCUAGUUGGCGCAGCGGCUUCAUCGUGGUCGUCACUCCAAGGAAGAAGACGACCGAAUGAGCGACAUCAUCUACAGACACAGCAACCGCGAGUAUGGCGACAGAAAAGCUAAGUCAUGCAAAACUUUGAAUAAUUUCUUUAUGUAUAAGGUUAUUCUCCUUGGAGAUCGCGCUCUUUGUAUGGAAAACCUGUACGCAAUGGGGCCCUUCCGCUAUUGGCAACGCCUUUGUUCCGUUUCGAGUCCGCUCAACAGUUCGAACGGCCGCGUCGAGAUCGGCGGGGUAGCCUUCCGCUAUUGGCAACACUCUCGUUUUGUCUCGAGUCCGCUCGACGGUUCGAGCGGCCGCGUUGAGAGCGGUAAGGUGGUCUGCCUGGCAGCAAGCACACCCGGCAGGCUAUCGGGGAUCCGUCCUCGAGGCGCCGCGGCUUGGGUUUACGCGCCGGCAAGCCUACCCAAUUAACGUAGGGUGGGCAUACAAAGAGAGAUCAAACAGGAAAAUAACAUGCACCGUUUCAAAGUACUGCAGAGUUAUAUUACAUCAAUUGUUGCUGCGGUUCUAACUAAAGAUAAAAAUUGUCUUGGUCAUGAACCUGCAGCGGCGAUGAGAAACGGGGUGCCUAGUCCCGGCGCUGGCCCUCUAUCCUCCGAACUCCGUCGACAUGGCUGAUGAUGGGCUCGAUACGCUCCUCGAGCGUCGCGAGGUCCACACCCUCCGACAAGCUCUCCAGCGCGGCGUCGAAGUCGAGGUUUGGGUUCCAGUACGCCACCUUGGUGAGAACCUUGGUCAUGGCACCCCGGCAAAGCUUUCGGGCCUCGUUGGCCAGAGAAGUCGCUCUGUUAGAGAGAAACUGCUCCAAGAACGCCCUCGAAGAACAGGGUCAGUUUGGCGUUGGGACUCACGUUCGGCUCCGGGGCGUACCUCACGUUUGGCAUCCCCAUGGCCGCCAGCAUCGUGGUGAUCCUGCCGGCCACGUCGGCGAGGCGGCUGAUCCAGAGGUUUUCGCCCUUCACGUAAUCCUCGUGGUUGGUGGCGUCAUUCCUCCGCAGCUGCCUCUCGUCCUCCAGGGCCUUGGUCAGGGUCUUCUCCCGGGCCCUGACCUUCGAAAGCGUCCCCUCAAGACCCUCCAGCUUCAGCUUCAGGUCUUUGACGGAGUCGUUGGCCUUGGAGAGCUGCUCAGCUUUGCCGAGGACUGCCGCCUGCGCCUCCACCAAGGUGCCGUUGAGCGUGUCUUUCUCCUUCGCCAGUCCCAGGACCUGUUCCUUCAGACCAUCCCGCUCCACCUCCAGCUCCUUCACCUUGCCGGCAUGGACCCGGGCCUGAGCAUUGAGUGCCUCCUUGUGCCUCUGCUCCAGCUCCUGGGUCCGCUGCGUGGCAAGCUUCUUGACCUCCUCAUCCUUGCCGCGGAGGGUGGCGGCGAGCACCUUCUCACGGGCGGCAAGGUCCUCCUCCUGGGAGUUCAGCUCGGCCUGGUGCUGGUGCCGAGCGGCCUCGUCCUUGGCAGCCUGUUCCUUCGCCACCUCCUGGGUUUUCUCGACAUCGGCCUUCAGCAGGAUAAGCUCCUGUUUGCGCUCAGCCAACAAAUCCUGGGCAACCUUCAGUUCCACGUGGGCCUGGCGGAACCAGGCCUGUGUCUCAGCAACGCGCCCCGCGAGAUCCGCCUCCGCCUUGUCCACCGCCGCCAUCCUGGACUUUGCCUUGUCCAGGAGGGCACGGUGGAGCGCAUGGAGCUUCUGGAAGUUGGCGCUCAUGCCCCGAAGGAGCUGCUCCUCUUGGGAAUCGCCGCCACCGGCGCUCGAUUCGUCAACAACCUCAAGCCCGGCGGCGGCGAGCACCUCGUCAUCGAACACCUCCCCCUCGGUGGGCGCCCUGGUGCUCGCCGUCCUUGGGAGGUGGACGAGUAGGUCGUCGCUCACCUUCAGGUACUUGCCCGAGCCAGAGGCAGCGGAGGAGGAAGGUUGGUCGUCAACCACCCCCUCCCUGGCAGGCCCCGUGCUGGCCUCCUCGGCAGCGACCUUGCCGGCCUCCUCGGCAGCGGCCCUGUCGGCCUCCCCGGCAGGCCCCUUGGUGGCCUCUUCGGUGGCAGUCUUGGCAACCUCCCCGGUGGUGAUCUUGUCCGCCUCGGCCUUGGUGUCCCUGGCGACCUCCUCGAUGACGGUAUCGAUGUUCUCCUGGUCCGCCGAGGAAGCGCCUAGAUACCAAGAAGGAGGAUGAGGCAGAGCCAGAUCAAAGUUCAAAAAAGUUCAAAAGAAGAAGGAGAAAGAACAGGGACGGGAAGCAAGCGAACUUACCAGCACCAGGCUGGGAAGAAGUGGCACCCUCCCCACCAACGUUCGUUGCCGGGGUGGAAUCACCAGGACCCAAGUUCGUCUCCUCCUCCUCCAUAGGCGGGGGCUCGGCGGUUGAUGCCCUUGCCGGGGAAGCCCCUCGGGGCGGCAUAGUCAAGAGGGGCGGCGUGUUGGGGGUGGCCCUCGGCGGCUCCUCCUACCGCCAUUCUUCUCCUGCAAACCCGGCAAGAUCAGCAUCAAGGAUUCACACCCCAAAGUUCAUCAAGGGAGGAGUGAGCGAUGGACUUACGCUGGGGGCUGAAGCGGGGGCUGCGUCGAGGGCUGUUGUCCGAGCUGCUCUCCACCACCAGCGGCGUACUCGAAGUACCUGCCGGGGGCUUGUCGCCCGUCGAGGCCUUGGCCCUCUUCGCCACCCUCUGCGCCAGCGUCUCCGUGUCCCUGUGGAGACAAUAUCAAAUUAAAGAAAGAUGACACAUGAGUAAAGUCGGGAGAUAAUGUGGGGGGGGGGGGAGAUACUUACUCUUCCUCCACCUCCUCCUCCACUGGCUUCCUCUUCCUCCUUGGGCUGAGAGACCCAAAAUCGAAGAUGACCUCUGUGUCGACAUUUGCGGGAGGAGGGGAAGGGGAUGGAGACCGAUGACGCUUGGACGAAGAAGAGGCAGUCGCUUUCUUCUUCACCACCGCGGCCUUCACCGCCUUCUUCGCCGCCGCGGCCCUCAUCUGGCGCACGGGCUGCUCCUGGACCUGUUGCCGCGGCACGGCCCUGCCGGGCCGAACUGGUUCGCCAGAGCCAGCCCGGCACAGGACGCGUCUCCUCCCUGGGGCCGGAGGGUCGUCGGCCUCGGCCUCCCCCUCGGUCGAUUCUUCGACCACAUCUUCGACAAGAGGAGCCCCGGCGCCGGCACUGCUGGCCUCCCCAGCAGACUCCACCCAUCCGGCGAGCUCCUUGUCCUCCGCGGCCGCGCCGGCCUCGUCCUCCACAGCGCCAACGCUGCCGGCCUCCCGGGCAAGCUCCGCCUCUGCCGCCCCGGCGGCAAUAUAAUCCAGCUCCUCCUUGGUGGUAUCCCGGAUAAGCGCUGGCUCAUCACGGACGUACUUCUCCGACAAGCUGUCAAAAAAUUCCUGCACCCGCUCCGCUCCCGGCUCGACCCAGCUCGGGUCAAGGCCGUGCGCAUUGAAGUCCGGCAUCAUAGCAAUGAUGUCGGUCUGGCGAGAAUUGUUGCUCAGCGGGACCACUCCCGCCGGCAACCCAAACAAGGGCCCCUUGACGGCCUUGCUGGCCUUCGCGGCCGGUCCUCUCAGCCCUGCCGUCGUGGUCUACGUCGAGAUGGAAGAGCCUCUGGCAAAAGUGGGCAUGCCCCAUCACCGUGAAGUUGUGGUUCAAGCCAGGGCGGAGCCUCAUGACGUCAGUCGCGUUCCUGUAAUCCCAGGCCGGCCUCCCCUUGUUAUGCAAUGGGGCGAUCCAGCGGCGGAUGAAAUCGGCCCCAAUCAUUUCAAGGGUGAGCCCGACCACGGUUAGGCGAUGGAUCCUGGUGGUGGCCACUGUUGGGGAACGUAGCAGAAAUUCAAAAUUUUCUACGCAUCACCAAGAUCAAUCUAUGGAGUAAUCUAGCAACGAGGGGAAGGGGAGUGCAUCUACAUACCCUUGUAGAUCGCGAUGCGGAAGUGUUGCAAGAACGCGGAUGAAGGAGUCGUACUCGUAGCGAUUCAGAUCGCGGUUGAUUCCGAUCUAAGCGCUGAACCACGGCGCCUCCGCGUUCAACACACGUGCAGCCCGGUGACGUCUCCCACGCCUUGAUCAUGCAAGGAGAGAGGGAGAGGUUGGGGAAGACUCCGUCCAGCAGCAGCACAACGGCAUGGUGGUGAUGGAGGAGCGUGGCACUCCAGCAGGGCUUCGCCAAGCACUGCGAGAGACGAGGAGGGAGAAGGGUAGGGCUGCGCCAAAGAGAGAUAUGUUCUCGUGUGUAUGGCAGCCCCAAAACCCCCACUAUAUAUAGGGGAGGGGGAGGGGCUGCGCCCCCAUCUAGGGUUCCCCCCCAAGGGGUGCGGCCAGCCCUAGAUGGGAGUUGGAGGGGCGGCCAAGGGGGGAGAGAGGGGGGCACACCACUAGGUGGGCCUUAGGCCCAUCUGAGCCUAGGGUUUCCCCCUUCCCCCCUUCCUGCGCCCUGGGCCCCUUGUGGGAGGCGCACCAGCCCACCUAGGGGCUGGUCCCUUCCCACACUUGGCCCACGCAGCCCUCUGGGGCCGGUGGCCCCACCUGGUGGACCCCCGGGACCCUCCCGGUGGUCCCGGUACAUUACCGAUAGCACCCGAAACUUUUCCGGUGACCAAAACAGGACUUCCCAUAUAUAAAUCUUUACCUCCGGACCAUUCCGGAACUCCUCGUGACGUCCGGGAUAUCAUCUGGGACUCGGAACAACAUUCGGUAACCACGUAUAUCUAUUCCCUAUAACCCUAGCGUCAUCGAACCUUAAGUGUGUAGACCCUACGGGUUCGGGAACCAUGCAGACAUGACCGAGACGUUCUCCGGCUAAUAACCAACAGCGGGAUCUGGAUAUCCAUGUUGGCUCCCACAUGUUCCACGAUGAUCUCAUCGGAUGAACCACGAUGUCGGGGAUUCAAUCAAUCCCAUAUACAAUUCCCUUUGUCAAUCGGUAUGUUACUUGCUCGAGAUUCGAUCGUCGGUAUCCCGAUACCUUGUUCAAUCUCGUUACCGGCAAGUCUCUUUACUCGUUCCGUAACACAUCAUCCCGUGAUCAACUCCUUGGUCACAUUGUGCACAUUAUGAUGAUGUCCUACCGAGUGGGCCCAGAGAUACCUCUCCAUUUACACGGAGUGACAAAUCCCAGUCUCGAUUCGUGCCAACCCAACAGACACUUUCGGAGAUACCUGUAGUGCACCUUUAUAGCCACCCAGUUACGUUGUGACGUUUGGUACACCCAAAGCAUUCCUACGGUAUCCGGGAGUUGCACAAUCUCAUGGUCUAAGGAAAUGAUACUUGACAUUAGAAAAGCUCUUAGCAAACGAACUACACGAUCUUGUGCUAGGCUUAGGAUUGGGUCUUGUCCAUCACAUCAUUCUCCUAAUGAUGUGAUCCCGUUAUCAACGACAUCCAAUGUCCAUGGUCAGGAAACCAUAACCAUCUAUUGAUCAACGAGCUAGUCAACCAGAGGCUUACUAGGGACAUGGUGUUGUCUAUGUAUCCACACAUGUAUAUGAGUUUCCUAUCAAUACAAUUCUAGCAUGGAUAAUAAACGAUUAUCAUGAACAAGGAAAUAUAAUAAUAACCAAUUUAUUAUUGCCUCUAGGGCAUAUUUCCAACAGUCUCCCACUUGCACUAGAGUCAAUAAUCUAGUUCACAUCACCAUGUGAUUAACACUCACAGGUCACAUCACCAUGUGACCAACAUCCAAAGCGUUUACUAAAGUCAACAAUCUAGUUCACAUCACUAUGUGAUUAACACUCAAUGAGUUCUGGUUUGAUCAUGUUAUGCUUGUGAGAGAGGUUAUUAGUCAACGGGUCUGAACCUUUCAGAUCCGUGUGUGCUUUACGAAUAUCUAUGUCAUCUUGUGGAUGCUACCACGCGCUACUUGGAGCCAUUUCAAAUAACUGCUCUACUAUACGAAUCCGGUUUACUACUCAGAGUCAUCCGGAUUAGUGUCAAAGUUCGCAUCGACGUAACCCUUUACGACGAACUCCUUUUCACCUCCAUAAUCGAGAAAAUUCCUUAGUCCACUAGAUACUAAGGAUAAGUUUGACCGCUAUCAUGUGAUCCAUUCCCGGAUCACUAUUGUACCCCUUGACCAACUGAUGGCAAGGCACACUUCAUGUGCGGUACACAGCAUAGCAUACUGUAGAGCCUAUGUCUAAAGCAUAGGGGACGACCUUCGUCCUUUCUCUCUCUUCUGCUGUGGUCAGGUCUUGAGUCUUACUCAAUACUCACACCUUGUAACACAGCCUAGAACUCCUUCUUUGCUGAUCUAUUUUGAACUCUUUCAAAAAACAUGUCAAGCUGUGCGUUCUUUGAAAGUAUCAUCAGGCGUCUUGAUCUAUCUCUAUAGAUCUUGAUGCCCAAUAUGUAAGCAGCUUUAUCUAGGUCUUCCUUUGAAAAACUCCUUUCAAACAACCCUUUAUGCUUUCCAGAAAUUUUACAUCAUUUCGAAUCAACAAUAUGUCAUUCACAUAUACUUAUCAGAAAUGUUGUAGCGCUCCCACUCACUUUAUUGUAAAUACAAGUUUCUAACAAACUUUGUAUAAACCCAAAAACUUUGAUCACUCCAUCAAAGCGUAUAUUCUGACUCCGAGAUGCUUGCUCUGGUCCAUGGAAGGAUCGCUGGAGCUAGCAUACCUUUUAGCAUCCUUAGGAUCGAAAAAAACCUUUCUGAUUGUAUCACAUACAACCUUUCCUUACGAAAACUGGUAAGGAAACUUGUUUUGACAUCCAUCUGCCAGAUUUCAUAAAUGCAGCUAAUGCUAACAUGAUUCCGACGGACUUAAGCAUCGCUACGGAUGAGAAAAUCUCAUCGUAGUCAACUCCUUGAACUUGUGAAAAUACUCUUUGCCACAAGUCGAGCUUCAUAGACGGUAACAUUACCGUCCAUGUCCGUCUUCUUCUUAAAAUCCAUUUAUCUCAAUGGCUUGCCGAUCAUCGGGCAAGUUCACCAAAGUCCAUACUUUGUUCUGAUACAUGGAUCCUAUCUCGGAUUUCAUGGCUUCUAACCAUUUGUCGGAAUGUGGGCCCACCAUCGCUUCUCCAUAGCUCGUAGGUUCAUUGUUGUCUAGCAACAUGACUUCCAAGACAGGAUCACGUACCACUCUGAAGUAGUACGCAUCCUCGUCGUCCUACGAGGUUUGGUAGUGACUUGAUCCGAAGUUUCAUGAUCACUAUCAUAAGCUUCCACUUCAAUUGGUGUAGGUGCCACAGGAACAACUUCCUGUGCCCUGCUACACAGUAGUUGAAGUGACGGUUCAAUAACCUUAUCAAGUCUCCACCAUACUCCCACUCAAUUCUUUCGAGAGAAAUUUUUCCUCGAGAAAGGACCCGUUUCUAGAAACAAUCACUUUUGCUUCCAGAUCUGAAAUAGGAGGUAUACCCAACUGUUUUGGGUAUUCUAUGAAGAUGCAUUUAUCCACUUUGGGUUCGAGCUUAUCAGCCUGAAACUUUUCCACAUAAGCAUCGCAGCCCCAAACUUUUAAGAAACGACAACUUAGGUUUCUCUAAACGGUGUCGUCUCAACGGAAUUGCGUGGUGCCCUAUUUAAAGUGAAUGCGGUUGUCUCUAAUGCCUAACCCAUAAACGAUAGUGGUAAAGAGACAUCAUGGUAUGCACCAUAUCCAAUAGGGUGCAGUUAUGAUGAUCGGACACACCAUCACACUAUGGUGUUCCAGGCGGUAUUAAUUGUGAAACACUUUCCACAAUAUCUUAAUUGUGUGCCAAACUCGUAACCCAGAUAUCUCUAUGAUCAUAUCAUAGACAUUUUAUCCUCUUGUCACGACGAUUUUCAACUUCACUCUGAAAUUACUUGAACCUUUCAAUAAUUCAGACUUGUGUUUCAUCAAGUAAAUAUUCUCAGCAUCUACUCAAAUCAUCUGUGAAGUAAGAACAUAUCGAUAUCCACUGCGUGCCUCAGCACUCAUUGGACUGCACACAUCAAAUGUAUUACUUCCAACAAGUUGCUCUCUUGUUCCAUCUUACUGAAAAUGAGACCUUUCAGUCAUCUUGCCCAUGUGGUAUGAUUUGCAUGUCUCAAGUGAUUCAAAAUCAAGUGAGUCCAAACGAUCCAUCUGCAUGGAGUUUCUUCAUGCAUAUAUACCAAUAGACAUGGUUCGCAUGUCUCAAUCUUUUCAAAAACGAGUGAGUCCAAAGAUCCAUCUACAUGGAGCUUCUUCAUGCGUUCUAUACCAAUAUGACUCAAAUGGCAGUGCCACAAGUAUGUGGUACUAUCAUCACUAUUUUAUAUCUUUUGGCACGAACAUGUGUAUCACUGCGAUCGAGAUUCAUUUUAGGUGCAAGACCAUUGAAGGUAUUAUUCAAGUAAACAGAGUAACCAUUAUUCUCCUUAAAUGAAUAACCGUAUUGCGACAAACAUAAUCCAAUCAUGCUCAACGCAAACACCAAAUCUCGAUGGUAGAGGGAGCAUGCGAUGCUUGAUCACAUCAACCUUGGAAACACUUCCAACACAUAUCGUCAUCUCACCUUUAGCUAGUCUCCGUUUAUUCCGCAGCUUUUAUUUCGAGUUACUAACACUUAGCAACCGAACCGGUAUCUAAUACCCUGGUGCUGCUAGGAGUACUAGUAAAGUACACAUUCAUAUAAUGUAUAUCCAAUAUACUUCUGUCGACCUUGCCUGCCUUCUCAUCUACCAAGUAUCUAGGGUAGUUCUGCUUCAGUGACCGUUCCCCUCAUUACAGAAGCACUUAGUCUCGGGUUUGGGUUUAACCUUGGGAUUCUUCACUAGAGCAGCAAAUGAUUUGCUGUUUCAUGAAGUAUCCCUUUUGCCCUUGCCCUUCUAGAAACUAGUGGUUUUACUAACCAUCAACAAUUGAUGCUCCUUCUUGAUUUCUACUUUCGCGGUGUCAAACAUCGCGAGUUGCUCAAGGAUCAUCAUGUCUAUCCCUGAUAUGUUAUAGUUCAUCACGAAGCUCUAAUAGCUUGGUGGCAGUGACUAUGGAGAACCAUCACUUUCUCAUCUGGAAGAUUAACUCCCACUCGAUUCAAGUGAUUGUAGUACUCAGACAAUCUGAGCACAUGCUCAACGAUUGAGCUUUUCUCCCUUAGUUUGUAGGCUUAAGAAACUUGUCAGAGGUCUCAUACCUCUCGACGUGGGCACUAGUCUGAAAUUCCAAUUUCAGUCUUCGGAACAUCUCACAUGUUCUGCGACGUUUCAAAAACGUCUUUGGUGCCACAAUUCUAAACCGUUAGCAUUACGCACUGAACUAUCAUGUAGUCAUCAAAACGUGUAUGUCAGAUGUUCCGCAACAUCUACAGACGACGCUGAGGUUCAGCACACCGAGCGGUGCAUUAAGGACAUAAGCCUUCUGUGCAGCAAUGAGGACAAUCCUCAGUUUACGGACCCAGUCCGCAUAAUUGCUACUAUCAACUUUCAACUAAAUUUUUCUCUAGGAACAUAUCUUAAAGCGUAAGCUAUGACAUAAUUUGUAAAGAACUUUUGACUAUGUUCAUGAUAAUUAAGUUCAUCUGAUUAUUUAAUGAACUCCCACUCAGAUAGACAUCCCUCUAGUCAUCUAAGUGAUACAUGAUCCGAGUCAAACUAGGCCGUGUCCGAUCAUCACGUGAGACGGACUAGUCAUCAUCGGUGAACAUCUCCAUGUUGAUCGUAUCUGCUAUACGACUCAUGUUCGACCUUUCGGUCUCUUGUGUUCCGAGGCCAUGUCUGUACAUGGUAGGCUCGUCAAGUCAACCUAAGUGUUUCGCAUGUGUUCCGAGGCCAUGUCUGUACAUGCUAGGCUCGUCAACACCCGUUGUAUUCGAAUGUUAGAAUCUAUCACACCCGAUCAUCACGUGGUGCUUCGAAACAACGGACCUUCGCAACGGUGCACAGUUAGGGGGAACACGUCUCUUGAAAUUUUAGUGAGGGAUCAUCUUAUUUAUGCUACCGUCGUUCUAAGCAAAUAAGAUGUAAACAUGAUAAACAUCACAUGCAAAUCAUAAAGUGACGAGAUAUGGCCAAUAUCAUCUUGCGCCUUUUGAUCUCCAUCUUCGAGGCGCGGCAUGAUCACCUUCGUCACCGGCAUGACACCAUGAUCUCCAUCAUCGUGUCUUCAUGAAGUUGUCUCGCCAACUAUUACUUCUACUACUAUGGCUAACGGUUAGCAAUAAAGUAAAGUAAUUACAUGGCGUUUUCAUUGACACGCAGGUCAUACAAUAAAUUAAGACAACUCCUAUGGCUCCUGCCGGUUGUCAUACUCAUCGACAUGCAAGUCGUGAUUCCUAUUACAAGAACAUGAUCAAUCUCAUACAUCACAUAUAUCAUUCAUCACAUCCUUUUGGCCAUAUCACAUCACAUAGCAUACCCUACAAAAACAAGUUAGACGUCCUCUAAUUGUUGUUGCAUGUUUUACGUGGCUGCUAUGGGAUUCUAGCAAGAACGUUUCUUACCUACGUAAAAGCCACAACGUGAUAUGCCAAUUUCUAUUUACCCUUCAUAAGGACCCUUUUCAUCGAAUCCGAUCCGACUAAAGUGGGAGAGAUAGACACCCGCUAGCCACCUUAUGCAACUAGUGCAUGUCAGUCGGUGGAACCUGUCUCACGUAAGUGUACGUGUAAGGUCGGUCCGGGCCGCUUCAUCCCACGAUGCCGCCGAAUCAAGAUAAGACUAGUAACGGCAAGUAAAUUGACAAAAUCGACGCCCACAACUACUUUGUGUUCUACUCAUGCAUAGAAACUACGCAUAGACCUAGCUCAUGAUGCCACUGUUGGGGAACGUAGCAGAAAUUCAAAAUUUUCUACGCAUCACACAGAUCAAUCUAUGGAGUAAUAUAGCAACGAGGGGAAGGGGAGUGCAUCUACAUACCCUUGUAGAUCGCGAUGCGGAAGCGUUGCAAGAACGCGGAUGAAGGAGUCGUACUCGUAGCGAUUCAGAUCGCGGUUGAUUCCGAUCUAAGCGCCGAACCACGGCGCCUCCGCGUUCAACACACGUGCAGCCCGGUGACGUCUCCCACGCCUUGAUCCAGCAAGGAGAGAGGAAGAGGUUGGGGAAGACUCCGUCCAGCAGCAGCACAACGGCAUGGUGGUGAUGGAGGAGCGUGGCACUCCAGCAGGGCUUCGCCAAGCACUGCGAGAGACGAGGAGGGAGAAGGGUAGGGCUACGCCAAAGAGAGAUAUGUUCUCGUGUGUAUGGCAGCCCCAAAACCCCCACUAUAUAUAGGAGAGGGGGAGGGGCUGCACCCCCAUCUAGGGUUCCCCCCCCAAGGGGUGCGGCCAGCCCUAGAUGGGAGUUGGAGGGGCGGCCAAGGGGGGAGAGAGGGGGGCGCACCACUAGGUGGGCCUUAGGCCCAUCUGAGCCUAGGGUUUCCCCCUUCCCCCCUUCCUGCGCCCUGGGCCCCUUGUGGGAGGCGCACCAGCCCACCUAGGGGCUGGUCCCUUCCCACACUUGGCCCACGCAGCCCUCUGGGGCCGGUGGCCCCACCUGGUGGACCCCCGGGACCCUCCCGGUGGUCCCGGUACGUUACCGAUAGCACCCGAAACUUUUCCGGUGACCAAAACAGGACUUCCCAUAUAUAAAUCUUUACCUCCGGACCAUUCCGGAACUCCUCGUGACGUCCGGUAUCUCACCCGGGACUCCGGACAACAUUCGGUAACCACGUAUAUCUAUUCCCUAUAACCCUAGCGUCAUCGAACCUUAAGUGUGUAGACCCUACGGGUUCGGGAACCAUGCAGACAUGACCGAGACGUUCUCCGGCCAAUAACCAACAGCGGGAUCUGGAUACCCAUGUUGGCUCCCACAUGUUCCACGAUGAUCUCAUCGGCUGAACCACGAUGUCGGGGAUUCAAUCAAUCCCGUAUACAAUUCCCUUUGUCAAUCGGUAUGUUACUUGCCCGAGAUUCGAUCGUCGGUAUCCCGAUACCUUGUUCAAUCUCGUUACCGGCAAGCCUCUUUACUCGUUCCGUAACACAUCAUCCCGUGAUCAACUCCUUGGUCACAUUGUGCACAUUAUGAUGAUGUCCUACCGAGUGGGCCCAGAGAUACCUCUCCAUUUACACGGAGUGACAAAUCCCAGUCUCGAUUCGUGCCAACCCAACAGACACUUUCGGAGAUACCUGUAGUGCACCUUUAUAGCCACCCAGUUACGUUGUGACGUUUGGUACACCCAAAGCAUUCCUACGGUAUCCGGGAGUUGCACAAUCUCAUGGUCUAAGGAAAUGAUACUUGACAUUAGAAAAGCUCUUAGCAAACGAACUACACGAUCUUGUGCUAGGCUUAGGAUUGGGUCUUGUCCAUCACAUCAUUCUCCUAAUGAUGUGAUCCUGUUAUCAACGAUAUCCAAUGUCCAUGGUCAGGAAACCGUAACCAUCUAUUGAUCAACGAGCUAGUCAACUAGAGGCUUACUAGGGACAUGGUGUUGUCUAUGUAUCCACACAUGUAUCUGAGUUUCCUAUCAAUACAAUUCUAGCAUGGAUAAUAAACGAUUAUCAUGAACAAGGAAAUAUAACAAUAACCAAUUUAUCAUUGCCUCUAGGGCUCCAACAGCGACCAUGAGCUUCUUAUCAUUGGCAUCGACGUCGCCCCAGUCAUAUCUACGGACCGGCGGCGCCUGACGGACCCGGCAGAACUCCUGCGGAUCUUCCUCUUUAAUCCAGCACCAUCGGCCCCGCCACUCUUCCCACCUCUCCUUCUGGGCGCCCUCCGGGUACGUACCCUUCUCCUGGCUCCUUGGGAUCCAGGCGACAUAGCCAGAGAUGGUGCCUCCUUUCUGGAAACGAGGGUAAAAAUAGUGGCGGAAGUGCGCCAUGCUGGGAUGCACUCCGGCGAAGCCCUCACAGAGAUGGGCAAAAAUGGCCAUGCACGCCACCGCAUUUGGGGUGAAAUCCAGAAGGUGGAAGCCGUAGGUGUGCAUGACGUCAUUGAAUAAAUCGGAGAAGGGAGGGUAGAGACCGCAGGAGAAGUAGUCAACAAAGAAAGGGUACCGAUUCGGGCCGGCCUUAGCAAAAUCGGCGGGGAUGAUGUGCGUGGCCGGAUGCCCCGUCAUCUUCAUCCCCCCACAGAGGCUUGAAGUAGUCCCUGAGAUGGACGGCAUCGACCGUAGAGGGGAAGUAGGCGUGCUGCGUCCGAAGCGCUGCCAACUCGCUCUCCGGCGGCUCCCUUUUCCCGGCAUCCUUGGCCGCUCCCUUGCCCCUGUUGGUUUUGGGCGCCAUGGCAGCUGGAGGUGGGCGACGAAUCAAGAGCAAUGGGGGCGGCGGCGGCGAGCAGAGGCAAGAGAUUUUUUUGCUUUGAGGAAGAAGAGAGGAACGAUGGUUCCGAGAUUGAAGAGACGCGGAGGGUAAUGAGCAGCGCGCCUGUAGUUUCCCCUUUAUUUUUGGGGAAGGCGCGGGCCGCCUCUUUACCAUUUACCGCGAUGUGACGCAUGAGGGCAGCAACCGCCCCACGCAUGACCCCCACGUCACGCACGACCCCCACGUCGCGCAUUCAACGCGGGUCGUGGGGAAGCGCAAGCGAGCGGGGGAAUUACUGCGGUAAAAACUCCACCGCCCGCGCGCCCGCGCACCGUUCUGGGCCUGGCCCAAUAACGUCCCACGCUUAUAUGUGGCCCAGGCCCGGGGGCUCCUGUCAGUGUACAAAAGUAGGGGUCCCUUUUUGCACCCCUUUACUUGUGCGCGGGCAGUCGUAGCCCCACGCCCCUGGCCACGCCUAGCGGGGCAGAGGAAGCAAAGGCACAAGGCAACCAGAGCAACGCCAAGAUAGAGACACAAAGAGCAGAGGGGCGAGGUGAACUCCCCCGGCAAGGCCCUUCCCGGAGCGGCCUCCACAACCCUGGCAAGCGCCUUGCCGGGGCAACUUGCCCAACACCAACAGGGCUGCCACCCUCGAGCCUGAGAGUUCUAACACCGUCAACCACAUUGGAACCAAGGCUCGGGAGGCACCUCCAUGGUGACAUGCAGAUCUUUGUGAAGACCAGAAGCAUACAAGAUCAGAUGAGAAUCAGAAGACGACAAUCCUCGGCAAGAUCCUUGCCGAGGGUACCCACGAGACCCCCGGCAAGCCCCUUGCCGGGGACGACCACAACGCCACGGCAAGACCCUUGCCGGGACCCCAACAAGACUCUUGCUGAAGACAUCCGCGGGGUUGCCGCCAGGCCCACAUCUGCCAAAGCUCCGCCGCCAUUCCCAUGCAGCUGCCAGCCCAUCAACUAGGCGAGCACCUGCGUGGCGGCGUGCGGCCUCUAGGCCAAUUCAGCAAGCACCUGCGUGGUGGCAUGCAGAUCUUCAUGAAGACCCUACCACCACGCCAACUCUGCAGCCUGCCAGCUUACAUGGCGCUGCAUGCCUCGUUGGCCUGGACGCGUGUCGGAGCAAGGCGGAGCGGCGACGGACGGGACGGGCCUCGUUACCGCCCCCGAUAAAGCAAGAGGACACCUAAGUAGCGCAUUUAAUGCGGUUUGUCCUGUAAUGACAUGCGAUAAGCUUGUGCACUGUAUAGCGUUCCACCUCCUGUGUGCCACUGUGGCAGCCCCUUUGCCUAUAAAAGGAGGCCCGCGGCGUACUGGGAGAGGAUUCGGAUCUUUUGGGCGACGCGCGCACCGUAGCUAGUUCAAAAGCUCAAGAACACUCAAAUAUACACCAAAGCAGGACUAGGGUAUUACGCAUCCUCAUGGCCCGAACCUGGGUAAAUGAUCUUUGUGCUGGCUCCUAGACCCGCUCUUUGCACAACCCCGCGCCCGCCAACCAUAGAAGGGGUUCCAAUGAUCCCAUAGAUGUCAUUUCCCCCGACAUCUUGCAUGGAAAACAGGAUUAGCAGACAAGUAUGCAACACCUUGAUUAUCACACCACAAACAUGGGGUUUUUGGUAUUCCUCAUCCCUAGCUCCCUUAGCAUGGACUUAACCCAGAUAAUCUCUGUUGUUUCAUUAGCUAAUGCUUUAUACUCUUGGACUUGGAAACAAUGGGUUGUUUCUUUGCACACCAUGAGAUCAAAUUGGGUUGAAAGAAUACUGCAAAGCCACAUGUUGGUCGUCUGUCAUCCAAACAUCCUGCUGACACGUCUCCGACGUAUCUAUAUUUUUGAUUGUUUCGUGCUAUUAUAUUAUCAAUCUUGGAUCCUUUAUAUGCUUUAUUAUGUUAUUUUAUAUCAUUUUUUGGACUAACCUAUUAACUCAGUGCCCAGUGUCAGUUGUUGUUUCUUGUUUGUUUUUGUCUUUUCAAAAAAUCAAUACCAAACGAAGUCCAAACCCGAUGAAACUUUAUGAUGAUUUUUCGUGGACCAGAAGGGACACUAGAACGUUCGGGAGGAGGCCAGAAGAUCUACGGGAGAGCAACGAGAUCACCCGGUGUGCCCCAGGGGGCUCCCCUUAGCUCGUGGGUCUCAGGCAGCUCAGUUUGACCUAAUUUCAAGCCUAUAAAUUCCAAAUAUUCCCAAACCAAUAGAGAGCCACCCGAAACACUUUUUCCGCCGACGCAAGCUUCAAUUCGCUGCGAUGCCAUCUGGAGGCCUUCUUCUGGUACUCUGCCGGAGGGGGAAUCGAUCACGGAGGGCUUCUACAUCAUCCUUGAUGCACCCCCAAUGAUGUGUGAGUAGUUUACCACAGACCUACGGGUCCAUAGUUAGUAGCAAGAUGGCUUCUUCUUUCUCUCCGAUCUUCAAUACAAAGUUCUCCAUGAUCUCCAUGGAGUUCUAUCCGAUGUAAUCUUCUUUUGCAGUGUGUUUGUUGGGAUCCGAUGAAUUGUGGGUUUAUGAUCAGAUUAUUCAUUGAAAGUAAUUGAGCCUUUCUGAACUUUAUUAUGCAUGAUUGUUAUAGUUUUGUAUUUCUCUCUGAUCUAUCCGUUUGGUUUGGCCAACUACAUUGAUUUAUCUUCAGUGGGAGAGGUGCUUUGUGAUUGGUUUAAUCUUGCGGUGUCCUCACCCAUUGACAGAGAGGGUGGCGAGGCACGUAUUUGUAUAGUUGCCAUUAAGGGUAAACUGAUGGGGUUUAAUCAUUUUCGGAAAGGGGCGCUUUAUUUCUUAAAAGGUUUAAGCAUUACACCCGGCCUCUGCAUAACCAAGAUGCACACAGCCAACAAAGUCCUCACACCAAGCCAAAAUAAAAGAAUAAGGCGAUAUACAAGGGAAAUGAAUUAUGUAUAACGCCUAAAAUGAAGGUGGCCCAAUCCUAAGAUCAUGCUGCCACCUACGUUGGAUAAAAAUAUCCCUCGCCGUAGCCUCCAAUCGUGUACACACCUCCAUAAACAGGUCUCGAUUCUCCACUCGUUGUAGAGAGGACCAUAAACGAAGAGUCCCGGUACAUCUGUAGAUAACCUACAUAAGAGAAGUACUUUUAUCACUAAAAACCUUAUCAUUUCUACAUAGCUAAAGCGACCAAAUCACGGCAAGCGCUCCCACCCGAAUAAGAAUUCUAAACUUGUGGUCAAUCCCAUGUAGCCAGUUGCCAAAUAUAUUAGCAACACUACAAGGAAGAUACAAGCCAGACGCUAUUUAGAUGACUGACCAUAUAGAACGAGCCAAUUUACAUUGGAAGAAUAAAUGUUUUAUUGUCCCAUCAUGCCGACAAAAGACACAUUGUGUACUUCCAUGCCAAUUCCUCUUAAUAAGGUUAUCUUUAGUAAGAAUGACUCCGCGACGACAUGCAAAGAUUUUAUUCUUAAGAGGUAUCUUCAUCUUCCAGAUCUUCUUAUAAUUAUCAACUGGCACGCCAGAAUAGAUCAAAACUCUAUACAUAGAAUCCACUGAGAAUUUCCCAUUCCCAUGUAGGUUCCAAUGAAAUACAUCAGAGCCUUGUGACAACUGUACCGUGGCUAACCGCUGGAGUAGUAUGUUCCACGAUUGGAGUCUAGGUCCAAUUAAAUCCCUUCUGAACGUCACAUUUGGCGGAAAUGAUUCCAAAACCUUGGCGAUAGUAUCACCCUUGUGACGCACAAUAUUGUAUAGUGCCGGAUAUUGUUCACAGAGUGUAGCAUUACCUAGCCACUUAUCCUCCCAGAAUCCAAUUUCCGAGCCAUCCUUAAUCAAGAAGGAACCAUAGCGGAAGAAAUAUUUCUUCGUUGCCAUUAGUCCCGCCCAAAAAUGGGAGUCCCCAGGCUUCCAGUAUACUUGUGAUACCGCCCAAAAAUGGGGUUUAAUCAUAUUGCUUGGUUUUAUUCUGUCUACAUCAUGCCAUCAUACCUCAUGCAUUACUCUGUUUAUCAUGAACUUAAUACGUAGAGAGGCAAGCAUAGAAGCGCUCUCGAAAUGGAGUAAUAGUAGUAGAUGCAAAAUCGUUUUGGUCUACUUGUCACGGGCAUGAUGCCUAUAUACAUUAUCAUUGCCAUGAUACCGUCAUAACUAUGCGUUUUUUCAAUUGCCCAAAAGUAAUUUGUCUACCCAUUGUAUGCUAUUUAUUCGAGAGAGAAGCCUCUAGUGAAAACUAUGGCCCCGGGGUCUAUCUUUAUCAUAUUACUAAAACCAAAAAUACCUUGCUGCAAUUUAUUUACUUUUUUUAUUUUGCAAUUUAUCUAUCUACCACUACCAGAUUUGAUCCUUGCAAGUUACGAGUUCAAGGGGAUUGACAACCCUUUUACUCGCGUUGGGUGCAAGUAUUGCUCUUGUGUGUGCAUGUACUGUUCUCUAGGAUAUGUGUGCUUCUCCUAUUGGUUCGAUAACCUUGGUUCUCACCGAGGGAAAAACUUAUCAUCUACUAUAUUGCUUCACCCUUCCUCUUCGUGGGAAAAUCUCAAUGCAUCUCACAAGUAGUAGAAAGAAUUUCUAGCGCCGUUGCCGGGGAGACAUCAUCAAAUCACUACAAGUACCUUCACUCAAACUAGCAUCUACCUUCUCUACUUUUUAUUUGCCUCUCUUUUUUAUUUCCCUCCACUUUCCUAAAAAAAUCAAAAACACAAAAAUACUUUGUUUCGUUUGCUUGCUUGCUUUGCUUGAAGUUGCUAUCAUGUUUGAUUUUGUGAUCGCUAAGGGUGAUAGUGAGGAUAGUAAGCCUCAUAACAAUGGAUCUCCCGUAAAUGUUGAUACUAAAACUUUUGUGACGGGAAGUGGAAAUAUUAUCGGAAAAAGUUUUAUUCAAGAAUUUUUCACUUGUACGGGAGCCUUGGUAACCAAUGAUGUCCCUAUUCUUAAAAGAACUAAUAUUUCUGCUCAAGAUAAUUCCACUCUUAUUAUCAAACUUGAGAGAAGAUUUAUGCGUACUCAUCCAACUUUGCAAAGAUUGUUCUUUGAACUACCUGUUUUAAAUGGUCCUAGAGCUAAAAAAAUGCUACGAUUAUCCUUAUGAAUGAAUUUGAUUACAUUGUUCGGGAAGCAAUAAAGUUCUUUGAUCACUAUGAUCUGAAUUAUGAGUGCCCAAUGAUAUAUGAAAUUAUUUAUGAUAGAGAUUUCAUGCGGAUAUAUAUGUCUAGGGAUCAUCAUGCUUUUGAGGAAAAUGCCAGGAAAAAAGUUCCAAACCUACACUUGAUCCCAUCUAUUUAAUAUUACCAACCAUCGAUAUUCUUGGAUUGUUAAGGGCAACAAAAGUGGGUUUGAUGAAGAUUUCUUAGAUAAUGCUAAAGUUCUUAUAGAAGAUGGAUUUACGGUCACUUAUGAAAGGUCCCUUGAUGGCCACACUUCUUAAAAUUGAACUUGGAGGAUAUAGAAGUUAUGAAGGAUAGUCAGUUCCAUUACUUGAGUUCUCCUAAUAGAAAAUCUAUUGCUAAAAGAAGAUAAUUAAUAAGAUGUGCUUAUGAUGAUAUUAUGGAUAAAGGUGUAAUGGAUAUGAAGGAAGAGGAUAACACUUGAAACUAUGCAUUAUGCCUAGCUAGGGGCGUAAAACAAUAGCGCUUGUUGGGAGGCAACCCAAUAGUUAUCUUAAAUUUUUUAUUUAUUUUCUAUUCUUGUGUGUUGACAUGAUUAUUGUUACUGUAAUGAUUGUGUUUUUAUGCGUUAAUUAGUGUUUGUGACAAGUAAAGCCUUUGCGAUGAUUUGGAUAAUAGCUGACUUGAUUAUGUGAAGAAAAAAACAGAAACUUUUGCUCUCAGUCUAGGAAUUACUAUAAUAAUUCACUGGAACAUGCUUUUGAUCUGAAAUUUUUACACAUGGUUGAUAUACAGAUUUCCCAUUUGUCCUAAUAUUUAAGAAUUUUUGGAGUUGCAGACAUAUGAUUUUUAUUCAAAUCAUUACAGACUAUUCUGUUUUAGACAUAUUCUAUUUUAUUGCACAGUGUGCUUGAUUUAGUGAUGCUAUGGAUUAUAUCAGGGGGUAUAAGUCAUGAAGAAGUUAGAAUACAGUAGGUAUUAUGCAAGGAUAAAUUAUGAAUGAGUUUACAAUAGUACCUAAAGUUUAUGAUUUGUCACGGAUCUUCAAGGUUUUUGUUGAGAUUUGUGCUAAAGUUUUGAAAUUUUGGGUGAGAUCAUGAUGAAUGAAGGAACAAGGAGCGGCAAGACCCUUAGCUUGGGGGUGACCAAGGAACCCCAAGGUAAUAUUCAAGGAAGACCCAUGCGUGUAAGCUUGGGAUGCCCCGAAUGGCAUCCCCUCUUUCGUCUACAAUUCAUCGGUAUAUUAGUUGGAGCUAUAUUUUUAUUCAUCACAUGAUAUGAGUUUUACUUGGAGUGUCUUGUGCCGUAGUUUUAUUUUUGUUUGCUUGUUAGUUUGACACAGUCUUUUUUUGCUGGACACACCUUUUGAGAAAGAAACACAUUCAUUGAAAUUUGUUAGAAUACUCUAUGAGCUUGACUUAUAUCUUUUGAGCUAUGUAGUUGCUCUAGUGCUUCACUUAUAUAUGUUAGAGCAUGGUGAUGGUUAUAUUUUAUAGAAAUGAUUGCACUCUCAUGCUUCACUUAAAUCUUUUUGAGAGUCUUUAAAUAGGAAGUGGUAAUGUGCAUGAGUUAUAAGACUAGUCCGAAAAUGAUAGGUAUUCAAGGGAAAUAUAAUAAAACUUUCAUGUAGAUCACUAAAUAUGAAACAUAUGGUUUAAUUAUAUUGAUGUCGUAAUAUGAAAGGAUAUUGGUCCAUGAUCACUGGUUAGUAAAAAAAUAUCGGUAUUAAAGCUUGUUAUUAACUUCUCAUCUAAGUGUUGGUUAUGGCAUGGUGGGGAGGUUUGAGCAUUUUUAUUUUUGCUUGAAAUCCUUGAGUGUUGUCAUAAUCGGGGGGCGCGCAAUGGUUAAAUCCUACCAACCUCCUCCCUAGGGGCAUGCGAGUACCACUUUGCUUCGAGGGACAAUAAAAUUUUCACAAUAAGUAUGAGUUCUUUAUGACUUGUGAGUCCAUGGAUUAUAAGCACUCCUAUGUUUCCGCAAUUUGCUAGCCUCUUCAGUACCAUGCAUUAGCCUUUCUCACCUCGUUAGUUGGUGCAAACUUCGUUGGUGCAUCCAAACCGCGUGAUAUGAUACACUCUAUCACACAUGAGCCUCCUUAUAUCUUCCUCAAAAUAGUCACCAUACCUACAUAUCAUGGCAUUUCCAUAGCCAUUCUGAGAUAUAUUGCCAUGCAACUUCCACAAAUUCCGUCUUCAUGACAUGUGUGUUCAUCUUCAUAUUGCUUUGCAUGAUCAUAUAGACCUGACAUGAUAUUUGUGGCAUAGCCAUUGUUCAUCAUUGUUAUACAUGUUAUGCUAGAUCAUUGCACAUCCUGGUACACUGCCAAAGGCACUCAUAUAGAGUCAUAUUGUUUCAGUUAGCGAGUUGUAAGUAAAUAAAAGUGUGAUGAUCAUCAUUAUUAGAGCAUUGUCCCGGUGAGAAAGGAUGAUGGAGUUUCCGAUGACGGGCUUCCUCAAAUGCCCGAGGUCUUCAUGAGAAAGCAAGUUGGAUGCACACCCACUUAGUUUUCGUUGAGCUUUCAUACACUUAUAGCUCUUAGUGCAUCCGUUGCAUGGCAAUCACUACUCCUCACAUUGAUUUCGAUUGGUGUGUCUCUCCAUUGCCCGUUGAUCCGCCGAGUUGAUGCGAGACUUUCUUCCUUUUUGACUUCCCUUAUUGAUCUCUACCACCGCAUUCUAUUCCACCUAUAGUGCUAUAUCCAUGGCUCACGCUCGUGUUUUGUGUGGGGUUGAAAAUGCUGAAGCGUGUUAGAAGUAUGAUUCAGCUACUUGGUUUGACAUUGGGGUAGUCAUGAUUUAUAUUUAUGCAAUGAAGGCGGAGUCAUGUCAUGAUUACAUGAUAAAAUGAGUAGGGAUAACAUUCGUUAAGCAUCGUGUAUUUAAAAAAUAAUAAUGAUUAUGUCUUUUAUAUUCAUGGAUAUUACUAUGUUGAUAUUAUUACUUCAUUGUUCCUAAAUAUUUACAACGUAAAGAGAUUACAUGAUAAACAUGCUAGGUAGCAUUCAACAUAAAUAAUUCUGUUUUUAUCAUUUACCUACUCGAGGACGAGCAAGAACUAAGCUUGGGGAUGCUGAUACGUCUCUGACAUAUCAACAUUUUUUGAUUGUUUCAUCCUAUUAUAUUAACAACCUUGGAUGCUUUAUAUGCUUUAUUAUGGUAUCUUAUAUCAGUUUUUGGGACUAACCUAUUAACUCAGUGCCCAGUGCGAGUUGUUGUUUUUUGCUUAUUUUUGGCUUUUAAGAAAACCAAUACCAAACGAAGUCCAAACACGAUAAAACUUUACGGUGAUUUUUCUGGAGGCCAUAAGAUCUACGGGUGAGUGAUACGUCUCCAACGUAUCUAUAAUUUAUGAAGUAUUCAUGCCAUGUUUACAACAAUUUUAUAUGGUUUUGGUAUUAUUUGAAUGGAACUAACCCGGACUGACGCUAUUUUCAGCAGCACUACUGUCGGUGUACAAAAGUAGGGGCCUUUCUGUACCCCUUUACUUGUGCACGGGCAGUUGUAGCCACACUUGCGGCCACGCUUGGCGGGGCAGAGGAAGCAAAGAUACAAGACUGCCAGGGCAAUGCUCAAGACAGAGGCACGAAGAGCAAAGGGAGAAGAUGGAUUUCCCCCGGCAAGAGCCUUGCCGGGGCGACCUACAUAGCCCCGGCAAGAGCCUUGCCGGGGCAACUUGCCCAAACACCAGCAAGGACGCCACCCUUGAGCCUGAGGGUUCUGACACCAUCGACAACGUCGAGACCAAGACUCAGGGGCUCCUGUGUGGUGGCAUGCAGAUCUUUGUGAGGAACAAAGGCCUCCGAAUCUGGAGAGAAACCAGAAGGUGAAGACCCCCGGCAAGAGCCUUGCCGGGGACAGGCAGAGACCCCCGGCAAGAGCCUUGCCGGGGACAGAUGAAGACCCUCGGCAAGAUCCUUGCCGGGGACCUUGCCGGGGACGCCCGCGAGACCCCGGCAAGACCCUUGCCGGGGGCUUCUGCGAGGCCGAGGCCAGGCCCGCACACACCAAUGUUCCGUUGCCCCGUGCCCGUGCCAACGCGGCAACCAGCCCGCCAACUAGGCCAGCGCUGCGUGGCAGCAUGCAACUUCUAGGCCAACUAGCCAAGCACCUGCGUGGUUGCAUGCAGAUCUUCGUGAAGACCCCUAUCACCGCACCAACUCAACAGCCAGCCAGUCAGCAUGGCGCUGCAUGCCUCGUCACCUUGGACGCGCGUCGAAGCAAGGCGAGGCGAUGGACGAGACAAGCUUCUUUGCCGUACCUGAUAAAGCAAGAGGCAAGUCGGCAGCGCAUUAAAUGCAUUUGUCCUACGGUCUCAGGCGAUAGACUUGUACACUAUACAUACUUUCCACCUCCUGUGUGCCACUGUGGCGACCCCUUUGACAUAUAAAAGGAGGCCCGAGGCGUACUGGGGAAGCAUUCGAACUUUUUGGACUAGGCAGGCACCGUAGCUAGUUCAAGAGCUCAAGAACACCAAAUAUACAGAGAAGCAGGACUAGGGUAUUACGCAUCAUUUGCGGCCCGAACCUGGGUAAAAAUCCCCUCGUGUUGAUCUUUCAGUCCCGCUCUUUGCACAGCUCCACGCUCCGCCAACCGUAGAAGGGAUUCCUCGGGAUCCCAUAGGUGUCGUUUCCCCCGACAUCUUUGGCACGCCAGGUAGGGGGCACUGAGGCUGUGAAAAUAUGGUCUGAGAGUUGGCGCAUCGAUUUCUCCAUCACGAUGGCCCUGAAGAAGGAGGCGGCCCCAGAGGUCGGCUCGUCUGGAGCCGGUCUGUUUGCGCCAGUGCGGGCAAGCGACAGGGCAGAUGCAAGCGGCGGGGGAGGUCAAAGUCAUCUCCAUCGCUCUGGUGCAUCGACCAGGCGAGCGGUGUUGCCUGCAGCCACAACGACCAUACGCGUGGCGACGAAAAGCUAAGUCACGCAAAACCUUGAGCAACUUCCUUUUUUAUAAGGUUAUUUUCCUCGAAAGGUCCUGCUCCUUGUAUAGAGAACCUGUACGCAAAGGAACCCUUCCGCUAGUGGCAAUGCCCUUGUUCUGUUUCCAGUCCGCUCAACAGUUCAAGCGGCUGCACUGAGAACGGCAAGGUGGCUUGCCCGGUAGCAAGUGCCCCCUGACAGGCUGCUAAGGAUCCGUUCCUCCAAGCGCCACAACAUGGGUUUACGCUGGCAAACCUAUCCAACUAAGCGAAGGGUGCGUACAUAGAAAGAAAGAUCAAACAGGAAGAUAGCAUGCGUCAUUUCAAAAUACUGCAGAGCUAUAUUACAUCAAUGGUUGCCGCGGUUCUAACUAAGAUAAAAUUGUCUUGGGCAUGAAUUCGCAGCAGCAACGAGAAAUGGGGUGGCUAAUCCCGGCGUUGGCCCUCCACCCUCUUGACUCCGUCGAUGCAGCUGAUGAUGGGCUUGAUACGCUCUUCAAGCGCCGUGAGGUCCGCGUCCUCCGCAAGCUCUGAAGCGCGUUGGCAAAGUCGACGAUGGGGUUCCAGAACGCCACCUAGGUGAGCACCUUGGUCAGGGCGCCCCGGCAAAGCUUCCGGGCCUCAUUGGCCAGAUAAGUCGCUCGGUUGGAGCGGAGCUGCUCCAGGGCGUUGAGGACACGCUCGAAGAACAAGGUCAGCCUGGCAUUGGGGCUUACGUUUGCCUCCUGCGAGUACCUGACAUCCGGCAUGCCCAUGACGGCUAGCUGCGCGGUGAGCUUCUCUGCAACGUCGAUGAGACGGCUAAUCCAGAGAUUUACGCUGCCCACAUAGUCCUUCUAGGCGGCGGCGUCAUCACUCCGUAGCUACUUUUCGGUCUCGAGGGCCUUGUUCAGGGCCUCCUCCUGGACCGUGACCUGUGAAAGCAUCCCUCCAAGGCGCCCAGUUGCAGCUUCAGAUCAUCAAUGGAGCUGUUGGCCUCGGAGAGCAGCUUGAUCUGGUCGGAGAUGGUGACCUGCGAAUCCGCCAGAGUGCGGUUGGCCGUGUCCCUCUCCUUCGUCAGCUCUGAGACCUUCUUCUUCAGCUCCUCCCUCUCCAGCUCCAGCUUCUCCACCUCGCCGGCUUGGUCCAGGGCCAGGGCAUCAAGAGCAUCCUUGUGCUUCUGCUCCAGCUCCUGGGUCCGCUGCGUGACGAUCUUCCCGAUUUCCUCGUCCUUGCCAUGGAGCGUGGUGGCAAGCGCUUGCUCACGGGAAACGAGGUCUUCCUCCUGGGUGUCCAGCAGGGCUUGCUGCUGCAGCCGGGCGGCUUUGUCCUUGGCGGCCUGUUCCUUCGCCAACUCUUGGGCCUUCUCGAUGUCGGCCUGCUUCAGGAUGAGCUCUCGCUUGCGCUCGUCCAGCUCACCCUGGGCGGUCCCCAGCCCCCCCAGGCCUCGCCGAACUAGACUUGUGUCUGAGCGAUGCACUCCUGGAAAUCUGCCUCCGCCUUGACAACAGCCGCCAUCUGCUACCUCUUGAGCUUGCGUUGGUUUUUCCCUUGAAGAGGAAAUGGUGAUGCAGCAAAGUAGCGUAAGUAUUUCCCUCGGUUUUUGAGAACCAAGGUAUCAAUCCAGUAGGAGACUACACACAAGUCGCCUCGUACCUACACAAACAAAUAAGAACCUUGCAACCAACGAGAUAAAGGGGUUGUCAAUCCCUUCACGGCCACAUGCAAAAGUGAGAUCUAAUAGAGAUAAUAAGAUAAAUAUUUUUUGGUAUUUUUAUGAUAUAGAUUGAAAAGAUUGCAAAGUAAAAAUAGAUUGGAAACUUAUAUGAUGGAAAAUAGACCCGAGGACCAUAGGUUUCACUAGUGGCUUCUCUCAAGAUAGCAUAAGUAUUACGGUGGGUGAACAAAUUACUGUCGAGCAAUUGAUAGAAAAGUGCAUAGUUAUGAGAAUAUCUAGGCAUGAUCAUGUAUAUAGGCAUCACGUCCGCGACAAGUAGACCGAAACGAUUCUGCAUCUACUACUAUUACUCCACACAUCGACCGCUAUCCAGCAUGCAUCUAGAGUAUUAAGUUCAUAAGAACAAAGUAACGCAUUAGGCAAGAUAACAUGAUGUAGAGGGAUAAACUCAAGCAAUGUGAUAUAAACCCCAUCUUUUUAUCCUCGAUGGCAACAAUACAAUACGUGCCUUGCUGUCCCUGCUGUCACUAGGAAAGGACACCGCAAGAUUGAACCCAAACUAAGCACUUCUCCCAUUGCAAGAAAGAUCAAUCUUGUAGGCCAAACCAAACUGAUAAUUCGAAGAGACUUGCAAAGAUAACAAAUCAUACAUAAAAGAAUUCAGAGAAGAUUCAAAUAUUGUUCAUAGAUAAUCUUGAUCAUAAACCCACAAUUCAUCAGAUCUCGACCAACACACUGCAAAAAGAAUUACAUCGAAUAGAUCUCCAAGAAGAUCGAGGAGAACUUUGUAUUGACACCCAAAGAGAGAGAAGAAGCCAUCUAGCUAAUAACUAUGGACCCGAAGAUCUGUGGUAAACUACUCACACAUCAUCGGAGAGGCUAUGGUGUUCAUGUAGAAGCCCUCCAUGAUCGAUUCCCCCUCCGGCGAAGCGCCGAAAAAGGCCCCAAGAUGGGAUCUCAUGGGUACAGAAGGUUGCGGCGGUGGAAAUAGGAUUUCGUGGUGCUCCUGGAUGUUUUCGGGGUAUAUGGGUAUAUAUAGGAGGAAGAAGUAGGUCGGUGCAGCUGCGAGGGGCCCACGAGGGUGGGGGGCGCGCCCAGGGGGCAGGCGCACCUCCCUGCCUCGUGGCCUCCUUGCUUCUUUCUUGACGUCCACUCCAAGUCUCCUGGAUCACGCUUGUUCCAAAAAUCACUCUCCCGAAGGUUUCAUUCCGUUUGAUAUUCCUUUUCUACGAAACACUGAAAUAGGCAAAAAACAACAAUUUGCACUGGGCCUUCGGUUAAUAGGUUAGUCCCAAAAAUAAUAUAAAAGUGUAUAAUAAAGCCCAUUAAACAUCCAAAACAGAUAAUAUAAUAGCAUGGAACAAUGAAAAAUUAUAGAUAUGUUGGAGACGUAUCAAGCAUCCCCAAGCUUAAUUCCUGCUCGUCCUCGAGUAGGUAAAUGAUAAAAACAGAAUUUUUGAUGUGGAAUGCUACCUAACAUAAUUUUCUAAGUAAUUCUCUUUAUUGUGGCAUGAAUGGUCAGAUCCGAGAGAUUCAAGAUAAAAGUUUAAUAUUGACAUAAAAAUAAUAAUACUUCAAGCAUACUAACUAAGCAAUUAUGUUUUCUCAAAAUAACAUGGCCAAAGAAAGUUCAUCCCUACAAAAUCAUAUAAUUUGGUCAUGCUCCAUUUUCGUCACACAAGAAUGCUCUCAUCAUGCACAACCCCGAUGACAAGCCAAGCAAUUGUUUCAUACUUUAGUAAUCUCUAACUUUUUCAACUUUCACGCAAUACAUGAGCGUGAGCCAUGGAUAUAGCACUAUAGGUGGAAUAGAGUAUAAUGAUGGGGGUUAUGUGGAGAAGAAAAAAAGGAGAAAGUCUCACAUUGACGCGGCUAAUCAACGGGCUAGGGAGAUGCCCAUCAAUUGAUGUCAAUGCAAGGAGUAGGGAUUGCCAUGCAACGGAUGCACUAGAGCUAUAAAUGUAUGAAAUCUCAACAAAAGAAACUAAGUGGGUGUGCAUCCAACUUGCUUGCUCGUGAAGACCUAGGGCAUUUGAGGAAGCCCAUUGUUGGAAUAUACAAGCCAAGUUCUAUAAUGAAAAAUUCCCACUAGUAUAUGAAAGUGACAAAACAAGAGACUCUCUAUCAUAAAGAUCAUGGUGCUACUUUGAAGCACAAGUGUGGGAAAAAAGGAUAGUAGCAUUGUCCCUUUUUAUUUCUUUUUUGGGCGUUUCUCUUUUUUAUUUGGCCUUUCUCCCUUUUUUUAUUUGGGACAAUGGUCUAUUAAUGAUGAUCAUCACACUUAUAUUUAUUUACAACUCAAUGAUUACAACUCGAUACUAGAACAAAAUAUGACUCUAUCUAAAUGCCUCCGGCGGUGUACCGGGAUGGGCAAUGAAUCAAGAGUGACAUGUAUGAUAAAUUAUGCAUGGUGGCUUUGCCACAAAUACGAUGUCAACUAUAUGAUCAUGCAAGGCAAUAUGACAAUGAUGAAGCGUGUCAUAAUAAAUGAAAUGGUGGAAAGUUGCAUGGCAAUAUAUCUCGAAAUGGCUAUGGAAAUGCCAUAAUAGGUAGGUAUAGUGGCUAUUUUGAGGAAGAUAUAAGGAGUUUUAUGUGUGAUAGAGCGUAUCAUAUCACGGGGUUUGGAUGCACCGGUGAAGUUUGCACCAACUCUCAAGGUGAGAAAGGGCAAUGCAUGGUACCGAAGAGGCUAGCAAUGAUGGAAAGGUGAGAGUGCGUAUAAUCCAUGGACUCAACAUUAGUCAUAAAGAACUCACAUACUUAUUGCAAAAAUCUACAAGUCAUCAAAAACCAAGCAUUACGUGCAUGCUCCUAGGGGGAUAGAUUGGUAAGAAAAGACCAUCACUCGUCCCCGACCGCCACUCAUAAGGAUGACAAUCAAAGAACACCUCAUGCUUCAAAUUUGUUACACAACGUUUACCAUACAUGCAUGCUACGGGACUUGCAAACUUCAACAUAAGUAUUUCUCAAAUUCACAACUAAUCAACUAACACGACUCUAAGAUUACCAUCUUCAUAUCUCAAAACAAUCAUCAAGUAUCAAACUUCUCAUAGUAUUCAAUGCACUUUUUAUGAAAGUUUUUAUUAUACCCACCUUGGAUGCCUAUCAUAUUAGGACUAAUUUUAUAGCCAAAGUAAAUUACCAUGCUGUUCUAAAGGACUCUCAAAAUGAUAUAAGUGAAGCAUGAGAGAUCAAUAAUUUCUAUUAAAUAAAACCACCACCGUGCUCUAAAAGAUAUAAUUGAAGCACUAGAGCAAAAUUAUCUAGCUCAAAAGAUAUAAGUGAAGCACAUAGAGUAUUCUAAUAAAUUCCGAUUCAUGUGUGUCUCUCAAAAAAGGUGUGUACAGCAAGGAUGAUUGUGGUAAACUAAAAAGAAAAGACUCAAAUCAUAUAAGACGCUCCAAGCAAAACACAUAUCAUGUGGUGAAUAAAAAUAUAGCCUCAAGUAGAGUUACCGAUAGACGAAGACGAAAGAGGGGAUUCCUUCCGGGGCAUCCCCAAGCUUAGGCUUUUGGUUGUCCUUGAAUUUUACCUUGGGGUGCCUUGGGCAUCCCCAAUAGUAGGAUCUUGCCACUCCUUAUUCCAUGAUCCAUCAAAUCUUUACCCAAAACUUGGAAACUUCACAACACAAAACUCGACAGAAAAAUCUCAUGAGGUCCGUUAGCGAAAGAAAACAAACCACCACUUCAAGGUACUAUAAUGAACUCAUUCUUUAUUUAUAUUGGUGUUAAACCUACUGUAUUCCAACUUAUCUAUGGUUUAUACCCUCCUAUACUAGCCAUAGAUUCAUCAAAAUAAGCAAACAACACACGAAAAACAGAAUCUGUCAAAAACAGAACAGUCUGUAGUAAUCUGUAUCAAACGUAUACUUCUGGAACUCCAAAAAUUCUGAAAUAAAUUUCUGGACGUGAGGAAAUUUUAUAUUAAUCAUCUUCAAAAAUAAUAAACCUAAAAGCACUCUCCAGUAAAAAAAUGGCAUCUAAUCUCGUGAGUGCUAAAGUUUCUGUUUUUUACAGCAAGAUCAUAAAGACUUCACCCAAGUCUUCCCAAAGGUUCUACUUGGCACAAACACUAAUUAAAACAUGAAACCACAUCUAAACAGAAGCUAGAUGAAUUAUUUAUUACUAAACAGAACCAAAAAUCAAGAAACAAAAAUAAAAUUUGGUUGCCUCCCAACAAGCGCUAUCGUUUAACGCCCCUAGCUAGGCAAAAAGGCAAGGAUAGAUCUAGGUAUUACCAUCUUUGGUAUGCAAUACAUAAGUGGCUCCCAUAAUAGAUUCAUAAGGUAAUUUUAUUUUCUUUCUAGGAAAGUGUUCUAUGCCUUUCCUUAACGGAAAUUGGAAUCUAAUAUUUCCUUCUUUCAUAUCAAUAAUUGCACCAAUCGUUCUAAGGAAAGGUCUACCAAGAAUAAUAGGACAUGUAGGAUUGCAAUCUAUAUCAAGAACAAUGAAAUCUGUGGGCACAUAAUUCCUAUUUGCAACAAUAAGAACAUCCUUAAUUCUCCCCAUAGGUUUCUUAAUGGUGGAAUCCGCAAGGUGCAAAUUUAAAGAUCAAUCAUCAAAUUCACAGAAACCUAAUACAUCAAACAAAGUUUUUGGAAUCGUGGAAACACUAGCACCCAAAUCACAUAAAGCAUAGCAUUCAUGAUCUUUAAUUUUAAUUAUAAUAGUAGGUUCCCACUCAUCAUAAAGUUUUCUAGGGAUAGAAACUUCUAAUUCAAGCUUUUCUUCAUAAGAUUGCAUUAAAGCAUCAACGAUAUGUUUGGUAAAAGCUUUAUUUUGACUAUAAGCAUGAGGAGAAUUUAACACGGAUUGCAACAAGGAAAUACAAUCUAUCAAAGAACAAUUAUCAUAAUUAGAUUCCUUGAAAUCCAAAAUAGUGUGUUCAUUGCUAUGUAAAGUUUUGACCUCUUCAAUCCCACUUUUACCAAUUUUUGCAUCAAGAUCUAAAAACUCCGAAUCAUUGGGACGCCUUUUAACUAAAGUUGACUCAUAUCCAGUCCCAUCAUUAUCAAGAUUCAUAUUGCAAAACAAAGAUUUAAUAGGGGACACAUCAAUCACUUUGAGAUCUUCAUCCCUAUUAUCAUGAAAACUAGAAGAACGCGCUUUUACAAAGCAAUCUUUCUUAGCACGCAUCCUAGCGGUUCUUUCCUUGCACUCGUCAAUGGAAAUUCUCAUGGCUUUGAGAGACUGAUUUAUAUCAUGCUUAGGAGGAAUAGAUCUAAGUUUCAAAGAAUCAACAUGAAGAGAAAUUCUAUCCAUGUUCCUAGCCAACUCAUCAAUCUUAGGCAAUUUUUCUUCAAGCACAACAUUGAAAUUCUUUUGAGAAAUCAUAAAUUCUUUAACACUAGUCUCAAAAUCAAAGGGCAUCUUAUUAAAAUUUCCAUAAGAGUUGUUGUAGGAAUUACCAUAAUUAUUAGAGGAAUUACUAGGAUACGGCCUAGGAUUAAAGUUUCCUCUAUAAGCGUUGUUACCAAAAUUGUUCCUACCAACAAAAUUCACAUCCAUAGAUUCAUUAUUAUGCUCAACCAAAGUAGACAAAGGCAUAUCAUUAGGAUAAAUAGGAGCACUCUUAUUAGCAAACAACUUCAUAAGUUCAUCCAUCUUUCCACUGAAAACAUUAAUCUCUUCUAUCGCAUGAACCUUUUUACUAGUAGAUCUUUUGGUGCGCCAUUGAGAAUAAUUAACCAUAAUAUUAUCUAGGAGUUUAGUAGCUUCUCCUAAAGUGAUUUCCAUAAAAGUGUCUCCCGCGGCCGAAUCUAAAAGAUUUCUAGAAGAAAAAUUCAAUCCGGCAUAAUUUUUUUGUAUAAUCAUCCAUAAAUUUAAACCAUGUGUAGGGCAAUUACGUAUCAUCGAUUUCAUCCUCUCCCAAGAUUGUGCAACAUGCUCAUGAUGAAGUUGCUUAAAUUUCAUAAUAUCGUUUCUAAGAGAGAUGAUCUUAGCGGGAGGAAAAUACUUAGAGAUAAAAGCAUCUUUGCACUUAUUCCCAGAAUCAAUACUAUUUUUAGGCAAAGACGAAAACCAAGUUUUAGCACGAUCUCUAAGAGAAAAUGAAAAUAGCUUCAAUUUAACAAUAUCAUUAUCCACAUCUUUCUUCUUUUGCAUAUCACACAAAUCAACAAAGUUGUUUAGAUGUGUAGCAGCAUCUUCACUAGGAAGGCCAGAGAGUUGAUCUUGCAUGACAAGAUUCAGCAAGGCAGCAUUAAUUUCACAAGAUUUAGCAUCGGUAAGAGGAGCAAUCGGAGUGCUAAGAAAAUCAUUAUUGUUGGUAUUGGAAAAGUCACACAAUUUAGUAUUGUCUUGAGCCAUCAUGACAAACGAUCCAACACACAGGCACACAAGAAGCAAGCGAAAAGAGAUGAACGGAAAAAGAGGGCGAAUAAAACGACAAGGGUGAAGUGGGGGAGAGGAAAACAAGAGGCAAAUGGCAAAUAAUGUAAUGCGAGGGAUAAGAGUUGUGAUGGGUACUUGGUAUGUCUUGACUUGACUUGACUUGGCGUAGAUCUCCCCGGCAACGGCGCCAGAAAUCCUUCUUGCUACCUCUUGAGCUUGCGUUGGUUUUUCCCUUGAAGAGGAAAGGGUGAUGCGGCAAAGUAGCGUAAGUAUUUCCCUCAGUUUUUGAGAACCAAAGUAUCAAUCCAGUAGGAGACUACACACAAGUCGCCUCGUACCUACACAAACAAAUAAGAACCUUGCAACCAACGCGAUAAAGGGUUUGUCAAUCCCUUCACGGCCACUUGCAAAAGUGAGAUCUAAUAGAGAUAAUAAGAUAAAUAUUUUUGGUAUUUUUAUGAUAUAGAUUGAAAGUAAAGAUUGCAAAGUAAAAAUAGAUUGGAAACUUAUAUGAUGGAAAAUAGACCCGGGGACCAUAGGUUUUACUAGUGGCUUCUCUCAAGAUAGCAUAAGUAUUAUGGUGGGUGAACAAAUUACUGUCGAGCAAUUGAUAGAAAAGUGCAUAGUUAUGAGAAUAUCUAGGCAUGAUCAUGUAUAUAGGCAUCACGUCCGCGACAAGUAGACCGAAACGAUUCUGCAUCUACUACUAUUACUCCACACAUCGACCGCUAUCCAACAUGCAUCUAGAGUAUUAAGUUCAUAAGAACAGAGUAACGCAUUAGGCAAGAUGACAUGAUAUAGAGGGAUAAACUCAAGCAAUAUGAUAUAAACCCCAUCUUUUUAUCCUCGAUAGCAACAAUACAAUACGUGCCUUGCUGCCCCUGCUGUCACUGGGAAAGGACACCGCAAGAUUAAACCCAAAGCUAAGCACUUCUCCCAUUGAAAGAAAUAUCAAUCUAGUAGGCCAAACCAAACUGAUAAUUCGAAGAGACUUGCAAAGAUAAGAAAUCAUACAUAAAAGAAUUCAGAGAAGAUUCAAAUAUUGUUCAAAGAUAAUCUUGAUCAUAAGCCCACAAUUCAUCCAUCUCGACAAACACACCGCAAAAAGAAUUACAUCGAAUAGAUCUCCAAUAAGAUCGAGGAGAACUUUGUAUUGAGAUCCAUAGAGAGAGAAGAAGCCAUCUAGCUAAUAACUAUGGACCCGAAGGUCUAUGGUAAACUACUCACACAUCGUCAGAGAGGCUAUGGUAUUGAUGUAGAAGCCCUCCGUGAUCGAUUCCCCCUCCGGCGAAGCGCCGAAAAAGGCCCCAAGAUGGUAUCUCACGGGUACAGAAGGUUGCGGCGGUGGAAAUAGGGUUUCGUGGUGCUCCUGGAUGUUUUCGGUGUAUAUGGGUAUAUAUAGGCACUACAAAAAAAAGACACAUCCGUGACAUUUUGGGCCGAACGAAUUUUUUUUCUAUCAUACUUAUGACACUUCUAUGACGAUAAUUGUGACAAAACCCAGUAUCAUCAUAGAUGUGGUGGGUCCUACUUCUAUGACAAAAAAUCAUGACAGAAAAUGGGCUUUUCAUCCUGGGCGGGCCGGAGACGCAGCUGCAUGACAUUCUUUGGGCCGUCCAUGACGGAAAAAACCGUGGUAGAAGCGAGGGCGAGGAAAAUAUCGGGGUGUUCCCUAUUACGGUGGGUGGUCGGGGCCGAGCGAUGCACGUUUUUCUCGUACACGCACGCACGUGGGUGCGAGGCGCUGGGCUCUAACUGAACCCGAGUGAGGCGCUGGGCUCUAACUGAACCCGAGCGAUUGCACUGCAGGCUACGCGUUACUGAACCCGAGCGAUCGAUUGAUGGCUGUUAACUGAACCCGAUCGAGCGAUUCCUUCGCUAUUGCUGCUAACUGAAGCCGAUCGAUGCUGCCUCUGGAUGAACAGUGUGCAUUGAUGGGGGGAUUUGGAUGAACAGUUCCCGGUGGGGGUGGAUGAACAGGACCCCGUGGUGUUGCCUCUGGAUGAACAGGACCCCGAUCGAUCGAGCCAGUUGGGGCUGGAUGAACAGGACCACCCCGUGGAGGACUGGAUGAACAGUAGACGGUGGAGGGCUGUAUGAACAGUAGCCCAUGGAGGGGUGGUUGAACAGGAGCCCGUGGAGAGGGCUGGUUGAACAGUAGCCGGUGGAGUAGCGCGCGGUGGAGGCUGGAUGAACAGGAGCCCGUGGAUGAACAAUCGUAGGUGGAGGCUGGAGGAGGUCGACGGUGGAUGAACAGUAGCCCGUGGAGGCUGGAGGGGGUCGACUGUGGAGAUGAACAGUAUCCCGUGGAGUCCUGUUUUGCGGUACGCCACACCCCUCCCGAUGAACAAGACCCCUGUUUCGACCGUAGCGCUCCAACACAAGUCUGUUUCCUCCGUUUUGCGGUACACCACACCCCUCCCGGUCAACAGGACCCCCGUUUCGACCGUAGGAGGUCCGUUUCCUCCAUUUUGCGGUACGCCAGACCCCUCCCGAUGAACAAGAUCCCGUUUCGACCGUGGCUGGUCGAACACAAGGCCAUCUCCUCCGUUCUGCGGUACGCCAGGCCUCGUUUCCAUCGGCUGUUCCGUCCAAGCCCUCCCGAUGAACACAACGACACAUUCCGUUCCGACCCAGCCGGUUGGCUCCCCAUGAACACGGCGACGACGCAGUUUCUCCGUUCCGACCCAGCCAUGUACACGAGCCCUGGCCGUACGUAUGCACGAGUAGGCGUUCGAGACCCUGCCCAUAUGUACGUAAGGGGCCGUAUUUUCUUUCUUGCACACUGGCCGCUGUACGUACGUGUACGUGCUACGUGUGCGCCUCUACUAUGACACGUGCGCGCCUAUACAUCGACCAGUAUGUACAUACACGUUCGCGACUAGAAUGACAACGCUACGUACGUUUCGACCAGGUGGGUCCCGACUGUCAGGCACUUCCUUGCCUGCGAAGAUGUAGCUGGUGGGUCCCAGCAGUCAGGGGGGCGAAUCAUUUUUUUUGCCCGGACGCACUUCCUUGCAUGCGAAGAUGUAGCUGGUAGGUCCCAGCAGUCAGGGGGAAACGUUUUUUUCGCAAAAUACAGCUGCCUGUCCGGUGGGUCCCUACUGUCAGGUGGAGGAAUAAUUAUUUUACGCGUAAUAAGGAGGCACUUCCUUGCGGCCGCCGUGGACCCAGCUGUCAGCCUCUCCACGUACAGUACUCUUCCAAUGGAAGUCGUUCCUUGACCAUGUUGACCACGCCGCGCCGAGAGCACCAGGGCGGUGGACGACGGCGAGGCCUAGGAAGGGGACGACGCGGAGCCGGGGAAGACGCGACACUGGAAGCCUGCGCGGAGAGGAGUACGAGGGUUUAUUGGUUCGGCUGCGGUGUGAGGCUGCCGUCGCCGCAGGGCCUGGCCAGCGGUGGGAAUAGUAGGGGGCGGUGAGGCCUCUGCGGCAGCACAACCGGUCACGGGAGGCAGGAGCAUGUGGCACGACCGGCGCUGCUUUGGGCGGCUGGAGCAAGAAGACCAGAGGUUGAAGAAGCACUACGGCCGUUGGAUGGACAUCGUACGAUCACUGGAGCUAGAAUCGUUCAUAUUGACUAAGUUGACAACGCACUCCAUCCCCGUCAACUUAGUAGGCCCACAAGUCAGCCUCCCACCAAGGUGGGUCCCAACUAGCAGGGGGAGUAUUCAUUUUUUUGUUCGUAAUAAGGAGGCACCUCCGGUGGGUCCGAGCUGACAGCGGGGGGAACGUUUUUUUUCACGAAAUACGUUGGCCCGUCCGGUGGGUCCCAGCAGUCAGGGGGAAACAUUUUUUUCGCCAAAUACGGUGGCCCGUCCGGUGGGUCCCUCCUGUCAGGUGGAGGAAUAAUUAUUUUCCGCGCAAUAAGGAGGCACUUCCUUGCGGCUGCCGUGGACCCAGCUGUCAGCCUCUCCACGUACAACACUCUUUUGAUGGAAGUCGUUCCUUGACCACGUUGACCACGCCGCGCCGAGAGCACCAGGGCAGUGGACGAUGUCGAGGCCUAGGAAGGGGACGACGCGGAGCCGGGGAAGACGUGGCAGUGGAUGCCCAUGUGGAGAGGAGUACGGGGGUUCACUGGUUUGGCUGCGGUGUGAGGCUGCCGUCGCCGCAGAAUAACAGGGGGUGUGGGUGAGUGGAGGGAUGCCCUGGCCAGCGGUGGGAGUAGUAGGGGGCGGUGAGGCCUGCGCGGCAGCACAGCCGACCACGGGAGGCAGGAGCAGGCGGCACGACCGGCGCUGCUUUGGGCGACUGGAGCAAGAAGACCAGAGGUUGAAGAAGCACGAUGACCGUUGGAUGGACAUCGUACGAUCACUGCAGCUAGAAUCGUUUAUAUUGACUAAGUUGACAAAGCCCUUGGUACGCGUCAACUUAGUAGGCCCACAGGUCAUCUUCCGAAACGGUGCGCCCCAAAUGUCAGGGGGAGGGUCAUUUUUUGGGCGGGUGAAGCUAGAAUAUCCGAGAUUGAAGAAGAAGAAGAACGACAUCCGUUGGAUGGACAUCCAACGGCCACUGCUGCUAGAACCGUGUGUUGACUAUAAGUUGACAAAGCCUUGCAUACGCGUCAACUCUCUUUUUUAGGGGACGCGUCAACUUAGUAAGGCCACAAGUGUGUGGCAGAGAACUUAUAGCCCAUUUGAGAUUUGUAAGAAUGUGCAGCCAAUUUUUGAAUUCUAACGGAAUUUACUACAGUCCAUUUACAGUUUAUUAAAAGUACAACCCAUUUCAACCAACCGUUCAAAACAGAAUUCAAUAAAAUUUCCCACAUUUUGAUGGGAUCCGAAAUAUUUUUAUCACCAAAUUUCUAGUCAAAUUAAAUACAAUUUCAAUAUAAACUUAUAUUACGUAAAAAUCCAACGAAAUAUUGCGCUCGCAAUAAUUAAUGAAAUUAAAAUUUUCAAUAUCCAAAAAUAAUAUUUUAUAAAGUAAUUACGUUUUUGGUGCAUUUUUUGUAGUUACUGCCCAGUUUUUAUAAUUACAUCCCAUUUAUUAUUUCUUAAAGCCCAUUUUCUUGUUAAGUCUAAUGCAUCCCUCCUAGGAAAGAUUUGCAGCCCAGCGGGGCGGAGAAUAACAACUUGACCUUGCCUGGGUAUUCCUAAAAAAAGUAUAGCUAGGCUAGCCAUUUUCAGCUUGAAAAAAACUAAUAUCUGGGCUGGAUAUCUGGCCUGGGCUAGACGGGCCACAGCCCGCCCAGUUAAUAGCUGCAGCGAUGUUUUCGUUGUUGUUGAGAGGAGAAAAAUUAAUAUCUGGGCUAAACAUCGCUCAAGAAAACUCUGCAGUGCUCACACCUCAAAAACACAAAUACUGCUCGAGCUGCUUGGUCCCAGUUGUCGGCCGCUUCUUGUGCAAUUCUCUCGUUUAUUAACUACAUAGGUUGACAAUGGUGUGGGACCGUGAUGUCAGGAAACCAGGAGGAAGCAAAAAAAAUUAUAGUUUUAUAUACUAAUAAGGAGUCACUUGCGUACGUGCGGCUAUGGCCCUGGUGGGUCCCCACUAUCAUCCUCUCCAAGUAAAGUCAUCUCCUCAUCCUCAUGUCCGUUGACCAUGUUGACAACGCGAGACGGCGGCGCCACGGCGAGUGCAACAACUCGAAGGACGACGGAGAGGGCCUCGCGGGCCCUAUGGAUGGUCUGAUACAACGCCCACUGCUCAUUCGGGAAGCCAGGAUCAUAGGGCCACAUGUCCGCGAUGGCAUUGUCGUUCGCUUGUUCACCGGUGCUUGUUGAGGAGAUGGAGGUUGCAGCACAGGUCCUCCUGUGCUGGUAGCUCUUCCGCCAUUAGGGCGUCGAAGUGCGGCCGCACCUGCUCUAUGGUGAACACGGCAUGAACUGGCUUGGACAGUGGCACCGGUUCCUGGUCGGAAGCUACGUCCAUCGUAUGAUUGUCGUCGCUCAGCUCGGCGAGGUAGCUGGCGAGCCAGCAUGUCCGGCUGCUGGACCGACCCACUGCCAAGCACGAGUCUGACUGCCCUGGCCCACCCAGACCGCCUCCCUCGCCCGCGCGUGCUUUCCGCCCGAAACGGUCAGCGCCGCCCGCCCUGCUUCCCGGUGCAUGCGAUUGCUCCGCCUUCAAAAGACACAAGUGUCGUCCGUCCGUCCUUCUGCCGCCCACAUUAAUGAUAUGCGGUUGCUGAGGCGGCUACUCCGGCGCCACACGUCCGUCCCUCCGCCGCCCACCAUUGCUAUAUAAACUGCUGCGUCGGCCAUAGCCGCAGUCAUCCGCAUCCGUUCCUAUUCUCCUGUCCACACCACUAUUGCCCACCAUGGCUUCCUCGUGCUCCAGCGCUCUUCGGGACGGGCGGACAACUGACCACAAGGAGAUGGCAACCAUUGCUGCCGACUGGCUGGCCGGCAGGCAGCCGGAGGACGAUGACGUCCCAAUAGAGAACAUGGUAGUCGACGAUCCGGUGCCAACCCCCUCCUCCGCGCCAUCCUCGCCGGUGCAUUGCACCAUGACCAUCGGCGAGGCCCGUGCCCAAUAUAUGGACACGGUGAGGCAGAAGCGUGAGGAGCAGUUCCGGGAGGCGCAGUCCGACGCCGCCUACAACCACCAUCUCCUCCAGGAGCACCUGCAGGCGGAGGAGCAGAUCGCCGCGAAGCGGGCAGAGCAGGAGGCGCUGCUCGACUCAUACCGCCCCGCCCGCGAGGGCCGCCUCGAGCGCUGGCGGUACCGCAUGCGGGUGGCGGAGGCUGCGGCCGCCUACAAAGAGGGCGAUGAAGCGGGCGAGGCGCUGUUUGGCGAGACUGAGGACGAGGCAGAGGACAAUGCUGGCUCCGACGAGUCCCCGCUCCGCUGGCAUCGGCGAGGCCGUGCUCCGCCGAGGCCCCGCGGCGCCAAUAACGAGGCAGAGGAAACCGCCAGCUCUGCCGAGGCCCCACCUUGCCGGCAACGAGGGGGAGGAUUUCCCCCGCUCUGCCGAGGCGCCGCCAGCUGGCAACGAGACAGAGGACAUCGCCGGCUCCGCCGAGGCCCCGCACCGCUGCCAACGAGGCCGGGCCACACAGAAAAUGAGGAAGAGUAGAACACGGUAGGUCGCCGCCGCUCGGGUCCAAGUAAGGCCACCGCUGCUACUCUCCGGUUGCUGGCACUGAGCUGUACAUCAUGGAGCAAUUCUAUGAUUACAGGAUGAUUGAAGAGCGCUCCAUGGUUGAGCAAGCUCAUGAGAUACAGUCAUUUGCUAGAGAACUUGAGCACUUCAGUUGUAUGCUACCGGACAAGUUUGUUGCCGGAGGUAUCAUCACUAAGCUUCCUCCUUCGUGGAUCUCAUUGGCACUCUUGAUGUGGAAGAAAAGGCGAGAGCAAAGGACACACGUGCUCGAGGAAUUGAGGGAGGAUCUAGUGCCAAUCUGGUACAGAAGAAGAACUUCCAGCCCCACAAGUUCAAGAACAAGGGCAAGUUUGAUGGUAAAGCAAAGUUUGAUGGGAAGAACAAGGCUGUGCAACACACGAACUUCAAGAAGAAGAAUGACAAGAAGAAAGGUGUUUGUCAUGUGGGGAUCCUGAUCAUUGGGCUCCUAGUUGCCCUAAUCGCUAUGACAAGCUAGGCAGGUUGACCACUGACGGCCGGUUAGCUUCUUGGCGGUGACGUGGAGUCGGAGAGCUAUGUUGGAGAAGGACGCUGCUUCUACUUAACUACUGGUGCAGUUGUCUUACUGACACGUGGGCCCAACAGGCAUCUGGGCCACAUGUCAGUUACGCAACUGCACCUGCAGUUAAGUCACUGAAGCUUCUGUUCGGCUCAGCUGGACACAGGUGGGUAGCUUCGGUUAAUUAAUUAUACCUCUAGCGCACCCCUUUUUAGUUGAAGAAUGUAUGAAAUGUAAUGAAAUUUGGCAUGUUUAUAUGAAAUCCGACCGUGUAUGAAUGAAUUUAUAUCGAUUAGUUCGAAUUCUUGUAUCACUGGCAUUGGAUGAACAUCCAAAACAAUACGUACUAGCAUUAUUCCCAGGGUGAUCACCUCGUUUGCAGCAGUUUCACAUGUAGUCCCUCCAGUCCUUUCUAGUCUGCAUACAAGUUUUGUGUGCAGUCAAAGUAUCUCUACUUUGACCAAUCUUAUAGAAAAAAGUAUGCACUUUCACAAUGUGCAAAGUAAAAAGGAACAGAAGGAGUACAAAGAGUUUGAGCAGCUUUUUAGCGUUCCUGUACAUUGCAAUCAAACACACAGGCCUGGCAAUUCAUAGAGAACAUUCAAAACAAUCGAUGAUUAUGCAUCUCAGCGAUUCACAUGUCAGAGCCAAUAUUUACUUCACAACUAAAGAAUAAAGAAAAAAAAUGGAUCAACGCUGCUGACAGCAAAGGGCGUCCCAUUCGAAAAUAUCAAACGCAUGUCUUCUUGCUAAAAUCAAUGAGCAAAAUUUGACAAGGUUUUCCCAUUCCAAAAUAUCAAAUGCCUACGAUUGUGGAAUGGGCAGGGUUUGCCAUCAGUUCGGACAUUGACAUGGCACCUCGUGCUAAAUAAACCAGUUGUUCUUUUUGUGCAGUUCCACCAAAAUCAACCAAAUUCGCGCGUAGCUUGUAUGAUUUCUCCCUUAUAUGUUGCAACGCCUUGAACUUAUCGGCACCUCCUUUCAUGUGGUGGAAAUGAAUGAUUCGAUGUAUUCAUGAAGAUUUUGUGCAGUUCCCAUUGAAAUCAAGCUGAGCACCCCUGUUUGCACAAAUACAAAAAAGUGAUUAGUAUAAAGCAAACUGUACUAUGAAUUGACAGUUUAAACAGGCACCUACAUGGUCCAUGUAGAGCACACUUUCAGAAAAAUGGAACUCACCGGAAAGAAUCCUAGAACAACAUUGUACUCGCGCAUCACAGCAAGAAAAUGGAGAUUUGUCAGUCCUUCUGAGCUGAAGUUAGUUUGGUCUUGUGGGGGGUAAUGUAACCAUCCUUCAACUGCUCCUUCUGAUGAGAAGAUAGACAUGGCUUCUUCAUCCUGGCAUAAUCGGAACUAGUCACUUCACGUACUCCAUAUUCUUCUUCAGAGGAGGAUGAUCCUGUUGUGCAAAGACAAGAUGAUAACUAAAUGCUAGCAUCCUUGUUUGCUCAAAAAAAAGGAAAGGAAAUAUUUAAAACAACAUAGAUGAAGCACUUCUCAAGGAUAAUACCACUUUUUGAUGACAGUAUCUAAACAGUAGCACAACACCAAUAGAGAUGACAAAGCUCAAUCAUAUGGAUUAAAUUGGUGGGCGAGUACCAACCUUUGUUAGGAGGCUUAUUGUGUAGAGCAUACAGAUGAAGCACUUCUCCGGAACCAUCUGUUGCUAUCUACUGUGAUGGCCAUGCUUACUAUAUACUCCUCGAUUAGAUUAAUGUUUCCAACAUCUUCUUGUGCAGUUCCACUAAAAUAUAUGGUAUCUUCAAAGAAGAUCCCUGUUUGCACAAGUAGAGAUAAUUACAUAUUACAUUAAGAGUGGCAUCAAAUCAGUGGCAAAACAAUUGCUCGUUCCAGCCAUAGCAAUAAAUUAAGAUGCAAAACUAUAUCAUUAUUUGUGUCAUCACAGUUCCAGUGCUUCAUUACAUCACCAGGAGUUGAUUUUUGUUUUUCUUCCACUUGUUCUUCCCCUUCAUCACUUGGUUCAAUAACAGACAAGCUUCACCUUCAAUGUAAGAUUUGGCAUGUCAAUUAGGUUGCACAAGUAUAGCACUAAACAAUGACAUUAAUUUUCUGAUGAAAGUGGCAAAAUACAGGCCAACAGUUGUGAAAUAUCCUUAUCUUACCUCAAUGGGAUAUUGCGGUGCACAUACAGAUUGGAAGUCUUGUCUCCAUUUUUGUAGUUCACUAAAAUCAAGCAACAUUACCGUACAAGUAGCACAACAUAUGAAAGCACACUGCAGAAUCAUGUGAAAGAAGGCUAGUACUGACCUCUCAUGAUGCAGAAUUCAAACAACUCACAAGAAGUAGAUCUGAACCAAAUUUGCCAACACGAAUAGGAAGUAAGAUCUCCUCUUGUGCAGUUCCACUAAGAUCAAGCAAUCAAGCAACGUUGUCGGUGUGACAUUUUGGUUGAACUGCACAAAACACUCUUAAAACAAAAGUGUUUUGUGCAGUGCAACAAAAGGUCACAAUGGCAACGAGGUGAAGUAGAUAACCCUGUUUACACAGAGGUGCAAAGGAAACAACUAGUGGUCAAUAAUGGUGGAUGACACAGAAGCCAACAAAAAGAAGCAUCUACCUUAUCUAAAUGGGAAAGAAAGCAAGACAGUAGCAUUUCUCAAACGGUGGCAUUGAUUAAUAUUAACAGAGAGAUUAUAUUAACAAUAAAAUUCGUUAAACAUGUAAUUUGCUUUUAACUGUGGCAUUGCAUCAAUUUUCCAGCGGCAUUAUUAGAGGGUGUUUGUUUAUAGGGACAUUUUGGUGGAGGGACUAAAAAAACUCUGUGUCAGUCCCAUCUAAACCAAACAGGAGGGACUUUUAGGGACUAAAAGGGGCAUCUGGGACUAAAGAAAGAAGACCCCGAGGGAGAGUCUUUUUGGGACUUUUUCCAACAGUUGCCCCUGCCACGCAUCGCACCUUGUCUCUAUUAUUUCAUUACUAGGGGUAACAUGGUCUUUUAGCAUGUCAUUUAAUAACCUAUAGUCCAUGUUUAGUCCCUGGAACCAAGCAGGUAGGGACUAGGGAGUUUUUAACCAAAUAGGGCCUUAGAUUAACAACAGCUAAAGAGUUGCACGGGACAGUGGACGCACCAGCACCAUGUGCAUCUAUCGAUGUACUGGGGUGAUGCACAGUCUAUUAUAACAAAGAACAAACAACCAAGGAGCAUAUUUGUGUUGGUCCCAGUUUUGUUAUCUUUAGACACCUUUCCCUAUGUGGGCGCAGCAAAUCUAGUCCUGCUCAAACUCUACAGCCUUGUCCCCCAAAACAAAAGAUCAGUUUGUUACAGAUGUGCGUACUGCGUUUGUCAUUGUUUCCCCUUUUCGACCAACGUAGGUGCUGGAUAGCCAGUCUGUACUAGUACUUUCCCCACUUCCUUUCCUCUGUGAACCACGUCCUAGAUUUAUGCUAUACGACUUUCCCCACUACUUUCCCCCAUUCCUGUCCUCUUUUAACCACGUCUUAGAUUCAUGCGAUACAACUUUCCCCACUACUUUCCCCCUUCCUUUCCUUUUUUAACCACGUCCUAGAUUCAUGCUAUACAAUUUUCCCACUACUUUCCCCCAUUCCUUUCCUCUUUGAACCAUGUCCUAGAUUCAUGGUAUACAACUUUCCCCACUACUUUCCUGUUUGAUCCAACACCUAGAUUCGAGUGCAGAAGCGGAAAAAGCCCACAUGCAGCUAGAGCAAUGCAUGUGGGACAAGUAAAUUAUACCUUAAGGUUCUUGGGGUGUGGUUCGGUGGGCGACCGGAGGCAGUUCGACCCACACUAUGUACAACGGCGAAGAAGAAGGGGUCGGAGGCCCUCCCGCGCCGCCGCUGGGUGAAAGUGAACAGCUGCGCUGGUAGUGGAUUCCUCCCUCGCCGACGGCGAUAGCGUUAAGCCUCCUUCCCUUCCCGGCGGAUGGAUCCUGCCGGCUCUUUGACCAGCAGUGAGGGGAGAGAGAGAGGCCAACGAAGUCUUGUUUAGAUCUAGAGAGGGUGAGAGAGUGUGAAGAGAGCAACUACAAGCAGGCCAGCAGUGAGGAGAGAGAGAGGCCAACGAAGUCUUGUUUAGAUCUGGAGAGGGUGAGAGAUUGUGAAGAGAGCAACUACAAGCGCUGAGGCUCCAGCGUGUAUAUAUAUACUGGAGAGAGUGUGAAGAGUGCAAACCCUAGAAAACAAGUGCCGGGGCUGCAGCUUAUACAUGAUGAGGUGAUUAUACGGUCACUAGGAGAUCGUAUAGCUCCGUAUCCAUCCAUUUUGACCAGUCAAAGAAUCCUCCUGGCACGAAUUAUGCUCAAGUGUUCGAACCCGAGACCUCAAGUUUGAUGAGCGAAUAGGCUAACCAGCUACACAACCCUCCCGUUAUGUUCAACGAGAGGAAAAUAACCUUUUAUACAUUCCUGCAUUCGUGUGACAAGCAUGCCGUGUUUUGUUGUGUGGGAGUCAUUGGGAUUUAAAUCAUAAUCGUGUCAUGUGGCUUUGGUGGUAAGACUAUCCACAGUGGUGCAGAAAUAAUGCAGCCUUAGUCACCUUACCUCUCUCCACGUAGUACAUUGGGUCCCACCAGUCAGAGGGUGAAACAAACAAAUUAAUAAGAAAAAUUAAAAGCGCCAGCGGUGUAUCUUACCUCACACAUCUCGCUACUGCUCGGGAACACUGUCCAAUUGAUCCCUCUGUUCGCUCACGUACUAUUUUAAGUGAAUCCUUAUUAUAACAUGCACACAAUUUUGGGCACUUGUAUUCGACCUAAGUCAGUGUGCCACCGUAUCUCGUAUGACUCCCUCUGUCUACGUGUAAUAAGUCACGUUAGAAGGUGCAGCGGGACCAAGGUGCAAGCAGAUUGGAGGAGAAGGAGAAACUUGACCGGUCAUUCCUCCAAUUAAAGCCCUGAUUUUUGUCUCUAAACGCAACAAUUAAUCCAAACAACUAAGAGAUGCCGUUUUAGCUACCAUGCAGGGCCACGUAUUAACUCGCAUGCAAGCCGACUUUGAUUUCUUAACUGAUCAACGCGUACUUGCGCUCCAUGCAUUGGGUUUCCCGGGGAGAUAACAAGGCAGAGUAAGGAGCGUUUGGUUACAUUGCAUAGGCUGGUCAUAGUGGUGAGUAACUUGGACUAGUACAACAUGCAUAUGUUACUAGUCUUUGUUACUACUACGCGAAGUUUGCCAUCGGAAGAGAGCUGAUCUGGCUCUCCUGAGCUAGCAAGGUUUUUCUAUCCCACCCAAGCUAGCUGGCCCACAAAAGCUAACAUAUUUUAACAGUUCCAAACGCCUAACAUUGCCCGGCUAUGCUAUAAGCUAUUCUUGCUAAGGAUCCAAAUGCUCCCUAAGUAACAACGCUCGCUAGCAACAAGGCCAGGAGGGGAUUGAGAUGCGAAGUUAAUGGACGAUGCCUAACCAUUUUGGGAAUAUCUGAUUUCCGUAGGAUGACUUAACACCUAGACGGAGGGAGUACUACUCCUCAGUCCAGGUUUGAUGGAAUAUUCGUCACCUCUUCUCUUCUUGUACAUACUCCAUUUAUAUCUCACUUCCUGUGGCUUCGCACUCGCACGAUUUUCCUAUUCUAUGAACCUAUGUGUGCGUGUGCGUGUGCGUGUGUGUGUUUAACAGCAUGUGUGUGUUAGAGAGAGCGACAGAUCGACCUACUCCUACAGAGAGAUGGUGUGUAGUGUACGAUUUUAGCCGCGAGAGUUGGUGCAUCCUCUCGUUUCCGGGCGUCCGGUAGGGACAGGCGGACAGCUGCCACGCCCGCUCCUGACCAGCCUGGCCCACCCAAAGCCCCUCCAUCACCCGCGCGCGCUUCCCGCCCGAAACGGUCAGCGCCGCUCCAAAGAAUCGGUGCCGCAUUCAUGCUCGGGCAGAGCGGACACGACCUCUCACUGGCGCCUGCGUUGAAGGGAGAAGCGGAUUCAAGAGUGAUGGCUGCUUCGUCCGUCUAACUUACUGCUGGGUCUAUGUGAUUUGACGGCUCAUUGGUCAUUAUUACUGAGGUGGUAGGACUGCUGGAUGUCCCACGCUUUCGGCGAAAGGAGGUACUACUAGAUUACAAUUUUCUCCAUUCUUACAACGGAGGAGUGCAAGAGCAGUGAAAACACGCAGGCUCAGUGAUUACAUGGCCCACCUCACACUAUCACCAUAUUUUCUGGACACCGUGUGACACCUAACUCUUUACAUAGUACUCCCUCCGUUCCUAAAUAUAAGUCUUUGUAGAGAUUCCACUAGGUGGACUACAUACGGAACAAAAUGAAUGAAUCUACACUUAAAAUGCAUCUAUAUACAUCCAUAUGUGGUUCAUGGUGAAAUCUCUACAAAGACUUAUAUUUAGGAACGGAGGAAGUACUUGUAUAGUACGUACUGUAAUUUGUCAGCGAGAUAGUACAAUGCUAUGAAGCUUCCAGCUUCUGUUACAUGUAUCUUGCGUCCAAGGUUGCCCGUUGCAACAUUUCAUCAAAUACAAAGGAGACUAACAUGCAUGCUAUUGCAUCUCAAUGAUUGACAGAUCAUAGCAAAUAUGUACUCCCCUCGUUCCAAAAUAAGUGUCUCAACUUUAUGCUACAUACGGAACAAAAUGAGUGAAUCUACACUCUAAAAUACGUCUAUAUACAUCAGUGUUUGGAGUAUGUACUAGUAGUUCAUAUUGAAAUCUACUAAAGGACAUAUAUAUUCCAAACAAUAUGAUAAUCUCUCUAACCAUGGUAGUAGGGAUGAGGAGUAAACGGAGGGAGUAGUAAAAUUUUCUCCUCGUCCUGCGAGCCACCGCGAGCGUGGGCCAGGGAGUAGGCGUAAGGCGUACAAUACUACUACUACUCAUGCAGUCCCUAGCCAGUGAAACAGAGACAUCUAAAGAAAAACACGAUCCAUGCAGUCCCUAGCCCUUGAACUGUAAACCCUAACCAGGCUUUAAUUUGCUGGCAACGUUGGAACUUCCUAAGAAAUGAAGUUCGCAACCCUUUGACCAUCGGAUCAUUUUGUGCAGUUUCACCAAAAUCGAGAUGAGCAUCCCUCUGGCAAAGAAAUUGAAGAAGCGUGAUUAGAAUAAGAUUAAUGGGACUAGUUGAUGAGACAUAAACUCAUCACAAAUACAGUACGUAGAAGCUAGUAGAGGUAUGUGCGGGGCAAAGAAGUAGAGAAAUAUCCACAUUGAGUGAUGUGGGCAGCUGGAGUAGUGGUGCAAGCCGGCUGUAAAGGUAGUUGUACCCGAGGGAUGUCGGGACGUAGCUCAACCUAGAGGAGGGCGGCGGGAGGAGGCAACUACCCACGUCGCGGCAGUGAGCAAUGGACGAAGGCAACCUCACCGGCUUUGUGAGAGAGAAUGGCGGGGACCCCUGACCGGGACGUGCCUACAGUGGGUUUUCACCGUCGGGGACGGCGACCGCAUCUACACUAAGCAUCCACCCCUUCCCCCGGCGGACAUGAUCCGCCGGGAUGUUAGAGAUGUGGCCACAGUGGUUUUGUGCGAGAGAGUGUGAAAACUGAAGAGAGCAACCCCAACAAGCAACCGUGUAGGCUCGUCCUGCCUAUGUAUAUAGUGGAGCGGUUUCCUUUUCUCUCCAUAUGAACCUAUUUCUAUUGCGUACGUGCCACUGAAGAAAAAAAACUUUAUUUAUAAAUGACGCGGCACCUACUACUCGUUCUCCUAUAAACCUUGCGCUUGGCAUCUCCAAACUAUUAACCUUGCGAUUGGCUCUUCGCCUCUUCGGGAAGUCGAGCAAUAAUGGUACUGCAGUAUAUAUCGUUCUGGCUAUAUGAGACCGAAUGAAUUGCUGCACGUCCACCACGUGGCGAGGGUCGAGGGGCGAGGGAGAGUGCGUACUAUUACGUCCGUUUCAAUAUGGACUACAUACGGAGCAAAAUGAGUGAAUCUACACUCUAAAAUACGUCCAUAUACAUCAGUUUUUGGAGUAUGUACUAGUAGUUCAUAUUGAAAUCUACUAAAGGACAUAUAUUCCAAACAAUAUGAUAAUCUCUCUAACCAAGGUAGGGACGAGGAGUAAACGGAGGGAGUACAGUAAAAUUUUCUCCUCGUCCUGCGAGCCACCGCGUGCGUGGGCGAGGGAGCAGGCGUAAGGCGUAGGUACUCAUUAGUAAGCAAGCUUCACCUCAUCCUGCGAGCCACCGCGCCCGUGGGCGGGGGAGACGGCGUACUAAGCAAGCUUCUCCUCGUUCUGCGAGUUGACGGGACACAUCAAAAGUACUCCAGUGUAUAGAGCCUUGCCUCUAAGGUAGGCCCCACAUGGUUUGCCUCUUUUUUAACAUAACGCGUCAAGUCACAAUUUGUAUGUUCACCCGUGGUAGACAAUCCUCCCUCCAUCUAGUGGACAACUAGUACACGUGUCAAAUUACCACGUGGGCUGCCUUUUCGUACAGAAAUGAGCUCCACUUUGUACCCACGCGGGUGUGGUUGGGAAAGAGACGGGAGUACGUGCGUCGUGCGUGCACCUCUUCUCUUCGUGCACGCCCCCCACCUACGUGUGUGUGUGUGUGUGAGAGAUACAAACCUAGACAAAUGGCUUGUGCGUUCGUGAGUGUUUUUUGUUUUGGGGGGCGGGGAGGUUGAUUUCGUGAAUGUAUUUGUGGGAAUAUGUGUCGAUGACAUCUCAAAGAAAAUUUUGCAUGCAAUGUGUGUGAAAUGGAGGCCUAUCCAUAUCAUAUUUAGAGGGUCGGGCGAUCCACGAGAAGAGAGGGAGGGGUCAUAGAUAUCGAUAGAGUCGAAGAGAGGAUCAAGUGGGUGGGUGCGAGAUCGAUGAAGAGAGCCAUCGAAAUUGUGUGUGUGUGCAAGUCAAAGAUAUAGGGCGACUGACCUUGCUACCGAAACGUCAGAGGGCACAGGUCAAGUUUGUGUGUGGCAGGGAGACAUGACUAGAGCGCUCAAUGUAUCGGUGUGUGUGUGGGGGAGGGGGUGGGGGGAGGGGUAGGAAGAGGCCUAACUAUAGAGGUAGAACGACUCGUAUAUGUGUUGAGAAGGAGAGACCCAACUAUGUCUUGAGGGAGAUCGGUCGACAUCCAUACAUAACUGAAGGACGGGAAAUAGGAUGGGACAGAGAGAGAGAGAGGAGAGAGAGAGGGAGGGAGAGGGGUAGAGUGCUGGAUGGGUGAUGGAGUUGCUUCUCGAAGAUGGUGGGAGAGGCCUACUAGAAAACUAAGGGUGGAACUGCAAUAUUAUCAAUAAGAGUGGGUAUGUGUGUCUGUGUGUGCCUGUGCAUGAUAGAUCUGUCGGGACACAUCCAUGGAUGAUGAAGGGGAACCAUGUGUUUGGUAACCAAACCUAACUAGAUUGGUAGAUCAAUUGUUGUUUGUCGGAGGAAGGGAGAGACAUAACUAAUGAGGUAGAUCGAUCGACGCAUGGGAAAAACCGAGUUAUAAGGACCUAGCUAGCUAUAUGUAUAGCGGGAGAUCGGUCGGUGUACGUCCAUUUGUUAGAGGCAAAUAAGGCCCGACGAGACGGAUAGACAGAGAGAAUGGAGCUAGGAGGUGGUGCAAGAGGCCCAGCUACUAGCUAGAUAGGGGGAGGAGUGUGCGGUUGUGAGAUCGAUGAAAAGAGGGGCGAGAGUUUACACGUGUGUGGGACCGUAUGAGAGACACGAGGCAAGGACACAUAAAGGAGGAGACUGAAGGUGCGUGUGUAUGUUGUAGGCAGACAUCGCUGGAGAGGUUUAUCGAUCGGUGUGUGUCGGAAAGGAGUUGUGGAGACUGUGGGAGAACGACCUAAAGAAAAAAAUGAAUGUGUGCAAUGGAUAGAAUGCUGAGGGAGGGGGAGGGCGAGGAGGGUGUGUGCAUGCACGAGAGAAAGUUAGUGGUAGCUACAAAGGUUAGAGGAUUGUGUGGGUGUAAGAGACUAACAAAGAUCAUAAUUUGAUAUGAAGUGGAUUCAUAUAUUUGAAUAGGAGAUCAUAGUGUUUUAAACAUAUGCAUGCAUGAAUAUAGCGGUGAUACGCGUGUUGUGGUUUUGCACAUGUUAUACCAUAAUGUGAUAAUGCAUGGCGUUUGCAACUCACAGCUAAAUGUCAAACAAUCUAAACCAUACUAUACAUCGAACAAUCUCACAUUUUAUUUGAAUUUGUGAUAAUGUGUGGCGUUUGCAGCUUACAACUCAAUAUCGAACAAUCUAAACAAUACUAUAUAUCAAACAUUCUCACAUUUUAUUUGAAUUUGUGGUAAUGUGUGGUGUUUGCAACUCACAUCUAAAUACUUGUAGGCGUAGGGGGCAGGGCACCAUACAUAAUGUGAUAAACACAUUAUACAUAUGAUACAUGGUUUAGUUUGUGAAGGUCUAGCUAGAGCUUGAAAUGUACUAUGAUUUGAAAUCAACAUAAAGUGGAUUCAAAAAAUCGAGUUCGAGUUCAUAUAGUACACAUAGUUCAUAUGUAACUCGAGACUAAUCAUGUGGUGUGCUGUGAAGAUAAUACACAAACGAUGGUUUAACUUGACAAUAAUGACGAUUGUAGAUCUUAUUAAAACAGAGAAACGAAUUCAAAUGCUUUGACUUCACAACAUUCAUUAUUGUAGAUCUUAUUCAAAUAGAGAAACGAAUUCAAAUUUAGUUCAUAUUGAAGCGGUAGUAUAUACGUUUGGAAUGCACUAAAACAUUCAUUUGAGUACUAGGUUGCAUGCGUUAUACACAUAGCGAAAUAUUUUAAUUGAACAUAACAUGAAUUCAAAGUUUUGAAUGACAUUUGUAGUGCGAAUUGAUUUGGUACAAUACACGUUAGGCUUGUCCGGAAAUUUCAACCCGCGCCUUGUUAGCUCGAAAUAUUUAAGAUAUAUCUUUGUCUCGUUGUGCUCCAACAACUCCCUCCAUCUCAACCCGCGCCUUGCUAUUCCAAAAUUACAACGCGCGCAAAAACUCCCACCUCCUGUGAAAUCCCGACACACGAAAUGCUCGUGAUACCCCUGAACCGAAAGAACCGCCUCAAAUCGGUGGGGGUACUUUCGUAACUUACCCCACAUUUCGGACAAGCGCGUCCCUAAGCCAUGGUUCCCCACUCCCAUCCCAUCCGCCCACCCAUUCGUACACCGAGGCCGGGAAAACCCGCGAAGCCCCACACCCUCCGCUGUCCGCCAACCAGCCGGAGCCUCUUCCCCGACGAUGUCGUCCACAGCAACACCUCGACGUCCCUCAUCCAUCGUACCGGAUGAGGAUCCGUCGUCGAUCUGGUCAUCCCGCCGGUUCUGCCACCCCGUCCUCCACCUCCAAGGAGCUGCCCCGACGUUCCCCUCGUCUUUCACGCCACCUCCAUCCCCACACCGCCGUCUUCACCUGCACCACCAGAAGAGCAUCAUCAUCACCAUUUCCUCGAAUGAAGCUGCGGCCUAAUCGGCGCCACCAAAGAGGUUGUACAGUAAUUGCCGCAUUUUCUUCUUGAUUCGAUCUCACGGUGCUGCCGACGCUUGGUCCCGAGCCGACACGGCGCGGCUCCAUCCACGGCGGCGUCGCUCCCUCGGUGGCGACGUCCACAUCAGUAGGAGUUGCUGCUGCUUUAGCUCUCGCUCGCGCGGCUGCUCUGCUCUUGCUCUUGGUCCACUGCUUGGUCUGCUCUUGCUCUUGCUCUUGCUCGCGUUGCUGCUCUCACUCUUGCUCUUGCUUGCGAUGCUGCUCCGAUUUAGCUACACUUCAGUCGACUGAAUCGACUUUUGGGUCAGUCGAUUUUCAGGGGUGGGGGGCUCGCCGGAGUUAAGGAAGAACCAGCCGCAACGGGGAGGGGGGCUCACCAGAGAGGUACCCCACUAUCUAUCUUAGGGUUCAGGGUGGGGCCAGUGGUCGCCAGCGGUGGUGGGGCGGUGGCGUGGGGAUCACCGGAGAAAAAGCUCGACACGGGGGGCCUAGAGGGAUGGCCGGGGCGGCGGCUGCUACCUCUUGAGCACUGCGUUUGUUUUCCCUUGAAGAGGAAAGGGUGAUGCAGCAAAGUAGCGUAAGUAUUUCCCUCAGUUUUUGAGAACCAAGGUAUCAAUCCAGUAGGAGGCCACGCACGAGUCCCUCGCACCUACACAAACAAAUAAAUCCUCGCACCCAACGCGAUAAGGGGUUGUCAAUCCCUACACGAACACUUACGAGAGUGAGAUCUGAUAGAUAUGAUAAGAUAAUAUUUUUGGUAUUUUUAUGAUAAAGAUGCAAAGUAAAGAAAGUAAAAUAAAAACGACGCUAGAAAUAACUUGUUGACGGGAGAUUAAUAUGAUGGAAAAUAGACCCGGGGGCCAUAGGUUUCACUAGUGGCUUCUCUCAUGAGCAUAAAUAUUACGGUGGGUGAACAAAUUACUGUUGAGCAAUUGACAGAAUUGAGCAUAGUUUUGAGAAUAUCUAGGUAUGAUCAUGUAUAUAGGCAUCACGUCCAAGACAAGUAGACCGACUCCUGCCUGCAUCUACUACUAUUACUCCACACAUCGACCGCUAUCUAGCAUGCAUCUAGAGUAUUAAGUUCAGAAGAACAGAGUAACGCCUUAAUUAAGAUGACAUGAUGUAGAGGGAUAAACUCAUGCAAUAUGAUAUAAACCCCAUCUUGUUAUCCUCGAUGACAACAAUACAAUACGUGCCUUGCUGCCCCUACUGUCACUAGGAAAGGACACCGCAAGAUUGAACCCAAAGCUAAGCACUUCUCCCAUUGCAAGAAAGAUCAAUCUAGUAGGCCAAACCAAACUGAUAAUUCGAAGAGACUUGCAAAGAUAACCAAUCAUACAUAAAAGAAUUCAAAGAAGAUUCAAAUAUUGUUCAUAGAUAAACUUGAUCAUAAACCCACAAUUCAUCGGUCUCAACAAACACACCGCAAAAGAAGAUUACAUCGAAUAGAUCUCCACGAGAGAGGGGGAGAACAUUGUAUUGAGAUCCAAAAAGAGAGAAGAAUCCAUCUAGCUAAUAACUAUGGACCCGAAGGUCUGAGGUAAACUACUCACACAUCAUCGGAGAGGCUAUGGUGUUGAUGUAGAAGCCCUCCGUGAUCGAUGCCCCCUCCGGCGAAGCUCCGGAACAGGCCUGUAACGCCCCGGAUCCGUUGCGCCAGGUGUCUGCCAGUUAUUUGCUGUCCUUGCCUUGUCAUUUCCUUGUGUGUUGCAUUUUGCCAUAUCAUCAUCUGCAUUUCAUAUCAUGUGCAUUGCAUUUGUAUACGUGUUCGUCUCAUGCAUCCGAGCAUUUUCCCCGUUGUCCGUUUUGCAAUCCGGCACUCCCAUCUCCUCCGGCGCACCCCUCUUCUUUCUUUUCGUGAGCGGGUGUCAAACGUUCUCGGAAUGGACCGAGUCUUGUCAAGUGGACUUGGUAUACUACCGCUAGACCACCGGUCAAGUUUCGUUCCAUUUGGAGGUCGUUUGGUACUCCAACGGUUAACCGGGUAACCGCAAAGUCCGUUUGGGUGUUGCAGCAAAACCCCCCCUUCUAACAGCCCCAAAACCCCUCUAAGUCUCCGCCAUGCUCUGGGUCGUUCGAUCACGAUCGCGUGGGCGAAAACCGCACCUCGUUUGGACUCUCCUAGCUCCCUCUGCCUAUAUAUUUGCCCUCUCCCCCGAAAAUUCGCGGAUGAAACCCUAGCGUCUCCCUCCUCGCGCCGCCGGACAUGUCCGCGCCGCCGUCGGACACGUCCAGCCGCCGCCCCUCCGCGAAUCGCACGCCGCCACCUGUCCCUGGCCGCCGCCCCCGCCGCCGGCCCGUGCGAGCCCGUCGCNNNNNNNNNNNNNNNNNNNNNNNNNNNNNNNNNNNNNNNNNNNNNNNNNNNNNNNNNNNNNNNNNNNNNNNNNNNNNNNNNNNNNNNNNNNNNNNNNNNNNNNNNNNNNNNNNNNNNNNNNNNNNNNNNNNNNNNNNNNNNNNNNNNNNNNNNNNNNNNNNNNNNNNNNNNNNNNNNNNNNNNNNNNNNNNNNNNNNNNNNNNNNNNNNNNNNNNNNNNNNNNNNNNNNNNNNNNNNNNNNNNNNNNNNGGGCAAGCCGCGCCGGAUCCCGAUCGGGUCAACACCCCGCGUUGACUUCGCCCCCCCCUCGAGGUCGUUAUUUUUCCAAGUCCCCGGUUUUUCUUAAUAUGUGCAUUUGUUCGACCUAGCGUAACUUUCUGCUCUUAGAUCUAUUAUGCAUGUAUUAUAUAUCGAACUGUUCGUCUCGUGAUGCUCUACAUUUUGUUCCAUUGCACCAUGUUCAUUUGAGUCCAUCUUGAUGCCCAAAUCGUCGUUGCAAGAGUGCUAGUUGCUGUUGUCUGCUGAUUCUUAGCAGAACUUGGAGAUUUGUUAUUUUUGUUGCAUUUAAUGUGUGCAUCUUAUGAGUAUGGGCUCUACAUGUGUUUUGUUGUAUGCCAUGCCAUCUUUCGAGUGGUGUAUGCCAUGUAUUUUUGUGAUCUCUGUGGUGACUAGCACAAGCAUGCAAAGUAGGCUCCGUAAUGUUACUGAUUUCAGGGACUAGCACAAGUCUUUGUCUGCUGUUAUUUUGUUGCCAUGUAAACAUGAUGCUACAGAGAGAUCCAUGCAUAUUUUGGAGAUGUUCAGUAAGGAUAUUUUGUAGCUAUUGUUGUAAUUGAUCUAUUCCUGCCCUUGUUUGCAAUUAUGGAGUGCCAUAGCAUGACUCAAUCUUGCUCGACUUUUGCUAUAAAAUAUUUCUGGCAGAUUCUUAAUAUGAUAUGCAAUUUUGCCAAGCUUGUUGUAGUUGAUCCAUACAUGCUAUGCUUUUGUUCUUGCCAUGGCUAGCUUCAUAAACAUUCCAUCUUGUUGUAGGUAUGCUUGUUUUGUCAUGCAUUGCUUUAUGGUGAGUGCUUCAAGCUCACCAAGAUGCCUUCGUAUUAUUGUUUCUGCCAUGCUCUGUUUUCUGCUAAGUCUGGAACCUGAUAACGAAAGUUGCUAUGUUUACAUGCUUGCCAUCAUAUCUUCUGGUUCUUUUUGGCUUAUGCUCAGUGAGGGACUUUUGUAAUAUGCAUUUAGUAGAAUACUUCCAAGGCUUGUUCUGCUAUGUUAAGUUCCUGUAGCAUGUUGAUAUCGUGCUCUGAACAUUGCAACCUGAUGUUAUUUCUGUCAUGUCCAGUAAUUCAGCUAAGUCUGUGAACCUGUUAUUAUUUGCAAUCUUGCCAUGACCUUUUGAGCUUGCCCUAGUGAUUUCUGGAGAUAGCUCAGUGUUCAUGUUUUGUUGUGCUUUACCUGUAAAUCUUGUCCAUGCCUUUUGUUUUCAUGUUGAGUUGCUGUAGCAUAUUGUUUUGAUGCUUGCUAUAUGCCUAGUUGCUGUUUUGGGCAGAUUGUUGCUAUGUCUUGUUUGGAGUGUAUGUGUUGCACCAUUGCUCCGUUUCGAGCAUGCCCUAUAUGAAACUUGCUUAGUUUUGCAUGUAGUCUCAUAUUAUCAUGUUGCAUCCUUGUUUUGAGGUGUUUGCUUGAUGUUUGUAUGCAUUUUGCAUCAAUCCCAUGUUUAACUUGUUUUGCUCAUAUCUUCUAGGCCGUAGCUCCGAAUCUAAUGAACUUUAUAUGUAACUUGACUAGAAUUUCGUGUAGAUCAUCAUGGUGCUCUUUAACUUGCUGUUUAACAACUUCAACUUAAUGCUUCUUCAGUUCUGGACCAAUUUCGAAAUUUGCAUAUGAGGACUUACCGGAUUUGUUACAUGUUGUUGCCGGCCUCAUUUAAACUUGCUUUGAUGUGUUGUUCUUGUAUGCAUCAUCUCUUGUCAUGAGUAGCUUCAUGUAGCCUCGUCAUGCAUCAUACUUUGUUGAUUUUCAUGCCUUGUUCAUGUGUGGUGUGUUUACCUUGUUGUGUGCUUCUUCUCGAUAGUUCCCGUGUCGUUGCGAUCAUGAGGAUUCGUUCGUCUUCGUGGCUUCAUCUUCUUCAUGGACUCGUUCUUCUUCCUAGCGGGAUUUCAGGCAAGAUGACCGUCACCUUGGAUCUCAUUACUAUCAUUGCUAUGAUAGUUGCUUCGUUCUAUCGCUAUGCUGCGCUACCUAUUCACUUGCUCUUCAAGCCUCCCAAAUUGCCAUGAACCUCUAACCUUUGUCACCCUUCCUAGCAAACCGUUGUUUGGCUAUGUUACCGCUUUGCUCAGCCCCUCUUAUAGUGUUGCUAGCUGCAGGUGAAGAUGAAGAUUGCUCCAUGUUGGAUUAUGUUUAUGUUGGGAUAUCACAAUAUCUCUUAUAUUAUUAAUGCAUCUAUAUACUUGGUAAAGGGUGGAAGGCUCGGCCUUAUGCCUGGUGUUUUGUUCCACUCUUGCCGCUCUAGUUUCCGUCAUACCGGUGUUAUGUUCCCGGAUUUUGCGUUCCUUACACGGUUGGGUGAUUUAUGGGACCCCCUUGACAGUUCGCCUUGAAUAAAACUCUUCCAGCAAGGCCCAACCUUGGUUUUACCAUUUGCCUCACCACCACCUACUUUUCCCUUGGGAGUCGCUCUCUCGAGGGUCAUCUUUAUUUAGCCCCCCCGGGCCAAUGCUUGUCUAAGUGUUGGUCCGAACCAGAGCCCUUUGCAGCGCCACCUCGGGGAAACUUGAGGUCUAGUUUUAGUUGUACAGAUUGCUCAUCCGGUGUUGCCCUAAGAACGAGAUAUGUGCAGCUCCUAUCGGGAUGUCGGCGCAUCGGGCGGUCUUGCUGGUUUUGUUUUACCAUUGUCGAAAUGUCUUGUAACCGGGAUUCCGAGACUGAUUGGGUCUUCCCGGGAGAAGGAAUAUCCUUCGUUGACCGUGAGAGCUUAUAAUGGGCUAAGUUGGGACACCCCUGCAGGGUUUUAUCUUUCGAAAGCCGUGCCCAUGGUUAUGUGGCAGAUGGGAAUUUGUUAAUAUCCGGUUGUAGAGAACUUGACACUUGACCUUAAUUAAAACGCAUCAACCGGGUGUGUAGCUAUGAUGGUCUCUUCUCGGCGGAGUCUGGGAAGUGAACACGGUUUCUGGGUUAUGUUUGACGUAAGUAGGAGUUCAGGAUCACUUCUUGAUCAUUGCUAGUUUCACGACCGUUCCGUUGCUUCUCUUCUCGCUCUUCUUUGCGUAAGUUAGCCACCAUACUUGCUUAGUCGCUGCUGCAACCUCACCACCUUAUCCUUUCCAUUCCCUUUAAGCUUUGCUAGUCUUGAUACCCAUGGUAAUGGGAUUGCUGAGUCCUCGUGGCUCACAGAUUACUACACCACCAGCUGCAGGUACAGGUUUUGCGAUGAUCAUGAUGCGAGAGCGAUGUUUACUUGUUUGGAGUUCUUCUUCUGCUUAUUCUUCGAUCAGGGGAUAGGUUCCAGGUCGGCAGCCUGGGCUAGCAGGGUGGAUGUCGUUUGAGUUUCUGUUUAUGUUUCAUCCGUAGUCGGAUGUUGAUCUUAUGUAUGAUGUAUUGAUGUAUUCUUGCGGCAUUUGUAUGCCUUGUAUGUAUCCCCAAAUAUUAUGUAAUGUUGAUGUAAUGAUAUCCACCUUGCAAAAGCGUUUCAAUAUGCGGGUCUAUCCAUGGUGGGACCUUCGAGUUCCUUUAGGAUAGGGUCGCAUAUUGGGCGUGACAAGGCCCCAAGAUGGGAUCUCACGGGUAUAGAAGGUUGCGGCGGUGGAAUUAGGUUUUUGGCUCCGUAUCUGGUAGUUUGGGGGUACGUAGUAUAUAUAGGAGGAAGGAGUACGUCGGUGGAGCAACAGGGGGCCCACGAGGGUGGAGGGCGCGCCCCCCUACCUUGUGCCCUCCUGGUUGAUGUCUUGACAUAGGGUCCAAGUCCUCUGCAUCACGUUCGUUCCGAAAAUCACGUUCCCGAAGGUCUCAUUCCGUUUGGACUCCGUUUGAUAUUCUUUUUCUGCGAAACUCUGAAAUAGGAAAAAAACAGCAAUUCUGAGUUGGGCCUCCGGUUAAUAGGUUAGUCCCAAAAAUAAUAUAAAAGUGUAUAAUAAAGCCCAAUAAUGUCCAAAAUAGAAUAUAAUAUAGCAUGGAACAAUCAAAAAUUAUAGAUACGUUGGAGAUGUAUCAAGCAUCCCCAAGCUUAAUUCUUGCUCGUCCUCGAGUAAGUAAAUGAUAAAAACAAAAUUUUUGAUGUGGAAUGCUACUUGGCAUAAUUUAAAUGUAAUUCCUCUUAAUUGUGGUAUGAAUAUUCAGAUCCAAAAGAUUCAAGAUAAAAGUUCAAUAUUGACAUAAAAAUAAUAAUACUUCAAGCAUACUAACUAAGCAAUUAUGUCCUCUCAAAAUAACAUGGCCAAAGAGAGUUCAUCCCUAUAAAAUCAUAUAGUUUAGUCAUGCUCCAUUUUCGUCACACAAGAAUGCUCUCAUCAUGCACAACCCCGAUGGCAAGCCAAGCAAUUGUUUCAUACUUUAGUAAUGUCAAAGUUUUUCAACCUUCACGCAAUACAUGAGUGUGAGCCAUGGAUAUAGCACUAUGGGUGGAAUAGAAUAUAAUGAUGGGGGUUAUGUGGAGAAGACAAAAAGGGAGAAAGUCUCACAUCAACAAGGCUAAUCAAUGAGCUAUGGAGAUGCCCAUCGAUUGAUGUUAAUGCAAGGAGUAGGGAUUGCCAUGCAACGGAUGAACUAGAGCUAUAAAUAUAUGAAAGCUCAACAAAAGAAACUAAGUGGGUGUGCAUCCAAAUUGCUUGCUCACGAAGGCCUAAUGCAUUUGAGGAAGCCCAUUGUUGGAAUAUACAAGCCAAGUUGUAUAAUGAAAAAUUCCCACUAGUAUAUGAAAGUGACAAAACAAGAGACUCUCUAUCAUGAAGAUUAUGGUGCUACUUUGAAGCACAAGUGUGGUAAAAGGAUAGUAACAUUGUCCCUUCUCUCUUUUUCUCUCAUUUUUUUGGGCCUUCUCUUUUUUCUUAUGGCCUUUCUCUUUUUUUUAUUCCUCACUUGGGACAAUGCUCUAGAAAAUGAUGAUCAUCACACUUCUAUUUAUUUACAACUCGAUACUAGAACAAAGUAUGACUCUAUAUGAAUGCCUCCGGCGGUGUACCGGGAUAUGCAAUGAACCAAGAGUGAUAUGUAUGAAAAAAUUAUGAAUGGUGGCUUUGCCACAAAUACUAUGUCAACUACAUGAUCAUGCAAAGCAUUAUGACAAUGAUGAACGUGUCAUGAUAAACGAAACGGUGGAAAGUUGCAUGGCAAUAUAUCUCGGAAUGGCUAUGGAUAUGCCGUAAUAGGUAGGUAUGGUGGCUGUUUUGAGGAAGAUAUAAGGAGGUUUAUGUGUGAAAGAGCGUAUCAUAUCACAGGGUUUGGAUGCACCGGCGAAGUUUGCACCAACUCUCAAUGUGAGAAAGGGCAAUGCACGGUACCGAAGAGGCUAGCAAUGAUGGAAAGGUGAGAGUGCAUAUAAUCCAUGGACUCAACAUUAGUCAUAAAGAACUCGCAUACUUAUUGCAAAAAUCUACAAGUCAUAAAAAACCAAGCACUACGCGCAUGAUCCUAGGGGGAUAGAUUGGUAGGAAAAGACCAUCGCUCGUCCCCGACCGCCACUCAUAAGGAGGACAAUCAAAGAACACCUCAUGUUUCAAAUUUGUUACAUAACGUUUACCAAACGUGCAUGCUACGGGACUUGCAAACUUCAACACAAGUAUUUCUCAAAUUCACAACUACUCAACUAGCAAAACUUUGAUAUCACUACCUCCAUGUCUCAAAACAAUCAUCAAGCAUCAAACUUCUCUUAGUAUUCAACACACUCAUAAGAAAGUUUUUACUAGUCUUGGAUACCUAGCAUAUUAGGAUUAUUUAAGCAAAUUACCAUGCUGUUUAAGACUCUCAAAAUAAUCUAAGUGAAGCAUGAGAGAAUAAUAGUUUCUAUAAAACAAAACCACCACCGUGCUCUAAAAGAUAUAAGUGAAGUACUAGAGCAAAAACUAUAUAACUCAAAAGAUAUAAGUGAAGCACAUAGAGUAUUCUAAUAAUUUCAAAUUAUGUGUGUCUCUCUCAAAAGGUGUGUACAGCAAAGAUGAUUGUGGUAAACUAAAAAGCAAAGAAUCAAAUCAUACAAGACACUCCAAGCAAAACACAUAUCAUGUGGUGAAUAAAAAUAUAGCUCCAAGUAAAGUUACCGAUGGAAGUAGACGAAAGAGGGGAUGCCUUCCGGGGCAUCCCCAAGCUUUGGCUUUUAGGUGUCCUUAGAUUAUCUUGGGGUUCCAUGGGCAUCCCCAAGCUUAGGCUCUUUCCACUCCUUGUUCCAUAAUCCAUCAAAUCUUUUACCCGAAACUUGAAUACUUCACAACACAAAACUUAACAGAAAAUCUCGUGAGCUCCGUUAGCGAAAGAAAACAAAAGACCACUUCAAGGUACUGUAAUGAACUCAUUAUUUAUUUAUAUUGAUGUUAAACCUACUUUAUUCCAACUUCUCUAUGGUUUAUAAACUAUUUUACUAGCCAUAGAUUCAUCAAAAUAAGCAAACAACACACGAAAAACAGAAUCUGUCAAAAACAGAACAGUCUGUAGUAAUCUGUAACUAACGCAAACUUCUGGAACUCCAAAAAUUCAGACAAAAUAGGACGACCUAGAAAAUUUGCUUAUUGAUCAGAAGCAAUUGGAAUCAAUAUUUUAUCACGUUCUGGUGAUUUUUAACAAUUAUUUUUGUGAACAGAAAGUUUCUGGAAUUACAGCAAGAUCAAAUAACUAUCAUCCAAGAAGAUCCUAUAGGUUUAACUUGGAACAAACACUAAUUAAAACAUAAAAAGACAUAUAACCAGAGGCUAGAUCAUGGAUUUAUUCCUAAACAGAAGCAAAAAGCAAAAAAACUAAAAAUAAAAUUGGGUUGCCUCGCAACAAGCGCUAUCGUUUAACGCCCCUAGCUAGGCAUAAAAGCAAGGAUAGAUCUAGGUAUUGCCAUCUUUAGUAGGCAAUCCAUAAGUGGCUCUCAUAAUAGAUUAAUAUGGUAAUUUUAUUUUAUUUCUAUGGAAGUGUUCCACGCCCUUCCUUAACGGAAAUUGGAAUCUAAUAUUCCCUUCCUUCAUAUCAAUAAUUGCACCAAUCGUUCUAAGGAAAGGUCUACCAACAAUAAUAGGACAUGAAGGAUUGCAAUCUAUAUAAAGAACAAUAAAAUCUACGGGCACAUAGUUCCUAUUUGGAACAAUAAGAACAUCAUUAAUUCUUCCCAUAGGUUUCUUAAUAGUGGAAUCCGCAAGGUGCAAGUUUAGAGAGCAAUCAUCAAAAUCACGGAAGCCUAGCAAAUCGCACAAAGUCUUUGGAAUCGUGGAAACACUAGCACCCAAAUCACACAAAGCAUAGCAUUCAUGAUCUUUAAUUUUAAUUUUAAUAGUAGGUUCCCAUUCAUCAUAAAGUUUUCUAGGGAUAGAAACUUCCAACUCAAGUUUUUCUUCAUAAGAUUGCAUCAAAGCAUCAACGAUAUGUUUAGUAAAAGCUUUAUUUUGACUAUAAGCAUGAGGGGAAUUUAGCACGGAUUGCAACAAGGAAAUACAAUCUAUCAAGGAGCAAUUAUCAUCAUUAAAUUCCUUGAAAUCCAAAAUAGUGGGUUCAUUAAUAUCUAGAGUUUUGAUCUUUUCAACCCCACUUUUACCAAUUUUUGCAUCAAGAUCUAAAAACUCCGAAUUUUUGGAACGCCUUCUAGGUAAAGGUGGAUCAUAUUCAGUCCCAUCAUUAUCAAGAUUCAUAUUGCAAAACAAAGAUUUAAUAGGGGACACAUCAAUAACUUUUAGAUCUUCAUCUUUAUUUUCAUAGAAACUAGAAGAACACGCUUUCACAAAGCAAUCUUUCUUAGCACGCAUCCUAGCGGUUCUUUCUUUGCACUCAUCAAUGGAAAUUCUCAUGGCUUUGAGAGACUUAUUGAUAUCAUGCUUAGGUGGAAUAGAUCUAAGUUUUAAAGAAUCAACAUCAAGGGAAAUUCUAUCAAUGUUCCUAGCCAAUUCAUCAACUUUAAGCAAUUUUUCUUCAAGCAAAGCAUUGAAAUUCUUUUGCGAAUUCAUAAAUUCCUUAACACUAGUCUCAAAUUCAGAAGGCACCUUAUUAAAGUUUCCAUAAGAAUUGUUGUAGGAAUUACCAUAAUUAUUAGAGGAAUUACUAGGAUAAGGCCUAGGAUUAAAGUUUCCUCUAUACGCGUUGUUACCAAAAUUAUUCCUACCAACAAAAUUCACAUCCAUAGAUUCAUUAUUAUUCUCAAUCAAAGUAGACAAAGGCAUAUCAUUAGGAUCAGAAGAAACACUCUUAGUAGCAAAUAAUUUCAUAAGUUCAUCCAUCUUUCCACUCAAAACAUUAAUUUCUUCUAUCGCAUGCACUUUUUUAUUAGUAGAUCUUUCAGUGUGCCAUUGAGAAUAAUUAACCAUAAUAUUAUCUAGGAGUUUAGUAGCUUCUCCUAAAGUGAUUUCCAUAAAAGUGCUCCCUGCGGCCAAAUCUAAAAGAUUUCUUGAAGCAAAAUUCAAUCCGGCAUAAAAAAUUUGUAUAAUCAUCCACAAAUUCAAACCAUGUGUAGGGCAAUUACGUAUCAUUAAUUUCAUCCUCUCCCAAGCUUGUGCAACAUGUUCAUGAUCAAGUUGCUUAAAAUUCAUAAUAUCGUUUCUAAGAGAGAUAAUCUUAGCGGGAGCAAAAUACUUAGAGAUAAAAGCAUCUUUGCACUUAUUCCAAGAAUCAAUACUAUUUUUAGGCAAAGACGAAAACCAAGCUUUAGCACGAUCUCUAAGCGAAAAAGGAAAUAGCUUCAAUUUAACAAUAUCAUUGUCUACAUCUUUCUUCUUUUGCAUAUCACACAAAUCAACGAAGCUAUUUAGAUGGGUAGCGGCAUCUUCACUAGGAAGGCCAGCGAAUUGAUCUUUCAUGACAAGAUUCAACAAAGCAGCAUUGAUUUCACAAGAUUCAGUAUCGGUAAGAGGAGCAAUCGGAGUGCUAAGGAAAUCAUUAUUGUUGGUAUUGGUAAAGUCACACAAUUUAGUAUUAUCUUGAGCCAUCGUGACAAGCAAGCAAUCCAACACACGAGCAAACAAGAAGCAAGCGAAAAAGAGGCGAACGAAAAAGAGAGAGGGCGAAUAAAACGGCAAGGGUGAAGUGGGGGAGACGAAAAUGAGAGGCAAAUGGAAAAUAAUGUAAUGCGGGAGAUAAGGGUUUGAGAUGGGUACUUGGUAUGUUGACUUUUGCGUAGACUCCCCAGCAACGGCGCCAGAAAUCCUUCUUGCUUCCUCUUGAGCACUGCGUUGGUUUUCCCUUGAAGAGGAAAGGGUGAUGCAGCAAAGUAGCGUAAGUAUUUCCCUCAGUUUUUUAGAACCAAGGUAUCAAUCCAGUAGGAGGCCACGCACGAGUCCCUCGCACCUACACAAACAAAUAAAUCCUCGCAACCAACGCGACAAGGGGUUGUCAAUCCCUACACGGUCACUUACGAGAGUGAGAUCUGAUAGAUCUGAUAAGAUAAUAUUUUUGGUAUUUUUAUGAUAAAGACGCAAAGUAAAGAAAGUAAAAUAAAAAUGACGCUAGAAAUAACUUGUUGACGGGAGAUUAAUAUGAUGGAAAAUAGACCCGGGGGCCAGAGGUUUCACUAGUGGCUUCUCUCAUGAGCAUAAAUAUUACGGUGGGUGAACAAAUUACUGUUGAGCAAUUGACAGAAUUGAGCAUAGUUAUGAGAAUAUCUAGGUAUGAUCAUGUAUAUAGGCAUCACGUCCGAGACAAGUAGACCGACUCCUGCCUGCAUCUACUACUAUUACUCCACACAUCGACCGGUAUCCAGCAUGCAUCUAGAGUAUUAAGUUCAGAAGAACAGAGUAACGCCUUAAGUAAGAUGACAUGAUGUAGAGGGAUAAACUCAUGCAAUAUGAUAUAAACCCCAUCUUGUUAUCCUCGAUGGCAGCAAUACAAUACGUGCCUUGCUGCCCCUACUGUCACUGGGAAAGGACACCGCAAGAUUGAACCCAAAGCCAAGCACUUCUCCCAUUGCAAGAAAGAUCAAUCUAGUAGGUCAAACCAAACUGAUAAUUCGAAGAGACUUGCAAGCAUAACCAAUCAUACAUAAAAGAAUUCAGAGAAGAUUCAAAUAUUUUUCAUAGAUAAACUUGAUCAUAAACCCACAAUUCAUCGGUCUCAACAAACACACCGCAAAAGAAGAUUACAUCGAAUAGAUCUCCACGAGAGAGGGGGAGAACAUUGUAUUGAGAUCCAAAAAGAGAGAAGAAUCCAUAUAGCUAAUAACUAUGGACCCGAAGGUCUGAGGUAAACUACUCACACAUCAUCGGAGAGGCUAUGGUGUUGAUGUAGAAGCCCUCCAUGAUCGAUGCCCCCUCCGGUGGAGCUCCGGAACAGGCCCCAAGAUGGGAUCUCACGGGUACAGAAGGUUGCGGUGGUGGAAUUAGGUUUUUGGCUCCGUAUCUAGUAGUUUGGGGGUACGUAGGUAUAUAUAGGAGGAAGGAGUACGUCGGUGGAGNNNNNNNNNNNNNNNNNNNNNNNNNNNNNNNNNNNNNNNNNNNNNNNNNNNNNNNNNNNNNNNNNNNNNNNNNNNNNNNNNNNNNNNNNNNNNNNNNNNNNNNNNNNNNNNNNNNNNNNNNNNNNNNNNNNNNNNNNNNNNNNNNNNNNNNNNNNNNNNNNNNNNNNNNNNNNNNNNNNNNNNNNNNNNNNNNNNNNNNNNNNNNNNNNNNNNNNNNNNNNNNNNNNNNNNNNNNNNNNNNNNNNNNNNNNNNNNNNNNNNNNNNNNNNNNNNNNNNNNNNNNNNNNNNNNNNNNNNNNNNNNNNNNNNNNNNNNNNNNNNNNNNNNNNNNNNNNNNNNNNNNNNNNNNNNNNNNNNNNNNNNNNNNNNNNNNNNNNNNNNNNNNNNNNNNNNNNNNNNNNNNNNNNNNNNNNNNNNNNNNNNNNNNNNNNNNNNNNNNNNNNNNNNNNNNNNNNNNNNNNNNNNNNNNNNNNNNNNNNNNNNNNNNNNNNNNNNNNNNNNNNNNNNNNNNNNNNNNNNNNNNNNNNNNNNNNNNNNNNNNNNNNNNNNNNNNNNGCGGACCGGUGGUGGGGAGUGUUUUUGGGGCGGGCGGGGCGGCGCACCACCGGCCGCGGGCGGCGGGGGGGGGGGCUGUUUGGCCAGUGGUGGCUGGCGGCUCAGGGGGGUGGAGGUUGAAGAUGAACUGCAGGCCCUUGAUUUCGUAUCCAACAGCUGCAAAAUCGACUGACCAGAGAUGAAAAAGUCAGUCGACUGACUUGUAGCCUCACCUCUAGUGCGUUCAGUUUCGACAGUAAAAUUUAGUUUCGACAGCAAAAUUCAAUUUCGACAGUUAAGUUCAGUUUCGGCAGUUAAUUCAGUUUCAACAGUUAAGUUCAGAGAUGAGCGGCUGAUGUAUACAUCUAGCACUUUGUGGUUAUGUAUUUUACGUCAUCUAUUGGAGAUGCUAUUAGAAUUCCACUCAGGUUAACGUUGUCCCUCUUGUCCUGCUUCAGCCUCGGCGUCGUACAACUCACCGGAGCUGCUCCAACGACGAAACCCUCCAUCACAAUGGAGCAGUACCUCGGGCUCCAUCUCCAGACGCCUAAGAUCUUCUUCCCCUCCCCCGACAGCCAAGUCAGCUGGAGCGUCCUCACCGGCCAACCCAAUCACGCUGAGAUCGACAUGGCUUCGCCAAAGAGGUUGUACACUUCUUGUGGUUUGACUUAAUCUCACCAUGCUUCUUUGCAUCCUGUGAUCUUCCAAUUAUUGUGAACCAAACACCCAGAUUGGCAGAAAUCCUGUGUUUUUAAAUUCUCUAUUUUGCACAUGCAUUCCUAUCCUAUUCCUGUCUAUUUCCUAUCCCUGCAUUGUUAGAAUCCUCAAAUUCAAACAAGCCCUUACACAAUUACUUCUGUUACAGAUAUGUGUCAAAGAAAACCUUGUGUGGUUUGUCCUGCUCCUGCGGUGCUGUGUUCCACCCCAGCUCAGCUGCUCUAACAACGGAAGGGUUCACCACAGUAGGGAUCCACUCUCCAGACUGUCUUCCGCUGCCUCAGAUCUUCUUCCCCACUGCCGGCAGCCACGACAACUGCAUUACCAUCAUCGACUGAGCAGAUGACCUUGAGGACUACACGGAUCCGCAAGAGAGGUUGCACUCUUCCAUGUCUGCUUACGUUAUGCAUCGCUUAAUAUGAUGACAUGCUACUUUAUCAUUGUGUUCACCUAUUAGACCCCGACUCAGGUCCAAACUUAUGCUGAAACUUGAGUUUUUAAAUGGUUGUGGGGUACAUAUUGGGGAAGCAAUCAGUACUAUCUGUCUAUUAUCUGGUUAAUCUCGGGUGUCUACUAUGAGUUUCAUGUUGGGUGCAAACAAACAUUAAAGGAGCCAUUAUCUGUAUUUUUUAACUAAAGCUAUUAUCUGCCUGCUAUCAUUGGUUUUGGGUCUAUCCAUAGUUUUCUACCUUCACUCUGGAUUUGUUCAUGCACUCCUUACAUAAUCUCACUAUGUUUUAUUCCUAUGCAUGCUAGUUAUUGUACACAAUGGAACUGAACAUGUAGAGCAAAAGAGACGAGCCUUGCGUGGCAAUAAAAUUUCAUGCAGACGUCGCUCCAUGGUGGGCGCAAAGGCAGCCCCCCUCCACCCAUUUUGGAUCGUAAUCAAGAGGAAGAUAACUGUUCUGAGGGGGAUUCAGAAGCAGAAGACCACUCCUAUUUACCCCGUGAGGUCUUCGCUCUAACUUGGCAUGCUGGUGUUGGUAAUAUCAUGCAUAUGGUGCCUUGCAUUACUUACUAUAUACAUCAAAGAUGUCAUCUGCUUAGUUUAGACAUGCUUUGUGUCAAUGCCAUCUGCUUAGUUUCUUUAUCGUAUAUGUGAAUCAUGCAAUGCCAUCUUGUUUAGCCAGGCAUCAUAUAUGUGAAUUUUGCAAUGCCACCCUGGUUAGCCAGUCAUCUUAUAUGUGAAUUAUAUCAUGACAUCAUUUUUUAUUACGUGUUAAAUUUGUCAACAAUUUUAGUACAUUCAAUUACUCUUCCUGUGCAUCAGCCAUUCGGCACGGUCAUGGAAAAAUCUGGAGUGGAAACAAGGUCUUCAAAGCAGACAAUGCUAUCUGACGAAGCGCAUGUCUUGCUGGUUACAGAUAGCUCCUCAGAGGAGGAUUCAGAGACAGAUGACCAGUCCUAUUCCCCCCCGAGGUGCAAGCUCUAACUUGGCAGGGUUAUUGUGCUCAUAUCAUGCGUAUGGUAUGUUGCAUUGCUAUGUCAUUUGCUUAGUUUAGACAUGAUUUGUGUGAAUGCCACCUGUUUAGUGUCUAAUUACCAUAUAUGUGAAUUAUGCAAUCCCAUCUUUUUGCAAGACAUUAUAUAUGUGAAUUAUGUAAUGCUAUCUUGUUGCAAGGCAUUAUAUAUGUGAAUUAUGCAAUGCCAUGCUGUUUAGCCAAGCGUCAUAUAUGUGAAUUAUAUCAUGCCGUCCUUUUUUUUUGUAUUUCUCAUUGCUUUUAUCGACAAUGUUUGUAUAUUCAACUGCUCUUCCUGUGCAUCAACCAUUUGAAUUGGUGAUGGAGAAAUCUGGAGUGAAAACAAGGUCUUUAGAGCAGACAAUGCUACCCGCUGAAGCAGAUAUGUUGCUGGUUACAGAUAGCUCUUCAUAGGACGAUUCAGAGGCAGAUGACCAGUCCUAUUAUGCCCCUGAGGUCUAUGCUCAAACUUGGCAGGGUUAUAUUACUCAUAUCAUGCAUAGGUUGUAUUGCAAUGCUUAGUUUUUACAUCAUAUACACGAUAUUGAAUGCCAUCUCCUUAGUUGACACAUCAUAUAUGCGAUUGCCCUCUGCUCACUUCCGUAGUAAAUCAUAUAUUUGAAUUAUAUCAUGCCAUGAUGUUUAGAUAGACAGCAUGUAUCUGAAUUAUGGCAUGCCAACCCAUUUUCUAAAGACAUAAUAUAGUUACAUCAUCUCACCCUGUUUACAUAGUCAUCAUAUUUUGAAUUAUGUCAUUCUAUCCGUGAAUUAUAUCAUGCCAUCAUGUUUCCAUCGGCGGCAUGUUUGUGAUUUAUGGCAUGCCAACCACUUUAAUAGACACAUCGUAUAGUUAUAUCAUGUCAUCCUGUUUACAUAGUCAUCAUAUUUUGAAGUAUGUCAUUCUAUCAUGUUUAGUUAGCCAUCAUACAUGUGAAAUUGUGUCAUGCUAUCUUGUUUAAUUAGCCAUCAUAUAUUUGAAAUUAUGUCCUGCUAUUCUGUUUGGUUAGACAACAUAAAUGUGAAUUAUUUCAUGCCCUGUUUUCUUCCCUACUAUCCAUUGCACCUGUCUAUCUUACAAUGUCUGUACAUUCAAUUAUUUUUCUUUUUUAUUAGCCAUUUCAAUUGGAGGGGGUGAUGGCGGUAUCUGUGGGAGUAAAAACACGGUCUUCAGAAAAGAUCGUGCUACCUGUCGAUGGAGAUAGAACCACGGUUGUACUUGGCCAAGAACCAGCCCCAGCACACAUAACCCAGACUCACGCAGAUUGUACCCCUACCCAGUUGGACAGAGAACUAGCUACACCCCUUCUAACCCCAACCCCAGCAGAUAGUAACCCAGUUCCCGUUGACACAGCACCGUCUCCACCACAGAGCACCCAAACACGAUCAGUUAGUAAGGCAACUGCAGUGCCCAAAGCACGAGGACCACCACUCCGAACCCCAAGUCAACGCUUAAAGCAGAAGAAGAAUUGUUCUCAGGUCAGGUUCCGUAGCUAUGGUUCAUACUACUUUGCUCUUGCAUCACUGUAUUUACUCAUACCAACUAAUUUCAAAUUUGAAGGAUGCAAUUGAAACUCCAAUGGCGCAACAUGUAUGUUUUAAACUUGUUUCUUUAACGUGUUUGCUGUUGUAACUUGCUCUAUGUUGAUUUCAGUUUCAAUUGAAUAAACAGUUAUGUUCUCAUGCCAUGCACAUUACAAGUGUUGUUAUUGCUGUGUAGUUUCCCACACUUAUAUUCUGUCUAUGCUGCUUUGUCUUAAAUAGAUAUGAGUCGAACUAUAUCUAUCUUGAUUUGGAAACAUAAACUAGAAUGCUAUAGACCAUACAGUGACCAUACUACAUAGAUAUAUGUUUGUUUCAUGUUGUUAUCCUGUCCACCUUACUACUGAACUGGUUUACCAAAAUGAGUUUCAUAUACUGCAUUGUAAACCUGCGAUGUGUUUGUUUGUUUCUCCUUUAGAACGCGGAUAAAAUAUUGGAGAAGAGUACCCCGUUAUGCAAUGGUAAAGGAAGUACUGCAGAUAAGGUUCAAGAUAGUGAGACAUCCCUGUUGUUCUCCAAGAAAGCUGAUAAAAACUAUAUUGAAGACACUGAGACAACCCCAAAGUCCUGUCUUGAUGUAGUGUUCGAGUUACUGGCUACUACUGCUGGCACCAGCUCUUCGAACUCGCUGCCUGAAUCAGUUUGGCUUCUUGAGUCUCAAAUUCAAGUUGAAAGACAUCAAUCAGAUGUUAUGCGACAGGAAGCCGAAGGACUGAGGAAGUCCCUGCAGAAUUCAGAUGCAUACUUUCUGGUGCAACAGCAAGUGCUAGAGGAUUUAAGCGCCAAACAAGAGAAAGUUAAUAAGCUUGCUAAGCAUCUUGCCAGCAUUAUGGGUACCCAGGAUAUUGUUUCUUGAGCUCUUCUGAAGUGGUUUCAAUUCUGGACUUGUUUUGCUGCGGCGUUUAUAUGCUGCUUUGUUCCCUAUAUUUGCACUUGUGGUGAACUUUGAUACCCAGUGGAUGUAAUAUGUGUAAUAGCCGUGAUAGCCUAGCGUAAGUUGCUUGCUUAUUUAUUUCCGUUGUCUUGUUUAUUUGUUUUCUUCUAGUCAGUGCAGUUCUUUUUCCGCGGUUUGCUAGUGGCCGCAAUAACCUAUUUUUUAAAACUAGGCCACAUUAACAAUGGGCUACAUAUUUACUAUAGUUAACAUAUGCCUCCUACGGGCUGUAGAAAUAAUGGGCCUUCUAAGGGCCGUAGAAACAAUGGGCCUUCUACGGGGCGUAGACACAAUGGGCCUUCUACAGGCCGUAUCAUCAAUGGGCCUUCUACGGGCCGUAUGAUCGGUUGGCCAAACAUGGGCCAAUAACAGACCACAUUAUGGCCGUAAAUGGGCUAGAGUUGAAAUCGUCCGUUCAUGGGCCGACCAUAACGGGCCGUUGUUAAUAGGCCGUAUUUGAUGACGCUAUGAAAACGGCCCAACGUAUUAACGGGCCACAAACAGGCUGACUGUAACCACGGGCUGUAUUUGGCCCACAAGCAGAAAAUGACAGUAACGGGCCGAAAGUAAACGAAUGCUGGAAAUGAGCCCAAGAAUAAAUGGGCCCUGAGAAGGCCGAAAGAUAAGAUGGGCUGGAAACGGCCCAACGGAAUAAUGGGCCAUUAAUGGGUAUAAAGUGAUACACUGUUCAUUACGGGCCAAUUUUACCACGGGCCGUUAAUGGGCCGAGGGUUACUAAGGGCCUCAUAUGGGCCAAAAGACGUCAUGGGCCAUACAUGGGCCGGAAGUUAAAACGGGCUAGAAUUAUAUUGGACGGCCCAGAUGACGCUACUGGGCCUAAUUCGGAUAGGCCGUAAACGGGCCCUGGGUUAGCGGGCUGUAAAUGAGCUAUAUGCGAACAUGCCGUUAACAGGCUUGCCGUGGGCCGACCCGCCACCUUUUGACCAAGUCAAACGGGCCGACCUUUUCACAAGAAUGGGCCUCUGUUGGGCCGUGCCACGUGUAGACGUAUCAUAGGCGCUUUGGGUCCAAUGAGUGGAUGACAUCUAUCCCAACGGUGAGCCGACACGUGUUUCCUCCAGCCAAUGAUGAUUUUCCACGUGGAAAAUCCCCAUUGGUUGGGGCUGUUAACGGGUUAUCGGAUCCAAAACCAGACCCGAUAGCCUAACGGCGUUGCGUUACGGUGGAUGCCACGUGUCGGUCACCCUUGACGAAAGCACUUCUGUGACGCACGAUUUAUCGUCAUGGAAGUGGACACUUCCGUGAUGAUAAUUUUGGUAAUGUCAUGGAACAGUUCUACGCCAGCACAGGUAUGACUAUCUUUAUUCUGUCAUAAAUUUGUCAUGGAUGUACAUGCAUGACAGAAAACGUGACCUACUGUGACAAACACGUAUCAUCACGGAAGUGUAUUUUUUUGUAGUGAGGAGGAAGAAGUAGGUCGGUGGAGCAGCGAGGGGCCCACGAGGGUGGGGGGCGUGCCCAGGGGGUAGGCGCGCCUCCCUGCCUCGUGGCCUCCUCACUUCUUUCUUGACGUCCACUCCAAGUCUCCUGGAUCACGUUUGUUCCAAAAAUCACUCUCCCGAAGGUUUCAUUCCGUUUGGAUUCUGUUUGAUAUUCCUUUUCCGCGAAACACUGAAAUAGGAAAAAAAACAGCAAUUUGCACUGGGCCUUCGGUUAAUAGGUUAGUCCCAAAAAUAAUAUAAAAGUGUAUAAUAAAGCCCAUUAAACAUCCAAAACAGAUAAUAUAAUAGCAUGGAACAAUCAAAAAUUAUAGAUACGUUGGAGACGUAUCACCAUCCUGGAGUUCACUUUAUCCUGGCGGGCAUGGUGGAGCGCCUGAAGCUUCUGGAAGUUGGCGCUCAUGGCCCGGAGGAUCUUCUCUUCUUGGGAACCAUCGCUGCCGGCGCUCGGUUCAUUGACAACCUAGAGCCCGGCAGUGGCGAGGGCCUCGUCGUCGAAGACCUCCCCUUCGGCUGGCGCUCUGGUGUCCGCCGUCCCUGGGAGGCGGAUGAACAGAUCAUCACCCACCUUCAAGUACUUGCCCGUGCCGGGGGCUGCAAGGGAGGAAGGUUGAUCAUCGACCGCGCCCUUCCCGGCAGGCUCCUUGGCGGCCUCCUCGGCAGCAGCCUUGCCGGGCUCCCCGACAGGCCCCUUGCCGGCCUCCCCGGCAGCGGCUCCGCUGGUCUCCCCGGCAGGCCCCUUGGGGGCCUCCUUGGCGGCAGACUUGGUGGCUUCCCUAGCCGCAAUCUUGGUGGCCUCAGCUUCGGCAUCCUUGGCGACCUCCUCAAUGACAGUGUCGAUGUCUUCCUGGUCCGUCGAGGGAGGGUCUGGAAACCAGAAGGGAGGAUGAAGCGAGGCCAAAGUCAAAGUUCAGAACAAAGAAAAUGGAAGAACAAGGACGGAGGGCAGGCAGCUUACCUGUGCCGAGCUGAGGAGCAGUGGUUCCCUCCCCGCCAACGUUCGUUGCCGGGGUGGAACCACCAGUGCCCAUGCUUGCCCCCUCUUCCUCCAUGCGCGUGGGCUCGGCGGUAGGUGCCAUUGCCGGAGAUGCCCCUCUAGGUGGCGUGGUCGACGGGGGCGAUGUGUCAGGGGCGGCCCUCAGCGGCUCCUCCUGUUGCUGCUCCCCUCCUGCAAAACCCGGCAAGGUCAGCACCAAAGACGCACACCCCAACGCCCAUCAAUGAGGAGUGAAUAAUGAACUCACGCUGGGGGCUGAAGCGGGGGCUGCGUCGAGGGCUGUUGUCCGGGCUGAUCACCACCAAUGCCGGCGUGCGCGGAGUGCUCGCUGGGGGCUCAUUGCUUAUCGAAGCUUUGGCCCUCUUUGCCGCCCUCUGGGCCAGCGUCUCUGGGUCACUGUGAAAAUAAGAUCAAGUCAAGGAAAGAUAGCAUGGGCGGAGGGUGAGAAAGUAAUGAGGGGCAAGGCGCUUACUCGUCCUCCUCCACUGGCCUCCUCUUCCUCUUCGGGCUAAAAGACCCAAGAUCAAAGUCGGCCUCCGGGUCGCCAUCCGAAGGAGGAGGAGAAGGGGAAGGGGUCUUGCGCCGCUUGGACGAGGAAGAGGCGGCGGCUGCUGCCUUCUUCAAUGCCGCAGCCCUCGUCUGGCGCAAGGGCUGCGCCUGGGCCUGUUGCCGUUGCGUGGUCCUGCCAGGCCGGAACGGCUCGCCGGAGCUAGCCCGCCGCAGGACGCGUUUCCUCCCUGGGGCCAAGGAGUAGUCUGCCUCUCCUCUUCGGCCAACUCCUCGACCACCUCUUCGACAAGGAGAGCCCCAGCGCCGGCGCCGCUGGCAUCCCCCGCAGACCCCGUCCACUCAGCGAACUCUUUCUCUUCUGCGGCCGCGUCGGCCUCGUCCUCCACGGUGCCGAGGCUGCUAGCCUCCUCGGCAAGUGCCGCCUCCUCCGCCCUGGCGGUGAUGUACGCCAGCUCUUCCUCGGUGGUGUCGCGGAUGAGAAGUGGCUCGUCAUGGACAUACCUCUCCGACAAGUUGUCGAAGAAUGCCUGCACCCGCUCCGCUUCUGGCUCAUCCCAGGUUGGAUCGAGGCUGUGCGCGUUGAAGUCCUGCAUCAUGGCGAUAAUGGCGAUCUGGCAAGAGUUGUUGCUCAACGGGACCACCCCUGCUGGCAGCCCAAACAGAGACUUGCCGGCCUGGACAACCUUGUCGGUCUUCUCGGACUUGCCGGUCCUCUCGACCCUGCCGGCCUCAACAACCCUGAGCUGGAAAAGCCUCAGGCAAGAUGAGCAUGCUGCAGCACCGUGAAGUUGUGGUUCAGGCCGGGGCGGAGCCUCAUGAUAUCGGCCGCGUUCCUAAAAUCCCAGGCCGGCCUCCCCUUAUUGUGCAGCGGGGCGAUCCGGCGGUGGAUGAAUUCGACCCCGAUCAUCUCGAGGGUGAGCCCAGCCGAGGUGAGGCGAUGGAUCCUGGUGGUAGCGACCAUGAGCUUCCUGUCGUCGGCGUCGAUCUCGCCCCAGUCCUUGCGGCGGGCCGGCGGCCUCCGACGGACCCGGCAGAACUCCUGCGGAUCUGCCUCCUCGAUCCAGCACCACCGGCUCUGCCACUCUUCCCACCUCUCCUUUUGGGCACCCUCCGGGUACGUGCCCCGGUGCUGGGUCCUCGGGAUCCAAGUAACUUGGCAUGCUAUCAUGGAAUGGCGCUCGACAUGAUGUGGUAUUUUUCGUGUCCAUUUUGAGAGAAGGCGCACUCGAAUAAUGACAGCCAACAAAGGCAUUUUGAAAAAAUAGCUGCCACUUAAUAUCUCAAACGUUUGUAUAAUUCAAAACGUGUGCGUUCUGUUAACCAUUCACGUGGUGCCACGUGUCUUGGUUUUAAUUGCUGUAGGAGGUGCCGUGCGGACAGCUGCUUGACCUUGACUGAACGGGAGGCGUGCGAGCGCAGUCCGGUGUGCAGGCUGACCGAGAGGCGGGCAAGCUGUCCUCCAAUGUGCAGGCUCGCCGGGAAGCGUGCGAGCUUUAUGCUGCGCAGGCUCACUUGGAAGCGAGCCCUUUGACUUCCAUGGCCGCCCGCCUUCCUCUCCAUUAAUGGCGCCCGAGCCGCUGUUUAAUACGGGCGGCCUUACUAUUCGCCUCCCAUUCCCCUCCCCCCCACAGACCUCCACCGCCAUGGCGCAGAAUGAUCAUCUGCCACUAGUCUUCAAGUUUGGUGAAGUCAACUCCGAGCCGGAGGAGAUAGAAAAUAAGGAGGAAUGGGGCCUCAUGGACAUGGCCCAGAACGAGCUGGCCGCAGCGGUUGCCGCCCCCGCUCCCGUCCCAGCUCCCAUCCACGCGCCUGUGCCAGCGACCAUCCCCGUAGCAUUGACGGGCUGGUCGCCGAGCACUAUCGCAGAGCUGGAAGCCGCGGGCGUCAGCGAGGUCUCCGCGGACCCGCGCGAGCUCGUCUACAUGCCAGCGCCCGUGCCCGUGCGCGCCCCUCAACCCACCGUGCCGCCGGCCCCCGUGCGUUUGGCUGCAUCCGCCGCGCCCGUGCGCGCCCCUCCACCCACCGCGGCGCCGGUCCCCGUGCGUUUGGCUGCACCCGCCGCGUCCGUGCCUGUGCCUGUGCCNNNNNNNNNNNNNNNNNNNNNNNNNNNNNNNNNNNNNNNNNNNNNNNNNNNNNNNNNNNNNNNNNNNNNNNNNNNNNNNNNNNNNNNNNNNNNNNNNNNNNNNNNNNNNNNNNNNNNNNNNNNNNNNNNNNNNNNNNNNNNNNNNNNNNNNNNNNNNNNNNNNNNNNNNNNNNNNNNNNNNNNNNNNNNNNNNNNNNNNNNNNNNNNNNNNNNNNNNNNNNNNNNNNNNNNNNNNNNNNNNNNNNNNNNNNNNNNNNNNNNNNNNNNNNNNNNNNNNNNNNNNNNNNNNNNNNNNNNNNNNNNNNNNNNNNNNNNNNNNNNNNNNNNNNNNNNNNNNNNNNNNNNNNNNNNNNNNNNNNNNNNNNNNNNNNNNNNCGGCAUGGAACGCUGCCGUCGACCGCUACCUCUCAGCGGCGCCAGUUGCCGUCCUCCCGCGCCCCGCCCGUCGAUCGCGCGACGACAUGAUGUUUGAUUUACAAGUGAAGAACAUUUUGUGCUGCCUUGAAGACUUCAACAACGGUGUCCCGGAGGACGACAACGACAAUGACGGCGCGGCACGCCGUCUCCGCCGCCGCCGGAAAUAGGUUUUUUGGGGUUUAAUACUGUAUCUCGAAUUCUCGAUCUUAUGAAUAUAAAUUCGCAGUGUGACUGAAUGAAAGAUAAUGAACUUGCAUUUUUCUCUCUUAAUGUAAAGACUUAUCAAACGAUUUUCUUUUGAAAAAAACGUCAACGGUUUUUAAAUAUAAAACGCUCAUCACAAACAUUUUAGUUAGAACACCCAUAUGCAAAUCAACAGCUCCCCAGGAAGCCAAGGGAAAAUGUGCCGAGCAGGAUUUCUACAUCCCUUCAAUGCAAACGGUUGUUUUGCAUGACCCGUGUGCAACCACGUACAAACAAUUGGGUAAGAUUUGCAUAUCUGUCAUUUUGGGUAUGUUGCCAUUUCUCAAACUGGAAAGAUUGACAUUUGUUUAUCUAGUAACAUUGCCAUUUGUCAACCUUGUAACACUGCGAUUUGUCAAAAUAUGCAGCUAGAAAUCACUAGCACUAUCUAAUUUUUGCAACUAAAAUCACUAGCACUAUUCAUAUGGACACCACUAGCAGGCGUGAGUUCAUGGACGCAUAUGCAAAUGUACCAUUGAUUACAUACAACAAGUCAUCAACCCACAAUGACAACGAGGAUACACGUUGGAUUAUAGAUCAUUUCCAACAAAACAUUCUAGUAAAGUUUUUCUCACACAACAAAUAACAAAGCGAUGAAAUGAACUUCAGCUCAACCACUCGUCGGCGUUGGAAACGCUUGCUUUGAACCAGAAGUGAUUCUCUGGGAAGGGCCAGCUACUGUCAAUCUCGAGACCAACGCAGGACUGAUCAUCCAGGCUGAAGCGGCCUAUUUCAAUACCCAUAUUGGGACGGUAGGGAAGCAUAGUAAUGUCCGAGGUAUAGAUACAGUUGCUUCUCAUAAAUGGUAGUAACGUUGUGUCAACAGCAACUGGAUCGCCUUCCACCAUCAUUGGAUUGUUUUGUCCAAGGAAGAGCGAGUUUCCUCCAAGACUUUCAAUACUGAACCAGGGAGAAGGUGUUGGCGCUAGUACACCAGUAUCCAUCCCGAAUACCCUGCAACGGAUGUUGGAAUAGGUCCGAAGAGUGGGACCAUACGAGACAACACCUGCUUCCUUAGUAACAUCAGCAGUGCCCCGUAUACAGACAAGAAGAGGUGAUCCAACGGAAUAAGUUGCCAAGCGCCACUGAGUAUAUGGGUCCUGCUCGUCCUCAUGCUCGUGAAUAAAAUUCUCAAGUAUAGGUGGUGGAAUGGUCACAGGACCUUGGAAACACAAGAAGGUUAAUUAGUAAAGGGAAACUAGCUAACCCGCAUGCAUGUGGAUGAAACAAUUAUAAUUACGGUGGAAGACAAACGUACCGAAAUCAUGAGGAUUCCAUGCAAAAACAGUGCCACGAGUGGUGGCAGCAAACACAAGACCCUCGUAUUGAAUUGCAUCACAUUACUCAUCCGUGUAUAGAAACUGAUUUUGGAGCAAUAUCCAUCGAGUCAAACCAUGAAGGACGGCAACAAGCUUGUCGAAGAUAGCGACAACAUAAGCAUUCCUAUAACCCCAAGAGCGGUUGGGAACUCGACAAAUUGCUAUCUUCCGUAGACGACAGUCAGCAUGAUCGUAUUUGAACUCACGUAGAAUACUGGUGUACUCAAACUCUGGGCAGUUGUCUGAGAUUUUACGAAGUGGAACUCGGUGACGAGUGUACACAUUCACAAGUUCCCACUCGCAGUUGUACCCAAUAUAAACAACCCAAUCUCCAUUUGCGCCUGCCCAAGCCUUGCCCUCAAGCGAUGGCAUCUUAACAUCAUACGUAUCAUUAUCAAGUGGCAUCAACUUACACAAGGCGAGGCUUCCCUCGUCCCCGCGCCAGUCAGCAGGGUCACGGCGAAGAAGAUAGGGGAGAUCAAACCGCUCCUGAACCCUUGGGUUCCUUGUAAUGAUGUUAUUAGUUGAGUUGAGAAUGGUCUUGAACGAACCUGCCAUGCUAGCCGAGGUGAUGACGUCGCUCCGAUCAAUGAGUUCCUCCACCGUGUCAUCAUUCAGAUCGGGGCAAGAAUAAUGGGGUCGUUUCCGGCUUGUUCCCUCCAUGGAGAAGACGAUCAAAAAAUGGCAGAAGGAAGGGUGAAGGCAAAUGGAGGAGGGAGGAAGAGCUAGCGUGCGACAGCAGAUCCAAAUCGAGAGGGAAAGGCGAAGAGUCGGUGGACGGUUGCCAUGGUACACGAAGAGGUGCCUGGGGAGCGAACGGUUGCCACAGAGGUCACACACUGACGACAAGGGCCGAGUGAACCGCAUGCAAUCCCAUUGCACAACACACACGUCUUGUUAAGUUGAACCGUUUCUGUACUCUUGUGUCAACGCAAACAGUUCAUCCGAGUGAACCGCAUGCCGUAUAUCCCACACACCUUGAUCUGGCUGACCCUUUCUUUUGUGUUGCCUAAUCACAAACAGUUCAUCCGAGUGAACCGUAUGUUGUAUAUCACACACACCUUCAUCUGGCUGCCCGUUUCUUUUGUGUUGCCUAAUCACAAACAGUUCAUCUGAGUGAACUGUAUGUUGUGAAUCGCACACGCCUUCAUCUGGCUGCCCAUUUCUUUUGUUUCUCCUCAUCGCAAACAGUUAAUUGAACUGAACCGUAUGCCCUUCAUCGCACACGCAACUAAAACCUGAACCCUGUUUUAUGCAUCCGUCAUCGCAAAUGUUUUAUACAUCUCUAACGGUUUUGGUACAGCACCGUUUGCGAUUAUGGCCUCGCACACAGUUUCUUGAAGGGUCUCUUAUUGUAGUGUCGCGUUAGCAGCAUCCUACAGUAGUGGAAGGAGUUAUCGCAGUUAAAACUCUGCCACGCAUGCUCGCGCACCGUUCUGGGCCUGGCCCAACAACGCUUCGCGCUUCUGUGUGUCCCAGGCCCGGGGCUCCUGUCGGUGUACAAAAGUAGGGGCCUUUCUGUACCCUUUUACUUGUGCAUGGGCAGUUGUAGCCACACCCGCGGCCACGCUUGGCGGGGCAGAGGAAGCAAAGAUACAAGACUACCAGGGCAGUGCUCAAGCCAGAGGCACGAAGAGCAAAGGGACAAGAUGGAUUUCCCCUGGCAAGAGCCUUGCCGGGGCGACCUACACACGACUUUCUCUUGAAAACAGUUUGCGUUAGGCCACCUUACGCAAACGUUUAUCACACAAAAAGUGUAUGUGAUGGACAGCCUUUGCCACACAGUUUCUUUCUACGUACCGUGUGUGAUGCAUUCAAUAACGCAAACGAUAGAAUUAUUAAUAUCGUGUGCAAUGGCAACGCUAUCACAAACGAUUUAACGGGAAGAAUUGUGUGUGAUGUACCUGUGAACGGAAAUGUUUUCCUUGGAGCGACUGUGUGGGAUGUGCAUACGAACGGAAACGUUUAGCGGGGACUGACUAUGGUGGAUGUACUUGCGACCGGAAACAAUUUUUCCGUAUAAUUGUAUUUUUUAUAUGUAUUGUACGUAUUUCCGUAUUUGAGCGCUCGCCGGUCACACACGACCUCAUUUUGUCGAACGUGUGUGCCAGGAGGGCAUAUCCUCGACGGUUCCUGGGUCGUGUGGGAAGGACCCCCCUAUCGCCCACACUCACUUGGAGACGGUUCCAGAUGCCGUCGCGGAAAGGGGUUUUAAACCGUUUGUUUAGGAUCGACGCGCACCGGUGACAAUAGCAAUAAAACUCAACGAUCAUAAUGCUAAGCUAACGGAUGGGAUCCCAUUGAUCAAAUGACAACACAUGUCUAUGGUCAGGAAACAUAACCAUCUUUGAUCAACGAGCUAGUCAAGUAGAGGCAUACUAGGGACACUCUGUUUUGUCUAUGUAUUCACACAUGUACUAAGUUUCCCGUUAAUAUAAUUCUAGCAUGAAUAAUAAACAUUUAUCAUGAUAUAAGGAAAUAUAAAUAACAACUUUAUUAUUGCCUCUAGGGCAUAUUUCCUUCAGUCUCCCACUUGCACUAGAGUCAAUAAUCUAGUUCACAUCGCCAUGUGAUUUAACACCAAUAGUUCACAUCACCAUGUGAUUAGUUCACAUGGCCAUGUGACUAAUACCCAAAGGGUUUUACUAGUCAUUAAUCUAGUCCACAUCGCCAUGUGAUUAACACCCAAAGAGUACUAAGGUGUGAUCAUGUUUUGCUUGUGAGAGAGGUUUAGUCAAUGGGUCUGCCACAUUCAGAUCCGUAUGCUUUUUGCAAAUUUCUAUGUCUACAAUGCUCUGCAGGAAGCUACUCUAGCUAAAUGCUUCCACUUUCAAUAUGUAUCCAGAUCGAGACUCAAAGUCAUCCAGAUCGGUGUCAAAGCUUGCAUUGACGUAACUCUUUACGACGAACUCUUUAUCACCUCCAUAACCGAGAAAUAUUUCCUUAGUCCUCUAAGGAUAAUUUUGACCAAUGUCCAAUGAUAUACUCCUAGAUCACUAUUGUACUCCCUUGCCUAACUCAGGGCAGGGUAUACAAUAGGUCUGGUACAUAGCAUGGCAUGCUUUAUAGAACCUAUGGCUGAGGCAUAGGGAAUGCCUUUCAUUCUCUCUCUAUCUUCUGCCGUGGUCGGGCUUUGAGUCUUACUCAACUUCACACCUUGCAACACAGGCAAGAACUCCUUCUUUGACUGUUCUAUUUUGAACUACUUCAAAGACUUGUCAAGGUAUGUACUCAUUGAAAAAAAUUAUCAAGCGUCUUCAUCCAUCUCUAUAGAUCUUGAUGCUCAAUAUGUAAGCAGCUUCAUUGAGGUCUUUCUUUGAAAAACUCCUUUCAAACACUCCUUUAUGCUUUCCAGAAAAUACUACAUCAUUUCCGAUCAACAAUAUGUCAUUCACAUAUACUUAUCAGAAAGGCUGUAGUGCUCCCACUCACUUUCUUGUAAAUACAGGCUUCACCAUAAGUCUGUAUAAUACCAUAUGCUUUGAUCACCUUAUCAAAGCGUAUAUUCCAACUCCGAGAUGCUUGCACCAGUCCAUAAAUGGAUCGCUGGAGCUUGCACACUUUGUUAGCACCUUUAGGAUCGACAAAACCUUCUGGUUGCAUCAUAUACAACUCUUCUUUAAUAAAUCCAUUAAGGAAGGCAGUUUUGACAUCCAUUUGCCAGAUUUCAUGAAAUUUGGCAAGUUCUAACAUGAUUCGGACAGACUUACGCAUCGCUACGAGUGAGAAAAUCUCAUCGUAGUCAACACGUUGAACUUUGUCAAAAACCUCUUUUCGACAAGUCUAGCUUUGUAGAUAGUAACACUACUAUCAGCGUCCGUCUUCCUCUUGAAGAUCCAUUUAUUCUCAAUGGCUUGCCCAUCAUCGGGCAAGUCAAUCAAAGUCCAUACUUUGUUCUCAUACAUGGAUCCCAUCUCAUAUUUCAUGGCCUUAAGCCAUUUUGCGGAAUCUGGGCUCAUCAUCGCUUCCUCAUAGUUCGUAGGUUCGUCAUGGUCUAGUAACAUGACUUCCAGAAAGGAUUACUGUACCACUCUGGUGCGGAUCAUAAUCUGGUUGACCUACGAGGUUCAGUAGAAAUUUGAUCUGAAGUUUCAUGAUCAUCAUCAUUAUCUUCCUCACUGACUGGUGUAGGAAUCACUGGAACUGAUUUCUGUGAUGUACUACUUUCCAAUUCGGGAGAAGGUAAAAUUACCUCAUCAAGUUCUACUUUCCUCCCACUCACUUCUUUCGAGAGAAACUCCUUCUCUAGAAAGGAUCCAUUCUUAGCAACGAAUAUCUUGCCUUUGGAUCUAUGAUAGAAGGUGUACCCAACAGUCUCCUUUGGGUAUCCUAUGAAGACGCAUUUCUCCGAUUUGGGUUCGAGCUUAUCACGUUGAAUCUUUUCACAUAAGCAUUGCAGCCCCAAACUUUAAGAAACGACAACUAAGGUUUCUUACUAAACCAAAGUUCAUACGGUGUCGUCUGCUACCUCUUGAGCACUCCGUUGGUGUUCCCUUGAAGAGGAAAGGGUGAUGCAGUAAAGUAGCAUAAGUAUUUCCCACAGUUUUUGAGAACCAAGUUAUCAAUCCAGUAGGAGGCCACGCUCAACUCCCUCGCACCUACACAAACAAAUAAAAACCUCGCAACCAAUGCAAUAAAUGGGUUGCCAAUCCCUUCACGGUCACUUACGAAAGUGAGAUUUGAUAGAUAUGAUAAGAUAAUAUUUUUGGUAUUUUUAUAAUAAAGAUGCAAAGUAAAAUAAAAGGCAAUAAAAAUAGCUGAGUGUUGGAAGAUUAAUAUGAUAGGAAAUAGACCCGGGGGCCAUAGGUUUCACUAGUGGCUUCUCUCAAGAGCAUAAGUAUUAUGGUGGGUGAACAAAUUACUGUUGAGCAAUUGAUAGAAUUGAGCAUAGUUAUGAGAAUAUCUAGGUAUGAUCAUGUAUAUAGGCAUCACGUCCGUGACAAGUAGACCGACUCCUGCCUGCAUCUACUACUAUUACUCCACACAUCGACCUCUAUCCAGCAUGCAUCUAGAGUAUUAAGUUCAAAAUAACAGAGUAAUGCUUUAAGUAAGAUGACAUGAUGUAGAGGGAUAAAUUCAUGCAAUAUGAUAUAAACCCCAUCUUGUUAUCCUCGAUGGCAACAAUACAAUACGUGCCUUGCUGCCCCUGCUGUCACUAGGAAAGGACAACGCAAGAUUGAACCCAAAGCUAAGCACUUCUCCCAUUGCAAGAAAGAUCAAUCUAGUAGGCCAUACCAAACUAAUAAUUCAAAGAGACUUGCAAAGAUAACCAAUCAUACAUAAAAGAAUUCAGAGAAGAUUCAAAUAUUGUUCAUAGAUAAACUUGAUCAUAAACCCACAAUUCAUCGGUCUCAACAAACACACCGCAAAAGAAGAUUACAUCGAAUAGAUCUCCACGAGAAUCGUGGAGAACUUUGUAUUGAUAUCCAAAGAGAGAAGAAGCCAUCUAGCUAAUAACUAUGGACCCGAAGGUCUAAGGUAAACUACUCACACAUCAUCGGAGAGGCUAUGGUGUUGCUGUAGAAGCCCUCCGUGAUCAAUGCCCCCUCUGGCAGGACGCCGGAAAAGGCCCCAAGAUGGGAUCUCACGGGUACAGAAGGUUGCGGUGGUGGAAUUAGGUUUUCGUGGAUGCUUCUGUUGGUUUGGGGGUACGUAGGUAUAUAUAGGAGGAAGAAGUACGUAGGUGGAGCAACAUGGGCCCCACGAGGGUGGAGGGCGCGCCCCUUGCCUCGUGCUCUCCUGGUUGAUUUCUUGACAUAGACUCCAAGUCCUCUGGAUCACGUUUGUUCCAAAAAUCACGUUCCCGAAGGUUUCAUUCCGUGUGGACUCCAUUUGAUAUUCUUUUUCUGCGAAACUCUGAAAUAGGAAAAAAAGACAGCAAUUUGGGAUGGGCCUCCGGUUAAUAGGUUAGUCCCAAAAAUAAUAUAAAAGUGUAUAACAAAGCCCCUUAAUCAUCCCAAACAGAAUAUAAUAUAGCAUGAAGCAAUCAAAAAUUAUAGAUACGUUGGAUACGUAUCAAGCAUCCCCAAGCUUAAUUCCUGCUCGUCCUCGAGUAGGUAAAUUAUAAAAACAGAAUUUUUGAUGCGGAAUGCUACUUGGCAUAAUUUUUUUUAAUGUAACCCUCUUAAUUGUGGUAUGCAUAUUCAGAUCCGAAAGAUUCAAGAUAAAAGUUUAAUAUUGACAUAAAAGCAAUAAUACUUCAAGCAUACUAACUAAGCAAUUAUGUCUUCUCAAAAUAACAUGGCCAAAGAAAGUUCAUCCCUACAAAAUCAUAUAGUUUAGUCAUGGUCCAUUUUCGUCACACAAGAAUGCUCUCAUCAUGCACAACCCCGAUGACAAGCCAAGCAAUUGUUUCAUACUUUAGUAAUCUCAAACUUUUUCAACCUUCAUGCAAUACAUGAGCGUGAGCCAUGGAUAUAGCACUAUGGGUGGAAUAGAAUAUAAUGAUGGGGGUUAUGUGGAGAAGACAAAAAAGGAGAAAGUCUCACAUCAACGCGGCUAAUCAACGGGCUAUGGAGAUGCCCAUCGAUUGAUGUUAAUGCAAGGAGUAGGGAUUGCCAUGCAACUGAUGCACUAGAGCUAUAAAUGCAUGAAAGCUGAACAAAAGAAACUAAGUGGGUGUGCAUCCAACUUGCUUGCUCACGAAGACCUAGGGCAUUUGAGGAAGCCCAUUGUUGGAAUAUACAAGCCAAGUUCUAUAAUGAAAAAUUCCCACUAGUAUAUGAAAGUGACAAAACAAGAGACUCUCUAUCAUGAAGAUCAUGGUGCUACUUUGAAGCACAAGUGUGGAAAAAAGAUAGUAGCAUUGUCCCUUUUUAUUUUCUCUUUUUUGGGGGCCUUCCUUUUUUUUAUUUGGCCUUUCUCUUUUUUUAUUGGGACAAUGUUCUAUGAAUGAUGAUCAUCACACUUCUAUUUAUUUACAACUCAAUGGUUACAACUCGAUACUAGAACAAAGUAUGACUCUAUAUGAAUGCCUCCGACGGUAUACUGGGAUAGGCAAUGAAUCAAGAGUGACAUGUAUGAAAAAUUAUGAACGGUGGCUUUGCCAGAAAUACGAUGUCAACUACAUGAUCAUGCAAAGCAAUAUGACAAUGAUGAACGUGUCAUGAUAAACGGAAUGGUGGAAAGUUGCAUGGCAAUAUAUCUCGGAAUGGCUAUGGAAAUGCCAUAAUAGGUAGGUAUGGUGGCUAUUUUGAGGAAGAUAUAAGGAGGUUUAUGUGUGAUAGAGCGUAUUAUAUCACGGGAUUUGGAUGCACCGGCGAAGUUUGCACCAACUCUCAAUGUGAGAAAGGGCAAUGCACGGUACCGAAGAGGCUAGCAAUGAUGGAAGGGUAAGAGUGUGUAUAAUCCAUGGACUCAACAUUAGUAAUAAAGAACUCACAUACUUAUUGCAAAAAUCUACAAGUCAUCAAAAACCAAGCACUAUGUGCAUGAUCCUAGGGGGAUAGAUUGGUAGGAAAAGACCAUCGCUCGUCCCCGAUCGCCACUCAUAAGGAAGACAAUCAAAGAACACCUCAUGCUUCAAAUUUGUUACAUAACGUUUACCAUACGUGCAUGCUACAAGACUUGCAAACUUCAACACAAGUAUUUCUCAAUUUCACAACUACUCAACUAGCACAACUUUAAUAUCACUACCUCCAUAUCUCAAAACAAUCAUCAAGCAUCAAACUUCUCUUAGUAUUCAACACACUCAUAAGAAAGUUUUUACUAGUCUUGAAUGCCUAACAUAUUAGGAUUAAUUUCCCAAUUUAAGCAAUUACCAUGUUGUUUAGGACUGUCAAAAUAAUAUAAGUGAAGCAUGAGAGAACAAUAGUUUCUAUAAAACAAAACCACCGCCAUGCUCUAAAAGAUAUAAGUGAAGCACUAGAGCAAAAACUAUAUAGCUCAAAAGAUAUAAGCGAAGCGCAUAGAGUAUUCUAAUAAAUUCCGAAUCAUGUGUGUCUCUCUCAAAAGGUGUGUACAGAAAAUAUGAUUAUGGUAAACUAAAAAGCAAAGACUCAAAUCAUACAAGACGCUCCAAGCAAAACACAUAUCAUGUGGUGAAUAAAAAUAUAGCUCCAAGUAAAGUUACCGAUGGAAGUAGACGAAAGAGGGGAUGCCUUCCGGGGCAUCCCCAAGCUUUGUCUUUUUGGUGUCCUUAGAUUAUAUUGGGGUGCCAUGGGAAUCCCCAAGCUUAGGCUCUUGCCAUUCCUUGUUCCAUAAUCCAUCAAAUCUUUUACCCAAAACUUGAAAACUUCACAACACAAAACUUAACAGAAAAUCUCGUGAGCUCCGUUAGCGAUAGAAAACAAAACACCACUUCAAGGUACUGUAAUGAACUCAUUCUUUAUUUAUAUUGGUGUUAAACCUAGUGUAUUCCAACUUCUCUAUGGAUUAUAAACUAUUUUACUAGCCAUAGAUUCAUCGAAAUAAGCAAACAACACACGAAAAACAGAAUCUGUCAAAAACAGAACAGUCUGUAGUAAUCUGUAACUAACGCAAACUUCUGGAACUCCAAAACAUCUACCAAAAUAGUACGACCUAGACAAUUUGUUUAAUGAUCUGCUGCAAUUGGAAUAAAUAUUUUAUCACGUUCUGGUAAUUUAUAAUAAUUUGUUUCGUGAACAGAAAGUUUCUGGAAUUUUCAGCAAGAUCAAAUAACUAUCAUCCAAGAAGAUCCUAUAGGUUUAACUUGGCACAAACACUAAUUAAAACAUAAAAACAAACCUAACCAGAGGCUAGAUCAAAGAUUUAUUCCUAAACAUAAGCAAAAAGAAAAAAAACUAAAAAUAAAAUUGGGUUGCCUCCCAACAAGCGCUAUCGUUUAACGCCCCUAGCUAGGCAUAAAAGCAAGGAUAGAUCUAGGUAUUGUCAUCUUUGGUAGGCAAUUCUUCAAUAAGACACCUAUCACCCUUAGGAGUUUCUUUCUUUCUAUUAAUUAUCAAACUUCUAGGCACAAAAUCAAAAAAAUCAUUUGCAGCAAAUGGUUCUUUAAUGAUAGCAAAGAGAUUGGGAUGAACACUUAUUGAUUUGAGAUCCGCAGUUUCCUUAUUAGAUGGUUCACCCUUAUUUUUAGGAACAUACAUAAGCUUGGCAAUUUUAGUAGGAGGACUUGGAGUAUUCUUUACGGAAGAAAAGGCGGUCCCCAAGUUGGUAAUGAUACCCUCAAGUUUAUCGAUUCUAGUGGAAUCCUAAUUUAUUCUUUCAUUAACUAUGGGUUCCUUUUCCUUAAUAUUUUUCAAAGUGACUCCUACUUUAGAUCCAUAUUGGGUAAUUUGGUUGUGGAUCUUUUUAUCCAAAUUUUCAAUUAACUCUAUGGUAGCAACUUUAUUUUCAAUAAUUUCAAGUCUUUGCAUUACAUGCUCCAAAGUUAACAUAGUUCCAUUAACCAAGAGAGGUGGUGAGCCAAACAAAUCUAUCAUAGCAUUAUAAGAAUCAAAAGUAUGGCUACCCAAGAAAUUACCUACGGUAAUGGUAUCAAGAAUAUAUCUAUACCAAGGAGCAAUGCCUACAUAAAAAAUUGCGAAGAAGAAUGGUAGUAGAUUGCUUUCGGGUAGAUCUAUUUUGAGCAUUGCAGAUUCUAUACCAAGCAUCUUUUAGAUUUUCUCCCUCCCUUUGUUUAAAAUUAAGAACUUCAUUCUCGGGAGAUAAAGGAAUAGAUAAAGGACUAGCCAUGACGACAAAGCGAGCGGUAAAGAGGCGAAGGGAAAAGAGACGGCGAAUAAAACGGCAAGGGUGAAGUGGGGGAGAGGAAAACGAGAGGCAAAUGGCAAAAAAUGUAAUGCGGGAGAUAAGAGUUUGUGAUGGGUACUUGGUAUGUUGACUUUUGUGUAGACCUCCCCGGCAACGGCGCCAGAAAUCCUUCUUGCUACCUCUUGAGCACUGCGUUGGUUUUCCCUUGAAGAGGAAAGGGUGAUGCAGUAAAGCAGCAUAAGUAUUUCCCUCAGUUUUUUAGAACCAAGGUAUCAAUCCAGUAGGAGGCCACGCUCAAGUCCCUCACACCUACACAAACAAAUAAAAACCUUGCAACCAACGCAAUAAAGGGGUUGUCAAUCCCUUCACAGUCACUUACGAAAGUGAGAUCUGAUAGAUAUGAUAAGAUAAUAUUUUUGGUAUUUUUAUAAUAAAGAUGCAAAGUAAAAUAAAAGGCAAUAAAAAUAGCUAAGUGUUGGAAGAUUAAUAUGAUAGGAAAUAGACCCGGGGGCCAUAGGUUUCACUAGUGGCUUCUCUCAAGAGCAUAAGUAUUACGGUGGGUGAACAAAUUACUGUUGAGCAAUUGAUAGAAUUGAGCAUAGUUAUGAGAAUAUCUAGGUAUGAUCAUGUAUAUAGGCAUCACGUCCGUGACAAGUAGACCGACUCCUGCCUGCAUCUACUACUAUUACUCCACACAUCGACCGCUAUCCAGCAUGCAUCUAGAGUAUUAAGUUCAAAAGAACAGAGUAAUGCUUUAAGUAAGAUGACAUGAUGUAGAGGGAUAAAUUCAUGCAAUAUGAUAUAAACCCCAUCUUGUUAUCCUCGAUGGCAACAAUACAAUACGUGCCUUGCUGCCCCUGCUGUCACUGGGAAAGGACACCGCAAGAUUGAACCUAAAGCUAAGCACUUCUCCCAUUGCAAGAAAGAUCAAUCUAGUAGGCCAAACCAAACUGAUAAUUUGAAGAGACUUGCAAAGAUAACCAAUCAUACAUAAAAGAAUUCAGAGAAGAUUCAAAUAUUGUUCAUAGAUAAACUUGAUCAUAAACCCACAAUUCAUCGGUCUCAACAAACACACCGCAAAAGAAGAUUACAUCGAAUAGAUCUCCACGAGAAUCGUGGAGAACUUUGUAUUGAGAUCCAAAGAGAGAGAAGAAGCCAUCUAGCUAAUAACUAUGGACCCGAAGGUCUAAGGUAAACUACUCAAACAUCAUCGGAGAGGCUAUGGUGUUGAUGUAGAAGCCCUCCGUGAUCAACGCCCCCUCCGGCAGGACGCCGGAAAAGGCCCCAAGAUGGGAUCUCACGGGUACAGAAGGUUGUGGUAGUGGAAUUAGGUUUUCGUGGAUGCUUCUGUUGGUUUGGGGGUACGUAGGUAUAUAUAGGAGGAAGAAGUACGUCGGUGGAGCAACGUGGGCCCCACGAGGGUGGAGGGCGCGCCCCCUGCCUCGUGCUCUCCUGGUUGAUUUCUUGACGUAGACUCCAAGUCCUCUGGAUCACGUUUGUUCCGAAAAUCACGUUCCCGAAGGUUUCAUUCCGUUUGGACUCCAUUUGAUAUUCUUUUUCUGCGAAACUCUGAAAUAGGCAAAAAAAACAGCAAUUUGGGCUGGGCCUCCGGUUAAUAGGUUAGUCCCAAAAAUAAUAUAAAAGUGUAUAACAAAGCCCAUUAAUCAUCCAAAACAGAACAUAAUAUUGGCUUGAAGCAAUCAAAAAUUAUAGAUACGUUGGAGAUGUAUCAUCGUCUCAACGGAAUUAGAUGGUGCCCUAUUAACGUGAAUGCAGGUGUCUCUAAUACAUUACCCCAAAAUGAUAGUGGUAAAUCGGUAAGAGACAUCAUAGAUCACACCGUAUCUAAUAAAGUACGGUUGUGACGUUCGGACACACCAUUACGCCGUGGUGUUCCAGGUGGCGUGAGUUGCGAAACUAUUCCACAUUGUUUCAAAUGAAGACCAAACUCAUAACUCAAAUAUUCGUCUCCGCGAUCAGAUCGUAGAAACUUUAUUUUCUUGUUACAAUGAUUUUUCCACUUCACUCUGAUUUUUUUUUGAACUUUUCAAAUGUUUCCGACUUAUGUUUCAUCAAGUACAUAUACCCAUAUCUGCUCAAAUCAUCUGUGAAGGUCAGAAAAUAACAAUACCCGCCACGAGCCUCAACACUCAUCAGACCGCAUACAUCGGUAUGUAUUAUUUCCAAUAAGUCAGUGGCUCGCUCCAUUGUUCCAAAGAACGGAGUCUUAGUCAUCUUGCCCAUGAGGCAUGGUUCUCAAGCAUCAAUUGAUUCAUAAUCAAGUGAUUCCAAAAGUCCAUCAGCAUGGAGUUUCUUCAUGCGCUUUACACCAAUAUGACCUAAAUGGCAGUGCCAGAAAUAUGUUGCACUAUCAUUAUUAGACUUAUAUUUUUUGGCAUCAAUAUUAUGUGUGUCACUGUGAUCGAGAUUCAGUAAACCAUUUACAUUGGAUGUCAGACCAUACAUGUCAACAGAACAACAAUUAUUCUCUGACUUAAAUGAAUAACCAUAUCGCAAUAAACAUGAUCUAAUCACAUUCGUGCUCAACGCAAACACCAAAUAACAUUUAUUUAGUUCCAAUACUAAUCCCAAAAGUAAAGGGAGUGUGCGAUGGUGAUCUUAUCUACCUUGGAAUCACUUCCAACACACAUCGCCACCUCGCCCUCAAAUAGUCUUUGUUCAUUAUGUAACUCCUGUUUCAAGUUACUAAUCAUAGCAACUGAACCAGUAUCAAAUACACAGGGGUUACUAUGAACACUAGUAAAGUACACAUCAAUAGCAUGUGUAUCAUAUGUACUUUUGUUCACUUUGCCAUCCUUCUUAUCCGCCAAGUAUGUGGGGCAGUUCUGCUUCCAAUGACCAUUUCCUUUGCAGUAGAAGCACUCAGUUUCAGGCUUGGGUCUAGCUUUGGGUUUCUUCACAGGAGUGGCAACUUGCUUGCCAUUCUUCUUGAAGUUCCCUUUCUUUCCCUUGCCCUUUUACUUGAAACUAGUGGUCUUGUCAACCAUCAACAUUUGAUGCUUUUCUUGAUUUCUACCUUCGUCGAUUUCAGCAUCACGAAGAGCUCGGGAAUCGUUUUCGUCGUCCCUUGCAUAUUAUAGUUCAUCACAAAGUUCUAGUAACUUGGUGAUAGUGACUAGAGAACUCUGUCAAUCACUAUUUUAUCUGGAAGAUUAACUCCCACUUGAUUCAAGCGAUUGUAGUACUCUAACAUUCUGAGCACAUGCUCACUGGUUGAGCUAUUCUCCUCCAUCUUGUAGGCAAAGUACUUGUCAGAGGUCUCAUACCUCUUGACUCGGGCAUGAGUCUGAAAUACCAAUUUCAGCUCUUGGAACAUCUUAUAUGCUACGUGGCGUUCAAAACAUUUUUGAUGUCCCGGUUCUAAGCCGUAAAGCAUGGCGCACUAAACUAUUAAGUAGUUAUCAUACUGAGCUUGCCAAACGUUCAUAACGUCUGCAUCUGCUCCUGCUAUAGGUCUGUCACCUAGCGGUGCAUCAAGGACAUAAUUCUUCUGUGCAGCAAUGAGGAUAAUCCUCAGAUCAUGGACCAAGUCUGCAUCAUUGCUACUAUCAUCUUUCAACUUAUUUUUCUCUAGGAACAUAUCAAAAAUAAACGGGGAGCUACAUCGCGAGCUAUUGAUCUACAACAUACUUAUGCAAAUACUAUCAGGACUAAGUUCAUGAUAAAUUAAAGUUCAAUUAAUCAUAUUACUUAAGAACUCCCACUUAGAUAGACAUCCCUCUAAUCAUCUAAGUGAUCACGUGAUCCAUAUCAACUAAACCAUGUCCGAUCAUCACGUGAGAUGGAGUAGUUUUCAAUGGGGAACAUCACUAUGUUGAUCAUAUCUACUAUAUGAUUCACGCUUGACCUUUCGGUCUCAGUGUUCCGAGGCCAUAUAUGCAUAUGCUAGGCUCGUCAAGUUUAACCCGAGUAUUCUGCGUGUGCAAGACUGGCUUGCACCCGUUGUAUGUGAGCGUAGAGAUUAUCACACCCGAUCAUCAUGUGGUGUCUCGGCACGAUGAACUGUCGCAACGGUGCAUACUCAGGGAGAACACUUGUACCUUGAAAUUUAGUGAGAGAUCAUCUUAUAAUGCUACCGCCGUACUAAGCAAAAUAAGAUGCAUAAAGGAUAAACAUCACAUGCAAUCAAUAUAAGUGAUAUGAUAUGGCCAUCAUCAUCUUGUGCCUUUGAUCUCCAUCUCCAAAGCACCGUCAUGAUCACCAUCGUCACCGGUUUGACACCUUGAUCUCCAUCGAAGCAUCGUUGUCGUCUCGCCAACUACUGCUUCUACGACUAUCACUACUGCUUAGUGAUAAAGUAAAGCAAUUACAUGGUGAUUGCAUUUUAUACAAUAAAGCGACAACCAUAUGGCUCCUGCCAGUUGUCGAUAACUGUUACAAAACAUGAUCAUCUCAUACAACAAAUUAUAUAUCAUCACGUCUUGACCAUAUCACAUCACAGCAAGCCCUGCAAAAACAAGUUAGACGUCCUCUACUUAGUUGUUGCAAGUUUUACGUGGCUGCUACGGGCUUAGCAAGAACCGUUCUUACCUACGCAUCAAAACCACAACGAUUUUUCGUCAAGUGUGCUGUUUUAACCUUCAACAAGGACCGGGCGUAGUCACACUCGAUUAAACUAAAGUUGGACAAACAAACACCCACUAGCCACCUGUGUGGGAAGCACGGAGAUAGAACCAGUCUCAGGAACGUGGUCAUGUAAUGUCGGUCUAGGCCGCUUCAUCCAGCAAUACCGUUGAGGGAGUCCUGGACUAAGGGGUCCUCGGGCGUCCGGCCUGUUAUCCAUGGGCCGGACUGAUGGGCUGUGAAGACAUGAAGACCGAAGACCAUACUCGUGUCCGAAUUAGACUCUCCUUGGCGUGGAAGGCAAGCUAGGCGGCCAGCUGUGAAGAUUCCUUCUUAUGUAACCGACUCCAUGUAACCCUAGAUCUCUCCGGUGUCUAUAUAAACCGGAGAGCAUAGUCCGGAUAGGACACAUUCAUUACCAUAUACUCACAUAGGCUAGACUUUUAGGGUUUAGCCAUUAUGAUCUCGUGGUAGAUCAACUCUUGUAAACACUCAUAUUCAUCAAGAUCAAUCAAGCAGGAAGUAGGGUAUUACCUCCAUAGAGAGGGCUCGAACCUGGGUAAACAUCGUGUCCCCCGUCUCCUGUUACCAUCGAUCCUAGACGCACAGUUCGGGACCCCCUACCCGAGAUCCGCCGGUUUUGACACCGACAUUGGUGCUUUCAUUGAGAGUUCCACUGUGCCAUCGUCAAAAGGUUUGAUGGCCCCUUCAAUCAUCGAUAAUGAUGCUGUCCAGGGAGAAACCUUUCUCCCCGGACAGAUCUUCGUGUUUGGUGGCUUCGUACUGCGGGCCAACUCGCUUGGCCAUCUGGAGCAGAUCGACAGCUACGCCCCUGGCCAUCAGGUCAGAUUCGGAAGCUUGAACUACGUUGUGGACAUCCGUGGAGACUUGAUCUUCGACGGAUUUGAGACUGUGGCAAUCGUUCCCCGCUGCCCCGAUGGACAUGGCUUAAACCAGUCAUCGGGCCGCAUCCAGGAGAGAGCUCCUGCAGCAAGUCUGGCCUUAGAUCCGGAGCAGAUCAAGUCCCCCGAAGAUGGGAAGCUUAACCCCAUCGCGGGGGCUACCGAUUCUGCGUCGUCGGAGCCGCUCGCAGAUUCCACUGCGUACGGCAUCUGCAUCAACGGAACCUCGGACUCUUCUCCGGCGUCGAGUUCCGAACCCUGCGAGCCCGCGGAUACCAAACUCGAUCGGUUAUCAAUCUUCAAGUUCAGCGCCGCAGAUGUCUUCCAACACUCGCCCAUGGGCGACCUACUAAACUCAUUAAAAAACCUAUCCCCGGCAGAUGGCUCGUCACCGAACUAUGUUCGGUUCGAACCUAUGGCGGAUGAUGGAGAAUUUUGCUUCCCACCCGCCACCCACUUUAUAGCCACUGUCGAAGACCCAACCAACACGCCUGACCCCCGCUCUGAAGACAUCGCCGGUAUGGACGACGAUGAGGGGCAGGGCCAGAGCUCGCUACCCGCUAGACACGGGAUGGACACUUCCUGGUAUGAUGUGUGUAUGAUAGACACACCCGAUGAUGAGAAAGAUCCAGUCGAGAAUAAACCUCCUGGUACACAGUCCGAACACCAGCGCCGCUCCAAGCCACAUCGCCCAAGAGAAAACACUGCUAGCACCAGAAAAGACAACACUCCGGACAAUGAAGACCCUUUUGAGGUAGAAUCCGAAUAGGAGGAACAGGAAAGCGGGCAAGACAGCCCUGAUGAACAGGCCACAUAUGGAGACUCGGAGGAUAGCAAUUAUCUCCCACCCUCUGAGGAAGAGGAUAUCCUCGGUAGCGAGGAUUUUAUCAUGCCUAAGGAAUCUCUUGAGCAGGAGUGUUUCAAACGCCGGCUUACAGCCACUGCAAGGAGCCUAAAGAAGAAGAAGCUGCAGCUUCAAGCAAGCCAAGAUUUGCUCAAUGAUAGAUGGACCGAAGUCUUGGCCGCCGAAGAAUACAGCCUUAGUAGCCCAGACAUAAGCCACCCCAAGGGUAGGUGGCUCCCUCAAUACGACGUCAGGGCACUGGAGCCCACACCACCAUCGAACAAUGUGGCAGGCCGGCCACAGUUCGGUCCAGACAAAGCAGCAGCCCAAGCAGAGCAACAUACAAACCCAUCCGGCCAUCAAAUCAAGAGCAAAACAGCUCGAGGGAACACUCGCGACAUCAACCAAGACCCGGAGGAUAGAGCAGAGCACACAAGAUCGAUGUACAGAUCACGGAGAUACACCCCGACCGACGAUGAUUUCCACCCAUUCAGACACUACAGAGCCAACCGCGGCCGGUCCGAACUCCGUAAACGGAGUCCACUGGAAGUGCUUCAUAGUGUGGCUCAACAUAGAGGAGCCGCACACCCUCUCUGCUUCACUGACGAGGUAAUGAAGCAUGAAUUUCCAGACGGGUUUAAACCCAUUAACAUCGAAUCAUACGAUGGAACAACAGAUCCCGCGGUAUGGAUUGAGGAUUACCUCCUCCAUAUCCACAUGUCUCGCGGAGACGACCUUCAUGCCAUUAAAUACAUACCUCUCAAGCUUAAAGGGCCAGCUCGGUACUGGCUAAACAGUUUGCCAGAAAAUUCUAUUGGCAGUUGGGAAGAUUUGGAAGACGCCUUUCGAGACAACUUCCAUGGAACAUAUGUCCGGCCACUAGAUGCCGAUGACUUAAGUCAUAUUGUCCAGAAGCCCGACGAGUCAGCCAGGGAGCUCUGGACUAGGUUCUUAGUCAAAAAGAACCUAGUUGCCGACUGUCCGGACGCAGAAGCCCUCGCAGCCUUCAAACACAGCGUCCGGGAUGAAUGGCUAGCACGUCACCUCGGCCAGGAAGGACCCAAAUCCAAGACAGCCCUUACCGCUCUAAUGACUCGCUUUUAUGCGGGAGAAGGCAACUAGCUCGCUCGUAAAAGCAACAACGCCAGCGACCCGGGCACUUACAAAAUUCGAGACGGCAACGGCAAGCCACGACGAACCGAACACAACAGUCGCAAUAAUAUACGCGACACAGUGGUGAACGCCGAAUUUCACAAUCCGAAGCCCGGUCAACGGAAGAAGCCACUAAAGGCAAACCUGGAUGGACCAUCCACCCUUGACAGGAUAUUGGACCGACCUUGUCAGAUUCACGGUCACCCUGAUAGGCCAGCUAAUCAUACCAAUAGAAACUGUUGGGUCCUCAAGUAGGCAGGCAAGCUAAACGCCGAUCACAAGGGGAGGAGGCCACCAGGCGAUAGAGACGACGGAUCGGCUCGCCAGCCGAACACCAGGGGCCAGAAACACUUCCCUCUGAAAUUUGACCCCUCCCAGAACGGAAAUAGUAGUUCAGCUUCCGCCGCCUACCUACUGUACUAGCAAAGUUUACCCCACGCGUACAUAACUACGCACUCAAGAUACCAUGGGCAUCGGCGGAAGCAAAAUAUGGAUAACCCUACAAGAAUCCCCGUAACGUUUUUAUCCGUCUUUCUUAUUUUUCUGUAUAAUUUCUUAAAAACAGGUGACCAUCAGGACCGCAUCUACAUCGGACUCUCUCGAAGUUCUGAUCCGCACACUCACCUAAGGGGCCACUCCCGUUAAGGAUUCCCCUCCCCAAGGACGGGCGGCGCAGACGUGCGACAGGAGGUCCAAAAUAAGCUUUUGUAGACCGCACUCUUCCUUUUGAGCCUGUACCAUGCCCUUUUCCUCUGUUCCCAACCCCGAGCAUGUCAAAUAGAUGGGUUGUGGUUUUUACUCUUUAUAUAUUUAUCAUUGGCAUAUUGCUCCGCUCCCAGUAAACUUUAUCCGAACUAAUAUUUCAUGCUCUUUCUACAACAAGUCUGGCCGUAACGGCUGCCUUACCAGACGCACCUCGGCAUAACUUGCCAGGGGCCCGGUAUGGGAACAAAAAAGUCGCCAGUAAAAGUCCGAACAGCUCUAUAGCGUACUUCGGCAUCGCAAGUUUGGCCUUAUAUGCACCAGCUCCGAAUCAUUGUCUUUGGUCAAUAGUUGGGUUGCCCGGCUCCUGUGCUUGCUACCCUACAUUCCGCUCUAUCGGCUAGGGUAGUAAAGGGAGAACUACUGCGAUUGUUCCCUGGCCUAGACCGGAUGAGCACCUCAGUAGAGAAAGCCGAAAACUGACUGUCAUGAUGCGGCGAGAGCUGGUCAACCAUUUGACGACUUCUUCGAAUCUUUAGUGAUUCUCCGUGUCACAUGAGGGAUCUUUUUUAGAUCAACAUAUGUAAGGCACUACGCGCCGUAUACAUACCAGGGGCUAUAUCGUAAACCCCACCAUAAAACUCCUAUGGUCAAGUGAAAGUGUUAACGCCCUAUAGUCUGAUUGCCUGGUUCGCCGCAUUAUCACCUCCUUUAUGGACCAAGACGUUGGAUAAAGAGUGAUUAAAUGCUUUUCUGAACACCCCCGUACUUCCUACGAGGGGGCUAAAGCCGACGACUGGAAAACUUUUAGAUUAUAUUAAAAUGUCCACAGAGGAGGAAUUCAAGCUUUUGAGCAAAAUAUAAAUAGAUUAACUAUAAAGUUGUCUGUUACAUCAUUAUAUAAAUCACUCGAACAUUAUAUCUUUCGAGCAUUGACCCUCUAUCAAGCGGGCGGCAUCUAAGACGUCUUCAAAAUAGUGCUCCGGCUUAGUAUGGUCCUGGCCCUUGGGUGGACUCCUCGCCGCAAUAUCAAUGGGUUUCAUCUUUCCCCAAAAUGUUUUGACUCGGGCAAAGGCCAUCUGUGCACCCUCAAUGCACGCCGACCGCUUCACAGCAUCGAUAUGUGGAACCGCGUCAACAAGCCUCCGCACCAGGCCAAAAUAACUACUCGGAAUAGGCUCACUUGGCCACAACCGGAUUAUGACGUUCUUCAUGGAGCCGCCAGAUAUCCUAUGAAGCUCGGCCCACUGGGACAUCUGUUCAUUGAGCAACAAAGGGCGCUUCGACGCGCCGAAUUGUGACCAGAAAAGCUUCUCUGUUGCAUACCCCCUUGUGCAUGGUAAAAUUGCGCCGCAUCGGAAGAACUCUUCGGCAAGUCCAAAAAUUCAGCCGGAGAACUCCAGACCUGGUUUAGCUGAGCAUAGUCCGGAUCGCCAAACUUGGUCUGAAGCAAAAAAGGCUUACCGGCCGCUAUCUCCUUAGCCUGCCAAAUCUCUUCACGAGCUGCCCUAGAUUCAGACCGAGCUUCACUCGCCUCUCGUACGACCUUAUCAAGCUCAGCCAUUUUGGCUUUAUUCUCCUUCUCAAGGAAUUCACAACGGCUGGCAGUAUCCUUCAAUUCAAGCGCCAGUGCGGAUAUUUUCUCCUCACUUUGGUGUCGAGCUGCUUGUUCGGCUCUUAGAUCAGCCGAUGCCUUCUCGGCAGCCGCAUCACUAUGCCGGGCCUGCUCCUUGGCCUAGGCUAGCUCCGCCCGAAGAGCUUCAACGGCGGCAGCACCAUCUGCAAUCAUGCACAUUUCAUAUAAAACCUUUUCGGCGUUAGUCCUACAUUACAAAGCACAUUGGUUUAAGGAAUGCUCGAAAAUAUAUACCUUGCGAGUCGUCAAGACGCCUGUUGAUCAACGCAAUGUCAUCCUUCGCAACAUCCAGCUUUCGCUGCAGUUCGGCCACUUCCGUAUUUCGGGUAGCCACAGGAGGAGACAGAGCCUGUAUUCCAAGUUAAAUCAAGGUUAGAAACUAAGCAUAUCUUUUUUAUCCUCCGAUCGCUUCCAUCGGAAGGCAAUCCAAGUCUCAGGGGCUACUGCAUAUACAACAGGUGCAUUCUGUCAAUAUUAUUCAAUUGGCAAAACUACAUCACAAACCUCAAAACCCCUUAGGAGGCUCGUGAAGGCCUCGUUCAACCCGCUCUUCGCGGAUAGAACCUUUUUGACCACCGCAACCAUCAAGGCACGGUGUUCCUCCGAAACAGACGCUUGCCGCAGCAUGUCCGUCAGCAUUUCCGGCACUUCUGGGUCUUCAGAAGCCGCCGCCGGAGUACGGUAUUCCUUUGAAGGAAUCCGCCCACUCACCCCCGGGAUCAUCUCCGGCUCUAAAUAGGAUAGGGUGGGGCCGCCACGCUUGAUUCCUGAACCCUGAGUGACAGAGGCACCACCUUCGGGUAAUGCCCUCUUCGUUUCCUGCACUGCUUGUCGACCAGGAGGAGCCCCCCAGGACAAUAUCUCAUAAUCAUCCGCCCUGUUGGGCGAGGGGGCGGAGAAGGCGUUUCACUCUCCAUCAUCUCAGGAAGAAGGUCUCCCGAGGAGGAGGACGAUUGGGAAACCCCAGGCGUUAACCUGCGAAGACAUACGUAUGUCGGAGGAUUACUUCAGUAAUAAGAAAGGAAGGAGGUAUGAUUAAAGUACCCUGCUGCACUUACGGUUUGGCCAGAGGUUUAUCCUCAUCAUAAAGCUCCACGUCAACAUCGCUUGCCCGGCCCAAGCCGCCCGUCGAUGGCGUUUUCCCUUUCUUGGAAUGUUUCCCCUCCUGACCUUCAGAAGCGGUCCUCUUCUUGCCAUGGAAGGCCUCCUCUGCACCUUUGCCCUCGGGCAAGAGGGUUUCGGUUUCCCCGAACACAGCGUCUAAUUUAUCCUUGGGGCAGAGACCACCUCCAGCCUCCCUAUUCUCGCACUCCUCCGCAGACGCCUGGUACGGUGUCGGAGUCAGCAUCCUCGUCAGUAGGGCGUUCGCAGAGUCUUCGGGAAGGGGCGCCGGACACCUGAUCAACACCGCUUUCUUUAUCCAGUCCUGUGAAGGGACGGAUUGUUCAAUAUCUUACCAAGAGAUACUCGAAUAAGGGGUGUGCGGAGAUCGAAUACUUACCGCGGUGUCUGGAUGAUUGCAGUCGAGGCCAACACCUUCGGUGGUGUCCGGCCAUUGCUCUCGUUCCCCGAAAUAUAAUUUCCACAUUCCCUCGUGCGUAGUGCCGAGGAAGUGCUGAAGAGUCCGCCAUCCUUCGGGACUAAACUCCCACAUACAGAGAGGCCGCCGCUGACAUGGCAGAGUCCGGCAGACUAGCAUUACUUGAAUGACGUUCACAAGACCGAUGCCCUUCUUGGUAAGGCUUCAGACGCGACCUUGCAGGGUCUGCACUUCAUUGACGGAUCCCCAGUCCAGUCCCUUAUUGAUCCAUGAAGCAAGCUGAAUUGGAGGGCCGGGUCGGAACGCAGGCGCAGCCGCCCACUUGGAGCCCCGUGGCUCGUUGAUAUAAAACCACCCCUGCUGCCAUAGGUCGGAAGACUUGGCGAAAGAUCCUUCAAACCAAACCGCGCUGGCAAGCUUGCUUAUUGUGACGCUGCCACACUCUGCCUGCUCCUCCUCUGUCACCUGCGGCCUCACGUCAAAGGUCUCGAGCCACAAACCAAAGUGCGGAGGAGUCCGGAGAAAGGCUUCACAUGUGACGAUAAAUGUCGAGAUGAGGAGAAUAGAGUCCGGGACCAGAUCGUGAAAGUCUAGCCCAUAGUAAAAAAUGAGCCCCCGAAUGAAGGGGUUAAGCGCGAACCCUAACCCAUGGAGGAACUGGGACACAAACACUACCCUCUCGCUGGAUUUUGGGGUAGGAACGACCUGCCUCUGUGCGGGAAGCCGAUGAAGGAUCUCCGGGGUCAGAUACCUCGCUGCGCGGAGCUUCGCAAUAUCCUCCUCUGUGAUAGAAGAAGCCACCCACCGGCCUGGAUGGCUGGAUCCGGACAUGAUUGGGGCUGGUGGCAAUUGGAAUCCGAGGGUUGGAACUUGGGGUGGCUAGGGUUGAGGAAGAAGCGAGCGCAAAGAAAGAAGACGAGUCUGGGACCCUAUAUAAAGACCCCAAGUACUAAGCGUAUCCACCCGGGUCUCGAAACUUACCAAUCUCCAGAGAGACGUACCCGGGGGACGGUUGGGUUACCCACGCCUGCAUUAAUGAAAAUCCCGUGAAUAAGGGAACACGAUCUCUGCCUUGGCUAGACAAGCCAGUAAAACCGCGUCCCGAGACGUGAGGCGACGCGCCAGCCAACGGUUGGAAAUAGUGACCGGGCAGGCGUGAUGUCAUAAACAGUUACCAAUAAAUUAGGCUCGUAUAUUUUCUGCAACUAUAUAUACAGGUCCGGAUAUAUCUACUACAUCCGAAGACUAUCUUCGAGUUCAGAGAAAGGGGAACCCGCCUUGCAAUGCCGAAGACAAUCUGCGCGCCAGACUCCUCGUCAUUGAAGCCAGGUUCAGGGGCUACUGAGGGAGUCUUGGACUAAGGGGUCCUCGGGUGUCCGGCCUGUUAUCCAUGGGCCGGACUGAUGGGCUGUGAAGACAUGAAGACCGAAGACCAUACUCGUGUCCGGAUUGGACUCUCCUUGGCGUGGAAGGCAAGCUAGGCGACCAGCUGUGAAGAUUCCUUCUUAUGUAACCGACUCCAUGUAACUCUAGAUCUCUCUUGUGUCUAUAUAAACCGGAGAGCAUAGUCCGGAUAGGACACAUUCAUUACCAUAUACUGACAUAGGCUAGACUUUUAGGGUUUAGCCAUUAUGAUCUCGUGGUAGAUCAACUCUUGUAAACACUCAUAUUCAUCAAGAUCAAUCAAGCAGGAAGUAGGGUAUUACCUCCAUAGAGAGGGCCCGAACCUGGGUAAACAUCGUGUCCCCGUCUCCUGUUACCAUCGAUCCUAGACGCACAGUUUGGGACCCCCUACCCGAGAUCUGCCGGUUUUGACAUCGACAACCGUCGAAUCAAAGUAUGACAUGCUGGUAAGCAGUAUGACUAUUAUCGCCCACAACUCUUUGUGUUCUACUCGUGCAUACAACAUCUACGCAUAGACCUGGCUCGGAUGCCACUGUUGGGGAACGUAGUAUUUCAAAAAUUAUCCUAAGAUCACGCAAGAUAUAUCUAGGAGAAGCAUAGCAACAAGCGGGGAGAGUGUGUCCACGUACCCUCGUAGACCGAAAGCGGAAGCGUUUAGUAACGCGGUUGAUGUAGUCGAACGUCUUCUCGAUCCAACCGAUCCAAGUACCGAACGCACGACACCUCCGCGAUCUGCACACGUUCAGCUCGGUCACGUCCCUCGAACUCUAGAUCUAGCUGAGGUCGAGGGAGAGUUCCGUCAGCAUGACGGUGUGGUGACGGUGAUGAUGAAGUUACCGGUGCAGGGCUUCACCUAAGCACUACGACGAUAUGACCGAGGUGGAAAACUGUGGAGGGGGGCACUGCACACAGCUAAAGAUCAACUUGUGUGCCUUUGGGGUGCCCCUCUCCCAUGUAUAUAAAGGAGGGGGGAAUAGGAGGCCGGCCCUAAAGGGGACGUGCCAAAAGGGGGAGUCCUACUUGGACUCCCGAUCCAAGUAGGAUUCGGCCCCCCCUUUCCUAUUCCAACUAGGAGAAGGAAGGGAAGGUGGAAGAGGGGAGAAGGAAGGAGGGGGGGCGCCGCCCCCUCCUAGUCCAAUUCAGACCAGCCCUUGGGGGGGGGCGCGGCCACCCCUUGAGGCCCUUCUCUCCUUUCCCGUAUGGCCCAUUAAGGCCCACUACUUCCCCCGGCAAAUUCCCGUAACUCUGUGGUACUCCGAAAAAUACCCGAAUCACUCGGAACCUUUCCGAUGUCCGAAUAUAGCCUUCCAAUAUAUCGAUCUUUACCUCUCAACCAUUUCGAGACUCCUCGUCAUGUCCUUGAUCUCAUCCGGGACUCCGAACAAACUUCGUUCAUCAAAUCACAUAACUCAUAAUACAAAUCGUCAUCGAACGUUAAGCGUGCGGACCCUACAGGUUCGAGAACUAUGUAGACAUGACCGAAACACAUCUCCGGUCAAUAACCAAUAGCGGAAUAUGGAUGCUCAUAUUGGCUCCUACAUAUUCUACGAAGGUCUUUAUCGGUCAAACCGCAUAACAACAUAUGUUGUUCCCUUUGUCCUCGGUAUGUUACUUGCCCGAGAUUCGAUCGUCGGUAUCAUCAUACCUAGUUCAAUCUCGUUACCGGCAAGUCUCUUUACUCAUUUCGUAAUGCAUCAUCCCGCAACUAACUCAUUAGUCACAUUGCUUGCAAGGCUUAUAGUGAUGUGCAUUACUGAAAGGGCCCAGAGAUACCUCUCUGAUACACGGAGUGACAAAUCCUAAUCUCGAUCUAUGCCAACCCAACAAAAACCUUCGGAGACACCUGUAGAGCAUCUUUAUAAUCACCCAGUUACGUUGUGACGUUUGAUAGCACACAAGGUGUUCCUCCGGUAUUCAGGAGUUGCAUAAUCUCAUAUUCAGGAGUUUGAUGUUAAGAUUGUUGUACUUAUCAUGCCUUUCCACUACUUAUGCAGGACAACAACGGGAGUGGCCACCAUUUUCCGCCGAGGAUAGCUUCAUCCCUCGGCUUGUACUCUCCCCGUCGUUCCAUAAUGUAGUGCAUAUAGAUCCAGGCCUGGACACUAGUUAGCUUCUAAUAUUGACUUGUUUCUUGUAGGUACAUAUGCCCUUGGCAAGGAUCCAUGCAUCGACCUUUUUGCGUAUGGGGCACUGAGAUAUUGAUGAACAAGCAUCAAGUGAGGAAACUGAUAAGGAUUAUUAGCAAAAAGAUACGAAUGGUGGCAAGCAAAUUAUUUGUUUAUGCUCUAUCCAACGCAACAGUGAGCUCUAGCAUGGUAAAUACAAACUCUGCAGCCUUCUCUUUUUACUGCCCAUAAUGAGUUGUUAGACAACAAUGUCUGAAUCUUUUUCGUUCCUAGUGGUUCCCGAAGCAGUUCACUCAAGAUUACCUCGCAAAGUACAUGAUUGGUGGACACGCAAUGAAGGUUAAAGUAUUUCAUCCAGACUACAAUGAGCAUCGAGAAGUCCUAAUGAAGACAGUGAAGGAUGGACGGGCAGCCAUCAUAAGGGGUUGGCCUAGAGUCCUGCGCGCCUUACGCAUGGAGGAGGGCACAAUAUGGGCAUUCCGCUUCACCUUCUCCAGCAACCAGAAUGUCUUUCGCCUCUCUCUUUACAGUCUUUAGUACAACUAUGGUUCAUCAUUCUUUACUUGGUGCUUUUGUAGUUCUUUAGUAUAAGUACCUGUGCAUUGAAUUGUGGAUUCGUGGUUGAACCUAUAUUUGUGAUAAACAUGGUUGGAUAUGAAAUAAGUGAUUGCCUACUUUCAAAUUCAUAACAUGUGAUUUUUAAAUUAGGGAUUAAUUGGAUUAAUUAUGGAUUAAAUAUGGAUUACACUACACACGGUUUGCGAAAGCGAAACAUCUGCGAUAUACGUGGAGAUCAGGAACGUUUCUAGGAUCCACUACGUGUGCGAUCAAUCUCCACUGCACACACGACUUUCUCUUGAAAGCUGUUUGCGUUAGGCCACCUUGCGAAAACGUUUAUCACACAAAAGGUGUAUGUGAUGGACAGCCUUUGCCACACAGUUUCUUUCUACGCACCGUGUGUGAUGCAUUCAAUAACGCAAACGAUAAAAUUAUUAAUAUCGUGUGCAAUGGCAACGCUAUCACAAACGAUUUAACGGGAAAAAUUGUGUGUGAUGUACCUGUGAACGGAAACAUUUUCCUUGGAGCGACUGUCUGGGAUGUGCAUAUGAACGGAAACAUUUAGCGGGGACUGACUGUGGUGGAUGUACUUGCGACCGGAAACAAUUUCGCCGUAUAAUUUUAUUUUUUAUCUAUACUAUAUGUAUUUCCGUAUUUGAGCGCUCGCCGGUCGCACACGACCUCAUUUUGCCGAACGUGUGUGCCAGGAGGGCAUAUCCCCGACGGUUCCUGGGUCGUGUGGGAAGGACCCCCCUAUCACCCACACUCACUUGGAGACGGUUCCAGAUGCCGUCGUGGAAAGGGGUUUUAAACCAUUUGUUUAGGACCGACGCGCACCAGUGACAAUAGCAAUAAAACUCAACGAUCAUAAUGCUAAGCUAACGGAUGGGUCCUGUCCAUCACAUCAUUCUCUAAUGAUGUGAUCCUGUUGAUCAAAUGACAACACAUGUCUAUGGUCAGGAAACAUAACCAUCUUUGAUCAACGAGCUAGUCAAGUAGAGGCAUACUAGGGACACUCUGUUUUGUCUAUGUAUUCACACAUGUACUAAGUUUCCCGUUAAUACAAUUCUAGCAUGAAUAAUAAACAUUUAUCAUGAUAUAAGGAAAUAUAAAUAACAACUUUAUCAUUGCCUCUAGGGCAUAUUUCCUUCAGUCUCCCACUUGCACUAGAGCCAAUAAUCUAGUUCACAUCGCCAUGUGAUUUAACACCCAUAGUUCACAUCACCAUGUGAUUAGUUCACAUCGCCAUGUGACUAAUACCCAAAGGGUUUUACUAGAGUCAUUAAUCUAGUUCACAUCGCCAUGUGAUUAACACCCAAAAGUACUAAGGUGUGAUCAUGUUUUGCUUGUGAGAGAGGUUUAGUCAAUGGGAUAUACACCCAAAGAAGACAUGAUUACUUUGUUAGUAUGCUUGAAGUAUUAUUAUUUUUAUGUUAAUAUUAAACUUUUGUCUUGAAUCUUUCAGAUCUGAACAUUCAUGCCACAAUAAAGAAAAUUACAUUGAUAAUUAUGUUAGGUAGCAUUCCACAUCAAAAAUUCUGUUUUUAUCAUUUACCUACUCGAGGACGGGCAGGAAUUAAGAUUGGGGAUGCUUGAUAUGUCUCCAACGUAUCUAUAAUUUUUUAUUGUUCCAUGCUAUUAUAUUAUCUGUUUUGGAUGUUUAAUGGGCUUUAAUACGCACUAUUAUACUAUUUUUGGGACUAACCUAUUAACCGGAGGCCCAAUGCCAGUUUCUGUUUCUUUUGCCUAUUUUAGAGUUCGCAGAAAAGGAAUACCAAAUGGAGUCCAAACGGAAUGAAACCUUAGCGAUGAUCUUUCUCGGACACAAAGCAAUCCAGAAGACUUGGAGUCGAAGUCUGGAACUCCACGAGGAAGCCACGAGGCAGGAGGGCGCGCCCCGACCCUCGUGGGCCCCUCGUAGCUCCACUGGCGUACUUCUUUCGCCUAUAUAUACUCUUAUACCCUAGAUCGAUCAGAGAGAGCCACGAAACCACUUUUCCACCGCCGCAACCUUCUGUGCCCAUGAGAUCCCAUCUUGGGGCCUUUUCUGGUGAUCUGCCGGAGGGGGAACCGAUCACGGAGGGCUUCUACAUUAACACCAUUGCCUCUCCGAUGAAGCGUGAGUAGUUUACCACAUACCUUCGGGUCCAUAGUUAUUAGCUAGAUAGCUUCUUCUCUCUCUUUGAUUCUCAAUACAAAGUUCUCCUCGAUGUUCUUGGAGAUCUAUUCGAUGUAAUACUCUUUUGCGGUGUGUUUGCCGAGAUCUGAUGAAUUGUGGAUUUAUGAACAAGAUUAUCUAUGAAUAUUAGUUGGUUCUUCUCUGAAUUCUUAUAUGCAUGAUUUGAUAUCUUUGCAAGUCUCUUCGAAUUAUCGGUUUAGUUUGGCCUACUAGAUUGAUCUUUCUUGCAAUGGGAGAAGUGCUUAGCUUUGGGUUCAAUCUUGUGGUGUCCUUUCCCAGUGACAGUAGGGGCAGCAAGGCACGUAUUGUAUUGUUGCCAUCGAGGAUAAAAAGAUGGGGUUUAUAUCAUAUUGCUUGAGUUUAUCCCUCUACAUCAUGUCAUCUUGCUUAAUGCGUUACUCUGUUCUUAUGAACUUAAUACUCUAGAUGCAUGCUGGAUAGCGGUCGAUGUGUGGAGUAAUAGUAGAUGCAGAAUCGUUUCCGUCUACUUGACACGGACGUGAUGCCUAUAUUCAUGAUCAUUGCCUUAGAUAUCUUCAUAACUAUGCGCUUGUCUAUCAAUUGCUCGGCAGUAAUUUGUUCACCCAACGUAAUACAUGCUAUCUUGAGAGAAGCCACUAGUGAAACCUAUGGCCCCCGGGUCUCUUUCUUAUUAUAUUGUAUCUCUUUUAUUUACAUCGCAUCUCGUUUACUAUUUUGCAAUCUUUACUUUCCAUUCUAUACAACAAAAAUACCAAAAGUAUUUACUUUACUAUCUUUAUUAGAUCACACUUUUGCGAGUGACCGUGAUGGGAUUGACAACCCCUUUAUCGCGUUGGUUGCAAGGUUCUUGAUAGUUUGUGCAGGUACUAGGUGACUUGUGUGUUGUCUCCUACUGGAUUGAUACCUUGGUUCUCAAAACUGAGGGAAAUACUUACGCUACUUUGCUGCAUCACCCUUUCCUGUUGAAGGGAAAACCAACGCAUGCUCAAGAGGUAGCACACCAUUGAGCCUUAGGGUUCUGACACCAUCGACAACGUCGAGACCAAGACUCAGGGGCACCUGUGUGGUGGCAUGCAGAUAUUUGUGAGGAAUAAAGGCCUGCGUAUCUGGAGAGAAACCAGAAGGUGAAGACCCCCGGCAAGAGCCUUGUCGGGGACAGGCAGAGACACCCGGCAAGAGCCUUGCCGGGGACAGAUGAAGACCCCCGGCAAGAUCCUUGCCGGGGACGCCCGCGAGACCCCGGCAAGACCCUUGCCGGGGGCUUCUGCGGGGCCGAGGCCAGGCCCGCACACACCAACGUUCCACUGCCCCGCGCCCGUGCCGACGCGGCAAUCAGCCCGCCAACUAGGCCAGCGCCUGCGUGGCAGCAUGCAACUUCUAGGCCAACUAGCCAAGCACCUGCGUGGUGGCAUGCAGAUCUUCGUGAAAACCCUAUCACCGCACCAACUCAGCAGCCAGCCAGCCAGCAUGGCGCUGCAUGCCUCGUCACCUUGGACGCGCGUCGAAGCAAGGCGAGGCGGCGAUGGACGGGACAAGCUUCUUUGCCGUCCCCGAUAAAGCAAGAGGGCAUGUCGGCAGCGCAUUAAAUGCGUUUGUCCUACGGUCCCAGGCGAUAGAUUUGUACACUGUACAUACUUUCCACCUCCUGUGUGCCACUAUGGCGACCCCUUUGACAUAUAAAAGGAGGCCCAAGGCGUACUGAGGAAGCAUUCAGACCUUUUGGACUAGGCAGGCACCGUAGCUAGUUCAAGAGAUCAAGAACACCAAAUAUACAGAAAAGCAGGACUAAGGUAUUAUGCAUCAUUUGCGAAACCUGGGUAAAAAUCCCCUCAAGCUGAUCUUUUAGUCCCGCUCUUUGCACAGCUCCACGCCCCACCAACUGUAGAAGGGAUUCCCCGGGAUCCCAUAGGUGUCGUUUCCCCCGACAACUACCGUGGUGCUGUUUUUUGUGCAGAAAUAGAAGUUCUCCAAAUGAGCUAUAACUUUUUGACGAUUUUUUCGAACAAAAGAGGCACUAGAAGCUUCGAGGGGGUAGAAGGUUAAGGAGGUGGCCACCCUCCACCAGGGUGCGCCAGGGGCCUUGCCCAUGCGCUGGUGGAGGGUGGGCCCCUCGAAGCACAUCUUCGCAUGAAACCGACGCCAAAAAAUCCUAUAAAUGCAGAAGCCCCCAGAAAUAACCCUAGAUCAGAAGUUCCGCCGCCCAAGCCUCUGUAGCCAUGAAAAACCAAUUUAGACCCUGUUCUGGCACCCUAUUGGAGGGGGAAAUCAUCACCAGUGGCCAUCUUCAUCAUCCCAUCGGCCACCAUGAUGAGGAGGGAAUAGUCCACCCUUGGGGCUGAGGGUUUGUACCAGUAGCUAUGUGUUUAAUAUCCCUCUCUCUCUCUCUCUCUCGUGUUCUUGAGUUGGCACGAUCUUGAUGUAUCACGAGCUUUGUUAAUAUAGUUGGAUCAUAUGGUGUUUUGCCCUCUCUAUCUUGUUGUGAUGAAUUGAGUUUUCCCUUUGAGAUUUCACUUUUAUCGGAUUGGAUAUAUACUUCAUUGGAUUUGAGAGCACUCGAUCUAUGUCUUGGCACUCAAAUCACAGAUUCCCGAGGUGACAUUGUGGUAAUCUAUGCAUAGGGGUUGAUGCACGUUUUCAUCCUUGUUUCUCCGGUAGAAAUCUUGGGGCACUCUUUAAGGUUCUUUGUGUUGGGUUGAGUAUUAUGAAUCUAUAAUUGUUUGAUGCAUAUCUUAUAAUCAAUUCACGGAUACUCGUGGUGACAUUGGAGUAUCUAGGUGACAUUAGAGUUGGUUGAUGUGUAUCAUAUGGUUUUAUUUUAGUACGAACUCUUAGAUAGAUCGAUCGGAAAGGAUAACUUGGUGUUAUUUUAGUAGGAACUCUUGGAUAGAUCGAUCGGAAAGGAUAAUUUUGAGGUGGUUUCAUACCCUACAAACAAUUUCUUCUUAUGUUCUCCGCUAGAUAAGAGCUAUGGAGUGAUUCUUCAUCACACAUUGAGGGAUGGUUAUAUGACCCAAUUAUGUUAGCAUUGUUGAGAGAUUGCACUAGCGAAAGUACGGAUCCUAGGCCUCAUUUUUAAGCAUUGAAAUACCAUUUGUGCUCACUUUUGUUACUUGCUACCUUGCUGUUUUUUAUCGUUCCCAUUACAAAAUUAAGAUCUACUAUCAUUACUAGACUUGUAUUACCAUCUCUUCGCCGAACUAGUGCACCUAUACAAAUUACCAUUGUAUUUGGUGUGUUGGGAACACAAGAGACUCUUUGUUAUAUGGUUGCAGGGUUGUUUGACAGAGACCAUCUUCAUCCUAUGCCUCCCACGGAUUGAUAAACCUUAGGCCAUCCACUUGAGGGAAAAUUGCUACUGUCCUACAAAACACUGUGCUUGGAGGCCCAACACGAGUCUACAAGAACAAGUUGUGUAGUAGACAUCAAGCUCUUUUCUAGCGCCGUUGCCGGGGAGGUGAGUGCUUGAAGGUAUAUCUUUAGAUCAUGCAAUUGAAUCUUUUAGUUUUUUGUUUUAUCACUAGUUUGGUUCGUAAAAGUAAAGUACAAAAAAAUGGAAUUGAGGUGGCCUCAUAUUAUUCGUCUUUAUCAUGUCUUUCUUGAAAAUUAUGGAAAGGAAAAUUGUGUUCAAUUUAUAGAAGAAGAGUUCAAUAAAAUGUUUGGCAUUAAAUGUUUGAACGAUGAGCAUGAUUGCAAUGUUGUUGGUAUGAAUUCUUUUAAUAUCCAUGAUGCUAAUGAUAUGCAAAGCCUAAGCUUGGGGAUGCUAUGUUUGAUGAAGAUGAUAUUUUUAGUCCCCCAAGUUUUCAUGAGAAAAAUUAUUACGAUGAUAGCAUGCCUCCUAUUUAUGAUGAUUAUAUUGAUGAAAGUGGGUUUGGAAGAGUGUCAACUCUAGGAAGAAAUGAUCCCACUAUUUUGGAGGGUGUUGAAUCUUAUUGUAAUAAUUAUGAAAGUGGAUUUGGAGAGUUUGUGACUUUAUUUAAUGAUGAUUCCACUAUUUUGAAAGAGGUUUCAAUUGAUUAUGAAAACAAAGUUCCUAUCUAUGAUGAUUAUUGUGAUGUCAUGUGUGCUAUAGAGAGUGAUGAUAACCAUGAAACUUGUCAUCAUGAUUUUAAUGUUCAGUUUGAUUAUGUCAACCAAGUAUAUCAUGAUAGUUAUUUUAUUGAGUUUGCUCUCACCACUAUGAAUGAGAAUAAAUUUGCUUAUAUGGAGAGUAAUAAAAAAAUUAUCCAUGUGGAUCACGAAAAUAAUGCUUUAUGUGAUAGUUAUAUUGUCGAAUUCAUUCAUGAUGCUACUGCAAAUUAUUAUGAGAGACGAACAUAUACGUUUACAUAUCUCAAUAACAUCAAGUUUCCUCUCUAUGUGUUGAAAAUCUUGAAGUUUUGCUUGUUUUACCUUCCUAUGCUAGUUGAUUCUUGUUCCCAUAAGUUGUUUUCUCACAAAAUCCCUAUGCAUAGGAAGUGUGUUGGGAUUAAAUGUGUUAGUCAUAUGCUUCAUGAUGCUCUCCUUAUAUUUCAAUUCUUAUCUUUUAUGUGAGCAUGAUUGAAAUCAUCAUGCCUAGCUUAAAAGGCAUUAAAGAAAAGCGCUUGUUGGGAGGCAACCCAACAUUUACCCCUACUGUUUUUGUGUGUUAACAUGAUUAAGCUACUGUAGUAAUCAUGUUUUAGCGUUUGUUUCAAUAAAGUACCAAGUAAAGCCUUUGGGAUAGUGUGGAUGAUAGUUGACUUGAUUCUGUGUAAAAAUAGAAACUUGUGUGCCCAGUAACAGAAUUGUUAAAAAUCACUGGCGCGUCAAAAACUUCUGAAUAUUUUACAGUUGAUGGGUAUACAAAUUUUCUAAGUUGUCCUAAUUUUUCAGCAUGUUUGGAGUUACAUAAGUAUGACCAUAAUUCAGAUCUUUCCGCUGUUCUUGUUUUGACAGAUUCUGUUUACAAUGCAUAGUUUGCUUGUUUUAUGGUUUCUAUGGCUUAUAUUGCUUAAUAUAAAUUGGGGAAAUUAUAUAGUAUGGUAGGAAUUAUGUGGAAACAAUUAUGAAUCUUAUAUUGACAGUACCAAAGUGAAUUAUUUUUCUUUAUCAUACUAACCCAUCUCACGAAGUUCCGUUAAGUUUUGUGUGAUUGAAGUUUUCAAGUUUUGGGUGAGAUAUCGAUAUGAGGAGAAUAAGGAGUAAAAAAUACCCUAAUAUUUGGGAUGCCCAAGGCACCCCAAGAUAAUAGUCAAGGAAGAUCCAAGCAACUAAUCUUGGGGAUGCCCCGGAAGGCAUCCCCUCUUUCGCUCCAACAUUAUCGGUAACAUUACUUGGGGCUAUAUUUUUAUUCGUCACAAGAUAUGUGUUUUGCUUGCAGCAUAAUUUUAUUUUAUUAGUAUUUUCUUGCUGUUAUUUAGAAUAAUGUUUUUUUAUCUUUUAAUUCAAUAAAAGUGUCAAGUAUAGCUUUUGCUAUGCUUAUUUUGCAAGUCUAUAUGUGGCUGUUUGAAAAUAGAAAGUUGCACGCUAGUGCGUGAAUUCUUGGGAAAAUUCAGAAUAUGAUAAAAUGUUGAAACUUUUUGCACAAUAAGAUAUGAUAAAUUUUCUAUAGUGUGGUAAAUUUUCAGAAUUUUGGGAGUUAGGGAAGUGUGAGUAUAAUUGCACUCUUUACAGACUGUCCUGUUUAGACAGAUUGCUCUUAUGUUUGCAUUGUUUGCAUAUGUUUGCUUGCUUAAUGAUUCUAUUUGAGGAUAGGAGUAUUAAAUAUGCAGAGGCAUUUAGUAUGAAAUGUUAAAUAAUAAUUUUAGUGAUUUGAUACAGUAGAGAAUGAUAAGGUUAUGCAUUGAUUUAUACUAACUUAUCUAACGAGUUCUUGUUGAGUUUUGUGUGGAUGAAGUUUGUUGAGAUUUAGGGAAACCGUGAUAUAAAAGGAAUUAAGGAGACACAAAAUCUCAAGCUUGGGGAUUCCCAAGGCAUCCCAAGAUAAUAUUUCAAGAAUUUUGAAGCAUCUAAGCUUGGGGAUGCCCUGGUAGGCAUCCCACCUUUCUUCAUCAACAAUUAUUGGUUAGCCUCGGUUGAGCCUACAUUUUUGCUGCUUCACAUGAGUUGUGCUAUUCUUGGAAUGUCAUUUAAUUUUAAUUUUGCUUGAUGUUUUAAUAAAAUACUUCAAGCUGAAAGUCUUUAAAUGAGAGAGAGUCCUCAAAUGGCUACCCAUUUACUUAACUACUCGUUUGAUCUUCACUUAUAUAUUUUUGGAGUAGUUUUGUCAUUUACUCUCGUGCUUCACUUAUAUCCUAAGUUGAAUGAAUUGAAUAUGGUAAAUUUGAAAUUAUAUGUGCUUCAUAUGCUUAUAUCAUACCUAGUAGUAGCUUCACAUCGGAUUUAGAAAGUGAAAUCUUUUGAAGCUUGACAAUCACAAUAUUGGUCAUACAAGCAAUUCAUGAAUGAUUAGUAUAAGGAAGAGAACUUUCACAUACAAAUACAUUAUCUUGGAUAUCUUCUAUGAUUGUGAAUACCCAUUAAUUAUUUUCAAACUUGAGCAAAUUAGUUGAAGUUGCACCAUGAAGACAACGUAAUGAGUUAUGGUUGUGUAUAUUUGCAUAGAAGUUAUAUUGUUAUGGAUCCUCCAACAUGUGGUGUUUCCUUAGGAUAUUUUGCCAGCCAAAAAUUCAUACUAAGUAGAGACACUACUUGUGCAUCAAAAAACCCUUAACCCAGUUUCUUACCAUGAGUGUCCACCAUACCUACCUAUGGAUUGAAUAAGAUCCUUCAAGUAAGUUGUCAUUGGUGCAUAAAGCAAUAAAAAUUGCUCCUAAAUAUGUUUGAUCUUUUAUUCUAAGGGAAAAUAAGCGUUGUACAAACUUGUGAUGGCAAAGUAAUAAAAGCGGCGGACUGCAUAAUAAAGGUUGCUAUCAUAAGGGGCAAUAUAAUGUGACGUUUCUUUGCACUAAGAGCUUGGGCAUCCAAAAAGAAAAAACGCAUGACAACCUCUGCUUCCCUCUGCGAAGGGCCUAUCUUUUACUUUUCAGUAUUUACUUUAUGCAAGAGUCAAUAGUAUACAUCCUCAUUCAACCUCAAUUAUUCUCUAGUUGGCAAUCAUCAUGUGGUGCAGAAAGAUCUAGGCACAUAUGGCCAGUCGAAUAUAUUUGAUCAUGAUUUAUUAUUGUUGACAAUUAUCUCUAUGAUAAAUGAGUUGGGAGGCGAAACACUAAGCCCCUAUCUUUCUUUGUGUUCGAUGGAUGCCAUUUGUUCAAAAAAUAUGCUUUGAGUACUAGCAAUUAGAGAAGACUAUAUGAUGAUUGAGUAUGUGGAGAUCUUACUUAGACUUUGUUGAGAAUAAGUUGAAUUGCAAUUGUUUGGUGACUAAGAACAUAGGUUGUUAAGUUUCAAGAUAAUUCAUUGUUUGAACCAUAACAUGUGAAUUGGUUGCUACUUUAACAUGAGAAGUUUUAUGAGAAAGAGUUGUUGUUAUGAUGCUAGGAAAAGUGAUUGAAAUUAUCAUUGAUCAAACUUAUGCACUAUGCUAGCAUUCACGCUUCAUAAAUUAUUUCUUUUAUCAUUUACCUACUCGAGGACGAGUAGGAAUUAAGCUUAGGGAUGCUGAUAUGUCUCCAACGUAUCUAUAAUUUAUGAAGUAUUCAUGCCAUGUUUACAGCAAUUUUAUAUGGUUUUGGUAUGAUUUGAAUGGAACUAACCCGCACUGAUGUUGUUUUCAGCAGAACUACUGUCGUGUCGUUUUUUGUGCAGAAAUGAAAGUUCUCCAAAUGAGCUGGAAUUUUAACGAUUUUUUUGGAACAAAAAAGGCACUAGAAGCUUCAGGGGGGCGGAAGGUGAAGGAGGUGGCCACCCUCCACCAGGGCGUGCCAGGGGCCUUUCCUGUGUGCUGGUGGAGGGUGGGCCCCUUGAAGCCCAUCUACGCAUGAAACUGAUGCCAAAAAAUCCUAUAAAUAUAGAAACCCCCAGAAAUAACCCUCAAUCAGAAGUUCCGCCGCCACAAGCCUCUAUAGCCACGAAAAACCAAUCUAGACCCUGUUCUGACACCCUACCAGAGAGGAAAAUCAUCAUCGGUGGCCAUCUUCAUCAUCCCGGCGCCCACCAUGAUGAGGAGGGAAUAGUCCACCCUCGGGGCCGAGGUUUUGUACCGGUAGCUAUGUGUUUAAUCUCUCUGUCUGUCUUGUGUUCUUGAGUUGGCAUGAUCUUGAUGUAUCACGAGCUUUGUUAAUAUAGUAGGAUCAUAUGGUGUUUUCCCCUCUCUAUCUUAUUGUGAUGAAUUGAGUUUUCCCUUUGAGAUUUCACUUUCAUCGGAUUGAAUACUUUGUUGGAUUCGAGAGUACUUGAUCUAUGUCUUGGCACUCAACUCGCGGAUUCCCAAGGUGACAUUGGGGUAAUCUAUGCAUAGGGGUCGAUGCACGUUUUCGUCCUUAUUUCUACGGUAGAAAUCUUGGGGCACUCUUUUGAGGUUCUUUGUGUUGGAUUGAGUAUUAUGAACAUGAAAUUGUUUGAUGCAUAUCGUAUAAUCAAUUCAUGGAUACUCGUGGUAACAUUGGAGUAUCUAGGUGACAUUAGAGUUGGUUGAUGUGUAUCAUAUGGUGUUAUUUUAGUACGAACUCUUAGAUAGAUCAAUCAGAAAGGAUAACUUGGUGUUAUUUUAGUACAAACUCUUGGAUAGAUCGAUCGAAAAGAAUAACUUGAGGUGGCUUCGUACCCUACAAACAAUUUCUUCUUAUGUUCUCCGCUAGAUAAGAACUUUGGAGUGAUUCUUCAUCGCACGUAGAGGGAUGGUUGUACAAUCCAAUUAUAUUAGCAUUGUUGAGAGAUUGCACUAGAGAAAGUACAGACCCUAAGCCUCAUUUUCAAGCAUUGCAAUAACGUUUGUUCUCACUUUUGUUACUUGCUAUCUUGUUGUUUUUUAUUGUUCCCAUUACAAAAUUAAGAUCUACUAUCAUUACUAGACUUGUAUUACCAUCUCUUCGCCGAACUAGUGCACCUAUACAAAUUACCAUUGUAUUUGGUGUGUUGGGGACACAAGAGACUCUUUGUUAUUUGGUUGCAGGGUUUUUGAGAGACACCAUCUUCAUCCUACGCCUCCCAUGGAUUGGUAAACCUUAGGUCAUUCGCUUGAAGGAAAAUUGCUACUGUCCUACAAAACACUGCGCUUGCAGGCCCAACACGAGUCUACAAGAACAAGUUGUGUAGUGGACACCGGAUAGCGACGAGCUCACCGGCGCGCUCAGGGGGAGGGGGCACCCCCUGAUCUCACAGGUCCCACACAGCUCCAUUUGACUUAAUUCCAAGUGUAUAAAUUCCCAAAUAUUCCCAAACCAACACGGAGCCACCCGAAACACUUUUUCCACCGCCGCAAGCUUCUAUUCUUCCGCGAUCUCAUCUGGAGGCCUUUUCCAGUACUCUGUCGGAGAAGGAAUUGAUCAUGAAGGAAUUCCACAUCAUCCUUGCUGCACCUCCAAUGAUGUGUGAGUAGUUUACCACAGACCUAUGGGUCCAUAGCUAGUAGCUAGAUGGCUUCUUCUUUCUCUCUGAUCUUCAAUACAAAGUUCUCCAUGAUCUCCAUGGAGUUCUAUCUAAUGUAAUCUUCUUUUGAAGUGUGUUUGUUGGAAUCCGAUGAAUUGUUGGUUUAUGAUUAAAUUAUUCAUUGACAGUAAUUGACUCUUUUCUGAACUUUGUUAUGCAUGAAUGUUAUAGCUUUGUAUUUCCCUCCGAUCUAUCCGUUUGGUUUGGCCAACUAGAUUGAUUUAUCUUCAGUGGGAGAGGUGCUUUGUGAUGGGUUCAAUCUUGCAGUGUUCUCACCUAGUGACAGAAAGGGUAGAGGGGCAUAUAUUUUUAUUGAUGCCAUUAAGGGUAAAAUGAUGAGGUUUAAUCAUAUUGCUUGGUUUUAUUCUGUCUACAUCAUGUCAUCAUACCUCAUGCAUUACUCUGUUUGUCAUGAACUUAAUGCAUAGAGAGGUAAGCAUAGAAGCGCUCUCGAAGUGGAGUAAUAGUAGUAGAUGCAGAAUUAUUUCGGUCUAAUUGUCACGGACGUGAUGCCUAUAUACAUGAUCAUUGCCAUGAAUAACAUGAUAACUAUGCGCUUUUCUAUCAGUUGUCCAACAGUAAUUUGUCUACCCAUCGUAUGCCUCUAGAGAAAACUAUUGCCCCCGGGUCUAUAUUUAUCAUAUUACUAAAGCCAAAAAUACCUUGCUGCAAUUUACUUACUUUUCUUUUGUUUUGCAAUUUAUCUAUCUACAACUACCGGAUUCGAUUCUUGCAACUAACGAAUUCAACGGGAUUGACAACCCUCUUGCCCGUGUUGGGUGCAAGUAUUUGUUCUUGUGUGUGCAGGUAUUGUUCACUAGGAUUUGGUGGUUCUCCUAUUGGUUCAAUAACCUUGGUUCUCACUGAGAGAAAUACUUAUCGUCUACUAUAUUGCUUCACCAUUCCUCUUCGGAAAAAAUCCUAACACAGCUCACAAGUAGCACCUACCCGGUCAGAACAAAAAGAAGCACUAACAAGAUUUGAUGAUGACUUGAUGAAAGUAAGACCAACACUAAACGUAUAUUUCACAUAUCUUAGAAUACAUUUUGUAGCAGUCCAAUGAGCUGUAGUAGGUGCAUGAAGAAAUUGACAUAAUUUAUUAACAACAAAAGAAAUGUCAGGUUUGGUGAGAGUCAUGUACUAGAGUGCACCCACCAUACUACUGUAAUUUGUGCUAUCCUCUUGACUCAGGAGGGGUUCCUUCUACAAGAUACAAUUUUUCUAUACUGGAUAGUGUAUUUGGUGAUUGUUUUCACCCCUGUAUUCCAACACCGCUCAAAAUAUCAGUUACAUAUUUUUCUACGGAUGAAGGCCACCUUGUUUGUUCCUUUUUACUUCAAUGCCAAGAAAAUAGUGCAAAUCUCCUAAAUCUUUCAGAGAAAAUUCCGAGUUUAGAUCUCCCAAUAAAUCUGAUAUGGCAUCAUUUGAUCGAUGAUCUUGUAACAAUAAUAUCAUCAACAUAAAUGAGCACAAAUAUGGAUGUAUUUGACUUCUUAGAGAUAGACAAUUUGCGUACAAGCUAAGACUAGUAACUAAGACCUGGUCCAUAGGAUCGAAACAAAUGGAUGGAGGCAGCAGCGGAGCUGGGAGUCAGAAGCUAUGACGUCAAAGCUAAAAAUAUAUCGAGAAAUUAAAGGGGCUAAGCUGGCCUGCGCUCGUCGGAGUUUGUUCGAUACCUCCCCCAUCGCCUGCAAGAUGUUUGCAUAAGCCUCGCAUGAGAGGUAUCUAACAAACUCCGACGAGCGCAGGCCAACAACUGAACAAGCCGCAGCGACGUCAAACACACAAACUGGACCCAUAAACCAGCGACUAUUGCCCGGAGGAAACAAAGGAAAUCAAGGAAGAAGAGAAACCAAAAGGGAAAGAAACGACAAACGCGCCAGGACAAAAACCAGAUGGCUCGCAGUACGAAAGACCUCUUCAACGCUGGCUUCAUCCCCCUAGUUUUAGGAGGCUGCCCGAUUUAUUUUAGAUGGGGUGUUGGUCUUCCACGAAGUCCUGCACGAGGUCCGGGUGAAACACCAUCGCGCGGUCUUCCUGAAGCUCGACUUCCACAAAGCGUACGACAUGGUCCACUGGCCUUUCUUGUGUGAAGUGCUGCUCCGCAAGGGCUUUGACGACCGGUGGGUGACCAGAGUUAUGCAGCUCGUCUCCUGCGGUCGGACCACUGUGAACAUUAACGGUGAGAUCGGCCCCUACUUCCGCACCCUUUGUGGGGUCCGUCAGGGUGACCCGUUCUCGCCAUUCCUGUUGAACAUGGUGGUUGAUGCCCUUGCCAUCAUCCUUGAUAAGGCCAAAGUUGCUGGCCAUAUUCGCGGUAUCGUCCCCCAUCUGGUCGAAGGGGGAGGGGUCUCCCUCCUACAAUAUGCGGACGAUACCAUAAUAAUGGUGGAGGGCACAGUUCAGGACAUUGCCAACCUGAAGUUCCUCCUCCUGUGCUUCCAAUAGAUGUCGGGGCUCUCAACUUCAAUAAGAGCGAAGUGAUGAUUCUUGGGUACUCUAUGGCUGAAGCCCAGGCUAUAGCGGACCGACUGAACUGUCGGUUGGGUUCUUUCCCCACGACCUACCUGGGGAUCCCCAUUAGUGACUCGUGCCUCAUCGUGGCUGACCUUCGCCCCACGGUGACCCGGAUGCAACAUCGGGUUGAGCCCUGGAAAGGGCGCUGGCUGUCGAAGGCCGCUCGCGUGAUCCUCAUCAACUCCUCGCUUGCGGGCCUUCUUUGGUUCCUCAUGAGCUUCUAUAGCCUGCAUGAGAUGCUCCAUCAGGAAAUUGCGAAGUACCAAUCCAGAUUCUUCUGGGCUGGUGAGGGUGAUAAGCAGAAGUACCAUAUGGUGAGCUGGCCCGAUAUUUGCAAACCCAAGGACCAGGGCGGUCUUGGGAUUUUGUCCUCCCAGCGCAUGAACAGUGCCCUCCUGACCCGUUGGCUCUAGCGCAUUGCCAAUGGUGAUGGCGGCCUUUGGCUCACCAUCAUCCAGAACAAGUACCUUUGGGGCCAGCCACUCGCAUUCUGUCAGCGAUCUGGUGGUUCCCAGUUUUGGCAGGCCGUCAUCCAGCUGCUUCCUGUGCUCCUCAUCGGCACGUCCAUCUCAGUUGGCACUGGGUCCUCGACCCUAUUCUGGUUUGAUCGGUGGAUCAGCGACCUACCCCUGGCCGCGAGAUUUCCAGAGCUCUUUGCCAUUGCGGUGGACCCUCCGGUAUCUGUCUAGACGACCCUUAUUGACUUAGGGCGCCUCACCUUAUGUCGCCCCUUUGGCCCGCCUGAAAUGGCCGCAUGGGAUGCUCUCCUCCAGGACAUCGCCCUCCUCCCGAUGAACGUUGAGGACACCCAGGACGGCAUAUCUUGGCGACUGGAGCCCUCCGGUUGCUUUUCCACUAAAUCCCUUGUCGGGGUUUUGGUGCGACAUAUGCCAACGGGUGGCUUAUCAUGGUGGGGGAUAGUAAGACGUCGCCGGUGCCAGGAAGCGGGAUGAGGCAUAGACACGUGCGCCGGCGAACUUUACCCAGGUUUGGGGCUCUCCUAGGAGAUAACACCCCUAGUCCUGCUCUACGGGGUCUCCGCAUGCUCACUAUAUCAACGAGUAGCUACAAGAUGCUCCUUGAGCUGUUUGCUAGAGGAGGAAGAAGGGCUAGGAUAGCUUUCUCCUUUGUCUAUAUGCGUGGUUGUGUAAUCUAAGGGUCUGGACCCUUUGCAUGGGUGCCCUGGGGGUUUAUAUAGGCCUACCACCCCCAGGGGUACAAUGGUAAACUGGUCGGGUGUAGGCCCAGGCCGUCAGUGUCUCUUGUGGCCGGCUUCUCCGCUGGCUGUUGGGGCCCGCCCACUGGUGGGCCCCGCCGGCUGUCUCAUACUUGGCCGACAGGCCGCGCCCGCCGCUUGCGGGUCUUGCCGGCUGCUCGUCACUGUAGUCGUGCCUCUAAUGGCGCUUGCUUUGUCGGGGAAGGCGUGGCUACAGUCCCGCCGCCUGGCGGGCGUUCACUGUAGCCAUUCCCCAUCUCUUUUGGUUAAUGACACACAUACUCCUAGGAAGGGGGAGGGCCGCCUGCGGGGUGUCGGCCUCUCCCCCAAGACGACUGGCCAGGCUCGCCGCCUUCUAGCUUCUCACUGGUAGGUAGGGCCCGCCGCCUGCGGGCUGUACCGACAGCCCGUCGUGGGAGCAUGGUCCUUCUGACUUGGGUGAUGUCACGGGCAGAGGGGCCACAGCGCCGUGCCACGCAGGAGAUCUCCGGCUGGUACGGCGCACUGUGGCCACGACCCGUCCUGGAUUCGGGGUUGGCAGGCUUCGCUGUAGCCACGCCCUGUCUUAUCGCAUUCAUGAGGGUGCAAACUUUGAGGGCGCCUGGGGCCGCCUGCUUGGAACCAACCUCUCCGGAGGCCGCCUGCUAGGAGGCGGCAUGCUUCGUGGCCGUCUUCUGGGGCCCGCCGCCUUUCGGCAGCCGGCCGCUUGGACCAGCCGGCCUCAAGAAGGCAGCGGUCAUGCAUUGAGGUUUGAGGGGCGCAGUUGGCCCCGAUGUCUUGAAAUGUCAUGGGGGGGGCAGAUGAGGCUACCCAUGGCCAAUAACUCCGACAAUAGUCCCCGAAGCUGGUGGGUCGCCGCGACUGACAAGGCGGGGUGCCCCUGCAGCUUCCUACUCUGUGUAGUCUUGUUUGCUCGUCUUGUACGUCUUCUGGUAUGUCGACUGCUAGGAGUUGGACACGGCAGAUGGCCGCUUGAUGAAUUUUGAACCGCCAAGGUGGGAACCAUGUGGCGCGCUAGCUAGGCAUCUAGGCUUGCCGCCCGCCGCUCGCACGCCACGCGGCGUAAGCCAGCCAGGCCGGCCAGCCAGCCCAAGAGCAUGACGGGACAUGCUGCAGGUCGGGCCCGCCACUACCAGACCUCGGCGCGCGUGCGGAUCAGCUGCGGCCGAGGCGGGGCGGUUGGGAUCCCUCGCGCCAUUACCACGCAUCUUUACCAUGUGGUAAAUGCGGGGUCGUGGGGACGUGGGCGCAGUUAAUCCCACGUCCCCACGCCCCGCCCCCUCGGCUUCGCAGCCAAGGGCUAUAAAUCGGGGGAGGAGGGGAGCGGCAAAGGCACGCGCGUUCUCCUCUCCCUCGUCUCCUCUUGCUUCUUCCUUUCCUUCGCCGCCGCCACACUCGCGCUCCGUCAAAGUGCUGCCGCGGCUCGUCAUUGCCCUCGAGCUUCUUCUUCCUGAGCUCUCUCGCCGCUCCGCUGCGGGCUCGCACGCUCGUCACCGCCGUUCGUCUUCAUCGAGCUCGGGCCGUCAUGGAGCGCUCCGGCGACUGGGACGGCUCCAACGUCCAUGAAGACCAUUUCACAUUCCUCCGCGACAUGCGGCGGCUUCCUGGCGCGGGCUACAUCAAGAAGCGCGUGCCGCCCGCCGACGAGAUCUCGCCGGCGCCGGAGGAAGGUGAGCGUGUCAUCUUCCGCUCGCACUUCCUCCAUGGCUUCUGCCUACCGGUGAGUGGCUUCCUUAACUCGUUCCUGACCUUCUACCGACUCCAGCCGCACCACCUUACACCGAACACGGUGGUGCUGCUGUCGGCUUUCGUCACCCUUUGCGAGGGUUAUCUUGGCAUCCUCCCCACCCUCGAGCUCUGGGGGGCCUUCUUCUACACCAAGCUUGGUACCUCCGCGAAGGAGGAGGUGGCCCAAUGUGGGGCUUUCAUUGCCGUGCGGCGCCCGGGUGGUAGAAACGCCUUCCCAGCCAUCAAGCUGAUACAGUCGGUCAAGCUGUGGCAGAAGUCGUACUUCUACGUGAAGAACGUCAACCCGGAGAUCGACUUCAUCAACUUGCCGGCUUACAUGGCCGGUCCGCCUGCCGAGCCCCGCACAAAUUGGGUCUUCAAGCCGAAGCCGCUGUCGCCCGACGCCUCCGCCGCCAUCGCCCACCUCAAGGUGAUGAAGGAGUCAGAGGGCCUCAAGGCGUCUGACUUGCUAGUCGCCUUCGUGGUGCGCUGAGUCCUCUCGCUUCAAGGCCGGCCUCACGCCAUAAGCCAGAUGAGUGGGCAUCGCGACCCAUGCCCGAUGUGCACCAAGGAGAUGCCGACUGCAGAGGUGGCCUAUCUGGUGAAUGAGAUUGCCAACCUCAAGCUCGAGCCGGAGGAGUGGCGGUUCGGCAAGCGGUCGUACUCCCGCGCAGAUCCACCGCCUAUGGUAAGCUCUUGAUUCUUUUCUUUUCCUCUUGCCGGGUUCUCUCUUGCCGGGUUCUCUCUUGUCAGUUUCUCUAUUGCCGGGUUCUCUCUCGCUGAGUUCUCUCUUGCCGGCUGACUAAUACGUCUCCAACGUAUCUAUAAUUUUUUAUUGUUCCAUGCUAUUAUAUAUUCUGUUUUGGAUGUUUAAUGGCCUUAUUUAUACACUUUUAUAUUAUUUUUGGGACUAACCUAUUAACCGGAGGCCCAGCCCAAAUUGCUGUUUUUUUGCCUAUUUCAGAGUUUCGCAGAAAAAAGAUAUCAAACGGAGUCCAAACGGAAUGAAACCUUCGGGAGCGUGAUAUUUGGAACAAACGUGAUCCAGAGGACUUGGAGUGGACGUCAAGCAACCAACGAGGCGGCCACGAGGCAGGGGGUGCGCCCACCCCCCAGGAGCGCCCUCCACCCUCGUGGGCCCCUCGUGGCACCACCGACCUACUUCUUCCUCCUAUAUAUACCUACGUACCCCCAAACCAUCAGAAGCAAGCACGAAAACCUAAUUCCACCGCCGCAACCUUCUGUACCCGUGAGAUCCCAUCUUGGGGCCUUUUCUGGCAUCCUGCCGGAGGGGGCAUCGAUCAUGGAGGGCUUCUACAUCAACACCAUAGCCUCUCCGAUGAUGUGUGAGUAGUUUACCUCAGACCUUCCGGUCCAUAGUUAUUAGCUAGAUGGCUUCUUCUCUCUCUUUGGAUCUCAAUACAAAGUUCUCCUCGAUUCUCUUGGAGAUCUAUUCGAUGUAAUCUUCUUUUGCGGUGUGUUUGUCGAGAUCCGAUGAAUUGUGGGUUUAUGAUCAAGAUUAUCUAUGAACAAUAUUUGAAUCUUCUCUGAAUUCUUUUAUGUAUGAUUGGUUAUCUUUGCAAGUCUCUUCGAAUUAUCAGUUUGGUUUGGCCUACUAGAUUGAUCUUUCUUGCAAUGGGAGAAGUGCUUAGCUUUAGGUUCAAUCUUGCGGUGCUCGAUCCCAGUGACAGUAGGGGAAACGACACGUAUUGUAUUGUUGCCAUCGAGCAUAAAAAGAUGGGGUUUAUAUCAUAUUGCAUGAGUUUAUCUCUCUACAUCAUGUCAUCUUGCUUAAAGCGUUACUUCGUUCUUAUGAACUUAAUACUCUAGAUGCAUGCUGGAUAGCGGUCGAUGUGUGGAGUAAUAGUAGUAGAUGCAGGCAGGAGUCGGUCUACUUGUCACGGACGUGAUGCCUAUAUACAUGAUCAUACCUAGAUAUUCUCAUAACUAUGCUCAAUUCUAUCAAUUGCUCGACAGUAAUUUGUUUACCCACCGUAAUACUUAUGCUAUCUUGAGAGAAGCCACUAGUGAAACCUAUGGCCCCGGGUCUAUUUUCUAUCAUAUUAGUCUCCUGUUAUUUCCAUUACUAUUUACUUUGCUUUCUUUACUUUUACUCUUUAUCAUAAAAAUACCAAAAAUAUUAUCUUAUCAUCUCUAUCAGAUCUCACUCUCGUAAGUGACUGUGAAGGGAUUGACAACCCCUUUAUCACGUUGGUUGCGAGGUUCUUAUUUGUUUGUGUAGGUGCAAGGGACUUGAGCGCGACCUCCUACUGGAUUGAUACCUUGGUUCUCAAAAACUAAGGGAAAUACUUACGCUACUUUACUGCAUCACCCUUUCCUCUUCAAGGGAAAACCAACGCAGUGCUCAACAGGUAGCAAGAAGGAUUUCUAGCGCCGUUGCCGGGGAGGUGUUCGCCAAGUCAAGUCAAGAUUUGACUCCCAACAACAAGCCAUUCUUGGCGACGUUGCCGCGUUUACACAAGUCAAGACAUACCAAGUACCCAUCACAAACUCCUAUCCCUCGCAUUACAUUAUUUGUCAUUUGCCUCUCGUUUUCCUCUCCCCCACUUCACCCUUGCCGUUUUAUUCGCCCUCUCUUUUCCGUUCGCCCUCUUUUUCGCUUGCUUCUUGUUUGCUCGUGUGUUGGAUUGCUUGCGUGUCACGAUGGCUCAAGAUAAUACUAAAUUGUGUGACUUUGCCAAUACCAACAACAAUGAUUUUCUUAGCACUCCAAUUUAUCCUCUUACCGAAGCUGAAUCUUGUGAAAUUAAUGCUGCUUUGCUGAAUCUUGUCAUGAAAGAUCAAUUCGCCGGCCUUCCUAGUGAAGAUGCCGCUACCCAGCUAAAUAGCUUUGUUGAUUUGUGCGAUAUGCAAAAGAAGAAAGAUGUGCAUAAUGAUAUUGUUAAAUUGAAGCUAUUUUCAUUUUCUCUUAGAGAUCGUGCUAAAACCUGGUUUUUGUCUUUGCCUAAAAAUAGUAUUUAUUCUUGGAAUAAGUGCAAAGAUGCUUUUAUCUCUAAGUAUUUUCCUCCCGCUAAAAUCAUCUCUCUUAGAAACGAUAUUAUGAAUUUUAAGCAACUUGAUCAUGAACAUGUUGCACAAGCUUGGGAGAGGAUGAAAUUAAUGAUACGUAAGUGCCCUACUCAUGGUUUGAACUUAUGGAUGAUUAUACAAAAUUUUUAUGCCGGAUUGAAUUUUGCUUCUAGAAAUCUUUUAGAUUCGGCCGCGGGAGGCACUUUUAUGGAAAUCACUUUAGGAGAAGUUACUAAGCUCCUAGAUAAUAUCAUGGUUAAUUAUUCUCAAUGGCACACUGAAAGAUCUACUAAAAAAAAGUGCAUGCGAUAGAAGAAAUUAAUGUUUUGAGUGGAAAGAUGGAUGAACUUAUGAAAUUGUUUGCUAAUAAGAGUAUUUCUUCUGAUCCUAAUGAUAUGCCUUUGUCUACUUUGAUUGAGAAUAAUAAUGAAUCUAUGGAUGUGAACUUUGUUGGUAUGAACAGUUUUGGUAAUAAUGAUUAUAGAGGAAAUUUUAAUUCUAGGCCGUAUCCUAGUAAUUCCUCUAAUAAUUAUGGUAAUUCCUACAACAAUUCUUAUGGAAAUUUUAAUAAGUUGCCCUCUGAUUUUGAGACUAGUGUUAAAGAGUUUAUGAAUUCGCAAAAGAAUUUCAAUGCCUUGCUUGAACAAAAAUUUCCUAAGAUUGAUGAAUUGGCUAGGUAAGUGGAUAGAAUUUCUCUUGAUGUUGAUUCUUUGAAACUUAGAUCUAUUCCACCUUAGCAUGAUAUCAAUGAGUCUCUCAAAGCCAUGAGAAUUUCUAUUGAUGAGUGCAAAGAAAGAACCGCUAGGAUGCGUGCUAAGAAAGAUUGCUUUGUGAAAGCAUGUUCUUCUAGUUUUUAUGAGAAUAAAGAUGAAGAUCUAAAGGUUAUUGAUGUGUCCCCUAUUAAAUCUUUGUUUUGCAAUAUGAAUCUUGAUAAUGAUGGGACUCGAGAUGAGUCAACUUUAGUUAAACGGCGUCCCAAAAAUUCGGAGUUUUUAGAUCUUGAUGCAAAAAUUGAUAAAAGUGGGAUUGAAGAGGUUAAAACUUUAGAUAGCAAUGAACCCACUAUUUUGUAUUUGAAGGAAUUUAAUUAUGAUAAUUGCUCUUUGAUAGAUUGUAUUUCCUUGUUGCAAUCCGUGCUAAAUUCUCUGCAUGCUUAUAGUCAAAAUAAAGCUUUUACGAAACAUAUCAUUGAUGCUUUGGUGCAAUCUUUUGAAGAAAAACUUGAGUUGGAAGUUUUUAUCCCUAGAAAACUUUAUGAUGAAUGGGAACCUACAAUUAAAAUUAAAAUUAACAAUCAUGAAUGCUAUGCUUUGUGUGAUUUGGGUGCUAGUGUUUCCACGAUUCCAAAAACUUUGUCUGAUUUGCUAGGUUUCCGUGAAUUUGAUGAUUGCUCUUUAAACUUGCAUCUUGCGGAUUCCACUAUCAAGAAACCUAUGGGAAGAAUUAAUGAUGUUCUUAUUGUUGCAAAUAGGAAUUAUGUGCCCAUAGAUUUCAUUGUUCUUGAUAUAGAUUGCAAUCCUUCAUGUCCUAUUAUUCUUGGUAGACCUUUCCUUAGAACGAUUGGUGCAAUCAUUGAUAUGAAGGAAGGAAAUAUUAGAUUCCAAUUUCCGUUAAGGAAAGGAAUGGAACACUUCCCUAGAAGGAAAAUUAAAUUACCAUAUGAAUCUAUUAUGAGAGCCACCUAUGGAUUGCCUACCAAAGAUGGCAAUACCUAGAUCUAUCCUUGCUUUUAUGCCUAGCUAGGGGCGUUAAACGAUAGCGCUUGUUGGGAGGCAACCCAAUUUUCUUUUAGUUUUUUGCUUUUUGGUUCUGUUUAGAAAUAAAUCUUUGAUCUAGCCUCUGGUUAGAUUUGUUUUUGUGUGUUUAAUUAGUGUUUGUGCCAAGUUAAACCUAUAGGAUCUUCUUGGAUGAUAGUUAUUUGAUCUUGCUGAAAUUUCCAGAAACUUUCUGCUCACAAAAACAAUUGUUAAAAAUCACCAGAACGUGAUAAAAUACUGAUUCCAAUUGAAGAAGAUCAAUAAACAAAUCAUCUAGGUAGUCCUAUUUUGGUUGAAUUUUUUGAGUUCUAGAAGUUUGCGUUAGUUACAGAUUACUACAGACUGUUCUGUUUUUGACAGAUUCUGUUUUUCGUGAGUUGUUUGCUUAUUUUGAUGAAUCUAUGGCUAGUAAAAGAGCUUAUAAACCAUUGAGAAGUUUGAACACAGUAGGUUUAACACCAAUAUAAAUAAAGAAUGAGUUCAUUACAGUACCUUGAAGUGGUGUUUUGUUUUCUUUCGCUAACGGAGCUCACGAGAUUUUCUGUUAAGUUUUGUGUUGUGAAGUUUUCAAGUUUUGGGUAAAGAUUUGAUGGAUUAUGGAACAAGGAGUGGCAAGAGCCUAAGCUUGGGGAUGCCCAAGGCACCCGAAGGUAAAUCCAAGGACACCAAAAAGCCAAAGCUUGGGGAUGCCCCGGAAGGCAUCCCCUCUUUCGUCCUCACCCAUCGGUAACUUUACUUGGAGCUAUAUUUUUAUUCACCACAUGAUAUGUGUUUUGCUUGGACCGUCUUGUAUGAUUUGAGUCUUUGUUUGUUAGUUUGCCACAAUCAUCCUUGUUGUACACACCUUUUGAGAGAGACACACAUGAUUCGGAAUUUGUUAGAAUACUCUAUGUGCUUCACUUAUAUCUUUUGAGCUAUAUAGUUUUUGCUCUAGUGCUUCACUUAUAUCUUUUAGAGCAUGGCGGUGGUUGUAUUUUAUAGAAAUUAUUGAUAUGUCAUGCUUCACUUAUAUUAUUUUGAGAGUCUUAAACAGCAUGGUAAUUUGCUUUAAUUGUAAAAUUAAUCUUCCAUAUUGAGUUCAUUGAAUAUCAUGAGAGUUAGAUACUUGAUAAGUGUUUUGAGAUAUAAAGGUAGUAAUAUUAGAGUGUGCUAGUUGAGUAAUUGUGAAAUUGAGAAAUACUUGUGUUAAAGUUGGCAAGUCCCGUAGCAUGCACGUAUGGUAAAAGUUGUGUGACAAUUUUGACACAUAGGUGUUCUUUUAUUGCUUUCCUUAUGAGUGGCGGUCGGGGACGAGCGAUGUUCUUCUCCUACCAAUCUAUCCCUCUAGGGGCAUGCGUAGUAGUACUUUUCUUCGAGGGCUAAUAAACUUUUGCAAUAAGUAUAUGAGUUCUUUAUGACUAAUGUGAGUCCAUGGAUUAUACGCACUCUCAACCUUCCACAAUUUUCUAGCCUCUACGGUACCGCGCAUUGCCCUUUCUCACCUUAAGAGUUGGAGCAAACUUCGCGGUGCAUCCAAACCCCGUGAUAUGAUAUGCUCUAUGACACAUAAGCCUCCUUAUAUCUUCCUCAAAACAGCCACCAUACCUACCUAUCAUGGCAUUUCCAUAGCCAUUCCGAGAUAUAUUGCCAUGCAACUUUCCACCGUUCCGUUUAUUAUGACACGCUUCAUCAUUGUCAUAUUGCUUUGCAUGAUCAUGUAGUUGACACCGUAUUUUUUGGCAAAGCCACCAUUCAUAAUUUUUUCAUACAUGUCACUCUUGAUUCAUCGCAUAUCCCGGUACACCGCUGGAGGCAUUCACAUAGAGUCAUAUUUCGUUCUAAAUAUUGAGUUGUAAUUGUUGAGUUGUAAAUAAUAAAAGUGUGAUGAUUAUCAUUAUUAGAGCAUUGUCCCAUGUGAGGAAAGGAUGAUGGAGACUAUGAUUCCCCCACAAGUCGGGAUGAGAUUCCGGACUUAAAAAAAGAGGCCAAAGAAAAAAAGAGAAGGCCCAAAGAAAAAAAGGAAAAAAAUAAAAAAUGAGAGAAAAAGAGAGAAGGGACAAUGUUACUAUCCUUUUUCCACACUUGUGCUUCAAAGUAGCACCGUGAUCUUCAUGAUAGAGAGUCUCCUAUGUUGUCACUUUCAUAUACUAGUGGGAAUUUUUCAUUAUAGAACUUGGCUUGUAUAUUCCAAUGAUGGGCUUCCUCAAAAUGCCCUAGGUCUUCGUGAGCAAGCAAGUUGGAUGCACACCCACUUAGUUUCUUUUGUUGAGCUUUCAUAUAUUUAUAGGUCUAGUGCAUCCGUUGCAUGGCAAUCCCUACUCCUCUCAUUGACAUAAAUUGAUGGGCAUCUCCAUAUCCUAUUGAUUAGCCGCGUCAAUGUGAGACUUUCUACCUUUUUGUCUUCUCUCAUAACCCCCAUCAUUAUACUUUACUCCACCCAUAGUGCUAUAUCCAUGGUUUGCGCUAAUGUAUUGCGUAAGAGUUGAAAAGGCUGAAGCGCUUUAAAAAGUAUGAACCAAUUGCCCAGCUUGUCAACGGGGUUAUGCAUGAUGAGAACGUUUGUGUGAUAAUAUUGAAACAUGGCCUAACUAUAUGAUUUUGUAGGGAUGAGCUUUCUUUAGCUAUGUUAUUUUGAUAAGACAUAAUUGCUUGGUUAGCAUGUUUGAAGUAUUAUUGUUUUUAUGUCAACAUUAAACUUUUAUCUUGAAUCUUUCAGAUCUAAAUAUUCAUGCCACAAUAAAAAGAUUUACAUUGCGAAUUAUGCUAACAAGCAUUCCACAUCAAAAAUUCUGUUUUUAUCAUUUACCUACUUGAGGACGAGCAGGAAUUAAGCUUGGGGAUGCUUGCUACGUCUCCAACGUAUCUAUAAUUUUUGAUUGUUCCAUGCUAUUGUAUAUUCUGUUUUGGAUGUUUAAUGGGCUUAUUUAUACACUUUUAUAUUAUUUUUGGGACUAACCUAUUAACUGGAGGCCCAGCCCAAAUUGCUGUUUUUUUUGCCUAUUUCAGAGUUUCGCAGAAAAAAGAUAUCAAACGGAGUCCAAACGGAAUGAAACCUUUGGGAGCGUGAUAUUUGGAACAAACAUGAUCCAGAGGACUUGGAGUGUACGUCAAGCAACCAACAAGGCAGCCACGAGGCAGGGGGCGCGCCCACCCCCCCAGGCGCGCCCUCCACCCUUGUGGGCCCCUCGUGGCUCCACCGACCUACUUCUUCCUCCUAUAUAUACCUACGUACCCCCAAACCAUCAGAAGCGACCACGAAAACCUAAUUCCACCGCCGCAACCUUUUGUACCCGUGAGAUCCCAUCUUGGGGCCUUUUCCGGCGUCCUGCCGGAGGGGGCAUCGAUCAUGGAGGGCUUCUACAUCAACACCAUAGCCUCUCCGAUGAUGUGUGAGUAGUUUACCUCAGACCUUCGGGUCCAUAGUUAUUAGCUAGAUGGCUUCUUCUCUCUCUUUGGAUCUCAAUACAAAGUUCUCCUCGAUUCUCUUGGAGAUCUAUUCGAUGUAAUCUUCUUUUGCGGUGUGUUUGUCGAGAUCCGAUGAAUUGUGGGUUUAUGAUCAAGAUUAUCUAUGAACAAUAUUUGAAUCUUCUCUGAAUUCUUUUAUGUAUGAUUGGUUAUCUUUGCAAGUCUCUUCGAAUUAUCAGUUUGGUUUGGCCUACUAGAUUGAUCUUUCUUGCAAUGGGAGAAGUGCUUAGCUUUGGGUUCAAUCUUGCGGUGCCCGAUCCCGGUGACAGUAGGGGAAACGACACGUAUUGUAUUGUUGCCAUCGAGGAUAAAAAGAUGGGGUUUAUAUCAUAUUGCAUGAGUUUAUCCCUCUACAUCAUGCCAUCUUGCUUAAAGCGUUACUCCUUUCUUAUGAACUUAAUACUCUAGAUGCAUGCUGGAUAGCGGUCGAUGUGUGGAGUAAUAGUAGUAGAUGCAGGCAGGAGUCGGUCUACUUGUCACGGACGUGAUGCCUAUAUACAUGAUCAUACCUAGAUAUUCUCAUAACUAUGCUCAAUUCUAUCAAUUGCUCGACAGUAAUUUGAUUACCCACCGUAAUACUUAUGCUAUCUUGAGAGAAGCCACUAGUGAAACCUAUGGACCCCGGGUCUAUUUUCUAUCAUAUUAGUCUCCCGUUAUUUCCAUUACUAUUUACUUUGCUUUCUUUACUUUUACUCUUUAUCAUAAAAAUACCAAAAAUAUUAUCUUAUCAUCUCUAUCAGAUCUCACUCUCGUAAGUGACCGUGAAGGGAUUGACAACCCCCCUUUAUCGCGUUGGUUGCGAGGUUCUUAUUUGUUUGUGUAUGUGCAAGGGACUUGAGCGUGACCUCCUACUAGAUUGAUACAUUGGUUCUCAAAAACUGAGGGAAAUACUUACGCUACUUUACUGCAUCACCUUUUCCUCUUCAAGGGAAAACCAACGCAGUGCUCAAGAGGUAGCACUCACCAGCUUGAGCAUGAUGCAGGUCCUCCCCUCCCAGCUGGAGGCCAACGUCGACUUCAUGUCGGACCGGGAAGUGAGCGAUGUGGCGGACCCCGACUUGGGGGCGGCCGCCUUGGAGGACGACGCCACAGGCGGUGGUGGUGGAGCAGGCGGCUCCGUAGGAGGAGGAGGCGUGGAGGACUGGUCGGAUGAUGACGAGGAGGAGGAGGAGGAGGAGGAGGUGCCGCGCCGCAAGCGGCCUUCUGACAAGGCAGGCGCAAGCUCCUCAGCCGCACCAACCACACCAGUCGGUGGGUGGAAACACCGAGGCGUGCUGCUAUUCGGCAGUCAUCCCAAGUAGCCCAAGCACUCGGCCGCCGCAGCCAAGAACACGGCCGCCGUGAGCAAGCGACGCGAGGCCGCCGGGAAGGCGGCCAAGUUCCAGAAGGCCCCAAGCAGCCUCCGAUGGUGUCGACGUAUGUUCUCAUCUUUCCUUGUAUCUUCUUUUAUUCUUUUAUCUUGUCGAUUCCUUCUGAAUCUCCUUUUUCACCCUUCUUUUGAGUAGGGCCCCGCUCUCUCUUGAGCAGUCGACCUCAGCCUCCGUCGUCAGGGCGGCGGAGGGCUCCACCAACAACCGCCGUUUAGACCCGACCGCCAAUCUCCGGGAGGCGCAGGAAAGGAACGCACGGGAGGUGCGGGAGGAGAAAGAAGCCGCCGCCAAGAAGGCGGAGGCCGACAAGGCGGCGCAAGCGGACGCGGACGCUGUGGCCAAGGCCCAAGCUGACGCCGCGGCCAAAGAAAGGGCGGAGGAUGCCGCACGCCAGCAGAUCCCUGCGCUCCGCGCCACCAACGCCAGAGUUCUUAGCGCCAACGGGGGGAGCCGGCGAUGAGCAGCCGGUCAGGGAGAGGGAAGGCGGCGACGCCGUCUUGCCAGAGGUGGAGGUGCCUCCACGAUCGCCGACUGCGGAUGCGCAGGGCAGCCAGCCGGCCGCCCCAUUGGUGACGCCAGUCGGAGGCGAGCUGGUGGGGGGCUCGGCCCCCACGGCCCGCACUCCAGUGCACCGUCGUGUGGAGAAAGCAGCAUCGGCGCCGAGGCCGAUGGAGGUCGGGAGCGCCAGCUCGUCGGCACCUGAAGGCGAAGCCACCAGCGUCGCGCCGGCGGAGUGGGUGUGCGGGGGCAGGAUGAGCGCCUUGAUCAAGGUGGCGCAAGAUGUCCAGGCCGAUUUCAAGGCCGAAGCCGCCACCCUCUCGCAAUGCAUGAAGGCGUUUGUGAAAAUGCGGGCCACCGUCCGGGUACGUAACUUGCUUCUUGCUUUUGAUUCCUGUAAUCUUCAGUGGGGGCGCGCCAGCGCACCCACUGGGUGUAGUCCCUGAGUUCCGGGCCGGCUGCUGAGCAGGCGGCCUGGAACUUCAUAGUGGGUUCUGAGCUCUGGCUCACUUCUUUUUCUGUUGCUUUGUUGCAGGAUUACCACAACAUCCGCAUGGCCACCUUCAACGCCAAUGUCCGGGAGCUGGACCGACGGACCGCCGACCUGACGGAAAGCCAGAGUAAGCACUCCAUCUUCUUUUCUCCGCGGGGGCGCGUCAGCGCACCCAUGGGCUGUAGUCCCCGAGAUGCGAGCCGACUGCUGAGCAGUCGGGUCGGAUCUUCCGGCAAUUACUUUUCUUCUUUCUUGAUUGUUGAUAUCUUUUCUUUCUUGUCCUUGCAGGAACCAACGCCGUCUUGCAGCAGCAACUGGGCGAAGCCAACACCGCACUGCGUGCCAAGGAGGACGAGUGCAACAGGGUGGCCCAGGAGCGUGACCGCCUGGCCAAGGAACUGAAGGACCAGGCAGAGCUUCACAAGACAGCCCUGAAGCAGGCAGAGGACAACGAAGCCAAGCUCCUGGCCGAGUUCGAGACCGAGCGCUCGGGUUGGGCUGAGACGGAGGCGACACUGACCGCUGGUUACGGCCAGAUCGAAGACAUAGUCGACGGUGAGCUUUCUUCUCUUCUCUCAACUGCUGGCUGUCGAGCGAGCCGUCUUCUAGCUUCCGACUCCUGACUGAUUGUUUGCUUGUGUAGACUUCUUCCCUGGCCAUUCCGCCGUUGCCAACCAGGCCAUUGAGGCUCGCCGCGAGGCGCGAAGGGCGGAGGGCGCGAAGAUUUGCUGCCGACGCCCCUCGGACCCUUGGCGAGCAGCUCCUUAGCAUUCAAGCUCGUCUCCAGCCGGCCCACCGGAUGCUCCGCCGGCUGCAGCAUGCUGGGGCUCAAGCAGUCUCCGCCCUCUGGCCAGACAGGCAAGCCCCACGCAUGCCCAGUCGGACCGCCGACUGGUUGGAAGUGGCCGCCGGCCGUCUUGAGGCGUGGAAGGGCUCCGCGGCCCGAGCAGGAGCGCGAUGGGCCUUGGAUUUCGCCAAGGCAUGGUAUCCUGGGCUAGAUCUAGCCCAGUUGGCCAUGUUUCGGCAGGAAGCCGACGCCGACUUGGUGGCGGUGGAGCGCGACCUCACUAUUCGCGCAGCAGCGAUCGCCGAGUAUACCAACACCGGUGACUUCAUUCCCGAGUUGAACGAGAAUGGCACCGAGGCGCCGCCAGAAUGGUUCGGACUGAACCCGGAUGAUGGUGAAGACUCGGCAGAGGAGAUCGCCUCUAGCGACGAAGGGGCAGACUAGGAAGAUGAGGAUGAUGAAGACGGCGCGCCGGAGGUUGGAGCGGGCGGCCAGCCUCAACUCGACCGCGCCUCCAGCACCGAGCCGCGUGCAAGCACGCCGACCAUUGCUAAAAGCGGCCAAGCUGAAACUCGCCAGCCGGCCACCCCACCAGCCGGCGCCCCCGACUCCACAAACCUGCCGAACUCGCCUGCUGCCCCUUUUGUCUAGGCCGCCAAAUUAUCGUAGCUUUUCCUGCUUAGUAGUUUUCUCAACAAACUUUUGUUAAAUUUGCAUAAUUCCACCCGCAGGGUGUAUUCAAACUAUGUUGAAUGUUGGCCGAUGGCCUUUUGGUAUGUAAAUUAUUUUCCGCACAAGCUGUGCUUUUGCCGAGUUCCGACUUUUCUUGCUUUUCGUUCCUUGGCUUUUUUCCUUUGCCGCCCUCCCCUGGUCUCCUACUUGCCAGCCGGACAGCCGCUCUGUGGACUGCGGCCUGGUCAAGUAUUUCACCAUUGUGGGAGGACAAGUACUUUGGCCGAUUGGAAUGUUACAAGCUAAGUAGGAAGCCGGCCGGCCGGCUGCUCAGUAGCCGGUCGGUGAGGCGAAGGGCCGGCUUGUCCUAUGUGGAUGUUUUGAUCCUUAGCCAUUUUUCAUGUGAGCACUGUUCCUUGCCUUUAACUCUUGCCAAGCGAACAGCCGCUCUAUGAGCUGUGGCUUGUGGCAAGAGAGGGCUUAGGUGCUUGCACAUUACUUGUCUGACUGCAGGAAACACCGACAUAGUACAAGACGACAAGCCCCCGGGCUGACUAGUCGAACCCGGUUUCAGGUGGAGGAAUGAAAUAACACAUUCGUAGGCAUAAUACUUAUCAUAUAGAUAAACAGGGGUAGCCCUCGAGUGCUCCUCGAGGGACCCGAAGUCUUCGUACUUAAUACAAAAGGUAGCAUGGUACAUACUGCAUCAACUGUAAAAUCUUCGAAGGAGAUUUGCAUUCCAUGGGCGCUAUGUUUCCUUGCCGGAGUCGUCCCUCUUGCGCGCCUUGGGCUUCUGGGCAUCGAUCAGGUAGUAGGAGUCGUUGCCCAAGGCUUUGCUGAUGAUGAAAGGGCCUUCCCAAGGGGCUGAAAGCUUGUGCUACCCGGCUGUUCGCUGGAUCAGCAGGAGCACAAGGUCUCCCUCUUGGAAGGAUCUUGGCUUGACCUUCCGGCUGUGGUAGCGGUGUAGACUUUGCUGGUAGAUGGCGGACCGACUGAGUGCCAAUAGCCGGCCCUCUUCCAGCAGAUCGACACCGUCUUCUCGUGCUUCCUUUGCCUCCGCCUCCGUGUACAUGGUGACGCGAGGUGAGUCGAACUCGAUGUCAAUUGGGAUGGCAGCCUCGGCACCAUAUACAAGGAAGAAGGGUGUGAAGCCGGUUGACUUGUUCGGAGUGGUGCGCAGACUCCAGAGGACGGCCGACAGCUCGUCGAGCCAGCAGCCGGCCGAACGCUCCAGAGGCUCGACCAGUCGGGGCUUGAUUCCAGACAAAAUGAGGCCGUUUGCUCGCUCAACCUGGCCGUUUGACUGUGGGUGGGAAACGGAUGCUAAGUCCAGUCGGAUGCCCUGCGUCGCACAGAAACGGGCCAAGGCGCCUUUGGCAAAAUUUGUGCCAUUGUCGGUGAUGAUGCUGUGAGGUACGCCGUACUGAGUAGUGAUGCCUGCGAUGAAAGUCACAACAGUCGGACCGUUCAACUUCUUGAUUGGCUUCUCUUCUAUCCACUUGGUGAAUUUUUCCACGGCGACAAGCAGAUGAGUCAUGUCGCCGCGUGCUGUCUUGAAUGGUCCCACCAUGUCCAAUCCCCAGACGGCAAAAGGCCAGGCAAGGGGAAUGGUCUUGAGUGCAGAAGCCGGCAAAUGUUGCUUGGAACUGAACUUCUGGCACCCCUUGCAUUUCUUGACCAAGUCUUUGGCAUCUUCAUGAGUAGUCGGCCAGAAGAAACCAUGGCGAAAAGCUUUGGCCACAAGUGAUCUUGAGGCCGCGUGGUGGCCACACUCGCCUUGAUGGAUAUCCUUGAGGACUGCUUGGCCCUUCUCCGGCUCUACGUAGCGCUGGUACACACCAGUGACACUGCGCCUCAUUAGUUCCCUGUUGACGAUGGUGUAUGUUGCUGCCCGACGUUGCACCUGUCGGGCCGAGAUCUCAUCGGUUGGCAGCUCUUUGUUCACCAAAACUUGAGGAUGGGUUCUGCCCAUGAUGGUGCUUGAAUUUCUUCUACCUCCACAAUGGACACUUGUACGAGGGCGGUUGGGUUGGGAGGUGGCGGGUUGGAGUCGGCCGCCGCUUGUUGCAUUGUUGAAGUCCCUGAGCCAACUGCCGCAGUCCCCGGGCCGGGAUCUGAAGUCCCCGGGCCGAGUGCGACUGCUGUAGUCCCCGGGCCGGGAUCUGAAGUCCCCGAGCCGGGUGCGACUGCUGCAGUCCCCGAGCCGCCUGCCAAAGUCCCCGAGCCGACUGCUGCAACCUUUGAGUCGGAUCCGACUGUUUCAGGAGCAGCCGGCACAAAGAUAGACUAUGAUUCUGGAGAAGGCUUGAUCGACGGCUUGCGGAGGUACUGGAGGGAGACGCCGGCUGGUAUUGCUUGACAGGUGGAGCCGAUCCGUGCCAAGGUAUCGGCUGGCUCAUUGUUGUUUUGUGGGACGUGAAGGAACUCGCACCCUUCAAAAUAUCCGCUAAGCUGCUGGACGAGGAAGCGGUAGCUUGCCAUAUUCGCAUCCUUGGCGGCCCAGUCACCAGACGACUGUUGGACCACCAAGUCAGAGUCACCAUAGCACAGAAUCCGGCGAAUGCCGAGCUCUUUGGCAAGCCGGAGUCCGUGUACUAGUGCCUCAUACUCGGCCACAUUGUUGGAGGCGGCAAAAUGGAUUUGAAGUGUGUAUCUGAGCUUGUCGCCUUUGGGAGAGGUGAGGACGAUGCCGGCUCCCAAACCGGUGCGCAUCUUCGAGCCAUCAAAGUGCAUUCACCACUGGGUGGAGUCCGGCGCUGGCGGCAGGUACUGGGUCUCGACCCAGUGGACGAGGAAGUCGGCCAGCGCUUGGGACUUGAUGGUGGUGCGAGGCUGGUAGAAGAUGGUGUGGGGAGCCAACUCGAUGGCCCAUUUGGCCACUCGGCCUAAAGCAUCUCGGCUGCCUAUGAUCUUAGCAAGCGGGGCAGUGCAAACAACCGUGAUGGGAUGCUCUUGAAAAUAUGGCUUUAACUUCUUGGCGGUAGAGUGCACGCCGUAGCACAUCUUCUGGUAGUGGGGGUAGUUUUGCUUGGAAGCUGACAACACUUCACUCAGAUAAAACACCGGUCUCUGGACCAGCAGAACCUUGCCGUCUUCAUUGCGCUCAACUACUAUGACUGUGCUAACCACCCGGCUGGUGGCGGCGAUGUAGAGGAGCAUGGGCUCCUUAGCAACCGGUGUAGCCAGGACGGGCGGCAUGGUCAACAUCUUCUUGAGCUAGAGAAAAGCCUCAUCCUCCUUGUCGUUCCACUCGAAGUGAGUGGUUUUCUUCAAGAGUUGGUAUAGGGGAAGUGCCUUCUCGCCAAGCUGACUGAUGAAGCGGCUGAUGGAUGCCAAGCAGCCGGUGAACUUCUGGACAUCUCUCAGUCAGGUAGGCUUCUCCAUCCUCUCGAUGGCCUUGAUCUUCACAGGGUUGCACUCAAUGCCGCGUUCGGAGACCAGGAAGCCGAGGAGCUGGCCGGCUGGUACUCCGAACACGCACUUCUCUGGGUUGAGCUUGAUCUAAAAUCGGCGCAGGUUUUCAUAAGUCUCCUUCAGAUCCUCUAGGAGGGUUCCACGCUUCUCUGUUUUCACCACAUAGACGUGGGCGUUUCUGCCGAGCUACUUGAGGAGGCACUUCUGCAUGCAACGCUGGAACGUGGCGCCGACAUUCCUCAAGUCGAACGUCAUCAUCAGGUAGCAGAAGGCUCCGAAUGGUGUGAUGAACGAGGUCUUCAGCCUAUCAGCCGGGUUCAACUUGAUCUGGUGGUAUCCUGAAUAUGCAUCCAAGAAACUCAACAGCUCGCAUCUCGCUGUGGAGUCUAUCACUUGGUCAAUCCUUGGCAAUGCAAAUGGAUCUUUGGGGCAAGCUUUGUUGAGGCUGGUAUAAUCAAUACACAUGCACCACUUGUUGUUUUUCUUCAGUACAAGGAUUGGGUUGGCCAGCCAAUUGGAUAGAAUACUUCCAUAAUGAAGCAGGCUGCUAGGAGCCGGGCUAUCUCUUCACCAACAAUUCUUCUCUUCUCCUCCGACAGGCGGCGGAGGGGUUGCUUGACCGGUUUGGCGUCAGGUCAGACAUGUAGCUUGUGCUCGGCGAGAUCCGUCGGAACACCCGGCAUGUCCUUAGGAGACUGAUACGUCCAUUUUGCAUCAUGCUUUUAUAUCAAUAUUUAUUGCAUUAUGGGCUGUUAUUGCACAUUAUGUCACAAUACUUAUGCCUAUUCUCUCUUAUUUUACAAGGUUUACAUAAGGAGGGAAAAUGCCGGCAGCUGGAAUUCUGGGCUGGAAAAGGAGCAAAUAUUAGAGACCUAUUCUGCACAACUCCAAAAGUCCUGAAACUCCACGAAAGUUAUUUUUGGAAAUAAUAAAAAAUAUUGAGCGGAAGAAGUAAGUCAGGGGGGGCCCACCUGGCCACGAGGGUGGGGGGCGCACCCUACCCCCCAGGGUGCGCCCCCUGCCUCGUGGGCCCCCUGUUGGCCCUCCGGUGGCCAUCUUCUGAUAUAUGAAGUCUUUUGUCCGAAGAAAAAUCAUAAGCAAGCUUUCGGGACGAGACUCCGCCGCCACGAGGCGAAACCUUGGCGGAACCAAUCUAGGGCUCCGGCAGAGCUGUUCUGCCGGGGACACUUCCCUCCGGGAGGGGGAAAUCAUCGCCAUCGUCAGCACCAACGCUCCUCUCAUUGGGAGAGGGCAAUCUCCAUCAGCAUAUUCACCAGCACCAUCUCCUCUCAAACCCUAGUUCAUCUCUUGUAUCCAAUUCUUGUCUUCAAGUCUGGGAUUGGUACCUGUAGGUUGCUAGUAGUGUUGAUUACUCCUUGUAGUUGAUGCUAGUUGGUUUAUUUGGUGGAAGAUCAUAUGUUCAGAUCCUAUAUGCAUAUUAAUACCCCUUUGAUUAUGAACAUGAAUAUACUUUGUGAGUAGUUACGUUUAAUCCUGAGGACAUGGGAGAAGUCUUGCUAUUAGUAGUCAUGUGAAUUUGGUAUUCAUUCGAUAUUUUGAUGAGAUGUAUGUUGUCUCUCCUCUAGUGGUGUUAUGUGAACGUUGACUACAUAACACUUCACCAUUAUUUGGGCCUAGAGGAAGGCAUUGGGAAGUAAUAAGUAGAUGAUGGGUUGCUAGAGUGACAGAAGCUUAAACCCUAGUUUAUGCUUUGCUUCAUAAGGGGCUGAUUUGGAUCCAUAUGUUUCAUGCUAUGGUUAGGUUUACCUUAACACUUUUGUUGUAGUUGCGGAUGCUUGCAAUAGAGGUUAAUCAUAAGUGGGAUGCUUGUUCAAGUAAGGACAGCACCCAAGCACCGGUCCACCCACAUAUCAAAUUAUCAAAGUACCGAACGCGAAUCAUAUGAACGUGAUGAAAACUAGCUUGAUGAUAAUUCCCAUGUGUCCUCGGGAGCGCUUUCCUCUAUAUAAGAGUUUGUCCAGGCUUGUCCUUUGCUACAAAAAGGAUUGGGCCACCUUGCUGCACUUUAUUUACUUUUGUUACUUGUUGCUCGUUACCAAUUAUCUUAUCACAAAACUAUCUGUUACCUAUUAUUUCAGUGCUUGCAGAGAAUACCUUGCUGAAAACCGCUUAUCAUUUCCUUCUGCUCUUCGUUGGGUUCGACACUCUUACUUAUCGAAAGGACUACGAUAGAUCCCCUAUACUUGUGGGUCAUCAAGACUCUUUUCUGGCGCCGUUGCCGGGGAGUGAAGCGCCUUUGGUAGGUGGAAUUUGGUAAGGAAAAAUUUAUAUAGUGUGCUGAAAUUUACUGUCACUUGUUACUAUGGAAAGUAAUCCUCUGAGGGGCUUGUUCGGGGUAUCUUCACCCCGACCAGUAGAGCAAAGAGUUGCCCCUCAACCUACUGAACCUAAUGAAAGUGAAAAUGAAAAUGUCCACUUUGAGAUUCCUUCGGGCAUGUUAGAAAAACUGCUAGCUAAUCCUUUUGCAGGAGAUGGAACAAAGCAUCCUGAUGAACACCUAAUUUAUGUGGAUGAAGUUUGUGGAUUAUUUAAGCUUGCAGGUAUACCCGGUGUUGUUAUUAAGAGGAAGGUAUUCCCUUUAUCUUUGAAGGGAGAUGCAUCGACAUGGUAUAGGAUAUGUGAUGAUACGGGAUCAUGGAACUACAAACGAUUGAAAUUGGAAUUUCAUCAGAAAUUUUAUCCUAUGCAUCUUGUUCAUCGUGAUCGCAAUUAUAUAUAUAAUUUUUGGCCUCGCGAAGGAGAAAGCAUCGCUCAAGCUUGGGGGAGGCUUAAAUCAAUGUUAUAUUCAUGCCCCAAUCAUGAGCUUCCAAGAGAAAUAAUUAUUCAAAGUAUUUAUGCUCGGCUUUCUGAAAACAAUCGCACCAUGCUCGAUACUUCUUGUGUUGGCUCUUUUAUGAUAACGACUAUUGAAUUCAAAUGGGAUUUAUUGGAUAGAAUUAAACGCAACUCUGAAGAUUGGGAUCUCAACGAAGGUAAGGAGUCAGGUAUGACACCUAAGUUCGAUUGCGUUAAAUCUUUUAUGGAUACCGAUGUUUUCCGUAAGUUUAGCACUAAAUAUGGACUUGACUCUGAGAUAGUAGCUUCUUUAUGUGAAUCUUUUGCUGCUUAUGUUGAUCUCCCUAAGGAGAAGUGGUUUAAAUAUCAUCCUCCCAUAGAAGUAAAAGCAGCUGCACCUAUUAAAGUUGAAGAAAAGACUAUCACUUAUAAUGAUCCUAUUGUUCCUACUUCUUAUGUUGAGAACCACCUUUCCCUGUUAGGAUAAAGGAUCAUGCUAAAGCUUCAGCUGUGGUUCAUAAAAGCAAUAUUAGAACUUAUACACCUCCUGAGCAAGUUAAAGUUGAACCUAAUAUUGCUAUUGUUAAAGAUCUCUUGGCUGAUAAUAUUGAUGGGCAUGUUAUUUAUUUCUGCGGUGAAACUGCUAGAAUUGCCAAACCUUGUGCUAAAGAUAAACAUAGACCUGUGGUAGGCAUGCCUGUUAUUUCUGUUAAAAUAGGAGAUCAUUGUUAUCAUGGCUUGUGUGAUAUGGGUGCUAGUGUUAGUGCAAUACCUUAUGACUUAUACAAAGAAAUUAUGCAUGAUAUUGCACCUGCUGAGAUAGAAGAUAUUGAUGUCACUAUUAAACUUGCCAAUAGAGAUACUAUUUCACCAAUGGGAAUUGUUAGAGAUGUUGAAGUCUUGUGUGGGAAAACUAAAUAUCCUGCUGUUUUUCUUGUUCUUGGUUCCCCACAAGAUAGCUUUUGUCCCAUUAUUUUUGGUAGACCCUUCUUGAACACAGUUAAUGCUAGGAUAGACUGCGAAAAGGAUGUUGUUACUAUAGGCUUGGGUGAUAUGUCUCAUGAGUUUAAUUUCUCUAAAUUUAGUAGACAACACCGUGAAGAAGAAUCACCUAGUAAGGAUGAAAUAAUCGGUCUUGCUUCUAUUGCCGUACCUCCUAGUGAUCCUUUAGAACAAUAUUUGCUAGACCAUGAAAAUGAUAUGUUUAUGAAUGAAAGAAGGGAAAUAGAUGAAGUAUUCUUUAAACAGGAACCUAUCCUGAAACACAAUUUGCCUGUUGAAAUCCUAGGGGAUCCUCCUCCACCCAAGGGUGAUCCCGUGUUUGAGCUUAAACCGUUACCUGAUACUCUUAAAUAUGCUUAUCUUGAUGAGAAAAAGAUAUAUCCUGUUAUUAUUAGUGCUAACCUUUCAGAGCAUGAAGAAGAGAGAUUAUUGAAAAAUCUGAAGAAGCACCGUGCUGCUAUUGGAUAUACUCUUGAUGAUCUUAAGGGCAUUAGUCCCACUCUAUGUCAACAUAAAAUAAAUUUGGAAGAAGAUGCCAAACCAGUUCGUGAUCAUCAACGACGGCUGAAUCCUAAGAUGAAAGAAGUGGUAAGAAAGGAAAUACUAAAGCUCCUUGAGGCAGGUAUAAUUUAUCCCGUUGCUGAUAGUCAAUGGGUAAGUCCUGUCCAUUGUGUCCCUAAGAAGGGAGGUAUUACCGUCGUUCCUAAUGAUAAAGAUGAAUUGAUUCCGCAAAGAAUUAUUAUAGGUUAUAGGAUGGUAAUUGAUUUCCGAAAAUUAAAUAAGGCUACUAAAAAGGAUCAUUACCCUUUACCUUUUAUCGAUCAAAUGCUAGAAAGAUUAUCUAAACAUACACAUUUCUGCUUUCUAGAUGGUUAUUCUGGUUUCUCUCAAAUACAUGUGUCAGCCAAUGAUCAAUCAAAGACUACUUUUACUUGCCCUUUUGGCACUUUUGCUUAUAGACGUAUGCCUUUUGGUUUAUGUAAUGCACCUGCUACCUUUCAAAGAUGUAUGAUGGCUAUAUUCUCUGACUUUUGUGAAAAGAUUUGUGAGGUUUUCAUGGACGAUUUCUCCUUCUAUGGAUCCUCUUUUGAUGAUUGCUUGAGCAACCUUGAUCGAGUUUUGCAGAGAUGUGAAGAAACUAACCUUGUCUUGAAUUGGGAGAAGUGCCAAUUUAUGGUUAAUGAAGGUAUUGUCUUGGGGCAUAAAGUUUCUGAAAGAGGUAUUGAAGUUGAUAAAGCCAAGGUUGAUGCUAUUGAAAAGAUGCCAUGUCCCAAGGACAUCAAAGGUAUAAGAAGUUUCCUUGGUCACGCCGGAUUUUAUAGGAGGUUCAUUAAGGACUUCUCAAGAAUUUCUCGGCCUCUGACUAAUUUAUAACAAUAAGAUAUACCAUUUGUCUUUGAUGAUGAUUGUGUAGAAGCAUUUGAAAUACUUAAGAAAGCAUUGAUCUCUGCACCUAUUGUUCAGCCACCUGAUUGGAAUUUACCCUUUGAAAUUAUGUGUGAUGCUAGUGAUUAUGAUGUAGGUGCUGUUCUAGGGCAAAGAGUUGAUAAGAAAUUAAAUGUUAUCCAAUAUGCUAGUAAAACUCUAGACAAUGCUCAAAGAAAUUAUGCCACUACUGAAAAAGAAUUCUUAGUAGUUGUAUUCGCAUGUGAUAAGUUCAGACCUUAUAUGUUGAUUCCAAAGUAACUAUUCACACUGAUCAUGUUGCUAUUAAAUAUCUUAUGGAAAAGAAAGAUGCUAAACCUAGACUUAUUAGAUGGGUUCUCUUGCUACAAGAAUUUGAUUUGCAUAUUAUUGAUAGAAAGGGAGCUGAGAACCCCGUUGCAGACAACUCGUCUAGGUUAGAAAAUGUUCUUGAUGACCCACUACCUAUUGAUGAUAGCUUUCCUGAUGAACAAUUGAAUGUCAUAAAUGCUUCUCGUACUGCUCCAUGGUAUGCUGAUUAUGCUAAUUAUAUUGUUGCUAAAUUUAUACCACCUAGUUUCACAUACCAGCAAAAGAAAAAGUUUUUCUAUGAUUUGAGACAUUACUUUUGGGAUGACCCACAUCUUUAUAAAGAAGGAGUAGAUGGUGUUAUUAGACGUUGUGUACCUGAGCAUGAACAGGAACAGAUCCUACGCAAGUGUCACUCCGAGGCUUAUGGAGGACACCACGCUGGAGAUAGAACUGCACUUAAGGUAUUGCAAUCCGGUUUUUAUUGGCCUACUCUCUUCAAGGAUGCCCGUAAGUUCGUCUUAUCUUGUGACGAAUGUCAAAGAAUUGGUAAUAUUAGUAGACGUCAAGAAAUGCCUAUGAACUAUUCACUUGUUAUUGAACCAUUUGAUGUUUGGGGCUUUGAUUAUAUGGGACCUUUUCCUGCCUCUAAUGGAUAUACACAUAUUUUAGUUGCUGUUGAUUACGUUACUAAGUCGGUAGAAGCUAUUCCAACUAGUAGUGCUGAUCAUAACACUUCUAUUAAAAUGCUUAAAGAAGUUAUUUUCCCGAGGUUUGGAGUCCCUAGAUAUUUAAUGACUAAUGGUGGUUCACAUUUUAUUCAUGGUGCUUUUCAAAAAAUGCUCGCUAAGUAUGAUGUUAAUCAUAGAAUUGCAUCUCCUUAUCACCCACAGUCUAGUGGUCAAGUAGAAUUGAGUAAUAGAGAGCCCAAAUUAAUUUUUCAAAAGACUGUUAAUAGAUCUAGAAAGAAUUGGUCCAAGAAACUUGAUGAUGCAUUAUGGGCCUAUAGAACUGCAUAUAAAAAUCCUAUGGGUAUGUCUCCGUAUAAAAUGGUUUAUGGUAAAGCAUGUCACUUCCCUCUCAAACUAGAACAUAAGGCUUAUUGGGCUAUUAAAGAGCUCAAUUAUGAUUUCAAACUUGCCGGUGAGAAGAGGUUAUUUGACAUUAGCUCACCUGAUGAAUGGAGAACCCAAGCCUAUGAAAAUGCCAAGUUGUUUAAAGAAAAAUUUAAAAGAUGGCAUGACAAAAGGAUACAAAAGCGUGAGUUUAAUGUAGGUGAUUAUGUAUUGCUAUAAAACUCUCGUUUAAGAUUUUUUGCAGGAAAACUUCUCUCUAAAUGGGAAGGCCCCUACGUUAUCGAGGAGGUCUAUCGUUCCGGUGCCAUAAAAAUCAACAACUUCGAAGGCACAAAUCCGAAGGUGGUGAACGGUCAAAGAAUCAAACAUUAUAUCUCAGGUAAUCCUAUAAAUGUUGAAACCAAUGUUAUUGAAACCGUAACCCCGGAGGAAUACAUAAGGGACACUUUCCGGAACGUUUCAGACUCCGAAAAGGAAUAGGUAUGUGGUACGGUAAGUAAGCCGACUCCAAAAAAGUUCUAAAGGCAAUAUUUCUCCGUUUUGGAAUAUUUAGAAAAAUAGAAAAAUAAGAAGUAGUCCGGGAAGGACCCGAGGCCUCCACGAGGGUGGAGGGCGCGCCCUACCCCUCUGGGCGCGCCCCCUACCUCGUGGGCACCUCGUGUGCUCUCCGGACUCCGUUUUCUUGCACGAUACGUAUUUUGGUCGGUAAAAAUUCAUUAUAUAAUCUCCUGAAGGUUUUGACUCCCGUAUCACACAAUUAUCCUCUGUUCUUGUUUCGAGCUAUUUUUCUGAUAGAUCUAGAUCAUCAUGACGUCUCCAAACGCCCCCAAGGACAAGUUCUUCGAGAAGGUCAUCAACCCCUACCUCGCGGAGGUGCUGCAACACCCUCAAACCAUUGAGAUGCAUGAUGGGUUGCUGCACAUCCGCGAUGUUGAGGGACCACGGAGGACCGGAAGCGUGGAGACAAGGCUUGAAGCAAUGGAGCAACAAGUUUUCCAGUGCCAGGAGAUGGUGGAGCGUGGACUUGACUCCAAUCACAUAAUGAUCACGGAGUUCACCAACAACCACAAGCUGGAUGCCAAGGACGUUGGGGAGGCCAUCUUCAAGCUCCACGAGAAAAUUGAGCACCUCCAAGCCCAAAUCUAUGACCUGCAAAACCAAAACUGUGAGUAUGAAUAUAGAUUCAAAAGGAUGAGUUUGGCUGCAGAUUUAAGGAUCCCGGAGACUCGAUCAUCCUUCUAUGAUGGUGAGCCUAUGCCUUGGAAGAUGGACGACAAGCCUACAUCAUCAACAAUCCCUUCACCAACAAAGGAGAUAUAAUCACAUGGGUAUGGGCACUCCCCUUGGCAACUGCCAAGCUUGGGGGAGAUGCCCCGGUAUCGUAUCACCAUCACACUCCUAUCUUUACCGUUUUUCUUAGUUCGAUCCUAUUAGUAGUAUCUUGAUCUAGUAGAAUAAAAGUUUUGGUAUGAUCUAGUUUUGAGUUUUGCUUUAUGAUCUCUCUUUGUAAUCGAGUCCGUGAGCUAUAUAAUAAAGAUUAGUGUUGAGUCAAGGGCUUGAUUAUCUUGCUAUGAUCUUGAGUAAAUAAAAGAAAAGAGAAAAGAAUAAAAAGGAAUAAAAAUAUCAUAUUGAUCUUAUUGAGAGUAAUGACUUCACAUAGAAAGAGUAUGAUGAUUAAAAGUUGUUGAGGGUUGACAAACAUAGCUUUGGUCAUCGUUGCAAUUAAUAGGAAGUAAUAAGGAAAGAGAGGUUUCACAUAUAAAUAUACUAUCUUGGACAUCUUUUAUGAUUGGGAGCACUCAUUAAAAUAUGACAUGCUAAAGAGUUGAUGUUGGACAAGGAAGACAAUGUAAUGGGUUAUGUUUUCUUAUAUCUGAGAUAAAGUAUAUUGUCAUGGACCAUCCAACAUGUUGAGCUUGCCUUUCCCCCUCAUGCUAGCCAAAUUCUUUGCACCAAGUAGAUAUACUACUUGUGCUUCCAAAUACCCAUAAACCAGUUUUGCCAUGAGAGUCCACCAUACCUACCUAUGGAUUGAGCAAGAUCCUUCAAGUAAGUUGUCAUCGGUGCAAGCAAUAAAAAUUGCUCUCUAAAUAUGUAUGAUUGAUUGGUGUGGAGGAAAUAAGCUUUAUACGAUCUUGUGAUGUGGAAGAAAUAAAAGCGACGGACUGCAUAAUAAAGGUUCAUAUCACAAGUGGCAAUAUAAAGUGACGUUCUUUCGCAUUAAGAUUUUGUGCAUCCAACCUUGAAAGCGCAUGGCAACCUCUGCUUCCCUCUGCGAAGGGCCUAUCUUUUACUAUUGUCUUCUACCUUAUGCAAGAGUCAUGGUGAUCUUCACCUUUCCCUUUUUACAUUUUAUCCUUUGGCAAGCACGGGAUGUUGGAAAGAUCCUGAUACACAUAUCUAAUUGGAUGUGGGAUAGCAUGAACUAUUAUUGUUGACAUUACCCUUGAGGUAAAAGGUUGGGAGGCGAAACUAUAAGCCCCUAUCUUUCUCUGUGUCCGAUUAAAACUCCGUAACCACAAGUAUUGCGUGAGUGUUAGCAAUUAUGAAAGACUAAAUGAUACUUGAGUAUGUGGACUUGCUAGAAAGCUCUGACAUAGACUCUUUCUGAUGUUAUGAUAAAUUGCAAUUGCUUCAAUGACUGAGAUUAUAGCUUGUUAGUUCUCAAUAAAGUUUCGGAUUCAUACUUUGCAUUGUGAAUAGGUUAUUACUUGAGCAUAAGAAAUUAUAUGACAAUAUUCAUAUAUGUUGCUAUUAUGAGUAUAAUCAUGAUGCCCUCAUGUUUGUAUUUUAUUUUAUCGACACCUCUACCUCUAAACAUGUGGACAUAUUUAUCGUUAUUGGCUUCCGCUUGUGGACAAGCGAGGUCUAAGCUUGGGGACGUUGAUACGUCCAUUUUGCAUCAUGCUUUUAUAUCGAUAUUUAUUGCAUUAUGGGCUGUUAUUACACAUUAUGUCACAAUACUUAUGCCUAUUAUGUCUUAUUUUACAAGGUUUACAUAAGGAGGGAGAAUGCCGGCAGCUGGAAUUCUGGGCUGGAAAAGGAGCAAAUAUUAGAGACCUAUUCUGCACAACUCCAAAAGUCCUGAAACUCCACGAAAGUAAUUUUUGGAAAUAAUAAAAAAUAUUGAGCGGAAGAAGUACGUCAGGGGGCCCCACCUGGCCACGAGUGUGGGGGCGCGCCCCCUGCCUCGUGGGCCCCCUGUUGGCCCUCCGGUGGCCAUCUUCUGAUAUAUGAAGUCUUUCGUCCGAAAAAAAUCAUAAGCAAGCUUUCGGGACGAGACUCCGCCGCCAUGAGGCGGAACCUUGGCGGAACCAAUCUAGGGCUCCGGCAGAGCUGUUCUGCCGGAGACACUUCCCUUCGGGAGGGGGAAAUCAUCGCCAUCAUCAUCACCAACGCUCCUCUCAUCGGGAGAGGGCAAUCUCCAUCAACAUCUUCACCAGCACCAUCUCCUCUCAAACCCUAGUUUAUCUCCUGUAUCCAAUUCUUGUCUCCAAGUCUAGGAUUGGUACCUGUAGGUUGCUAGUAGUGUUGAUUACUCCUUGUAGUUGAUGCUAGUUGGUUUAUUUGGUGGAACAUCAUAUGUUCAGAUCCUAUAUGCAUAUUAAUACCCCUCUGAUUAUGAACAUGAAUAUACUUUGUGAGUAGUUACGUUUGUUCCUGAGGACAUGGGAGAAGUCUUGCUAUUAGUAGUCAUGUGAAUUUGGGAUUCGUUCGAUAUUUUGAUGAGAUGUAUGUUGUCUCUCCUCUAGUGGUGUUAUGUGAACAUCGACUACAUAACACUUCACCAUUAUUUGGGCCUAGAGGAAGGCAUUUGGAAGUAAUAAGUAGAUGAUGGGUUGCUAGAGUGACAGAAGAUUAAACCCUAGUUUAUGCAUUGCUUCGUAAGGGGCUGAUUUGGAUCCAUAUGUUUCAUGCUAUGGUUAGGUUUACCUUAAUACUUUUGUUGUAGUUGCGGAUGCUUGCAAUAGAGGUUAAUCAUAAGUGGGAUGCUUGUUCAAGUAAGGACAGCACCCAAGCACCGGUCCACCCACAUAUCAAAUUAUCAAAGUACCGAACGCGAAUCAUAUGAACGUGAUGAAAACUAGCUUGACGAUAAUUCCCAUGUGUCCUUGAGAGCGCUUUCCUCUAUAUAAGAGUUUUUCCAGGCUUGUCCUUUGCUACAAAAAGGAUUGGGCCACCUUGCUGCACUUUAUUUACUUUUGUUACUUGUUGCUCGUUACCAAUUAUCCUAUCACAAAACUAUCUGUUACCUAUUAUUUCAGUGCUUGCAGAGAAUACCUUGCUGAAAACCGCUUAUCAUUUCCUUCUGCUCCUCGUUGGGUUCGACACUCUUACUUAUCGAAAGGACUACGAUAGAUCCCCUAUACUUGUGCGUCAUCAGAGACCAUGCAAAGAUGUCCCGAUUCUCGCGGAGGAAAUCGACGAGCUCGCUUUCCUAUUUGCUGUCAAGGUUUGUACCUACGACAGCGUACCUCUUCAGGUGCUCUGGUUCCAAUGUUAUCUUCUUUGUCUCUCUGGCCGGCUUGAAGGAGCCUUCAGCUUCCGACUCCUUGGGAUCAGGGGACAUGUCCGGCUGCUUGUCGGCCAUGGCCACAACCCGGUCAAGGAGCCGCUUCUCGGCAGCGAUCACAAGGGACUCGGCCAGCCAACUGCUGGCGGCUGCACAGGCGGAUGACAUCUUGUAAUCUCCAGAGACGGUGAUAAUCCCUUUGGUGCUUGGCAUUUUCAUCUUGAGGUAGGCAUAGUGUGGUACCGCCAUGAAUUUGGCCAAGGCAGGUCGGCCAAGCAGUGCAUGGUAAGGACUUUCAAGGUCAACUACUUCAAACCAGACUGCCUCUCGGCGCAAAUGAUCUCUGUCUCCAAAGAGGACAUCCAUCUUGAUCUUGCCGAUUGGUGAAUGCGAGAGGCCAGGUACUAUGCCAUGGAAGACAGUCCGACUGGGCUGGAGCUGCUUCUGCUUGAUGCUCAACUUCUCCAUGGUAUCGCGGUACAAGAUGUUGAUGCUGCUACUGCCAUCUAUUAGGACUCGGGAGAAGCGAGCAGCUCGCCUCUCCGUAGAAAAGGUGGUAUCCAACACCAGAGCAUAAGAACCCGGAGAAGGCAUUACCUCUAGGUGAUCGGCUCGGCUCCAACUGAUUGGCUUUUCAGACCAGUGCAUGAACUCUGGUGCUUCAGAAGCUACAGCAUUCACCUCUCGGGACUGCUGGCGCCGGGUGUGCCUGUCGUUAGCCACACUAGUGAAGACAACGUAGGCUCCUUGUUCUUCCGGGUACUCAUCUUGGAUGGCGGCAACUAGCCGGGCUGCCUGCGGAGGAGGAGGAGGCGGCGGCGGCUGGCCAGCAGGCGGAGGAGGCAGCAAUCCUUCGCCCUUGGAGAUUCGGGUGAGCCAGUGACACUUCCGGGUGAUGUGGUUUGAUGGAUUCGCGCCGUUGUGGAACUUGCAGGGUGCAUCAAGGGUUUGCUCAUAGGAGAAGGCGGGUAGCCAAUUUGGCUUGCCGCCCCUCUGACGCUUGGGAGCGGGCUGCCCCUCCGGCUGCUGGUCUUCGACUGUCGCCACUUGCAGGCUGGCGGAAGUGGGCUGCGGUGCCUUGCGCUUGUAGUCGUUUUGCUGCUGUCGCCGACUGGUGUCACCAGCCGGAGUUCGAGGGGCCUGAGGAGCCACUUUGCCGGAUGCAUCAAUUUGAAUCUCCAUCUUCAUGGAGGAGUCGGCUGUGGUGUGCUUGUCCGCUAUGAUCAGCAGUUCGUCGAGGGUUUCCAGCUCGUCGCAGAGAAGUUGGUGCUUGAGCAGGGUGCCUUCUCUGCACCCGGCGGUGAAGUACUCGAUAGCCUGCACCUCGUGCACGCCCUCGCAAGAGUUGCGUAGCUCGGCCCAACGCGUGAGGUAUUCGCGAGUCGAUUCAUUGGGGCCUUGGACACACAAGGAGAGCUGGCGGGGCUUGGGCGGCCGCUUGUACGUGCUAGUGAAUUUGCGGAUGAAGGCUUCAGUGAAAUCAACCCAGCUGUUGAUGCUGCGAGGCUUCAGGUUGUUCAGCCAUGUCCGGGCGGUGCCCUGGAGCAUGAGCGGAACGUAUUUUAUGGCAACGCGCUUGUUGCCGUUUGCUAUGUUGACAGUCGUGGAGUAGUCGACCAGCCAGUCUUCCGACUUCACGGAACCGAUGUACUUGGGCGUAUCUCUUGGGAGCGUGAGCCCUCUGGGGAAGGGUUCGUCGUGGAUGCGGGGGCCGAAACAAAGCGGGCCCAGCGCGUCUUCUUCUUCUAGCGCUAGGGAUCGAUUGAGACGGUCGAUCCAGUGGCGGGCAACGUUUUCUCCGAUUCCUUCUCGGGGGCCAAGUCGGCCACCGAGACUCGGGUGAUCAACAGGCGGUGGGGAGACGCGCCUUUCUCUGCGCAGGGGAGGCUGAUAGCCGCCUGGUCGUUCCACUGCUUGUGGGCGACCAUCUUGGUCGCGCUCGAUGGUGAUGUGCGUCCGGCUGCGGCUUGCAGCCGGCUCCUUGUCUCGUCGUCUGCGGGCGCCGCCAGUCAGCGUCCGGGAUGUAGCGUCGUGCUCUCGGCAAGGAGGCGGGUCGUCGUUCGGCUAGUUGGGCUCCUCGACGCGGCAGCCGGCUUCUUGCUGCUCGGUAGCCGCGUCAAUGAGCCGCUGGACGUGCUCCGUCAUGUAGCGACGCUCCUCGCCCUCGAGGUUGUCUAGCUCAUCUGCUGCGCCUAGGCAGCUCGUAUGCUUUCCAUGGGCGUGGCGUAGACAGGGCGGUCUGCCCCGAACAUGCUGGGAAUGGCCGCGCCGUGUUGCCGGACCGUGCCGAUGCGGCUGGGCCCGCCAGGAGCCGGCGUGCCACCAACAGCGCGGUCCAUCUCGCGCUGGUAAGCCUCCGAGAGGCGUCUCAUGCUGGCCAGCUUCUUGGCGCUCUCGACAAGCUGGACGCGGCGAGCUUCCAGCGUCUCGGCGUCGGCAUCUUCUACAAUGGGUGCAGACAGGUCUCGUAGCGCCAUCUCGAGCGGGUCUCGAGCGCCGUCACCGGAAGCUCCAUCGUGGCUGAUGACGAGCACCUCCGUGACGGUGCUGCCGCUGCUGUCGCCGCGAGGGAGAGGAUCAUAGAUGACCACCACAUUGGUGAGGAACGCGUCGAGUGACGCCGUGUUGGAGUCGACGAGCAUCGGGUCGGUGGAGCCGAUCGACUCCAAGUCGAAGGCCGGCUCGUUGGCGAUGUGGAGCUGGUCGAGGAGGCUAACGACGCGGCUCUCGGGGCCGUCUGUGCCAGCGACGGACGCAGGCUCGUCGGAGAGGCGGAUCUCGCCGACAAGAUCAGCAAGGCAGCUCGUCGUGCAAGCGACCUCUACGCCAUGCAGCGCGUCGGCGCAAACGCCGUCUGGCGUGUCGUGCUGGCUGCGCUCACCUGGAAGGAAGAGGGUUCCCGUCCAGAACAGAUCUUCGGACGACGGUGCACCUAGCCCCACGGUGGGCGGUCGGGGUUUUGGUGCAACAUAUGCCAACGGGCGGCUUAUCAUGGUGGGGGAUAGUAAGACGUCGUCGGUGCCAGGGAGCGGGAUGACGCGUAGACACGUGCGCCGGCGAACUUUACCCAGGUUCGUGGAUCUCCUAGGAGAUAACACCCCUAGUCCUGCUCUGCGGGGUCUCCACAUGCUCACUAUAUCAACAAGUAGCUACAAGAUGCUCCUUGAGCUAUUUGCUAUAGGAGGAAGAAGGGCUAGGCUAGCUUUCUCCUCUCUCUAUAUGCGUGGUUAUGUAAUCUAAGAGUGUGAACCCUUUGCAUGGGUGCCCUGGGGGUUUAUAUAGGCCUACCCCCUAGGGGUACAAUGGUAAACUGGCCGGGUGUAGGCCCAGGCCGUCAGUGUCUCUUGUGGCCUGCUUCUCCGCUGGCUGCUGGGGCCCGCCGACUGGUGGGCCCCACCGGCUGUCUCGUACUUGGCCGACAGGCCGCGCCCGCCGCUUGCGGGUCUUGCCGGCUGCUCAUCACUGUAGUCGUGCCUCUAAUGACGCUUGCUUUGUCGGGGAAGGCGUGGCUACAGUCCCGCCGCCUGGCGGGCGUUCACUGUAGCCACUCCCCAUCUCUUCUGGUUAAUGGCGCACAAACUCCUAGGAAGGGGAGGGCCGCCUGCGGGGUGCCGGCCUCUCCCCCAAGCCGACUGGCCAGGCUUGCCGCCUUCUAGCUUCUCACUGGCAGGUAGGGCCCGCCGCCUGCGGGCCGUAUCGACAGCCCGUCGUGGGAGCAUGGUCCUUCCGACUCGGGUGAUGUCACGGGCGGAGGGGCCACAGUGCCGCGCCGUGCAGGAGAUCUUCCGCUGGUACGGCGCACUGUGGCCACGACCCAUCCUGGUUUCGGGGGUGGCAGGCUUCGCUGCAGCCAUGCCCUGUCUUAUCGCAUUCAUGAGGGUGCAGACUUUGAGGGCGCCUGGGGCCGCCUGCUUGGAACCGGCCUCUUUGGAGGCCGCCUACUAGGAGGUGGCCCGCUUCGUGGCCAUCUUCUGGGGCCCACCGCCUUCCGGCAGCCGGCCGCUUGGACCAGCCGUCCUCAAGAAGGCGGCGUUCAUGCAUUGAGGUUUGAGGGGCGCAGUUGGCCCCGAUGUCUUGUAAUGUCAUGGGGGCAGAUGAGGCUACCCAUGGCCAAUAACUCCGACAUUUCUCUACGCGGCCAUCGCCCCCUCGCCGGCCCCCGAGCCCUUUAGUUUGAUUUGGGAUAUCCGUUUGCCCCUGAAAAUCAGGAUCUUCUUAUGGCAGUGGAUCCGAGGACACCUCCCGUCUGGGGUGGAAGUCCUUAAGCGUAAUGGACCUGGAGAUGGGAUCUGCCCCCUGUGCGGCACGGUGGAGGAUGCUAACCACAUCUUUUUCUGUUGCUCCACGGCCCAGUUUCUAUGGUCCUGUUUCCGCGAGACGGUCGGUGGCCAAUGGUGCAACACUGAAAGUGCAAGUUAUCGACUAGAGGGGGGUGAAUAGGCGAUUUUUAUGAAAGUCUUCAAAACACGGAAGUUUCAAAGACAAACGAUAGAAAUGUACCUAUUAACACGCAGCGGAAGGUAGACUACACUAGGCAAGCCAUAGACUAGUAUUCAAUGAAGUGAAAGCACGAAGACUAUUAGCAGCUAGGCAGUAUGGAUCAGGAUGGAAGAUAGUAUGAAGCCAAUCAGAACAAGUAGUCACACAGUGAAGUCAAACAGAUAAUGCAAACAUGCAAAGACUUCACGAAGACAAACUGUAAGUAAAGAGAGGGAGAAGAUAGAACCAGUCUCUUGGAGAGGACAAGGAUUUGUUGGACCAGUUCCAGUUGUUGUGACAACUGUACGUUUGGUUAGGGAGGCUGAGAUUCAACUCAGAAGACCACGUCUUCACCUUAUUCCCCUUGAGCUAAGGACACCCAGUCCUACCCCAAUCACUCUGGUAAGUCUUCAAGGUAGACUUCCGAACCUUCACAGACUUCGUUCACCGGCGAUCCACAAUGACUCUUGGAUGCUCAGAACGCGACGCCUAACCGGCUGGAGGAUUCACAGUCCUCAAACGUAACAAGUCUUCAGGUCACGCGGACAGAAAGACUUCAGUGAUGCCUAACACUCUUUGGCUCUGGGUGUUUUGGGCUUUGUCCUCGCAAGGAUUUCUCUCUCUCAAAGCUUCGGAGGUGGGUUGCUCUCAAACGACAAAACCCGUGCACUAACUCUGAGCAGCCACCAAUUUAUGGUGUAGGGGGUGGGCCAUUUAUAGCCACUAGGCAACCCGACCUGAUUUGUCCGAAAUGACCCUGGGUCACUAAGGAACUGACACGUGUUCCAACGGUCAGAUUUCAAACAUACACGGCAGCUUGACUUGGGCUACAAGUAAAGCUGACUCAUCCAGCUCUGGAUAAGAUUUGCUCUCAUUGUCUUCGCUCGAAGACAUGGGAUUUGGUUGAGCAUCACUUCAGUUACUCUGACUUUGUUCACUUGGACCCCACUUAGCAGUACGGUGGUUCCUAUAACUCAACAAAGAAGAAAAGGAAACUACGAAACAACUAUGUCUUCGCACUCCAUAGUCUUCACGUGAAUGUCUUCUCGAGUCAUAAACUUCGAUGUGAUUGUCUUCAUAUACCACCAUUUCUUCAAUGUCUUCAUACAAUUUUAGGGGUCAUCUCCGGUAGGUAAACCGAAUCAAUGAGGGACUACUACCUGUGUUAUCCUGCAAUUCUCACAAACGCAUUAGUCCCUCAACCAGGUUUGUCUUCAAUACUCCAAAACCAACUAGGGGUGUCACUAGAUGCACUUACAAUCUCCCCCUUUUUGGUGAUUGUUGACAAACUGGUUGAAGUUUUCAACGGGGAUAAAAGUAUGUGAAAUUGUAAAGGAUUAAGGUAUUGUCUUCAUAAGUAGCAAAAGGCUCCCCCUGAAGAUGUGCACAUGAGUAUUUUGCUUUUGGAAUGCAAAUGCACAUGGCAGGUUGUACUUGUGGAGAUCCUCUUCAACUUAUGAAGGCAAUUCAUCAUGCAUGAUAAGAUAUAACGAAGAUAAUGACAUGCAUAACGAAAAAUGGAUGUCUGCAAUAUGACUUCGUGCGGGAUUUAUCAUCUCACAUGCGGAAUUUAUCAUCGCAUCACAGAAUAGCAGAAAAAGUAGCAGACGACCAUCAAGUUUAAGUGUUACAACUCAAAGAACCAGAAGUAUCAAAAGAGAGAGUUGUAAGCACUUGGCAAAAUAUAAGGCAACCACCCGUAAGGACCCGCUUGAAGACUAUCAACCCAUAUGCUUCUCCCCCUUUUGUCAAUAAGAACCAAAAAGGUUUGAAGACAUAGAGCCUCUACUCGUUCCCAUGAGGAGUAGGUGAAGCAGCAGGGUCGUCGUUGAGGUUUGGUGGUGCAGAAGAGCUUGGUGCAGUGUCGAUACGCGCCAAAGUAGGAGGUGGUGAAGUAACAUCAUCUUCAUCAUCGAUGACUCUUGCAUUGACUGUUGCCGCAGAGGAUGAGUACAUUACAAAAAAAUACACUUCAGUGAUGAUACGUGUUUGUCACAGUAGGUCACGUUUUCUGUCGUGCAUGUACAUCCAUGACAAAUUUAUGACAGAAUCAAGAUAGUCAUACCUGUGCUGUCGUAGAAGUGUUCCAUGACAUUACCAAAAUUAUCAUCACAUAAGUGUCCACUUCCAUGACGAUAAAUCGCACGUCACAGAAGUGCUUUCGUUAAGGGUGAGUGUAACGUGGCAUCCACUGUAACGGAAUGCCGUUAAGCUAUCGGGUCCAGUUUUGGAUCCGAUAACCCUUUAACAGCCCGGACCAAUGGGGAUUUUCCACAUGUAAAAUCAUCAUUGACCGGAGGAAACACGUGUUGCCUCACCGUUGGGACAGAUGUCAUCCACUCAUUGGACAGGAGGCGCCUAUGAUAGGUCGACACAUGGCACGACCCAACAGUGGCCCAUUCCGGUGAAAAAGGCCGGCCCAGUAAAAAAUAGCAGGCCGGCCCAUAUAAGGCCUACUUGUGUCAGGUCCAUUUAAGCCCACGGCCCAUACGAGAUGUGCCAAUUCGGCCCGUCAACGGCCCGUUAAAGAUUUGACACCAUUGCAGCCCAUCGUCAGUUCGAGCCCGUUAACAGCCCGCUAUAUAUUUGGGCUCAAUAUCGACCCGAUGAGAUUUUGGCCUGUUAACGGCCCAUUCAAUGGAUGGGACAAUUUUCACAAUGUACAUCUUUCGGACUUUUAGUGACCCAUUUAAAUAUUGGGCUAAUUUCCGGCCCGGUGUGUCUUUCAGCCUGUUGACGGCCCAUAAAUCAGUUGGGCCAUUUGUAGUCGGACCUGAGUUUCGGCCUUUUAGCGACCCAUUUAAGUGUUGGGCCAAUUUUCGGCCCGGUGUGUCUUUCAGCCUGGUGACGGCCCAUAUAUCUGUUGGGCCAUUUGUAGUCGGACCUGAGUUUUGGCCUUUUAGCGACCCAUUUAAUUGUUGGGCCAAUUCCCGGCCUUGUGUGCCUUUCAGCCUGUUAACGGACCAUAAAUGAGUUGGGCCAUUUGUAGUCGGACCUGAGUUUUGGCCUUUUAACGGCCCAUGCCCUUCAUGGUCCAAUGCCAGCCCGGUUUCUCUUCGGCCUGCUAAAGGCCCACAACACAGUUGGGCCAUUUACAAUACGACCUGACUUUCGGCUUCUUAGCGGCCCAUGCUCUUCAUGGUCCAGUACAAGCCCGCUAUCUCUUUCGGCCUGCUAAAGGCCCACAGUAUAGUUGGGCCAUAUGUAGCCCGAACUUAGUAAUGGCCUGUUAACGGCCCGUGAAAUCAAUUGGGCCCACCUGUUGCCCGCUUUGAUGUGAGCCUGUUAACUACCCGGGAGUUAAGAGGGCCGACCAUUAACUUUCGGCCUGGUAACGGCCCAUUAACUUAAUGGGCCCACUAAAAUUCGUACAUGUCUUUAGGACAAAUUAGAUAAUUUGAGCCCAUUAUGACGAGCAAUUAUGCACAGGAUCAAAACCGAUCGAGCAAACACUACUGGAAUCAGCUAAUUUGCCAUCUGCCAGCUCUUUGUCGUCUGCUAGCUGACGGCAAAGAAGCUCUUUGUCAUCAGCUACCCAAAAGCAGACGGCAAAGAAGCUCUUUGCCAUCUGCGAGCUCUUUGCCGUCUGCCAGCAGACGGCAAAGAGAGAGGUGGCCCCCACCCCCCGCCCGUUUGGAAAAAAAUUAACGCCCCACCUCUUUGCCGUCUGCCAGCAGACGACAAAGAGGCAAAAGGGCGGACGGCAAAGAGUGACGGACGGCAAAGAGGAGACUACCUAAUGGNNNNNNNNNNNNNNNNNNNNNNNNNNNNNNNNNNNNNNNNNNNNNNNNNNNNNNNNNNNNNNNNNNNNNNNNNNNNNNNNNNNNNNNNNNNNNNNNNNNNNNNNNNNNNNNNNNNNNNNNNNNNNNNNNNNNNNNNNNNNNNNNNNNNNNNNNNNNNNNNNNNNNNNNNNNNNNNNNNNNNNNNNNNNNNNNNNNNNNNNNNNNNNNNNNNNNNNNNNNNNNNNNNNNNNNNNNNNNNNNNNNNNNNNNNNNNNNNNNNNNNNNNNNNNNNNNNNNNNNNNNNNNNNNNNNNNNNNNNNNNNNNNNNNNNNNNNNNNNNNNNNNNNNNNNNNNNNNNNNNNNNNNNNNNNNNNNNNNNNNNNNNNNNNNNNNNNNNNNNNNNNNNNNNNNNNNNNNNNNNNNNNNNNNNNNNNNNNNNNNNNNNNNNNNNNNNNNNNNNNNNNNNNNNNNNNNNNNNNNNNNNNNNNNNNNNNNNNNNNNNNNNNNNNNNNNNNNNNNNNNNNNNNNNNNNNNNNNNNNNNNNNNNNNNNNNNNNNNNNNNNNNNNNNNNNNNNNNNNNNNNNNNNNNNNNNNNNNNNNNNNNNNNNNNNNNNNNNNNNNNNNNNNNNNNNNNNNNNNNNNNNNNNNNNNNNNNNNNNNNNNNNNNNNNNNNNNNNNNNNNNNNNNNNNNNNNNNNNNNNNNNNNNNNNNNNNNNNNNNNNNNNNNNNNNNNNNNNNNNNNNNNNNNNNNNNNNNNNNNNNNNNNNNNNNNNNNNNNNNNNNNNNNNNNNNNNNNNNNNNNNNNNNNNNNNNNNNNNNNNNNNNNNNNNNNNNNNNNNNNNNNNNNNNNNNNNNNNNNNNNNNNNNNNNNNNNNNNNNNNNNNNNNNNNNNNNNNNNNNNNNNNNNNNNNNNNNNNNNNNNNNNNNNNNNNNNNNNNNNNNNNNNNNNNNNNNNNNNNNNNNNNNNNNNNNNNNNNNNNNNNNNNNNNNNNNNNNNNNNNNNNNNNNNNNNNNNNNNNNNNNNNNNNNNNNNNNNNNNNNNNNNNNNNNNNNNNNNNNNNNNNNNNNNNNNNNNNNNNNNNNNNNNNNNNNNNNNNNNNNNNNNNNNNNNNNNNNNNNNNNNNNNNNNNNNNNNNNNNNNNNNNNNNNNNNNNNNNNNNNNNNNNNNNNNNNNNNNNNNNNNNNNNNNNNNNNNNNNNNNNNNNNNNNNNNNNNNNNNNNNNNNNNNNNNNNNNNNNNNNNNNNNNNNNNNNNNNNNNNNNNNNNNNNNNNNNNNNNNNNNNNNNNNNNNNNNNNNNNNNNNNNNNNNNNNNNNNNNNNNNNNNNNNNNNNNNNNNNNNNNNNNNNNNNNNNNNNNNNNNNNNNNNNNNNNNNNNNNNNNNNNNNNNNNNNNNNNNNNNNNNNNNNNNNNNNNNNNNNNNNNNNNNGACCCAGCACCCCGACCCGACACCCCGGCCCCGGAGACCCCGACCCCGACCCCGACACCGACACGACACCCCGACCCCCGACACCUCCCGAAAAGGUGUUCUUUGGCCUUCCAGAAGCCGACAGGGUCAUAUAUUUGUGAAUUAUUAGUUAGGUCAUAUAUUUUUCGAUUUUGUUAUGAAAAACAUCAUAUAUAAUUGUGUUGAUCGGGUAGUUUUAAAUGUGCAGUUGUUUCAUCGCUGCGAGGUUUGGUGUUCGACGACCUCGCCGUGCGUUUGACGAGCUCUGCCCCUUCGUUCGUGGGUGAGCACAAAUAACAUGUCCUCCUCCCCCAUUAAUUAUUUGAUCUAUUCCGAUGAAACUUGAUAGCAAGCUAUAUAUGUGUCUUGAAUCAUCAGUAUGCGUAACCAAUAUGUGUCUCCCGUUCGAAAGCGUCAUAGUUAUAAAUAUGCAUGCAUUUGCAUAUUUAUAACCUUGAUUCUUUCGAAUUGCCAACGCUAUCCAUGGACAGCCCGAGUAUGUUUAGAUUGGGUUCGUUUUCCCAUAUGCUUUGCUCCGGAUCCGACGCAUAAAUUUCGUCAGUGCCUCCCCUGUUGUUCUCCGGGUACACAUCCUCUCUGUUUAUUGCAGAGACGUGUAUCAGGAGAACAGCGGGGAGGUGCUGCCAAAAUUUUGCGUAGGAUCUUGAGCAUAGCAUUGGAAAAUGAACCCAAUCUAAACAUACUCGGGUGGGAUUAGGACAUAUCAUUACCUAUUAGAGUGUAGGUUGCAUGGACGUAAUAAAAUUGACAAAGUAGAUCAACUGAUGAAUAUAUACAUGGUGAAUUUUAUAUAUAUAUAUAUAUAUAUAUAUAUAUAUAUAUAUAUAUUUGUUGUGUGUCUAGUAGCUCUGAAAGUCAAGAUGAGUGAUCGUGCGUGGAUGUACACCGGUCACACUGGUCAGAACAAAUGGAGCACUGAAUGGUUCACAAAAACCAAGGGGUUUGUGCGAGCCGCAUUUGCAAAUGGCCAGAGGAAAACCUGGUGCCCCUGUUUACGGUGCGGCAAUUGGGAAAAGAGGACAAAGGCUGAAAUGGGCAAACACCUGCAGAAGAGUGGUUUUAAGCCCGAUUAUACGGUGUGGACAUUUCAUGGUGAGUCUGCCCAACGUGACCGAGCUGAGGUGGAUCGUCGUCACACCGACGAGCAUGGUACCGGGAUGGAAAACAUGGUGCAAGACUUCGAUGAUGCUCGGGAUUCGGACGAGGAGAUGGAGGAAUCUGCAAAGGCCUUCAAUGAAAUGUUGGAGUCUUCAAAACGUCCGCUCCAUGAGCACACUGAGCUUUGUCAGUUGGAUGCCAUCUCACAAGUAAUGGCUCUGAAGGCUCAGUUCAACUUGGGCAGAGAAUGCUACGAUGCAAUGAUGACAGUAUUUGGACGCUUUCUACCCAAAGGCCAUGUAAUGCCUGCAAACCUGUACCAGUCGGACAAAAUCCUCCGUGCACUGAAGAUGCCCUAUGAUAAGAUACAUGCCUGUGAGAAAGGAUGUGUCUUGUUUAGGCUUGACUAUGCGGACUUGAACUAUUGUCCCAUUUGCAAGUCUUCCAGGUAUGUUGUGGUAGACAACGGUAUGGGUGAGAAGACACAGACCAAAAUCCCCGUUAGUGUUCUUCGGUAUAUGCCAAUCGUACCAAGACUUCAACGUCUUUUCAUGGUCGAAGAGACGGCCAGACAGAUGACAUGGCACAAAACGGGCAAAAGAACCGAACUAGAUGCAGAUGGGAAUCUGAUGAUUGUACACACAUCGGAUGGUGUUGCGUGGAAAAAGUUUGAUGAAUUACAUGGUGACAAAGCGGCAGAUCCGAGGCAUCCUCGAGUCGGCAUCAGCACGGAUGGGUUCAAUGUGUUUGGUAUGACGGCAUCCCAAUACAGUUGUUGGCCCGUAUUUGUCUUUCCACUCAAUCUCCCCCCCGGACAGAUUAUGCAAAGAAAGAACAUUUUCCUGACGUUAAUAAUUCCAGGGCCCAACUAUCCGGGGAAAAUAUGAAUGUGUACAUGCAACCUCUUAAGGACGAAUUGCAAGAAGCCUGGGAUAAUGGGUUCAAGACAUACGACGCCUAUAGCAAACGGAACUUCAUAAUGCGUGUCUGGUACAUGUACUCGACGCAUGACUUGCCGGCGUAUGCGCUAUUCGUUGGCUGGUGUGUGCAUGGAAGGUUCCGUGCCCCACAUGCAAGGGAGCUCUUGAGUUUCGUUGGCUUCAGGCCGGUCGCAAGUUUUCUUUCUUCGACAUGCAUAGACAGUUCCUGAAUCCUCGCCAUAAGUUCAGGAAAGACAAGAAGAACUUCAUCAGAGGUAGAGUUGUCAAAAACUCUGCACCACCUGCAUUGACAGGCCAACAGACCCUGGAUCAAUUAAACGCUCUCGAGCCAGAUCCAGAGCGUCCAGGGUACUUCAAGGGGUAUAAUUCUAAGCACGCCUGGACUCACAAAACAUGCUUAUGGGAUCUGCCUUACUUCAAAGACCUCCUUUGCCCACACAACAUCGACGUGAUGCACACUGAGAAGAAUAUCGCCGAGGCACUUUUUGGUACAUUGUUCGGCAUAGAUGGGAGGUCAAAGGAUAAUACUAAGGCUAGAGUCGAUCUGGAGGCGCUAUGUGAUAGGCCGUUACAAAACAUGAAAGAACCGAAAGGAAAGCAGAACUGGACGAAGCCAAAGGCAUGGUUCAAUCUUGGAAGGCUAGCUAUGAGGGACAUUAUCUUGUGGGUGAAAAUGCAGUUGAUGUUCCCCGAUGGGUAUGCAGCGAAUCUACAGAGGGGAGCCAGUCUUGAUAAAUUGAAGAUAUUUGGUCUCAAGAGUCAUGAUUGGUACAUAUGGAUUGAGCGGGUAAUGCCGGUGAUGUUGCGUGGCUUCAUCCCUGAGGAUGAAUGGCUAGUACUGGCAGAACUCAGCUAUUUCUUCCGUGUUCUUUGUGCAAAAGAACUAUCGCCUGGCGUGCUAGAAGAAAUGGAAGAGUUAGCGCCGGAGUUGAUCUGCAAGUUAGAGAAGAUCUUUCCACCGGGCUUCUUUAAUCCAAUGCAACAUUUGAUUUUGCAUCUCCCGACCGAGGCAAGAUUGGGGGGGCCCGUGCAAAAUCGUUGGUGCUACCCAACUGAGAGGAUGCAGAAGACGCUUCGACAAAAAUGUAAAAAUAAACGUAGAAUUGAAGCAUCGAUGGCUGAGGCAUUCAUCACUGAGGAGGCGGCAAACUUCGUGACAGCACACUACGAAGCCAAAAAUCGUCAUUUGCAUAAUCCGAAGCCUCGGUACAAUGCUGACGACCCUAAAAAGGGUGGAUCCAACCUCAGCCUAUUCAAAGGGAAUCUCGCACCAGCCAGUGUUUCAAAUCCAGUAUCUUUGGAUAACGAACAAUGGCGGACCAUUUUGUUGUAUAUCUUCAACAACCUGAUAGAAGUGCGGCCGUACAUCGAGUAAGUUCUCGGUACAUAGUUUCACAACUUCUAUUUGCUUUGAACUGCUCUUAUUCCUGGAUAUUUCAUACAGUCGAUAUGUCGCCUUAUUCUCGUAUGGAGCGGUGAUCCAAAAGGAUUCUGUCGAAGAGUAUGAGCUUCUCGCAAAGCAAGGAGGCGGCUAUCCCGGUUUCAUCUCUUGGUUCAAACAAACGGUAAUUUCUAUUAGACUUGUAGGCUAAUUUGUAGGCGGCUAUCCCGGUUUCAUUCGCUAAUUUGUGCGUAAUGCAACAAUCCUUUCAUAUUAAACUUGUAGGCUAAUUCAGAGUCUAUGGACGCCGAAUUGAGACAAGUCGCUAAUGGUUUUGACUAUAAGGUCCGUUCAUUUGACAAAUACGACAUCAACGGGUAUCGCUUUCGUACCUAUGGCAAAGAGCUAUCUAUGGCCGACCGAAAGUCUACAAAUUGUUGUGUAUCUGCUAUCGGCGAAGGAGGUACCGAGUAUUAUGGGAGAGUUGAAGCAAUUUAUGAACUUCUAUUCUAUGGUGAAAACCCACCGAAUGUCGUAGUCUUCAAAUGUUAUUGGUUUCAGCCGAAGGAGACUAGAAGGACUCAUGAACAUAUAGGGCUAGUUGAAAUCAACCAAAUCACCCAUUUAGAUGUUCCUGAUGUCUAUAUUACGGCUCAACAGGCGACCCAAGUAUUCUAUCUACCGUGGGCCUGCCAAACUAAUCCAAAUCUGAAAGGUUGGGAUGUCAUUUAUGAAGUGCCGCCACGUGCUAGACUAUCUCCCCCAAAGGAAGAGGAUUAUGAACCUCACAUUAACCCAGACACAUAUGAAGGAGAAUUCUUCCAAGAGACACGUCUUUACAAAAAGCGUUUCAAGAACCGCUAUACUUCACCCCAAAACAUUGAAGUAGACAGUGACAGUGAAUCCGACAUCACCCCAGAGGAGGAACAAGAAGAGCCGGAACAAGAAGAGGUUACUACUGCGGAUGACCUGUCAUUGCUUGACCGAUUACGUCAAGGUGGCCUUCCACAUGUUGAUGCCACUGAACCCUAUGAGACCGUCAUUGAUUAUAGUGAUGAUGAUGAUUAUGCAUUUACUGAUGAUACUGAUCGAGAUUAUUAGUAGUGUCAGGUAUUAAAUUUUUUUAUGUUGUACUUGAUGAUGAUACACUUAAGUGAUACACAUAUUAUUAUUCAUGUCGGUCUUUUUUUUAUGUUGUACUAAUUUCGUUUACUAUUUGUCAUGGCAGGUGUUGAAAGAUGGUGGGCGCUGGUGGGAGCGCGCCAAGGCCCCUUCUUCGUCGGGGCGUGGUCUGAGGUCUUCCAUUCCAGACGCACCUCUCCGCCGAGCGUUGCUGGACAGUAUGGCCACACCGCCGGGCCCUUCUUCGUCGACCGCGGUGCCCAGCAGGGGACGAGGUAGGAAGAGAGGAGGUGGGGCACGUGGUCGCGGGAGAGGAGGUAGGGUGACUGCUACGGCGCCUUCCUCGCCGCCACCCCCAGCUGUUUCACCCGAGCACGUGACUGCUAGGGUGGACUCGUCCGAGGAGGAGGCUACACGGACUCCGGUCCAUGAGCUUCCGGUCCAUGGGUCUUGGGCCCACGAGCCUCGGGUCGACUGGCCUUCGGCCCACGAGACCCCGGAGGAGCACACGUCCGGAUGGGGUACCUGGCCGGAUCAGCCCGAGGAGCCGAGUGGCCAUGCUGAUGAUGGCGGGGAGCCGACUGAUCUUGAGGAGGAGGGGGCACCGUCUACCAGCGUGGUGCUACACGGCUCCCGUCCGUGCCGGCGACCCGCGAGCAGAGGUGGUUGAUUUUCCCUGAUGGGGAGAGGUACGUAAGUGCAUUUAAUAUUUUUGUACCUUCUGCAUUCACGUUUCUUCAAAUAACUAAUGCGUUGGCCAUGUCAUGCUGCAGGGGUUGGGACCACCAUCAUAGUGUCCGCCGGCCCAACUCCGUCCUUGGAGUUCUUUGCCGGCAAAACUUCCUGGGGUUUGUCACGUUGCCUGGUGAGGGUCGGCUUCCAGAGCUUGGAUUGAGCUGGGAGCACUACGUGGCUGCCCCGGCCCCGCCGGAUGAGAUUAUCGACGGUGUCGUGUGCGACACGAGGGCAGACAUGGUGAUCAGAAAGUUCUGGGUAAUUUCUCCUUUACACAUUUAAAAAUCUUCAACUAGCUAGUUAUUAAUUGUACUAAUCAAUAUUGUCUCAUUUGAUUGCAGACAUUCUACAGGUGUGAGGAGGGAUACGAGGAGGACGCGGCACAUGUUAUCGAGAACGUCUGCAAGCGCCUACUCCAGAACUUAUGGCACGAGGCUCGGGUGCAGGCUGUUCGAGACUACUACGCCUUGCGUGGUAUCAAGAAGACCAAGCCGGCGUCCCGCGAUAAGUUCCUGAGUAAGGAGCAGUACAUGAAGGUAAUUCUUAAGGCCUUCUACUUAAGUUCCUUCAUUUAGAAAUUCUUAGCCGUAGCGCUCAAGUUUCUAUUUGCUAACUUAGGCGCCUCCGAGAUGGUGUGCGGAUCGGAUGUAAUGUUGGGAGGUGUUGGUCGAUGAGUGGUGCUCAAAAGAAUGGCUAGCCCUCCACAACGAGGCCAAGGACAAACGUGCCCAAAUGGAAGGUGUGCCACACCAUCAAGGCAGCUCCAACUUAUAUCAGUUCGGGCGCAACUGGGUAUGUGGUUUGCUUCAUGAUUCAUGCAAUUCAUUCAUCAUGCUAGCUUGAGCCCUUUAAUUACUAAUUUACAUUGUUUCUCUCUUUCAGGCACGCCACAAUAAGGUGGAUAAGGUGCCAGAGGUGUAUGACCUGUAUGCCAUGGCCCACACUGCCUCUUUCAAGAAAGUCAAGGCUUUCUCUCAGUCUGACCUCGAUGAUGCAAACAACUUCACCAACAUCUCCUCCCACAACAAGCUCGUGAGAUAUAGAGAUGAGGGGAAGGCGAGGAAAGGGGAGGACUUUAACCCGAGCCAGGGUCCCAUUGAUCUAGAGCUGGUGAUGAUAUCUGGUGGCGGGAGGUCCCAUGGCUCCAUAGCCAUUGGAGAUGGAUUUAUCCGUUGUCCUAGCACUCUACCGGAGAUCAAGGCGCGCCAGUCGAGCUCCGCUCCUGAGAUAAGGCCUCGUGAACGGCCAGUGCAACUCGCCAUCAAGGUUAGUGAUACGUACUCAGUUAUCUUUCUCCAUUACAUUGUGUGCGCUUCCAUCAAUGAUUACAAAUGGUCAUGUGAGUGGUGUUGCAGGCUUCUAUACAGAGUGAGAGAGAUAGAACGGAGAAACUUCUGGCGGAGGCGGCGGAGAGGCAGCGGGAGUUGGAGGAGAGGACGACAAAGAUGAUGGCGGAGGAGAGGGCACAGAAUGACAUGCAGGUAAGGGCCAUGUACGAGCUCCUUGUGGUAAGUUUCUUCUGCAAAUUAGCCAAAACAUUCAUGUAGUGUUUGUAUCAUUACUAACUAGUAUGACUGAGUCGUCAAAACCAAAUGUGCAGUCUGUGUGCGAGAAGACAGGUCAGACCGCUCCGCCGAUGCCAGUGAUUGCUCCUGGGACCACGGUGAGUUUUAUUUGAAUGGACAUUACUUGCUAGUCUUAACAUUUGAGUGUCAUCAUGCUAACAAGACAUUGGAAAUGAUCUUUGGUGCAGCGUAACUCCUGACAAGCAUCGCACGAUCCUUCUCCAGCUACCGACACGAGCCAGCCCGCUCCUACACCUCCUGGAUCUUGGUAAGUUUAUCUAGUGUUUUGCUUAACACAUGCAUAAAGACCUAGACUUAGCUUUAUUUCCUCCAAUGCUUACCAUAAUGACCUAGACUUAGCUUCUUCUCCUCCAAAAUGACUUAAUAAGCUUACUGACCUCCAAAACCAUCCAUUUUACCUAAGUUAGCUCUAAAACGAUCUGUACUUAGCUUACUUAUGUCAAAAAUUGCAUAAUUAGCUUAGUUAGCUCAUAGACGAUCCAUUUUACCUAAGUUAGCUCUAAAAUGACCCAUUUUACCUAGGUUAGCUUAUAAAUGAUCCAGUUCAUCCAAGUUAGCUAAAAAAUGACCCAUUUUACCUAGAUUAGCUCCUAAAUGAUCCAUUUUACCUACGUUAGCUUUAAAAUGACCCAUUUCACCUAGGUUAACUCCAAAAUGACCCAUCUUACCUAGGUUAUCUCAUAAACGAUCCAUUUCAACUACUUUAGCUCAUAAACGAUCCAUUUCACCAAGUUAGCUAAAAAACGAUCCAUUUCACCUAAAUUAGCUCUUAAAUGAUCCAUUUCACCUAAGUUAGCUCAAAAAGAUCCAUUUCAACUAAAUUAGCUCAUAAAUGAUCCAUUUCACCUAAGUUAGCUCAAAAACGAUCCAUUUCAACUAAGUUAGCUCAUAAAUGAUCCAUUUCACCUAAGUUAGCUAAAAAACGAUCCAUUUCACCUUAGUUACCUCAAAAACGAUCCAUUUGACCUUAGUUAGCUCAUAAACGACCCAUUUCAACUAAGUUAGCUCAUAAAUGAUCCAUUUCACCUUAGCUAGCUCAUAAACGACCCAUUUCAACUUAGUUAGCUCAUAUAUGAUCCAUUUCACAUAAGUUAGCUCAUAAAUGACAUACUCUUCUUGUUCUAGUCUUCUUCUUGUUCUACUCUUCUUGUUCUAGUCUUCUUCUUGUUCUACUCUUCUUGUUCUAGUCACCUAUUUCUAACUUUCUUAUUUUGCCAUUUUGCAGAUUUCAUUCACUUCAUGGAAGCUACUCUUCUUGUUCUAGUCUUCUUGUUUAUGUAUGGAUGGAACUUUGUUUAUGUAUGAAGGCUCUUUGUGAUAUGAAUGGAACUUUGUUUAUGUAUGAAGGAACUUUGUUUAUGUAUGAAGGAACUUUGUUUAUGUAUGAAGGAACUUUGUUUAUGUAUGAAGGAACUUUGUUUAUGGAUGGAAUUUUGUGAUAUGAAUGCCUGUGAAAUAUAUCUAUAUAUGUCAUAUAUAUUUGCUAUGAAAAUUGUUGGGUUUAAUAAAAAACAGAAAAAAGAGCCAAUAUGCAGGCUCUUUGCCGUCUGCCGCGGACGGCAAAGAAGACACGUGGCAUCCAGCUGUGCUUCCUGGGAGCUGACCCAUUUGGUCAGUUUGCCUACAGUGGCAGACGGCAAAGAGUAAACGAGUUUGCCGUCAGCGGCGGACGGCAAAGGCCUGCCAUGUAGUGACGUGUAGAUGACAUCAUACGGCGGACGACAAAGACACUAGAAAGUUUGCCGUCCGCUGGCAGACGGCAAAGGCACUAGAAAGUUUGUCGUCCGCGGCGGACGGCAAAGGCCUGCCGUUAGCCACUUAACAGACUGAGAGCACAAUUAUUGCCGUCCGCGGCAGACGGCAAAGGGCCUUUGCCGUCAGCCGCCAGGAAGCAGACGGCAAAGUAGCUGUUUACCUACUUUGCCGGAGCCUUUUGCCGUCCGCGGCUGACGGCAAAGGCCUUUGCCAUCCGCCGUGGCAGACGGCAAAAUAGCUGAUUCCUGUAGUGAAAGGUACGGCAUACAGGGAAAACGUUGCACAUCCAGCAUAUAUUACAGGAAGUUACAUCCAUUGGGCAAUCAAAGAUUGAUGCCAGUGCAAAUAAAUGAACAGAACCUAAUGAUCUACAACGUCACAAUCUGCACUCAGCACGGAUGACGCCCAUAAGCAUGUGGGAAGUUCUUGCUGCUUUGCUACACUCUCUCUGAAAACAUUGAUCAGUUGUUGUGUCACACGACUCUGCACCUCUGAUUCCUCCACCAUUUCCAUCAUUCCUUCAGCCAUUAAUUGGUUCACAAACAUACAUUUUUUUCGUUGCAUUCGAGAUAGAGGAUACUGAACAGAUUCAGAUGGCGAUUUGGUAGGCUUCUAUUAUUGAUAGUGGAGAGUGUCUCGACCACUGCAUCAUAACAUAAAUUAGGAGGGGAACCAAACAGAUUAAUCAUGAGUUAUUGGUAUAUUACCUGGCCUAGAUUUAUUGGAAAGAAACAAUGGGGUUGCCUUGCUGUUUUCAGAGUUUGUCUUCUUAUCUUCAGCAGCCUGCACCAAAUUAAGACACUAGCAUUGCUAUCAUUGGCCAACUCAGAUAAUAGGAAAGCAACAUUGGCACAACGAACGUUUGGGAAACUAGCCAACACCAAAUUAACACAAUAUGGCACAGCUAUCAUCAGCCAGGUAAGGUAAUAUGAAAGCAACAUUGACACAAUGAAUGAAUGGGCAACCAGAGCAGCACUACAAUUCAGUAAUGUGCAUGAUAUGAGAUAGUACACUCAUGCAGCUCAGUAUGCACAACUACCAGGUAGUUUUCUUUACAAAAAUCAACAUUGGCGCCUUUAACAUUUUGCUACAACUAAUUUUAGAUCAGACAAAGGUUGGAUUCACGCCGAUUAACAAAAUACAUGCUGAUGUAAAAAUAUAGUGAUAUACAACAGGUACUUACAUCAGCAUUGGAGCACAAAGAAUUCCCGCAAGAUGUUUUCCUCGAAUACAAUCCCAAUGAAAGAAAUCUUCUAUCAUUUAACCUUAUUUUCUAAAAGAGAUAUGGGUAAGAAACAUGUAGAAAAUAUGAUCAAAAUGCUAUAAAAUUUCAUGAUGCGAGGAUACGCACACGCUUCUUAGAAUGGAGUUGACAUUCUUUUGCUGGACUGGAGCGGACUAGUUCUUUGGCCACUGGAAUCUGCUUAUUAUCAGUGGGAGUUGGGUUUCUCUGUGCUGGAGCAGUAUCUAUGAAAAAUGGAGUUAGUUUAUUAUCUCCUGGCAUUUGGAUCUUUUGCAAAGACCUGGUUUGUAACCCUUCAGAUUCUAACAUAGCCGUCUUCCCCUUGCAUGCCUUAUAUAGAAGAAUGGUGCUUCAAUUAUAAAACAUGCUACAACAGAUAUGGAAUAGGUACUGAAGAAUAGAAAGGCAUGACAUAUUGACAUGUAUUCCCUCCAUCCGGAAAUAAAUGGAUAGGUCUAGGUGUAUUUCAGUUCUAGAUACAUCCAGUUUUAUCCAUUUCUGCGACAUGUAAUCCGGACGGAGGGAGUAUGAUGUAAGAGCUAGGGAUACGACAGGACAACACAGUAAAAAACACUGAAAACCCACUGCAGAACCAAUGUAAUCAAACCCAUUGAUAUGAGAUAGUACACUCAUGCAGCUCAGGAUGCAAAACUACCAGGCAGUUUUCCUUACAAAAAUCAACAUUGUGGCCUUUAAUCAUACAUUUUGCUACAACCAAAUUUAGAUCAGAUAAAGGUUGGAUUCACGCCGAUUAACAAAAUGCAUGUUGAUGUAAAAAAUAGUGAUAUACAACAUGUACUUACAUCUGCAUUGGAGUACAGAGAAUUCCUGCAAGAAUCUUUCCUCACAGACGAUACCAGUGCAGAAAUUCUUCUAUCUGUUAAACUUAUUUUCUAAAAGAGAGAUGGGUAAGAAACAUGUAGAAAAUAUGAUCAGCAUGCUAUAAAAUUUCAUGAUGCAAGGAUACGCACACGCUUCUUAGAAUGGAGUUGACAUAUUUUUGCUGGACUGGAGUGGACUAGUUCUUUGGCCACAGGAAUCUGCUUAUUAUCAGUAGGAGUUGGGUUUCUCUGUGCUGGAGUAGUAUCUAUAAAAACUGGAGUUGGUUUAUUAUGUCCUGGCGUUUGGAUCUUUUGCAAAGACCUGGUUUGUAACCCUUCAGAUUCUAACAUCGUCGUCUUCCCCUUGCAUGCCUUGUAUAUAAGAAUGGUGCUUCAGUUAUAAAACAUGCUACAGCAGAGAGAUGGAAUAGGUACUGAAGAAUAGAAAGGCAUGACAUAUUGACAUGUAUUCCCUCCAUCUGAAAAAAUGGAUGGGUCUAGGCGUAUUUCAGUUCUAGAUACAUCCUUUUUUAUCCAUUUCGGCAACAUGUAAUUCGGACGGAGGGAGUACGGUGUAAGAGCUAGGGAUACGACAGGACAACACAGUAAAAAAAACACUAGUUGAAUGUAAAAAUGUAUGCUAGCAGAAUACGUACAAAAAAAAACUAAGGCAGCAUACACGUGUAUGAUUGGGAAACUAAGGUGGCAUUGCAACAGAGCACUAGAACAGCACUUCAAUGUAAAAAAACAUGGUAUGGUAGACAUAUGAAGUACGUACUGAUGAAUAACAAUGCAUAAGAUAUUCAGAAGCAUGAUGUCCAAAUUAAGCAGAUGGCAUUGCGAUAGAGUAGAAUGACAGUACUUGAAUUUGAAAACAUCUUAUCAUGAAUGGAAUAGGUACUGAAAAACAGGAAGGCAUGACAUAUUUACAUGCAUGAUCAGCAUGCUAAGCACAUGGCAUUGUUACAGGGUAGAUACACUCCAAGACAUUAUAUGCAUGUUGUACCCAUAUCAUGGGCCAAGUUAGAGCAAGGACCUUAUGGGGUGAAGAGGAUUCAACAUCUUUCUGCAAGUCUUCUGAAGAACUGCCUUUAUAUGUUCCAUCAUAUUGGGUAUCAUUGACAUCAAGUUUAUUGGCCUUUACAUUGCUCUGUGAGGUUCUUGUGGAUAUAUCAGUGUGUGCAAUUAUAUCUGACAUGCAUGGAAGACAACUAGUAGUUAGAUUUAUGUAAUGAGUGCCUGUAGGAGACGACAUAAAUAGUAGGACUGGGGUUAACUAGCAGCAACAGGUCUCAAAAACUAAAGGGAGAACACAGAUGAAAGCUACAGAAUAUGUAUCGUUUGUACUCGAGAUUAACUAGAUGGCACACAAAAGUAUUAAAGAACAACAUAGGUAAUACUAGAAGUGGUAUAAUACUAUAAUCACCAGCCUGUGGGAUAGCAUUGGCUGAUGGAUGAUAACUAUAGAACAGCGUUACCUAAAGAACAAGUAUCUUAGCUGAACUAUGGAACAACGUUAACUCCUGAACAAGACCCGUAAGAGAUCAGCAUGAAUAUACAGUGAAAUGUGAUAAUCUAUUUUCCAUGCUUAGAUGAAUAACAAAGCCAUAAAUGUUGCACACAAGUAAGAUGAGGGUACAACCUAUCUGGCCGCCAUCCAUAGGAGUGAGCAUCAUGUGCUGACUUGUCGAUGGCCCUGCAGUUGUUGUGGCUGUCCAUGUCGGGCACGCGCAUUCGAUGCAGGGAACUGUUGAGUGGGGACUAUAGCUCCCUUCUGGUGUAUGCUUCCCUUGUUGGAGCAGCUGCGGUGAGUCGAAAGACGGUGCGGCUAAAGAUGCAGAUAACGCAUAAUGUUAAGAAUGACACAUCUCUUUGAUCUGAAGAAAUACACUAAGAGAUCAACAGCAAGGUACGAGAGUGGUCACACGUCUGUUGACUGAGACUAAAUUGGGGUCACAUGAUUUUGUUAUAUUUUGGUACUGUUCGAUCUACGCCGGAUGGCUUGAUGGCCGUCUUGUGCCUCCCGGCUGACACUGUUAGGAAUCUUCCCCGAAGAGCCAGCGAGNNNNNNNNNNNNNNNNNNNNNNNNNNNNNNNNNNNNNNNNNNNNNNNNNNNNNNNNNNNNNNNNNNNNNNNNNNNNNNNNNNNNNNNNNNNNNNNNNNNNNNNNNNNNNNNNNNNNNNNNNNNNNNNNNNNNNNNNNNNNNNNNNNNNNNNNNNNNNNNNNNNNNNNNNNNNNNNNNNNNNNNNNNNNNNNNNNNNNNNNNNNNNNNNNNNNNNNNNNNNNNNNNNNNNNNNNNNNNNNNNNNNNNNNNNNNNNNNNNNNNNNNNNNNNNNNNNGGCCAAUCCACAAAGACUCCCCAUCAUCUAGAUCCGGCAGCGGCAGUACCUUGAACCCACGCAACUCUAAGAUAGCCAUCUAAGCGCUGCUACCGCGACGAACUUGCGGCCCCGCGCCCUUACAUUAGAGACCAGCCAACCGGCAGCCUAGGAGCUCCACCGCCUCGAGGGGUGCUGCUUCCCAUUGGGAAUCGAUUGGCCCAGAAUAAAAAUUCAGACAACUGACGCCUAAAUAAAGUGAUUUCAGAUGAGGGUGCGACCUAUUUGGUGGCAUGGUGAAGUAGGCAGGUCCAGCUACUGAGUCGGUGAGGCCGGCGCGGUUGCGGUGGCCACCGGCGGCAGGGAAACAGCGAUGUCGCGACGGUCGACGGCUACGGGGAAGCAGCGCCGGGACUCUGGACGGAUCCGGAGUUGGAGCCGCUCCGGCGCUGUGAACAACGGCGGGGGUGAAUCGGCUCCGGUACGGUUCACACGGCCGUCGUCGAGGCAGCUCCAGCAGCACGGAGUAAGAGGCACACAGCCCAGUGCACGAUGUCAAAUGGACAGCAUCUCCGGCAUUAGGGAGGAGGGCGGCUGUGAAAUUGGUGCGGUGGGGGCGCCAUGGAGGAGGGGCUGAGGUUUCGCGGCUCGGGAGAAGGGAGCUUCCAGGGAGAAGGUGAUUUGGCGCCCACGAGGUAUGAAUGGGGGGGAUUGGGAGGGGAGUGGAACCAUGUUUUACGGACGCAUUUGUCUGAAAUGUGAGGGGGAGUUACAGUUCUACCCCUGCCUUUAGGCUUCUCGGCUUGGGUCUGUGUACUAAGGGUCGGGGAUAGUAGAGUAACUUUGCUUCUCCCCAAAUAGUGGGCGGGAGCGAUUUCGGGCUAGGAGGGCGUGUUUUGAAAUAUAGUGGGCGCGAGCGAUUUCGAGUGAGGAGAGCGUGUUUUGAAAAAGUGGGCGCGAGCUAUUUCGGGCGAGGAGAGUGUGUUUUGCUGACCAUGGUUUAUGAAUUAUUCGGCACAUGUCAUUUCGGCCGAGGAGAAGGCGCGCUUGGAUGAAGUUGCGAACCUACCCUCGAUGCACAACGGGCCAAUUAAUGCGUCUCCCACAUAGGACGGUAAUUUUGCAUCUCCCAUUUAUUUGCUCGGACGAAUUCCACCGAGCAGAGGAUGUUUAACGGUUCAUUCAAAAUUUGGGAGAACGAGCAUCCACGUCUACCUUACCAAGUCGAUUCGAAUCAAAUUUAGAAAUAUUAGCUUGCCACUUCUUUUUUAGAUGGAGAGAUGAUGCUCGGGAGUAAUGUGUUUUUACAUGCUCGUUUCUAGCGAUUUACUAUAUGACAAAUAGUUGACCCACUCAAAAACGGGAAUCAAACCCAAAAUGAAAUAUCUCGAUUCAAUGAAAUAGCUCGUUAACCAGGUCAAAAUAGUGAACUAAAUCCAAAAUUGAACACCUCAAUCGAAUAGCAUGUUGUACAGUAUUAUAGUACUCCAUGAACAUGUUGAAAGUCAAAUUAAUGAACUUGUUUGAUAUACGCAUAUAUCCGUUCAUCUGUGGAUUGCAGACAACAUGUUCUCCAAUUUAAAUAUUUGAAUGCAAGUUUAUAUCGAAACAUGGUUUAUAUCAGUCUUUGAUGCAUAAAACGCGACCUCCCCCUCUCCCGGACUCCUGCUCUCUCUCGCCGACAAUCUUCAAUUCUGUCGCACGCAUCCAACACACAAACCUUGUUGGUCCUCUCUCUUUGUCUCCAUCUCUCUCUCUCUCUCUCUUUGUGUGUGUGCGUGGGGGGGGGGGUCUUUCUAGUUCGCAUGCAUAUACACUCCAUCUAUAGUUCUCUCUCGCACACGAUGUAUGAUUCUCUAGUCCAAGCUAGAUAUCUUGGGUGCACUCAUCGUAUGCACACAAAUUCCUUGGCUCGUUGCCCGUAACUCUCUCACGCACCACUCUGUUGUCUCGGAGCUCUUCCCCCUCUCUCUCAAACUCUCCAUCUACCUGGGUCACACAUACACAUGCAUAUCUCACUCGCACUCGAUAGGCCCAUCUAAAACUCUAUCUCUCUCCGUCGUUCUCUCUCCAUCUCACAAGCACACAAACACAAUCUCAUGCCUAGCUAGCCAAGUAUGAUGGUAUCUCACUCAAUUGUAGGCACACGCAGUCCCCCCUAUAUGUAUAUGACUAGCUAAUCUUAGUCUCCAUCACAAACAUGUGCAUGGUCUAUCUCGAUUUCUCUCGGGGCAUCUUUCUAUCGCGCACGCACCUCCCUCGAUCUCCCACCCAUAUAGUCCCCUCACGAUCUCGAGGGGGUCUCUCUAUCACAAACACACCCUCUCGCCCUCCCCAUGUGUCCAUGUUCUCCAUGUGUCCCUCUCGACCUUUGUUCCUUGUUGGCCAGACCUCUAUUGGACAUGUGCUAUAGGGGUGUCUCUCUCCGUUGCAAACAAUCACACACUAGCUAUCUUCGUGUAUCUCCUCGCCUCGCUUUUCUAUCUCGGAGAUGCAUGCGUGAUAUGUUCUCCUAAGAAACGAAAAAACACACACUCUCUCUCUAAUUUAUCGUUUGUUGUCACUUUCUCUUUCACACACAUACUCUUUUUGCACACUUACUCAUUCUCCUUCACACGCACUUGAUCCCUCUCGACUUAGGCACUCUCCUCGGUCCAUAGCAUAUUGAUUUACUGAAAAGUCAAACAUCACAAAGUUUGACCAUGUACGUGGAGAAAAACAAUUACAUCUGGAACGGCAAACAUAUACCAUUAGAUUCACCAUGAGAUGUAGUUUCGUAUGAUGUAUCUUUGGUAUUGAAGACAUAAAUAACAUUUGUGUAAACCUGAUCAAAGUUUCCAAAGUUUGACUUCUAAAAAAAUUACAUGCACUGCAUUAUCGAGCGGAUGGAAUAUCUCUUUCCCUCUCUCAGCUAUCUGACGCACCACUCAGCCUUAUCGGGGCUCCUCAAUCUCUCUCAAACUUUAUAUCUCCCUGGUUCACACAUACACAUGUCUCGCUCGUGCUAUACAUAUAGACCCAUCCAACACUCUCCGCCCUUGUUCUCUCUCUAUGUGACACGCACCCCCCUAAUAAGUACCAUAGUCCCUCCCUCCAUCAUAGGCGCAAGCACUCCCCCCCUAAGUAUGAUUAUCUCUCACUAACCAUCAGGAACACACGUAUUGUCUCCUUCCAUCCAUACGUCUAUCUCGAUAUCUCUCGUGGUAUCUUCUAUCGCGCACACACCUUGUCACUCGAUCUCCCACCCAUGUAGUCCCAUCACGAUCUCCAGGGGAUCUCUCUAUGACAAACAUACACUCUCUCCUCCCCAUGUCUGCAUUUUCUCCGUACGUCUCUCUCGACCUCUCUCCCUUGUUUGUCAGACCCCUCUUGGCCACAUACUAGGGGUCUUGCUCUCUCGGUUGCAAACAACCACACACUAUCUCCUCACCUUGCUUCCGUUGUCGAAGAUGCAUGUGUGAUAUGUUUGCAUAAGACACACACGUUUUUUCUCGACUUUUAUCGAGUGUUGUCCAUGUCUCUUUCACACACGCACACACACUUUUUUCACUCACUCUUUCUAUUUCUCUCCCUCUCUCUCUCUAGUUAGGGACUCUCUCACGUCCAUAAGCAUAUGGAUGUUUUGAAAAGUCAAACCUCAGAAAAGUUUGACCAGGUAUAUGUGGAGAAAAACAUUUACAUCUGGAAAGAUCAUUAGAUUCAUCACAACAUGUACUUACUUCAUACUAUCAUUUAUCUUUGGUAUUGUAGAUAUAAGUAAUUUCUUUAUAAACUUGGUCAAAGUUUCAAAAGUUUGACUUUAAAAAAAAUGUUGGAACUACAUUAUCGAACGGAGGGAGUAGCUCUUUCUCUCUCUCUCUCUGCUAUCUCUCAUGGGCCUCCCCUCUCACACGAACACUCUAUACCGACGGAUUAUACGCUCACUAUCUUAGUGUAUAGCUCCAUAUAUUGUUUAGUUGACCGGUCAACCAGUCCACAUGCUGCUUUGUCAGCUCGUGUUCUGUAUCUUCGUGUGCUGGCCCAUGUGGCAGUGUGUGAAAAUAAGUAAACUAGAGGCCCAUCUGACACGCUGUGAAAUAAACAAAGUUGAAACCACUCGGGGUAGCACCCCGCACGCUAGUAAAUUGAGGGCGCAUUGAGGACACACUUCUUCCGCGUGGAGGACGCACUCGCGCACAAUUCACCACUGCGCGACAGCAUGCACAGAAGGACGCACUCGCACACACCCAGCACACAACACACACCAGCACACGUGUACACCGGCGUCGCCGCCAGUUGAGAUGGACGGCGAGGCAGCCAACAAGUGGAGGCGGCUCGAGCCAAAACCGCAUCCGGCGAGCCUGGACUUCAUCAGCAGCCUCCUCGACGACAUGCUGCUCGUCAUCAUUCGCCUCCUCCCCACCAAAUAUGUCGUGCGGACCGCCCUGCUCUCCCAGCGGUGGCGCCUCCUCUGGCGCCGCGUCCCCCUCAACCUCACCGUCGACAGCUGCCUCUGCGACGGGGAUUGCAUACGCAUGGCCGCAGUCUCCAAGAUCCUUUCAUCGCACCCUGGGCCAGCCAGACGCCUCAACAUCCGCAUGUUCAGUACCAACUGCAAGGUCCAACCCAAGUUUGACGAGUGGUUCUUAUCCCCCGCCCUAGAUCAGCUCGAGGAGCUCAGCUUUGAAGCUGGACGAUGUCGCUCUCUGCCGCCGUCCGCGCUCCGCCUCGCGCCAAUGCUGCGCCGCGCCAGCUUCAGCUCCUGCUAUCUUCCCCGGAUUAAUGUCGCGCCCGCCCUUCUUCUCCCUCAACUCAAGCAGCUCGACCUCUUCGACGUUGUCAUCUCGAAGAAGGCUAUGGACCACCUGCUCCGCAGCUGUACUGCGCUCGAGUACCUUCGUCUUGAGCAGAUCCACGGGUUCAUUAGCCUCCACAUCGCCUCGACGAAUCUCCGAUGGAUUUAUUCGUCUUCCUGGCCCCGCAACAAGACAUCAAUUGGGAAGAGAUCACUCCAGCUAUUCCAUGUUAUGGUCAUUGAGAAUGCGCCUUUCCUUGAGAGAUUGCUUGUAUCGGUCUACAAGGUCCAACAAAAAUCAAGGUCAUUGACGUGCCGAAAUUGACAGCGUUGGUGUACUCGUCUGCCAAAUUCUCCGAACUCUUUAUUGGAUCCGUAAUCGUUCAGGUACAACACUCAUCUUCUUCUCCGUCUUCUUAAAAUUCACAUUUUGAAAUUUCUUCUUGAUGUAUUUACGACCAUCUUCCAGAAAAUGAUUCCCACAAGCUUGAUCCAGUCUAUGCGCACAGUGAAGAUCUUGCCAAUAAAAUCUAUCGGCCCCAAUCUGGAUCAAGUUGUUGGAUUCCUUACAUGCUUUCCGUGCACGGAGAAGCUACUCAUCGAGGUGAAACUUCUUUCCUAUUAGUAAACGGUAAUCACAAUGUAGCUCAAAUUUUUCAUAAUUUUCCCAAAUUACGAUGACAAGUGUAGUGUUCAAAACUGCAUCUACGCACUGCACCAAAAGAAAUGUUUUUAGUACUUUUUCUCACGUGAUCACCGGCAUCGUUUUUUUGUUGUACUACUAUAGUAGCCUAGGCUAGUCAUAGUGGAAAGUAACUUAGACUACUCCAGUAACUCUAUGGUUACCCUAAGAGCAAGUACUACCUCCGUCCUGGUUUACUCUUCCUAUUUUGUAGUAUCAAAAUUUGACCAUAGAUUUAACUGACAAAAUGUUAAUGCAUGUCACUAAGAACUAUAUCGUUGGAUUCGUAUCUGAACAUAAUUUCAAAGGGUGUAAUUUUUAGUGACAUGCAUUGGCAUUUUCUUACAUAAAUAUAUGGUCAAAAUUUUAUACUAAAUAAGAGGUAGUACAAAAGUGGGCUAUAACGGCCCUCCACUAUGUAGGCCAAAACACGUGCCAAAUUCACUUAUGAUGCAUUUGGCAUCGAUGCCCCUCCAUUGCUCACCUGGUGCCCCAAUCUGGAUCACCUACUUUGCUUCGGUGCCAAAUUAACUCACGCAAUGAAAAACACUUGCGUGGGAGAGAGAGAGAGGACCGAGGCAAUAAAAAACACUUGUUUGGGAGAGUGAGAGGCUGGUGUGCACAGCGGUGCCAACUCUCUCACAUCGCGAGAGUGGUGCCAAAAUCUUUUGAUUUGACAUCGAUGCGUAUUAUGGUAUCAGCCACCUAGUGGAAGGCAACAAAUGCCCAAGCUCUUCACGUACUCCUAGGUAAAUGAGAGGAAAGAGAAAGAGAGAGAGAGUGAAAAAAUAACACUAGCCAGCCAACCCUAUCGUAUGAGCGAAUGAUAUUGGUACCUCUUGAUGACACGGCAAUCUUAUACAGCCAGCUGCUCUAAUAUGUUCUCUUCUUUUGCAGAUAAAAAAAGACCCGAAAGUGAAAAAUGUGCUGCACUAUAACAAUCUCAUCGAAUGCCUUGAUAUCCAUCUUACAGAAAUUGAUUUGAUCGACUACCGAGGCAGCACAUCUAAGAUUAAAUUGGCCAGGUUCUUUGUUCUGGAGGCAAGUGUGCUCAAGGUAAUGAGGUUUGGCAUUCUCUGGCGCAACAAUGAAUGGCGUGCUGACCACCGCAAGCGUCUAAGCCUAAAUGAUAAAGUCUCCGCAGAAGCUGAAUUUGUUUUUGAAACAUCAAGUGGCCAGGGACUCGAAAACUUAUUUGCCCAUUAGUGACUUGUCAGGGUGGUGAAUUUUAGUUUACGAUAAAGCUGCAUCCACCUAAAGUAACGAAAGUUCUUACGUAAACUUCUGAGUAAUUCCCUCUUCGUAGGUGCAGCAUUACUCCUAACAUUUGUAAUAUCAGUUUGAAACUUGUAAUAUUGCCAUGUCCUAUUCCUGCGUUUUCAAAAUCCUGCGAAUCAAACAGGUCCUGAGUUGGUGAUGAUGUUGUGCCUGCCAUCUUUCACCAAUAGCCGUCGGAUCUAGAUCUGACGCAUACAAACCAAACUUCUUCAGUUUUGCAAAAAGAUGCCCGCAGUUGUUCCCUAUUUACAAACAACUCCUUGUCUCUCACAAUCAGCCUUAUCUCCUCCCCACCACAUCUAGAAGGCCAUGGAAAAAUCUGGCGCGAUGGCCGCUGCCGGCGCCGUCCACCCCCCAAUCUUGGUGUUCCGUGCAAUGCAUGGGCAUCUACGCACGGGAAAUUAUGUCAAACACGGCUAGUUGUAAGCAGGCUAGGUCUACAGCCAUGAUGAUAGUGACUGCAGACGGUGGGGCUGACUAUGGUAUGCCGAACAUGGCGCCUAUACUCAGGUGUCAUCUCCGGCGUAGGGUCUUGCCACUUCACUGUGAGGAGCAGCACAUAAUAAUUUGACCAACGUGUAGUACAGUGCUACUACAUUGGUAGUACUACUACUACUAGUACUAGCACCACCGUCUGGAUUUAGUAGUACUACCACGUCCAUCUGGAUUUAGUAUUUGACUAGCAAUAUCUAGUCAUGCAUGUCACAAAAAAUGUACUACUCCCUCUGUAAAUAAAUACAUGGUGUAUUGUUUUAUUCCUAUCGGCGAGGUAACAAUGUCUUUUUGCUACUUAAUAGGAUUACAUGCAAUGAACUAACCACCGCAUGUGAUGUUUGGUAGUCUCAAGUCAUUGAAAGCAUGCACGGGCACGGAGGGGGAUGCAACUUCAUUGACUUACUGCACCUGCCUUUGGGUGUAUGACACGUGGGUCCAACGGGUGGCUGGCCAACCUGUCAUACAGCCAAAGGCGGGUGCAGUAGAGGGGCGAGGAGUAGAUGGCCAACACGCACGUGAAUUCAACGCAGUCUGCACUUCUCAUAUAAAGGCUCCCUCCAGUCCAAUCUACGAAAUCCUACGCACCUACGCACCCAAGGGCAAGAGUGAUCACUCCAAUCGCAAGAUCAGUUGACUAGAAGCUAGACCCAUGGAGGCGAUGAGCGCGAGCAUCAGCCGGCUGUGCCAGAUGGUCCACGACGCCGGCCUGCGGCCCGGCACCGAGGAACGUCUCCAGGUAGUGCUUGAGGCCGCCAGGGCGAGGGGCUGCUUGGACGACAGCUUCAUCUUCUUGUUCGACGAGGUCCUCGUCGGCUUCCUCGACAAGUUCACCGUCGUCAAGAAGCUCGCGGACGACCUUGACGUACGCCUCCAGCCCACGCGCCCAGGCUCUACGAUGCCUGCCACCCUCAACGGCCUCUAUGGUGACAACCUCUUCGACGCACUGGUGGCCCUGCGACUGCCCGCCGUCGUGCCAGAGAAUGUCCACCUCGAGGUCGCGCUCGCCGCGCAGCGCCUGGCGCAGCAAGACACCAUCGACAUAAAUACCCACGUCUACGCGCAAAUCGUCCACAAGGACUACUACAUGCAAGAGGAGGACGAUAGGACGCUGGCCUUCUUGGACCACAGGGCAACCUUGGACGGCAUUGUUCAGAAGCACGUUGAGCUUGCCGCCAACGCCGCUGCUCCUCAGACGUCGGUUGGUGACCCGAAGCACUAGGGUGUGAGGAUGUCGUUGAUGGAUCCAUAUGUAUCUUUAUCUUUCCGUCAAAUCCAUGUAGUAGUAUAUGGUACUACUAGUAAUUAUCUUACCUUUCGCAUCAACUUCAUAAUUUUCCUACGUACUCCAUGCAUGAACUGCGCCAGAACCAAACUUCUCAUUACUCUAGGGAAAUUGUUAUUUCUAUCUAUCGGUCGCCCCAUGGAGCAUAACCAAAUUUUACAAGUUACAAGUUCUAAAGGAAAAGCCUGCCGUGUUCGCGUCGCACCCCCACACGGUUUGUCCGGCACGCCGCUCAAGGGGGAAUGCGUGAUGUGUUGCAUUUUCACUUACAAGUGGGACCACAGUUGAGCAAACCGACUAUCGGCAAACCCCCACCCCGCCCACCGCGUGAUCGCUGAGAAAACAGGAGGGAGAACAGAUGGCUGUAGCUAGCACGGACUCCAAGAAAAUUGGUGUCGGAUGGGACUCGUGUGGGUGGCGUGUGUUGUACUGCUAGACAUGAAUGCUAGUUAUGGCCCAUGCCACCCCACUAUAUCGAGGUGCUGGUUACUCCACUAUAUCGAGUACGUAGAACAAAUUUCCCGGAGUCCGUGCUCAGCCCUCCUCUAUCUCUCUCCUCAGCCAGCCAGCAGACGCGCGGAGCCCAUCGUCCGUUUGCUCAUAUGCGGUCCCACAUGUCAAUGAAAACGCAAGAGGACCCACUGAACCUGCACAUCUUUCACCUCGACGUGCUGGUGAUGAAAAACAAAUCCAAUAAAGAUCUUCGAUAGCCGCUUUUGGAGUUACUCAAGCGUAGUAAGAUUCUAUUUACAGUUUAACCCAAGAUGCACAUCACGUGGCUUCACCUACCACUCUAUUUUCUUGCAUGACAUGACCUGGAUGCUGGAUGUCCCACGUGUCGGCAAAAGGAGGAAGAACUCGACCAAAUCUUCGGUUGUGCUCUCGGAUUAGACUAGUUGUGCUAACUUAAAAUUUUAUUGUGUAGAAUGGAUGCAAGUUUUGGUAUUGGGAAGAAGAGUACAACGAUAUAUUGAUAGAGCGCAAUUUAGUAGAUGUUGUAGCACUUUUAGCUAGCAUAGAGGCUAGAGAUGAGACUAGUGCACUUGUUGAUAGAAUAGAGGCUAGACACGUCUACUUCUUUACACUCAAAGAAGAAAGAAGCACGCAAGAUCGAGCCUCCGCAGAUCAACAAUGAAUGCAUCGAGAAGGCACUAAUCCAACUUACAGGAGUAGUUAUGGAAGUUGGAUAUCUUCUAAAAUGUAUUCUUCUGGUUCUUGUUUUCUUUGGUCUUGCUUUUCUAGUCAAAAUUUUGGUGAUGUAUUUCCAUGUACCAAAAAAUCAAUGAUGAAAAAAAGAUAUGUGUUUGCAAGAAAAAUGUACGCGGCCGGGAUGCGGUCACGCGUUCAGCGCACGACCACCGCAUCCGAGAAAUGGCCCGGACACGACCCCAUUGCCCUACCCAAACGGACAGAAUCCGGGCAAAACGGAGGUUCGUUUGGGGUCGUGCGUUGGAGUUGGCCUUACAAGUGGGACCGCAGUUGAGGAAACCGACUAUCGGCAAACCCCCACCUCGCCCGUCGCGCGAUGGCUGAGUUAGAGAAACGACGAGGUUGAAGAGAUUGCUGUAGCACGGACUCCAAGAAAUAUGGUGUCAGAUGGAAGUCAUGCUGGUGGCGUGUGCCGUACCCCUGGACGUGAAUGCUUGUUCUGGCCCAUGCCACCCUACUACUCCUACUACUCCUAUCGAGGAUUCGAGGUGCUGGUUACGUACAGCGAACACAUUAACAUAUGGCCCACCUCACACUGUGGCCAAAUUUCCUGGAGUUUGUGCUAGGUUAAAAAGUGUUCUUUGUGAGGAUGGGUGGCUGGUCUCAAGUUUAAAACUUGUUGUAUUACAUACGUAGACGUAGAGAUAGUGCAGCAUGUGAAGCUAGUACAAAUAGUGUACUAUUGUUGAUUGGCCCCAUCCGAUAACCUGUUGCAAUGCACGUACAAUUAUGUAUUCGGAAAACAUAUUUUUUGCCUCGUCGCAGCACCCACUCAGAGAAGCGACUCGAUAGCCAUUCAUAAAUUUAGUAAGUUUAUCACAGACAUAUCAUUUUAUUACAUACAACAGGUCAUCAACCCACAACGACAACAAGGAUACAUUAUAAAUACUAAAGUUUUCAUCACACAACAAAUAACAAGCAAUGAAAUGAACUUCAACUCAACCAAUCCUCGGCGUUGGAAAUGCUUGCUUUGAACCACAAGCGAUUCUCUCGGAAGAGCCAGCUACUGUCAAUCUCGAGACCAAUGCAGGACUGAUCAUCCAGGCUGAAGCAGCCUACUAUAUCAUGACCAGGGUAGGGAACCAACGUAAUGUCCGACGUAUAGAUACAGUUGCUUCUCAUAAAUGGUAGUAACAUUGUGUCAACAGCAGUUGGAUCGCCUUUCACCAUCAUUGGAUAGUUUUGUCCAAGGAAGAGUGAGUUUGCUCCAGGACUAUCAAUACUGUACCAGGGAGAAGGUGUUGGCGCUAGCACACUAGUAUCCAUCCCGAAUACCAUGCAACGGGUGUUGGAAUAGAUCCGGAGAGUGUGACCAUGGGAGACAACACCUGCUCCCUCAGUAGUAACAUCAGCAGUGGGCUGUAUACAGACAAGAAGGGGUGAUCCAUCGGAAGUUGCCAGGCGCCACUGAGUAUAUGGGCCCUCCUCGUCCUCAUGCUCGUGGUCAUCACCAUCUUCAUCUCCCCCUUGGUUAUAAAAAAUUUCAAGUAUAGGCGGUGGAAUGUUCACAGGACCUUGGAAACACAAGAAGAAGGUUAAUUAGUAGAGAAGGGAAACUUGCUAACUCGCAUGCAUGUGGAUGAAACAAUUAUAAUUACGGUGGAAGACAAACGUACUGAAACUACGAGGAUCCCAUGCAAAAAUAGUGCCACGAGUGGUGGCAGCAAACACAAGACCCUCGUAUUCAAUUGCAUCACAGUACACAUCCGUAUAUAGAAACUGAUUUUUGAGCAAUAUCCAUCCAGUCGAACCACGAAGGACGGCAACAAGCUUGUCGAAGAUAGCAACAACUUGAUAGUUCUUGUAAUUCCAUGAGCGGUUGGGAACUCGAGAAAUUGCUAUCUUCCGUGGACGACAGUCACCAUGAUCAUAUUUGAAUGUACGUAGAUCAUCUGUGUGCUCAACCUCAGGGCGCUCGGAGAUUUUUGGAAGUGGAAUCCGCUCACGAGUGUACACAUUCACAAGUUCCCACUCGCAAUUGUACCCAAUAUAAACAACCCAAUCUCCAUUUGCGCCUGCCCAAGCCUUGCCCUCAAGCGAUGGCAUCUUAACAUCAUAUGUAUCAUUAUCAAGCGGCAUCAACUUGCACAAGGCGAGGCUUCCCUCGUCCCCGCGUGCUACCUCUUCAGCACUGCCUUGGUUUUCCCUUGAAGAGGAAAGGGUGAUGCAACAAAGUAGCGUAAGUAUUUCCCUCAAUUUUUGAGAACCAAGGUAUCAAUCCAGUAGGAGGCCACGCACGAGCCCCUCGCACCUACACAAACAAAUAAAUCCUUGCAAACGCGACAAGGGGUUGUCAAUCCCUACACGGUCACUUACGAGAGUGAGAUCUGAUAGAUAUGAUAAGAUAAUAUUUUUGGUAUUUUUAUGAUAAGAUGAAAAGUAAAAUAAAAGGGAAUAAAAAAUAGCUAAGUCUUGGAAGAUUAAUAUGAUGGAAAAUAGACCCGUGGGCCAUAGGUUUCACUAGUGGCUUCUCUCAAGAGCAUAAGUAUUACGGUGGGUGAACAAAUUACUGUUGAGCAAUUGACAGAAUUGAGCAUAGUUAUGAGAAUAUCUAGGUAUGAUCAUGUAUAUAGGCAUCACGUCCGAGACAAGUAGACCGACUCCUGCCUGCAUCUACUACUAUUACUCCACACAUCGACCGCUAUCCAGCAUGCAUCUAGAGUAUUAAGUUCAUAAGAACAGAGUAACACUUUAAGUAAGAUGACAUGAUGUAGAGGGAUAAACUCAUGCAAUAUGAUAUAAACCCCAUCUUGUUAUCCUCGAUGGCAACAAUACAAUACGUGCCUUGCUGCCCCUAUUGUCACUGGGAAAGCACACCGCAAGAUUGAACCCAAAGCUAAGCACUUCUCCCAUUGCAAGAAAGAUCAAUCUAGUAGGCCAAACGAAACUGAUAAUUCGAAGAGACUUGCAAAGUUAACCAAUCAUACAUAAAAGAAUUCAGAGAAGAUUCAAAUAUUGUUCAUAGAUAAACUUGAUCAUAAACCCACAAUUCAUCGGUCUCAACAAACACACCGCAAAAGAAGAUUACAUCAAAUAGAUCUCCAUGAGAGAGGGGGAGAACAUUGUAUUGAGAUCCAAAAAGAGAGAAGAAGCCAUCUAGCUAAUAACUAUGGACCCGAAGGUCUGAGGUAAACUACUCACACAUCAUCGGAGAGGCUAUGGUGUUGAUGUAGAAGCCCUCCGUGAUUGAUGCCCCCUCCGGCGGAGCUCCGGAACAGGCCCCAAGAUGGGAUCUCACGGUACAGAAGGUUGCGGCGGUGGAAUUAGGUUUUUGGCUCCGUAUCUGGUAGUUUGGGGGUACAUAGGUAUAUAUAGGAGGAAGGAGUACGUCGGUGGAGCAACAGGGGGGCCACGAGGGUGGAGGGCGCGCCCUGGGAGGGUAGGCACGCCCCCCUACCUCGUGCCCUCCUGGUUGAUGUCUUGACGUAGGGUCCAAGUCCUCUGGAUCACGUUCGUUCCGAAAAUCACGUUCCCGAAGGUUUCAUUCCGUUUGGACUCCGUUUGAUAUGCUUUUUCUGCGAAACUCUGAAAUAGGCAAAAAACAGCAAUUCUGGGCUGGGCCUCCGGUUAAUAGGUUAGUCCCAAAAAUAAUAUAAAAGUGUAUAAUAAAGCCAAAUAAUGUCCAAAACAGAAUAUAAUAUAGCAUGGAACAAUAAAAAUUAUAGAUACAUUGGAGACGUAUCAAGCAUCCCCAAGCUUAAUUCCUGCUCGUCCUCGAGUAGGUAAAUGAUAAAAACAGAAUUUUUGAUGUGGAAUGCUACUUGGCAUAAUUUCAAUGUAAUUCUUCUUAAUUGUGGUGUGAAUAUUCAGAUCCGAAAGAUUCAAGACAAAAGUUUAAUAUUGACAUAAAAAUAAUAAUACUUCAAGCAUACUAACUAAGCAAUUAUGUCUUCUCAAAAUAACAUGGCUAAAGAAAGUUAUCCCUACAAAAUCAUAUAGUCUGGCUAUGCUCUAUCUUCACCACACAAAAUAUUUAAAUCAUGCACAACCUCGAUGACAAGCCAAGCAAUUGUUUCAUACUUUUGACGUUCUCAAACUUUUUCAAUCUUCACGCAAUACAUGAGCGUGAGCCAUGGACAUAGCACUAUAUGUGGAGUAGAAUGGUGGUGGUGGAGAAGACAAAAAGGAGAAGAUAGUCUCACAUCAACUAGGCGUAUCAACGGGCUAUGGAGAUGCCCGUCAAUAGAUAUCAAUGUGAGUGAGUAGGGAUUGCCAUGCAACGGAUGCACUAGAGCUAUAAGUAUAUGAAAGCUCAACAAAAGAAACUAAGUGGGUGUGCAUCCAACUCGCUUGCCCACGAAGACCUAGGGCAUUUUGAGGAAGCCCAUCAUUAGAAUAUACAAGCCAAGUUCUAUAAUGAAAAAUUCCCACUAGUAUAUGAAAGUGAUAUCAUAGGAGACUCUUUAUCAUGAAGAUCAUGGUGCUACUUUGAAGCACAAGUGUGGUAAAAGGAUAGUAACAUUGUCCCUUCUCUCUUUUUCUCUCAUUCAUUUUUUUAUUUGGGCCUUUUCUUCUUUUUUAUGGCCUCUUUUUUCGUCCGGAGUCUCAUCCCGACUUGUGGGGGAAUCAUAGUCUCCAUCAUCCUUUCCUCACUUGGGACAAUGCUCUAAAAAUGAUGAUCAUCACACUUUUAUUUUCUUACAACUCAACAAUUACAACUCAAUACUUAGAACAAAAUAUGACUAUGUGAAUGCCUCCGGCGGUGUACCAGGAUAUGCAAUCAAUCAAGAGUGACAUGUAUGAAAGAAUUAUGAACGGUGGCUUUGCCACAAAUACAAUGUCAACUACAUGAUCAUGCGAAGCAAUAUGACAAUGAUGGAGCGUGUCAUAGUAAACGGAACGGUGGUAAAUUGCAUGGCAAUAUAUCUCGGAAUGGCUAUGGAAAUGCCAUGAUAGGUAGGUAUGGUGGCUGUUUUGAGGAAGGUAUAUGGUGGGUGUAUGAUACCGGCGAAAAGUGCGCGGUAUUAGAGAGGCUAGCAAUGGUGGAAGGAAGAAAAGUGCGUAUAAUCCAUGGACUCAACAUUAGUCGUAAAGAACUCAUAUACUUAUUGCAAAAAUCCAUAAGUUAUCAAAGCAAAGUAUUACGCGCAUGCUCCUAGGGGGAUAGAUUGGUAGGAAAAGACCAUCGCUCGUCCCCGACCACCACUCAUAAGGAAGACAAUCAAUAAAUAAAUCAUGCUCCGACUUCAUCACAUAACGGUUCACCAUACGUGCAUGCUACGGGAAUCACAAACUUUAACACAAGUAUUUCUCAAAUUCAAAAACUACUCAACUAGCAUGAUUCUAAUAUCACCAUCUUCAUAUCUCAAAACAAUUAUCAAGCAUCAAACUUCUCAUAGUAUUCAACACACUCAUAAGAAUUUUCUUUUUUCCUUUUUUCUAAUCUUGAAUGCCUAUUAUUGUUAAAGCAAACUACCAUGCUAUUUUGUAGGACUCUCAAAAUAAUCUAAGUGAAGCAUGAGAGAACAAUAGUUUCUAUAAAACAAAUCCACCACCGUGCUCUAAAAGAUAUAAGUGAAGCACUAGAGCAAAAACUAUAUAACUCAAAAGAUAUAAGUGAAGGACAUAGAGUAUUCUAAUAAUUUCCGAAUCAUGUGUGUCUCUCUCAAAAGGUGUGCACAGCAAGGAUGAUUGUGGUAAACUAAAAAAUAAAGACUCAAAUAAUACAAGACGCUCCAAGCAAAACACAUAUCAUGUGGUGAAUAAAAAUAUAGCUCCAAGUAAAGUUACCGAUGGAAGUAGACGAAAGAGGGGAUGCCUUCCGGGGCAUCCCCAAGCUUUGGCUUUUAGGUGUACUUAGAUUAUCUUGGGGUGCCAUGGGCAUCCCCAAGCUUAGUCUCUUCCCACUCCUUGUUCCAUAAUCCAUCAAAUCUUUUACCCAAAACAUGAAAACUUCACAACACGAAACUCAGCAGAAAAUCUCGUAAGCUCCGUUAGCGAAAGAAAACAAAAGAUCACUUCAAGGUACUGUAAUGAACUCAUCCUUUAUUUAUAUUGGUGUUAAACCUACUGUAUUACAACUUCUAUAUGGUUUAUAAACUAUUUUACUAGCCAUAGAUUCAUCAAAAUAAGCAAACAACACACGAAAAACAGAAUCUGUCAAAAAUAGAACAGUCUGUAGUAAUCUGUAACUAACGCAAACUUCUGGAACUUCAAAAAUUCAGCCAAAAUAGGAUGACCUAGAAAAUUUGUUUGUUGAUCAUAAGCAAUUGGAAUCAAUAUUUUAUCACGUUCUGGUGAUUUUUAACAAUUAUUUUCGUGAACAGAAAGUUUCUGCAAUUUUCAGCAAGAUCAAAUAACUAUCAUCCAAGAAGAUCCUAUAGGUUUAACUACGCACAAACACUAACUAAAACAUAAAAACACAUCUAACCAGAGGCUAGAUCAAAUAUUUAUUCCUAAACAGAAGCAAAAAGAAAAAAAAAACUAAAAUAAAAUUGGGUUGCCUCCCAACAAGCGCUAUCGUUUAACGCCCCUAGCUAGCCAUAAAAGCAAGGAUAGAUCUAUGUAUUGCCAUCUUUGGUAGGCAAUCCAUAAGUGGCUCUCAUAAUAGAUUCAUAAGGUAAUUUUAUUUUCUUUCUAGGGAAGUGUUCCAUGCCUUUCCUUAACGGAAAUUGGAAUCUAAUAUUCCCUUCCUUCAUAUCAAUAAUUGCACCAAUCGUUCUAAGGAAAGGUCUACCAAGAAUAAUAGGACAUGAAGGAUUGCAAUCUAUAUCAAGAACAAUAAAGUAUACGGGCACAUAGUUCCUAUUUGCAACAAUAAGAACAUCAUUAAUUCUUCCCAUAGGUUUCUUAAUAGUGGAAUCGCAAGGUGCAAGUUUAGAGAGCAAUCAUCAAAAUCACGGAAACCUAGCAAAUCGCACAAAGUCUUUGGAAUCAUGGAAACACUAGCACCCAAAUCACACAAAGCAUAGCAUUCAUGAUCUUUAAUUUUAAUUCUAAUAGUAGGUUCCCAUUCAUCAUAAAGUUUUCUAGGGAUAGAAACUUCCAACUCAAGUUUUUCUUCAUAAGAUUGCAUCAAAGCAUCAACGAUAUGUUUGGUAAAGGCUUUAUUUUGAAUAUAAGCAUGAGGAGAAUUUAGCACGGAUUGCAACAAGGAAAUGCAAUCUAUCAAAGAGCAAUUAUCAUAAUUAAAUUCCUUGAAAUCCAAAAUAGUGGGUUCAUUAAUAUCUAAUGUUUUGAUCUCUUCAAUCCCACUUUUAUCAAUUUUAGCACCAAGAUCUAAAAACUCCGAAUUUCUGGAACGCCUUCUAGGUAAAGGUGGAUCAUAUUCAGUCCCAUCAUUAUCAAGAUUCAUAUUUCAAAACAAAGAUUUAAUAGGGGACACAUCAAUAACUUUUAGAUCUUCAUCUUUAUUUUCAUAGAAAUUUGAAGAACACGCUUUCACAAAGCAAUCUUUCUUAGCACGCAUCCUAGCGGUUCUUUCUUUGCACUCAUCAAUGGAAAUUCUCAUGGCUUUGAGAGACUCAUUGAUAUCAUGCUUAGGAGGAAUAGAUCUAAGUUUUAAAGAAUCAACAUCAAGAGAAAUUCUAUCAACGUUCCUAGCCAAUUCAUCAACUUUAAGCAAUUUUUCUUCAAGCAAAGCAUUGAAAUUCUUUUGCGAAUUCAUAAAUUCCUUAACACUAGUCUCAAAUUCAGAAGGCAUCUUAUUAAAGUUUCCAUAAGAAUUGUUGUAGGAAUUACCAUAAUUAUUAGAGGAAUUACUAGGAUAAGGCCUAGGAUUAAAGUUUCCUCUAUACGCGUUUUUACCAAAAUUAUUCCUACCAACAAAAUUCACAUCCAUAGGUUCAUUAUUAUUCUCAAUCAAAGUAGACAAAGGCAUAUCAUUAGGAUCACAAGAAACACUCUUAGUAGCAAAUAAUUUCAUAAAGUUCAUCCAUCUUUCCACUCAAAACAUUAAUUUCUUCUAUCGCAUGCACUUUUUUAUUACUAGAUCUUUCAGUGUGCCAUUGAGAAUAAUUAACCAAAAUAUUAUCUAGGAGUUUAGUAGCUUCUCCUAAAGUGAUUUCCAUAAAAGUGCCUCCCGCGGCCGAAUCUAAAAGAUUUCUUGAAGCAAAAUUCAAUCCGGCAUAAAAAUUUUGUAUAAUCAUCCACAAAUUCAAACCAUGCCUAGGGCAAUUACGUAUCAUUAAUUUCCUCCUCUCCCAAGCUUGUGCAACAUGUUCAUGAUCAAGUUGCUUAAAAUUCAUAAUAUCGUUUCUAAGAGAGAUGAUCUUAGCGGGAGGAAAAUACUUAGAGAUAAAAGCAUCUUUGCACUUAUUCCAAGAAUCAAUACUAUUUUUAGGCAAAGAUGAAAAUCAAGCUUUAGCACGAUCUCUAAGCGAAAAGGGAAAUAGCUUCAAUUUAACAAUAUCAUUGUCCACAUCUUUCUUCUUUUGCAUAUCACACAAAUCAACGAAGCUAUUUAGAUGGGGUAGCGGCAUCUUCACUAGGAAGGCCAGCGAAUUGAUCUUUCAUGACAAGAUUCAACAAAGCAACAUUGAUUUCACAAGAUUCAGUAUCGGUAAGAGGAGCAAUCGGAGUGCUAAGGAAAUCAUUAUUGUUGGUAUUGGUAAAGUCACACAAUUUGGUAUUAUCUUGAGCCAUCGUGAUAAGCAAGCAAUCCAACACACGAGCAAACAAGAAGCAAGCGAAAAAAUGGCGAAUGGAAAAGAGAGAGGGCGAAUAAAAUGGCAAGGGUGAAGUGGGGGAGAGGAAAACGAGAGGCAAAUGGUAAAUAAUGUAAUGCGGGAGAUAAGGGUUUGUGAUGGGUACUUGGUAUGUUGACUUUUGCGUAGACUCCCCAGCAACGGUGCCAGAAAUGGCUAGUUGUCGGGAGUCCAAAUCUUGACUUGACUUUGCGUAAGCCUCCCUGGCAACGGCGCCAGAAAUCAUUCUUGCUACCUCUUGAGCACUGCGUUGGUUUUCCCUUUAAGAGGAAAGGGUGAUGCAGCAAAGUAGCGUAAGUAUUUCCCUCAGUUUUUGAGAACCAAGGUAUCAAUCCAGUAGGAGGCCACGCACGAGUCCCUCGCACCUACACAAACAAAUAAAUCCUCGCAACCAAUGCGACAAGGGGUUGUCAAUCCCUACACGGUCACUUACGAGAGUGAGAUCUGAUAGAUAUGAUAAGAUAAUAUUUUUGGUAUUUUUAUGAUAAAGAUGCAAAGUAAAAUAAAAGGCAAUAAAAGAUAGCUAAGUGUUGGAAGAUUAAUAUGAUGGAAAAUAGACCCGGGGGGCAUAGGUUUCACUAGUGGCUUCUCUCAAGAGCAUAAGUAUUACGGUGGGUGAACAAAUUACUGUUGAGCAAUUGACAGAAUUGAGCAUAGUUAUGAGAAUAUCUAGGUAUGAUCAUGUAUAUAGGCAUCACGUCCGAGACAAGUAGACCGACUCCUGCCUGCAUCUACUACUAUUACUCCACACAUCGACCGCUAUCUAGCAUGCAUCUAGAGUAUUAAGUUCAUAAGAACAAAGUAACGCUUUAAGUAAGAUGACAUGAUGUAGAGGGAUAAACUCAUGCAAUAUGAUAUAAACCCCAUCUUGUUAUCCUCGAUGGCAACAAUACAAUACGUGCCUUGCUGCCCCUAUUGUCACUGGGAAAGGACACCGCAAGAUUGAACCCAAAGCUAAGCACUUCUCCCAUUGCAAGAAAGAUCAAUCUAGUAGGCCAAACGAAACUGAUAAUUCGAAGAGACUUGCAAAGAUAACCAAUCAUACAUAAAAGAAUUCAGAGAAGAUUCAAAUAUUGUUCAUAGAUAAACUUGAUCAUAAACCCACAAUUCAUCGGUCUCAACAAACACACCGCAAAAGAAGAUUACAUCGAAUAGAUCUCCACGAGAGAGGGGGAGAACAUUGUAUUGAGAUCCAAAAAGAGAGAAGAAGCCAUCUAGCUAAUAACUAUGGACCCGAAGGUCUGAGGUAAACUACUCACACAUCAUCGGAGAGGCUAUGGUGUUGAUGUAGAAGCCCUUCAUGAUCGAUGCCCCCUCCGGUGGAGCUCCGGAACAGGCUCCAAGAUGGGAUCUCACGGGUACAGAAGGUUGCGGCGGUGGAAUUAGGUUUUUGGCUCUGUAUCUGGUAGUUUGGGGGUACGUAGGUAUAUAUAGGAGGAAGGAGUAUGUCGGUGGAGCAACAGGGGGCCCACGAGGGUGGAGGGCGCCCCCUGGGGGUAGGCAUGCCCCCCUACCUCGUGCCCUCCUGGUUGAUGUCUUGACGUAGGGUCCAAGUCCUCUGGAUCACGUUCGUUCCGAAAAUCACAUUCCCGAAGGUUUCGUUCCGUUUGGACUCCGUUUGAUAUUCUUUUUCUGCGAAACUCUGAAAUAGGCAAAAAACAGCAAUUCUGGGCCAGGCCUCCGGUUAAUAGGUUAGUCCCAAAAAUAAUAUAAAAGUGUAUAAUAAAGCCCAAUAAUGUCCAAAACAGAAUAUAAUAUAGCAUGGAACAAUCAAAAAUUAUAGAUACGUUGGAGACGUAUCACCGCGCCAGUCAGCAGGAUCACAGCGAAGAAGAUAGGGGAGAUCAAACCGCUCUGGGACCCUUGGGUUCCUUGUAAUGAUGUUAUUAGUUGAGUCGAGAAUGUUCUUGAACGAACCUGCCAUGCUAGCCGAGGUGAUGACGUCGCACCGAUCAAUGAGUUCCCCCACCACGUCAUCUUUCAGAUUGGGGCAAGAAUAACGGGGUCAUUUCUAGCUUGUUCCCUCCAUGGAGAAGACGAUUGAACAAUGUCAGAAGGAAGGGUGGAGGCAAAUGGAGGAGGGAGGAAGAGCGUGCGACAGCAGUUCCAAAUCGAGAGGGAAAGGCGAAGAGUCGGUGGACGGUUGCCAGCUUGCCACGGUACACGAAGAGGCACCCCGGCCUACACGUCCUUUCGGAAAUUGUACAAAAGGACUCGCCGUCUUCUCACUGACAUGUUGGAACGGGACCACAUGUCAACGAAACAUGGUGUGUAAUUUCUCGUGCAAAAUGCGAUGUGGCCGCGUUGGCCCGAGGUGCCGCAUUAGUUAUCGACCUUUAUUUUUUAACAUACAAUCUGAGUGGAUAGCUCCUGUGGUCAUCACACGUGAGCGGAUAUAUAGGUGGGCUAGGUGGGCAGGCGGCAACAAUCUAAGUGCGAAAAGAGUUGAUCUCGAAAAAAGAGUUGAUCCAAUGCUUGGUUUUGUUUGGAUUUUCCAACUAUGCCCAUUGGAUAGAGUGAAUCAAUGGCUUACGUUCAAAGUUAUUCUCAUGCUAUAGAAUGGUAUAGGAACGUGGAGAGAUUUGGUUGAUUUUAUAUCGUUGAAUAAUAUAAAAUAUUAUGAGUGCAGACGCUCCACCCCGACGUUUGUAGCUCCUUCUUGGUCGUCGGGAAUCUAUGUUCUUACACUCUUUUGUUUAAGACAUGAGCUUUGUUCAUCCUGUUGCCGACACGCAGGACAUCUAUAUGCCUCCAUUUUACAAAAUCAUACUAUAUGCCUCCAUGACACGCGGGACAUCUAGCAUCAAGGUGGCGUGUCAUGCAAGAAAAUGGAGAUAUGCAGUGCGUAAGUGAGUCAUGCACUUCGAUGGCACCUAGUACUACGCAAUAUUCUCCUCGAUGGCACGUGAAUAGUGCAUGUACUCAAUGACAGAGCACGGGAUGGUAGCCAUGGACAUGGUCGGCCCUUUUUGAAGAGAGUACUAAUAAAUAACUUUGAUGUGUCCCGUCAACUCGCAGAACGACGAGAAGCUUGCUUACUACGCCUUCUCCCUCGCCAACGCGUGCGCGGUGGCUCGCAGCACGAGGAGAAACUUUUUUUACAAGCGGUGGACGUGUAGCAGUUCAUUUGGUGUCAGAUUGUUAGAAGUACUACUGUAGUACCAUCAUUAUUGUUUGACUUCCGGAAGAGGAGAAGAGCCAAGCGCAAGGUCACCUAUUAACCUAGUACAGUACUACUAUAGUUAAAGCCGGUCCACCAUUUUAGAGCAUGAUUAAUAAAUAUAGGCGGCUCUUGCAGUGGCACAUCAUUUAGAGCAAGUACUCUCUUCGUAGGAACAAAGGAAGUGAAACAAAAGUUGGAGUGGAUGCUAGAUUGCCAAUUAAAACAUGAUUACAUAGGGGGGGAAAUCCUAUAGCAUUCUAUCCUAUGAAUCAAACGACCAAUGUAGGAAAAUUAUGAGGGGGGUCUCUCCAACAGUGUUCCUUGGCUCGCACCUAGCAUCACGGUGGUCGAACUUGGAGUCAUUCAUCUAGUACAUGUGGCAUCCCAGAUCUGGACACAAGGUGACGCGACCUCUCACUUCCUCCGCCAUUUGAAGCGGCGCGCCGGUGGAGGGCUAGCAUACUCCAAUAUUAGGUUGGCUCUAUGUGAUGUGGCAACUUCGUAUACUAACCGGAUGCUGGCUAUACUACUACGGUACUUACACUCCAAGAAGUGACUCGAAAACCAUUCAUAAAUUGAUUCUAUGACAUGCAUUUGCAACUGAAAUGUACCAUUCAUUAAAUACAACAAGUCAUCAACACACAACGACAACGAGGAUACAUGUUGGAUUAUAGAUUAUUUCCAACAAAACAUUCUAGCAAAUACUAAAGCUUUCAUCACACAACAAAUAACAAGCAAUGAAAUGAACUUCAACUCAACCAAUCCUCGGCGUUGGAAAUGCUUGCUUUGAACCAUAGGUGCUCUGGGAAGGGCCAGCUAUUGUCAAUAUCGAGAGCAACGCGGGAAUGAUCAUCCAGGCUGAAGCGGCAUAUAUCAGGACCAGGGUAGGGAACCACCGAAAUGUCCGAGGUAUAGAUACAGUUGCUUCUCAUAAAUGGUAGUAACGUUGUGUCAACAGCAGCUGGAUCGCCUUUCACCAUCAUUGGAUAGUUUGGUCCAAGGAAGAGCGAGUUUGCUCCAAGACUAUCAAUACUGAACCAGGGAGAAGGUGUUGGCGCUAUCACACUAGUAUCCGUCCUGAAUACCAUGCAACGGGUGUUGGAAUAGGUCAGGAGAGGGCGACCAUGGGAGACAACACCUGCUUCCUCAGUAGUAACAGUCUGAGUGCACUGUAUACAGACAAGAAGAGGUGAUCCAUCAGAAUUAGUUGCCAGGCACCACUGAGUAUAUAAGUUCUGCUCCUCCUCAUGCUCGUGAUCAUCACCAUCGUCAUCUCCCCCUUGCUUAUAAAUUUUUUCAAGUAUAGGUGGUGGAAUGUUCACAGGACCUUGGAAACACAAGAAGAAGGUUAAUUAGUAAAGGGAAACUUGCUAACCCGCAUGCAUGUGGAUGAAACAAUUAUAAUUACGAUGGAAGACAAACGUACUGAAACUACGAGGAUCCCAUGCAAAAAUAGUGCCACGAGUGGUGGCAGCAAACACAAGAUCCUCGUAUUCAAUUGCAUCACAGUACACAUCAGUGUAUAGAAACUGAUUUUUGAGCAAUAUCCAUCCAGUCGAACCACGAAGGACGGCAACAAGCUUGUCGAAGAUAGCAACAAAUUGAUAGUUCUUGUAAUUCCAAGAGCGGUUGGGAACUCGACAAAUUGCUAUCUUCAGUAGACGACAGUCACCAUGAUUGUAUUUGAACGCACGUAGAUCAUCUGUGUGCUCAACCUCAGGGCACUCGAAGAUUUUUGGAAGUGGAAUCCGCUGACGAGUGUACACAUUCACAAGUUCCCACUCGCAAUUGUACCCAAUAUAAACAACCCAAUCUCCAUUUGCGCCAGCCCAGGACUUACCCUUAAGCGAUGGCAUCUUGACAUCACACGUAUCAUUAUCAAGCGGCAUCAACUUGCACAAGGCGAGGCCUCCAUCGUCCGUGCCCAUGCGAACAGGCUUAUAGCGAAGAAGAUAAGGGAGAUCAAACCGCUCCUGGACCCUUGGGUUCCUUGUAAUGAUGUUAUUAGUUGAGUCGAGAAUGGACUUGAACGAACCUUCCAUGCUAGCCGAGGUGAUGACGUCGCACCGAUCAAUGAGUUCCCCCACCACGUCAUCUUUCAGAUUGGGGCAAGAAUAAUGGGGUCGUUUCCGGAUUGUUCCCUCCAUGGAGAAGACGAUCGAACAAUGGCAGAAGGAAGGGUGAAGGCAAAUGGAGGAGGGAGGAAGAGCGUGCGACAACAGUCCCAAAUCAAGAGGGAAAGGCGAAGAGUCGGUGGACGGUUGCCAGUUUGCCACGGUACACGAAGAGGCGCCCCGGCCUACAUGUCCUUUCUGAAAUUGUACAAAAGGACUCGCCGUCGUCUCACUGACAUGUUGGAACGGGACCACAUGUCAACGAAACAUGGUGUGUAAUUUCUCGUGCAAAAUGCGAUCUGGCCGCGUUGGCCCAAGAUGCCGCAUUAUUUCUCGACUUUAUUUUUUUAAUGGCGUGCCGUUCAGUUUUGAAGCACGACUAACUGGUACUGUUUGCAGAGAAAAUAUAAACUACUCUACCACUACUCCACCUCUAGUACUAGUAGUAUAAAAAAGAUAUAUAGGCCGGAGCUUCAGAGCUUUCUUGCUAAGGGCUGCCCACUUGCUUCUCACACUAUCACCCUCUCUCCAGAUCUAAAAAAGACGGCCUCUCUCUCCCUCCUCGCCGGUGGUCAUAGAUCCGCCGGGGAAGAAAAGGACGUGCAGCGUUGACGCACUCGUCGUCGGUGAGCGAGGUCACGCACUGACGACAAGGUCGUCCUCUCAGACCUAGCGCCCCGCGCGGGAUGGCCUCCGUCCCCAAGCUCGCUGCCAUAGUGCGUGCGGAGGACGACGACCACGAGCGAAGCCACUUCCCGCCGACCCUCGGGUAUGCUGCCUCUUUUCGAACCAUACCCUUGUUCUAUUGCCCCAUCUGCCAUGUUGCUGCAUGUGGAUCUUUUUCCACUCCACCAUCUUCCCAAUUUUCUAUCCUUUGCUCUGCUGGUCACGCAGACGAAAACCUUAAUUUGCACUAUUAAAGGAAACCCUACUUCAUGCAGACUAAUCCAUGUCUGGGUUGAAUAAGGAAAGGAAGGGAGACUAUACUGUCCAAGAGAGUAGGCAUCGAACCCGCAUCUAGGUUGAAAAGGGGAAAAUCAGUAGCUAAGGAACGAGUCUCGUGUCUCUUGGUUGAAGAAGGGUAGAAAGGCAUGACAACGCAAUAGAGAAUGACCAGGUCGAUCGGCUUGUUCUCCUCACAUAGGAAAAAGGUGGCUAAACAUAACAAAAAUGGGACGUAAUCCACAUAUGCUGCCUGGAUAUUUGUUGCUCUGGGCAACCAUACCUCCCUCACCACUCUAUGCGUUCGUGGAGGUACAUCGUACUGGUGCGCCCACUGUUCGAAUGGGCCUCCCAUGCUCUUGGUGUCACUUUUUUGCUGUUAGUAUAAUGCCAGCAGUCAAGUCAAGCAAUGCUACUGCUAAAGUGAUGCCACAUUUAACUAAUGCCGCACUCAAUCUAAUGCCACCGGUAAAUUUAAGCAAUGCCAUUUAAUGUCACUGGAUUAUUUCAGGGUUAGCUGUUGAUUGUGGAUGUAUUAAAGAUUUUUCAGCUAAGGCAUUCUAAUGCUGUUGCACAGCCAGUAUACCAACGAUGAAACUUGUUACUACCUUCAGAUUUUUGCACUGUUAAUGCUUAUAGAUUACAUACCUCACUUUCAUGAGAUAAGUUAAAUUUUUUCUACAGUGUCACCAAAAUGCCAAGGCGCUGAUGUCAUUUUAUUUUGGUUAAACUGCACAAAAAAUUAUGAAGACAAGAGGAAAGGUCAAGAGUGGGCACCUCCUCCUCCGGCUGUUCUCUUGAUUCGUUCGAUCAAGUUUUUAUGUUUGAUCGAUUAUCAAGAUUGGGAUAGCAAUUUUUAAGGUCCCCCCGAGUUCGAAAUGAUAUUUACCGUGGAGGUACAUGGUUUGCAAAUUUUUUAUACUUUCAUUAGUUAAUAAUGCUAGUUACCUUCAGACUUUUGUAUUUGGUUUAAUGCUCAUGCACAGCUAGUAUACCAAUGCUGAAACAUGUUACCUUUACAUUUUGUAUUGUUAAUUCUUAUAGAAAUCUUCCAGUGCCAGAGUUUAUUGAAAUCUGUUCAGUAAAACCAUUGUAUUGUACCCUGUAAUAAAAUAACUACUCUACUGUUGCACUAGCCACUGGAUUAGUGUAUAUUUGUAGUAUUCGAAAUUUCGAAUGGUGUUGCAUUAGCGUAUGGACAUAAAUAAAGUGUGGCAAGCUUUCCCAGAUAUGUGCUCAAGAAAACUACUACCUGUUUUUCUAAAUACUAGUAGACGUUUGGGUACUUUAAACUAAACCGCGAAAACGUCUUAUAUUAAGGAACAGAGGGUGUAGAGUUCACUCAAAUUAUCCCAGUAAAGCUAGUCACACCUUUGUUAAAAUUAAUGUUCAUUAUGUUAUUGGAGGAGGUCUGUAAGUUUGUCUCUAAUGCCUGUCGACUACAUACCUGACAUCAUGAUGUAAUGUUAAGUCAUUUCCUUUUGUACAGUGUCACUGAAUUGUCAAGGCGGUGAUGGCAUUCUAUUUUAGUUGAACUGCACAAAAUAUGCUUAAAAGAAGAGGAAAGGUCAGGAAUCGAUCAUUCUUUCAGAAAGAACUAUAUAUGCCUUUCUGACAUCAGCCUCUAUUGCCUUAUUUAUUCCUUCAAACAGGUGGUUAGAAACAGUCUUGCUACCUUUUCCCAUUAAGAAAUUGGAAUGCUUAUAUUUGUGAGUCUAUGCUUCAACUAGUGCCACUUUUAUAGUAAUCACACUUUCAAUAUCUAUGCAAACAGGGAUGCUCGAUUUUAGUGGAACUGCACAAAAAGUCCAACUGGUUCAACAUUAGGAGCAUGUUUUCUUCCAAACCUUUACAUUCAAUUGGUGGCACUAUGAGCUGUUCAUUAAGAAGGUACAUGGUUUGCUACUAUCUUGCUACUCUUUUUGUACUGUCAUUAGAUAGUAAUACUAGUGGUUUGCAUGUGAAUUUAUUGGCAGGGUGGACCUACAUUGGAGGUGCAAGACAAGAUUCAAUGAUUGGAUGCUCAAUUUUGGUUGUAUCGAUUUCACCUCUUCCAUCACUGCGAACAUGGAUAUCCUUGGUCUGAUGAAGAAUAGGCGCUAUAUUUCUGCUCUGAACAAGCAAAUCAAUUCAGUAUGAAAUUGUCCAGGGCAAAACAUGACUGUAUCAAAUUGUCCAGUGCAAAACAUGACAGAUGCUAAGCGGAAGAGACAUGUUUAGACCGAAAAUACAAGGUUGGGUAUAUGUUUACUAGCUGCUUGAUAUUUGUGCAGACAGAGAUGUCUGCCCGUUUCUAUUUGGCAAACACACAAAGUGACCGCAAUUUUGGUUGAACUGCACAAGAGAAUAGUAUAGUCACUGCAUGCCGUGCCAUUUGAAAAUAGACACAGAAAGAUUGGAUAGUCACUUCAUGGACUGCAGAAAAGUAGUACUGUACUAUUUAUUGGCCAACACUAGGUGCUUCAUUGCUUUGGUCUGAUUAUACAAUGGGCAUCAUUUUGCCUAAGUUAAAGUUUGUAUUCCAAAAAUAGUCUCGCCGUGUGAUCAAGAGAAGACCAAAUCAUAUUGCAGUGGACGUUCCUCCAUCAUGUGUAGUUCAUUCUCAUGGUUCCAACUGUUGGUGAAACCAGUUACGGUUGCAAGAGGAAUUGUAGACUUCACAAAAAAAAUUGUCUUUCAGUAUGUACUGAAUGUUGGCAAAGAGAAGCAUCCAUGUUAGUAGGAAGAACAUAUGUUUUUUCCAGAUCUUUGCUUUUGGAGCUACAUAUUUGUAUAUGAUCUGUGAAUCAUUGAGAUGCAUUAACAUGUUGAUCUUAUGUAUGGGAAUCGUACUAGUUGGUUUUAGUUGUGGCUGAUCUUUGCUUUUGGAGCUACAUAUUUGUAUAUGAUCUGUGAAUCAUUGAGAUGCAUUAACAGUUCCUUAUAUCUGUUCGCUCAGUGUUUACAAGUUACUGAUCGAUCACUAGCUAGCCUAUUAAUGCGCUCCUGGCUGAUUUAGUUGCGACGCAAGAUCCGAAGUGGCAGUUUUUUAAAUAAAAAUGCCUACCUCUGAAGAAACUGACAAGCUGCUCUGAAGAAAAUGCCAUGCGAAUCUGAAGAAACUGCCAGCGAAAACGUUCGCAAAUGCCUUAUCUCCCAGCUAAAGUUCAUCAACUAAUGCCCUCGGCUGCGACUCGUUGCAAGCUGCUCCGCGUACUGGCUGCGAGCGAUUUUGAGUGCAUGCAUGCAGCUGGCCGUAAUUAAGACAGCUAACUGAUGCGAAAAAAGAUGCGCUUUAAUUAUUGUCAGCCUUUUAAAUCCGUGGAAUCAUUAUUGACAAGGAGGGAGAUGAUUCGAGCGCACUCGUUUGACCGUCAUGCCGGCGUGCGACCCAGCACGGACGGGACGGGACGGCACAAUCAGAAUUCCAGUUUCUCUAGUUUUCCACGGCAAGCUGGCGCGAUAAGCCAUGCCUGCUUAAUUAUGCAUUGAAUUCCGAUGACCGUCGCGCUACCUUCCGCCUAUAAGUACUGUUUCCCGGCCUUCUAUGGUGGCACCGUGACCCAUCUCGCCCUAUCCUCAUAUGCCCCCACCGGCCCGAUGUCGCUCGCCACUUAUCCUCGCUCUCGCCACGUCCGCCAUACCCCCGCCCGUCCGCGAUAGGCGAGGCCGGAGGCGGUCACCGCCGGAACUAGUGUUCAGUUUUUCAUCGGAAGGCAGACGGAGGGAGGAGGCAUUCUAUCGGUAUUUAGAUGGCAAUGCGGAGAUUGAGGACUUGUUGGAGCACGACCGCCUGGCGGAGGAGCAGGAGUUGUUGGAGCGCGACCGCGUGGCGGAGGAGCAUCGUAUCACCGAUUUGCGCCGCCAGCGGGACAUGGAGCAGCAGCGCACUGACGCUCUGAGUCGCGAGCAGAGCGCCCGCACCUAGGCCGACUACGUGCAGGCCGGCGCCCGGCAAACAGCCCUGGAGGCUGUCGGGCACGCACGCGUUCGUGACGCUGAUUUUUACUACCAGCUCAUCAAGUGGGUUUCCCGCUUAGAAGCCGAUGCUUCGGUGGACCACGCCGGCAUGGAAAGGGCCAACGCGCGCGAGCAACGCGCCCUAUCGCACCUCUGGCAAGUCCGAGGCCAGGCGGAGGACGCCGGUGCCGGCGUUUAGCGUGUACCGCAGAUGGCGGCCGGCAUCGUCUAGUUAGCUAAGAGUAAGUUAGUACUUGUACGCUACUAGAGUAUUAGUGGGAGUAGAUAGUUAACUUGGCUAUGAUGGUUGUCAACGUGGAAGUUCAGUACUCUAUAUGUGGAUCAGACCUGUUACUUUGCUCUGAAUGUUGAACUUUCCGUUUGAACGUAUGGAAUGGGCUGUUAUUUUUUUAAGUGGGUUGUAUUUGUCCUCCAUGGGUUUAGAGGCUGACUUGUGAGCCUACCAAGUUGACGCGUACACAAUCAGGAGAUGGUUGUACAUGGAGAGGAUGACAGCAGGGACCCGCCAAGGUCAUGGCAGUACGCAAGCAAGUGCCUCCUUAUUUCAAUCCAAUAAAAAAUGACUCCUCCUAAUGGAUUUCUGACAUGUGGGUCCCAUGCCAUUGUCAACAUAGUCAAUAAAUGAGAGAGUUGCACAACGAGCGGCUGACACCAGGGACCCAGCAGCUCGCCCAGUUAUUUUUGUUUUGGGUUAAUUUGAUAAAUGUCACUCCAAAUCUGGUGUUUCUGAGAAAUGCCACUGCAAUUUCCAAACUUUGAAAAAUGCCAUUUCAUGCCAUUUCCAGUGGCAUUUUUUGAAGUCUGGACUGGCGUUUUUCAAAGUUUGCAAAUUGCUGUGGCGUAUUCCAAAGUUUGCAAAAAUUGCAGUGGCGUUUUUCAAAGUUUGGAAAUUGCAGUGGCAUUUUUAUGAAUCGCCAUAUUUGUUGUGGCAUUUAUCUAAUUUGUUUUUGAGACAGAAGCAGGGUGUCAACUGGGCUGUGCGGGGCACUCUGGCCUGUCUAGACAGCCUUCUCUUUUAUGUUAACCACAGACCAGCCCAGUAGUUUUUUUUCUUUCUGAAAAUGGCUAGCCCAAUUUUUUUGUGAUUUGCCAAGUAAGUCACCUUGUCAGGCCUGUUGGGCUGCAAAUCUUUCAAGACGAGGAGAGCUUCAUUCGGCUGGACGAGAAAAUGGCCUAUCAGUAAUGAGAAAUGGGUUGUACAUUUUUAAAGCACAUCAAACCGGCAAUUACUUUCAAAUUUCUUUUUUUCAUUUCAAGAUUUUAAAUUGCAUUAAUUUUUAUGCGUGGACAAUUUGUUGGAUUUUAUAUUGAUAUACAUUUAUUUUUAAAAUCAGUUUGAAUGUGACUCGAAAUUUCGGGAUUAAAAACAGUUCGGACCGCACCGAAAUAUGCAACAUUUCCUAUAAUUUUUUAACCGUGGCCACAAUAUGGGCUGUAAUGCUAACAAAAAGAAUAUGGGCUCUAAAAAAACCUUAAGAAUUAGCAAAUGGGCUGUAAAUUAUUAGAAAUAAUGGCAGAUGGGAUGUAUGAUGUUUUCCACAGAUUUGAGGCUUUCCUAAAAAAAGGUUGACGCACAAGCAGUGACUAUUGGAUGUCCAUCCAAUGGUCGUCGUGCUUCUUUAAUCUCUGCUCUUCAUGCUCCAACCGCUCAAACAAGCGCCGACGGGACUACCUGCUCCCUCCUCCCCGCGGCCGGCUGUGCUGCCGCGCAGGCCUCACCGCCCCACCGUACUCCCAUCGCUGGCCUAGCCAUCCCUCUACUCACCCACACCUGCUGUUAUUCUCCGGCGAUGGCAGAUGAACCAGUAAACCCUCAUACAGUCGUACUCCCCUCCGCGUGGGAAACAACUGCUGAGUCUUCCCUGCCUCCAUGUCGUUCCCUUCCUAGGCCUCGCCGUCGUCCACCACCCUGGUGCUCUCAGCGCGGCCUGGUCAACGUGGUCAACGACCGACAUGCAUCUGAAGUGGACUGUACAUGGAGAGGCUGACAGGCCACGGCCGCACGCAAGGAAAUGCCUCCUUAUUACGUGCAAAAUAAUGAUUCCUCCACCUGACAUCUGGGACCCACCGAAAGGGCCUCUGUAUUUCGUGAAAAAAACAUUAACGCCGCUGACAGAUCGGACCCACCAGCUAUAGCUUCGCACGCAAGGAAGGGCGUCCUUAUUACGCACAAAAAAUGAAUACCCCCCUACUAGCUGGGACCCAGUAUAGUGGCAGGCUGACUUGUGGGCCUACUAAGUUGACGGGGACGGAGGGCUUUGUCAACUUAGUCAAUAUGCACGAUUCUAGCUCUAGUGACCGUAUGAUGUCCAUCCAACGGCCGUAGUGCUUCUUCAACCUUUGGUCUUCUUGCUCCAGCCGCCCAAACUAGCGCCGGCCGUGCCUCGUGCUCCUGCCUCCUGUGGCCGGCUGCGAUGCGGCGGAGGCCUCACUGCCCCCUACUACUCCCACCGCUGGCCAGGCCAUCCCUCUAUUCACCCACAUCCCCUGUUAUUCUGCGGCGACGGCAGCCUCACACCGCAGCGAACCAGUGAACCCUCAUACUCCUCUAUGCAUGGGCAUCCACUGCCACGUCUUCCCCGGCUCUGCGUCGUCCCCUUCCUAGGCCUCGCCGUCGUCCACCGCCCUGGUGCUCUCGGUGCGGUGUGGUCAACGUGGUCAAGAACGGCUUCCAUCGGACGUGGACUGUACGUGGAGAGGCUGAUAGCUGGGUCCACGGCCGCAGCAAGGAAGUGCCUCCUUAUUACGCGCAAAAUAAUUAUUCCUCCACCUGACAGCGGGGACCCACCGGACGGGCCACCGUAUUUCGCAAAAAAACGUUUCCCCCUGACUGCUGGGACCCACCAGCUACAUCUUCGCACGCAUAGAAGUGCGUCCGGGCAAAAAAACGAUUCGCCCCCCUGACUGCUGGGACCCACCAGCUACAUCUUCGCAGGCAAGGAAGUGCCUGACAGUUGGGACCCACCUAGUCGAAGAGUACGUAGCAUUGUCAUUCUGGUCGCGAACGUGUACGUACAUACUGGUCGAUGUAGAGGCGCGCACGUGUCGUAGUAGAGGCGCGCACGUAGCAUGUACACGUACGUACAGCGGCCAGGGUGCAAGAAAGAAAAUACGGCCACGUACGUACAUACGGGCAGGGUCUCGAAUGCCUACUCGUGCAUACGUACGGUCAGGGCUCGUGUACAUGGCUGGGUCGGAACGGAGAAACAGCGUCGUCGUCGUGUUCAUGGGGAGCUAACCGGCUGGGUCGGAACGGAAUGCGUCGUCGUGUUCAUUGAGAGGGCUUGGACGGAACAGCCGAUGGAAACGAGGCAUGUCGUACCGCAGAACAGAGGAAACGGCCUUGUGCUCGACCGGCCACGUUCGAAACGGGAUCCUGUUCAUCGGGGGGGUCUGGCGUACCGCAAAACGGAGGAAACGGACCUCCUAUAGUCGAAACGGGGGUCCUGUUGAUCGGGAGGGGUGUGGUGUACCGCAAAACGGAGGAAACAGACUUGUGUUGGAGCGCUACGGUCGAAACGGGGGUCCUGUUCAUCGGGAGGGGUGUGGCGUACCGCAAAACAGGACUCCACGGGAUACUGUUCAUCUCCACCGUCGACCCCCUCCAACCUCCACGGGCUAAUGUUCAUCCACCGUCGACCUCCUCCAGCCUCCACCUGCGACUGUUCAUCCACGGGCUCCUGUUCAUCCAGCCUCCACCGCGCGCUACUCCACCGGCUACUGUUCAACCAACCCUUUCCACGGGCUCCUGUUCAACCACCCCUCCACACGCUACUAUUCAUCCAGCCCUCCACCGUCUUCAUCCUGCCCUCCACGGGGUGGUCCUGUUCAUCCUGCCCUCCACAGGGUCCUGUUCAUCCAGUCCCAACCAGCUCGAUCGAUCGGGGUCAUGUUCAUCCAGAGGCAACACCACGGGGUCCUGUUCAUCCACCCCCACCAGGUACUGUUCAUCCAAACCCCCCAGCAACGCUCACUAUUCAUCCAGAGGCAGCAUCGAUCGGCUUUAGUUAGCAGCAGUAGCGAAGGAAUCGCUCGAUCGGGUUCAGUUAACAGCCAUCGAUCGAUCGCUCGGGUUCAGUAAUGCGUAGCCUGCAGUGCAAUCGCUCGGGUUCAGUUAGAGCCCAACGCCUCGCACCAACGCGCGUGCGUGUAUGAGAGAAACGCGCAUCGCUCGGCCACGACCACCCACCGUAACCGGGAACACCCCGAUAUUUUCCUCGCCCUUGCUUCUACGACGGUUUUUUCCAGCAUGGACGGCACAAAGAAUGUCAUGCAGCUGCGUCUGGCCCGCCCAAGACGAAAAGCCCAUUUUCUGUCAUGAUUUUUGUCAUAGAAGUAGGACCCCACCACAUCUAUGAUGAUGCCGGGUUUUGUCACAAUUAUCAUCAUAGAAGUGUCAUAAGUAUGACAGAAAAGAUUUUCGUUCGGCCCAAAAUGUCACGGCUGUGUCUUUUUUUGUAGUGGUACUCAGAAUCUUCGAGUGAGGGAGUCCGACGCAAGACAGCAUUCCUGGGAGGCGUGGAAUCAAACUUGAAUCUCUCUGUGAAGCCAUCGUCUUGAAGAUCAGCUUCAGCACUGAGCAAUGUCAGACUCUUCCACGACCUCCGACAGGUUUCAUGAGUGACAAAUGCAUUCUUGGUGGCAAGGUUGCGAGUGCGAUUGACAUCCACCAAGAGGCUUUGCAUCUGACGCUUCAGCCAGUUGUGAUGCUUAUCCUAUUUUUGAUGCAGGGCAACGAGAAGCUCUCGGUCAUUGAGAACACGAGAUCGCUUCCGAGGCCUUUGAGCAAUUGUGCUUUCAAUGGCUUCAGUAUGGGCACGAUGAGGUGCAUGAGUAUUGCCAGCCAAAGGAUAAACAUGAGUAGCAGCCAGAACUCCUUCAAUGAGUUGAGUGAAGCUUUGGUGAUCGGCAUUGCGAAGAUAAAUUGGCUCCUUGGCAGGUUCUGGGUAGAUGGCUUCGAUAGACAGAUCAACCACUGGCAAGAAUAUGAGAUGAUUGCACGCAGAAGGCUGAUAGUUGACAGCAGAAUAAAGCUUGAUGAGGUGCAUUACCCAUGGAGCAUAGAAUUUCAAUCCAAAAAGAUCAGAGCCAGAUGCAGCCAAUUGCCUGAUGAAGAAGUCUUGAGCAUUGAAACUGAUGUCAUUGAAGAUAUAGAAGACCAAUGUCUUCAUUGCUCCUUCAAGCUUCGCUGCAGAAGAAUGUCCCUUGACAGGCCAUAGAGUUCGCCUGAUGAUAUGAUAAAUAGUGCGGGGCAGAUACUCUAGGUCUUCAACAAAGAAUUCCCUUGGAUAUUCAGCGUCGCGUAGCAGUGGCUUCAUCAUGCUCAGCAUUUGGCUCAUGUUGGGCUCAGGCUUCUCGAAGAUGCUCUCCAAAGCAUUGCAGUGAAGCUGACAACCAGGCUCAAAGAGUUCACCUGGAGUGGGCAGGCCAGUGAGCUCAAUAAUAUCAAGAGCUUUGGCUUCGUGGUGUACAUUGCCUGUCAUCCACUCAAGGAUCCAUGUCUUCGGAUCCCUGUUGUAUCUACGAAUGUGGAGGGUGGCAUAGAAUUGUAGCAGAAGCUCUUCGUUCCAGUGCUCUUUAUCAGUCACAAAUUGCAGCAGACCAGCAUCUCAGAAACAAUCAAGGGCUUCUUCUAGGCAUGGCAGGCCAGCAAUAGCUUCGCAGUCUAGAUGCAUAUGGGGAAAGAUGCGCCCUUGAUCAUAAAGAACACAAGAGUAGUGACUGCGUUGCUGAUAGCUCCAGAACCGAUCAGAUGAAAUUCUUGGCUUGGAAUAUGGGUUCUUGGCACUGUCAAAGAAGGUGUUGUGUGCUUUGGAACCAUUUGCAUUAAAUGAUCCCGGUGAAGUAGCAGUACCUGGGAACCUUGGCAACCUGGCUUAGGCUUCUGGACCUGAGGCCUGUGCUCCACAUGAUAGUCAAAUUGUGGUCUAGCAGCAGGUGGAGGAACCAGAAUGGGCCAUCUGACAGUAACUAGCUGACCAUUAUCAAAUGCUUGCUCAAUGGUGUGUGGCCUUGGAGGCGGUACAGGAGCAGUGGCAUUGGCAUUAGCUUCAGGCUGCUGAUUGGCUUCAGGUGCAGCAUUGCCUUCAGGCACUGUAUUCACUUCAGGCGCCACAUUAGCUUCAGCCAUGACAACGUCAUUGGCUUCAGUAUUGGUGUUGGUGUCCGCCUCAGUAUUGUCAACCUCCACUUGAGUAGCUGGAGGGUCGGACACGUUCUCCUCGAGAACAACUUCAGGGUUGGACUGGGGUGUAGCAACACGUUCUUCUUCUUGACGGGGUUCUUCUUGAUCAUCGGCUGAUGCAGCCGGAAUGUCUUCAGCAGCUCUGGCUUCAGACUUUGAGACGUUCGUAGUUGGAGUAGCUUCAGGAAACACUUGGCGUGAUACUGAGUGGUGGUGCUCUUCUCCUUCUGGAACACUCAAAAGAGUGACUUGUGGCCUUGGUCCUUUGCGAAGCCUGCGAAAUGUGGGCGACGCUUGUGGAGAGGGAGUUGGCUGGCCUCAAAGUCGUCAUCAUCAAGCAUCGGAGGGGUGACUUGAGUUGGGGGAGUACUUGGUGAUUCUUCUUCACUGGGGGAGUCUUGAGGGUGAUCAGCCCAUGAAUCAUCCUGAGCAAUUGGCGUCAAAGGACGACCAAUGCUGAUGAGUUCGCUGUUCGUGAGAACAGGCGAUGAUACCAUUUGGUGCUCGAUCUGAGGAAGGAUUUCAUCAUCAUCUACAUUGUCUUGGGGACCAAUGUCUUCAGCUGUGGUGUGGUCAACAGCUAGAUCUUCUUGAGCUUCAGGAGCCUCUGUGGUAGCAGGCUCGUGAACUAUCAACUGACGCUCUCGGUGUUCUGACGCAGGAUGAGCAACUAAGAUUGGCUGAAUGACAAGGGGCUCUGUGGGAGCAGCCCAAUCUUUCUUCUUAGUCUUUCUCUUCUUGGUCGGUGGAGCAUCGUCAGUGGUGUUCUUGUUCUUGCGCUUUCUGGCUUCGGCUUCGGCUGACCUUGUUUUCUUGAGUUCUGAAGCUACUGUGGGGACCUUAGGCUUCACGCCUGUCAUGCUGGCGGGGAAGACAAUGCGAGGUUCUUCCCGCCUGGAUGCUUCAGCUGGGGCCACAACAGGCUUCUUCUUCUUGGCAGCCAUCUUGGGGCCGAUGCCAGAACGCCCAAGUGCCUUGCGCUUCUCGGCUUCAUUGUAAGCUUGAACACAUUUGGCAGCGAGGUGUUUCAUGCACUCUCGUGAACCUUUAGCUUCGUCACGUUUCUUGUGAAAUGCCUCCUUGAGCUCAUGCAUCAUUUGCUUGAAGUUUUGGACAUCAGUCACACUGAGCUUGGCCAUGUGCUUCUUGAAUUGGGCUUUUUCAUAGUCAAUUUUGUUCUUCAGUUCAACAAUCCUCUGAGCUAGAGCCACCUCAGGAGCAAUGGCUCCGUGGAAGGAGACGCUGAGGCCAAUUGGGAGCUGAAGAUCAUCAAAACUGAGUUUGGGCUGUCAAACCACUCAUCAAUGAACUUGUUCAGGAUGUCCACAUCGAAAAGGGGGAGAUCGUUGAAGAUUUCCACCUCUUGCUUGCUCUUUAUCAGCAGCUUGAGAGCAUCGUCGCCAAGGUCGUCAUCACUUGACAGAUCAAUGGCUUCGUUCUCAUUCCUCGGAACGGUAGCUGGGGUCAGUGCUUGACCAGUAAUCUGCAUGGGCUUCUUCUUCUUCUCAGUCUUGGAGAUACGAGAAAGAUCUUCAGAAUGCACACUUGGUGCAGGAGGAGCAGUGGCUAGAGGCAUCGCACGUGAAGCUCUUGGUGCAGUGGAGGGCUUUGAAGCCUUGGGUUUCUUCUGCUUCCGUGGUUUUGGCGGAGCAGGCGCUUCAUCAGAAUCAGCGUCAUCUGCAGAGUGCUCCACGGCUGCCCCUUGAACCGCAAUGUGAGUGAUGAGACCUUCAAGGUUGUAGAAGGGCCUGACGAUAUUGGGUUCAGCAUCGCGUGUGCCAUCGGCCCGAGGAGCAGAUGGACCGGGGUUGAAGUCUAAUCCCAGCGACUUCUUGUUCUUCGCUGCAGAGUCCUCGACAAACUUGUAGUUGCGCUUGAACGGAUUGUCUUCACGGCACCAUAGCAGAGAAGAUGGGUCAGCAUUCUCUGGCUGUGGUCCGCGAACAAUGCAAGGAUAGAAUCCUUGAGCAAUGGCUUCAGUUCUGGACCUGGGUGGAAGAUUUUUGUAUAAGAUAUCUCCCCAAGGUCGCUUGAUGGCAUUGUUCUCAGCAUAUUCAGCAGUGAUGAAUCUGUAUUUGUACCAUUCCUCUGCCAAUAUCUUCGAAUCCACUGGAUUCGAGUCUUGCGUUCACCAUAGGUUUCUUCUGGGUCUGUUUUGUACAUCUCAUACAGAUCUGGUGGCAAAUCCUUCGAUGUAUUCCCACGGCGUUGUCUGCCUCCCUUCCUUGCUGACUUUUCUGUGGCCAUGUAGUUCAGACUGAAUGGCUUCAAAGCUGUCAAAGGCUUCCGUCUGCUGGUCAGACAAGAACUAGCUUCGGGAGAAUUGAUGUGAUGCUGUAAGAAUUCUGCAAAUGAAUGCAGACUAUGAGAACCAAGGAAUUCUCCCACGGACAUGUACCUGUGACAGCAUUAGAGAUGCGAAGGAAGGGAAAGAGGUCAUAUGCAUUCUCAGAAGAUUUUGAAGAUAAAUCAGUUUUGAAGACAUUGACCUCAUAGCGCGAAGACAUUCACUUAUAUGUUGAGAGUCGGUUCCAGAUUUGUACGAAUCCGAGAAUAGGUACAAGUGAGGAAUCUAACUAUGUGUGAAGCAUAAGUGAAUAUACUCGGCAUAUUAUGAGAUGCAGAACAGGAUAGAUCCAAAUUUGUGGCCACAGAAACCACUUUUGGUGAAGAAAGAUGAAUCUAUCGGAUCAAAAAGGCAGUAAAAGAGAGUUUUAAUUACCACACGAAGAACUGCUAGACGGAGUAGAGAGGAGGCCGAGCAGUUCGAUCUUUCGUGCCCUAACUUGGCGACGGAGGACACCUAUGGCGACGGCGGAGAAGACGAUGUCCGCGGCCGGCGUGAGGACGGCGUCGGUGAGGUCGCGGCAGCUAAGCGCUUCGUCGCCGGCGUCGUCGAGAGCUAGCGGUGGCGCUAGGGUUUGUCUGAGGUGGAGAGGUGGAAGAAGGAUUUUGAUCGUGAUGUGAUGUGUAUUUAUAAGGAAAGGGAAGCACAGUGCAAUUAUGCAGGUGCCCCUGGCGGUUCACAUCUGAGGGACACGUGGCGAACAUGCAACACAUUGGAAGUUGUUCCAUGUUCCCACGCACGCCUGGACUAUCGGGUGGUCAUUCCGGCUUCUCCGGGUUUCAGGCAAUAAGGAUUGAGCAUUUAAAACAGAUUCAAUGUUUGUCUCUGUAUCUUCUGUAGACAAGGACAUGGAGAAGACAUUCGACAGUUUCAAUAGAAUGCAUAUGAUUUGGAUAGAUAGAGUUUGAGGUAGAAGCAUAGAAGAGGUUAGGGUCCGAUCACAUUCACUUAGUCUAAAAGAUUCAAACAAGAAGACAUAGCCAUAAGUGAAUGCUGUAGAGGACAUAACACAAAUAUACGUAUAUAUCUGAGUAAGACUAAAUCAACAAAGUGAAGAUCAACAUGUAGACAAAUCAAUGUUGAAGAUAAAUCAAAUGUGAAGACUUAGCAAAUGCAACGCCAAGAGAAAACACUCCAAACAAAAGUUUGGUGGUGGCGUUACCCAUCGUAUAGGAAGUAUUAGACCCAGACACGGCGCACAAUUAUCAUGGCGCUCCGAAGUCAAAUUUUGCAUUAAUGUAUUCACACUCACUGUGUAAGUCUUCAUUGAUUGAAGAUAUACAUUACUUCGUGUGUUGCACAUCUAAGUCAUCAACAUGCAUAAGUGUUAGGAUGUGUGCCUAAUCACAGGACAUUCGAGGAUUCCAAGAUAUUUAGCUCACACCGCAACUUGCAAAACCUUUUCUCAUCCAAGGGCUUUGUGAAGAUAUCUGCCAAUUGCUCUUCAGUGUUGACGUGAAUGAUAUCAAUAUCUUCCUUCAUGACAUGAUCUCUGAGAAAGUGAUGACGAAUUUCAAUGUGCUUUGUCUUCGAGUGCUGAGUUGGGUUGUUGGCGAUCUUGAUGGCGCUUUCAUUAUCGCAGUAGAGUGGUACUUGCUUCAGAUGGAUGCCAUAGUCCUUCAGAGUUUGCUUCAUCCAUAGAAGCUGAGCGUAGCAAGAUCCAGCAGCAAUGUAUUCAGAUUCAGCAGUGGAGAGCGAUACACAGUUCUGCUUCUUUGAAGACCAACAGACAAGUGAUCGUCUCAGAAAGUGACAUGUGCCUGAUGUAGACUUGCGAUCCACCUUGUCACCAGCAUAAUCAGCAUCCGAGAAUCCAACUAGAUCAAACUCUGAGCCCUUUGGAUACCAUAAUCCCAGUGUUGGGGUGUAAGCCAAAUAUCGAAGAAUUCGCUUCAUAGCUAAGUGAUGCGAUUCCUUCGGUGCCGCUUGGAAUCGGGCACAUAUGCAAACACUAAGCAUGAUAUCUGGCCUAGAUGCACAUAAAUAAAGCAAAGAACCAAUCAUGGAGAGGUAUACCUUUUGAUUGAACUCUUUACCAUUGGCAUCAGGACCCAGAUGACUUUUGGUUGGCAUUGGCGUCGUGUAACCUUUGCAGUCUUGCAUUCCAAACUUCUUCAGGCAGUCUUUGAGAUAUUUCUCUUGAGAUAUGAAGAUGACGUUGCUUUGCUGACGGAUUUGAAGACCAAGGAAGAACUUCAGCUCACCCAUCAUGGACAUCUAAUAUUGCUCUUGCAUCAUGUGUCCAAACUCAUCACUGUAUUUCUGGUUAGUGCAGCCGAAGAUAAUGUCAUCCACAUAGAUUUGGCACACAAACAGUUCACCAUCAUAUGUCUUCGUGAAGAGAGUGGGAUCCAGGGAACCAGGUUUGAAGCCUUUGCUCUUCAGGAAGUCUUUGAGUGUGUCAUACCAAGCGCGAGGGGAUUGUUUGAGGCCAUACACUGCCUUGUUAAGCUUGUAUACCAUAUCAGGAUAUUUUGGAUCUUCAAAGCCAGGUGGUUGUGCAACAUACACUUCUUCUUCAAUCUUGCCAUUGAUAAAGGCACUCUUCACAUCCAUUUGAUACAGAAGGAUGUUGUGAUGAUUUGCGUAGGCUAGCAGUAUGCGAAUGGCUUCAAGCCUAGCCACAGGAGCAAAUGUUUCGUUGAAGUCAAUCCCUUCAACUUGAGUGUAUCCUUGAGCUACGAGACGAGCCUUGUUUCUGACAACUUGACCAUGCUCAUCUUGCUUGUUGCGAUAUAUCCAUUUGGUGCCAAUGAUAUUGUGCUUACGAGGAUCAGGACGCUUGACUAGUUCCCACACAUUGUUCAGCUUGAAUUGUUGAAGCUCUUCUUGCAUAGCUUGAAUCCAUUCAGGUUCCAUGAAGGCUUCAGCAACUUUCUUGGGUUCUGAUAUUGAGACAAAUGCAAAGUGCCCACAGAAAUUUGCUAGCUGUGUUGCUCUUGAACGAGUGAGUGGACCUGGUGCAUUGAUGCUAUCAAUUAUCUUCUCAAUCUGUACUUCAUUUGCAACACGAGGAUGAACUGGACGAAGAUUUUGCUCUUGCUGAUCAUUUUCUUCAUUUCGAGCGUUGUCUACAGGCUGAGCAUUGUCUUCAGGUUGAUUACGUGCAGAAAUGAUAAGUUCCUCUUCAGGCUGUGCCUCAGAAGGUAUGAUCUCUCCAGUACCCAUGAGCUUGAUGGAUUCACCAGGAGGAACUUCAUCUAGCACAUUUGGCAGGUGCUCUCAGUUAGGAGUUCAUAGGAUGUCUUCUUCAGAAGCUUGUGAAAAUAAACACGGUUAAUGACAUGGCAUGCGGUAUCAAUGGCUUCGGGCCAGAACUUUCUUGGAGUCUUGUAUUCAUCAAGCAUCGUCCGAGCCAUCUCAAUGAGUGUUUUGUUCUUGCGCUCCACGAUGCCAUUCUGCUGAGGUGUGUACGGAGCGGAGAACUCAUGAGUGAUUCCCAGCAUAUCAAGAUAAGUGUCGAGGCCUGUGUUCUUGAACUCUGUGCCGUUGUCACUCCUGAUGUGCUUGAUCUUGAUGCCAUAGUUCGUCAUGGCACGAUUUGUGAAGCGUCUGAAGACAUCCUGCACUUCAUUCUUGUAAAGGAUUAUAUGCACCCAUGUAUAUCUUGAAUAAUCAUCAACUAUGACGAAGCCAUAGACAAGCAGUAGUAGUGAGAGUAGAGUAGUGAAUAGGGCCAAAUAAGUCCAUGUGUAGCAGCUCGAUGGGUUGAGAUGUCAUCAUGAUUGUCUUCGAGGGAUGCUUGGCCCUAGUCAUCUUUCCAGCUUCGCAGGCUCCGCAUAGAUGAUCUUUCUUGAACUUGACGCCCUCGAUGCCUACAACGUGUUUCUUCUUCGCGAGAGUGUACAGGUUCCUCAUGCCAGCAUGCCCCAGCCUCCGAUGCCAGAGCCAGCACUCUGAAGAUUUUGCUAGAAGACAUACGGCAAGUUGUGGUCCUACUGAGAAAUCUACCAUGUACAAAUCAUCUUUCCGAUAACCUUCAAAGACUAGAGACUUGUCAGAUCCCAUUAGUACAAGGCAAUGAUAUUUUCCAAAUAUCACAAUCAUGUUCAAGUCACAAAGCAUUGAGACAGACAUUAAGUUGAAACCAAGGGAUUCAACAAGCAUCACUUUAUCCAUGUGCUGAUCCUUUGAGAUUGCAACUCUACCUAGACCCAAUACCUUACUUUUACCAGUGUCAGCAAAUGUGAUGUGACUCUUGUCAGAUGGACGUAAGGUUGAGUCCAUGAGAAGACUUUGAUCGCCAGUCAUAUGAUUAGUGCAUCCGCUGUCCAUAAUCCAUUCUGAAGCAUGAGGUGUCAUACCCUACAGUACAGUUAGGGGGAUAGGCUUCACCAAGAAUAUUGUGAAGCAUAAACAUUUGACGCACAAGAGGAUUAUCAAAGCUCAGAUCAAGGUUAGGACAGAUAGAAUGAUUGGCAAGCGAUUCAGGAACAAAAUACAUAGUGAGACCAUUUGGGCAUUUUAUCUUGUGCCCCACAAGAUGUUUUAGGUCCCCAGCUAUAGCAUCGGACGCCUUUGAUUUACGGCUGGAGACCUUUCCCUGCAAAAGAGAGUUAAGAUUUCUUAACCACCCACAUUUUCAGGGGUGGCUUCGAAGCAAUGAGUCUAAGUGCAGCAUCUGUGAACUUCGGCUUUGGAGCCCUAGCAAAUAGCCUUGCAGGAGGUGAAUAGUACUCAUAUGAAUAAGCAGAGUAGUUCUUAGUCUUAUGAACAUAGCGGUUUGAUGAUACACGCUCAUAUUCAUAAGUCUGAGUAUGAUUUCCCUGCAAAACAUUGCCGUUAGGGUGACUCAGGUGAGUCCUCUAUCUGUAUGAAGCCUUUGUGCCAUAUGAAGCCUUUGGUCUGGGGUUUGUCUUCUUCCCUUGUGGUGUCAUGAUGACAUUCACAGGAAGAUUCUCAAGACACCUUUUGGGCAUCCAGAUCUUCUUCAUAGGUGGUCCAUUCCUGCAGUUAGUACCAAUAUACCUGGCAAACACUUCACCAUUCUGAUUCUCAAACAGUUUAUAGUUUGCAUCAAAGGAUUCAUCAAUGAUAAUAGGGUUAGCACAAGUGAAGCCAGAUAAGGUGGAUGGAUCCACUGAAGGUCCCUUUGCAGCAACCCAUGUGGUUUUGGGGUACUGCUCAGGCUUCCAGUAGGAACCAUCAACAUUCAUUUUCCUCUCGAACCCAACACCCUCUUUCCUAGGGUUUCGGUUCAGAAUCUGCUUUUUGAGGACAUCGCACAGUGUCUGAUGCCCUUUGAGAUUUUUGUACAUCCCUGUCUCAAGCAAUGUCUUCAACCUAGCAUUUUCAUCAGCAAUAGUAGUGGCAUCCUCAGCAGAGGGGUUAGUUACCACAUCAACAGUUGAAGAUAUUGCACCAGUAGCAGCAGUAGAACAUUCAGCAACAGAAGUAGCGUUAUCACGCUCAAGGCAUUUUAGACAUGGUGGUUCAAAUUCUUCCUGAGCGGAACUGAUCUGUUGAGCGCGAAGUGACUCGUUUUCUUUUUGAAGAUCUUCAUGAACUGCUCUCAAUUUCUCAAGUUCUUGAUUCCUUUGAAGAUAAUCAUAGGAAAGCUUUUCAUGAGUUGUUGAGAGCGUUUCAUGACGACUUUCAAGUUCCUCAUACUUAACAUGAAGAUUUUUUAUGUCUUCAAUUAAGGACUAAGAAUGGGUCAUUUCCGCGUCCAACAGGUCAACGCUUUUGUCUAACAGUUUUUGAAUAUGUUCCAUAGCUUUCUGUUGUUCAGUUGCAAUUUUAGCAAGAGUUUUGUAGCUGGGUUUGGAUUCACAAUCAGAGUCAUCUUCACUUGAUGUUUGAAAGUAAGCAUCGCGUGAGUUUACCUUCGCACCACAUGCCAUGAAGCAGUAGGUGGGAGCGGAGUCGUCCUUGUCAUUAGCAUCAUCGUUGGUGACGGAGCCAUUGUCUUCAGUGUUUAAGAUGGACUUGGCAACGUAGGCUGUGGCUAGAGCCAGACUUGCAACACCAGAGUCGGACUCCUCCUCAGACUCCACCUCCGCCUCCUCUGAAGCAGACUCCUCCUCUGAAUCCAUCUCCUUGCCAACAAAAGCACGAGCCUUGCCAGAUGAGCUCUUCUUGUAUGAUGAAGACUUGGAUGAAGACUUGGAAGAAGACUUUGAGGAUUUCUUCUUCUUCUUAUCAUCAGAAUCAUAUUCCUUGCUCUUCUUCUUGUUGUUGUUUUCAUUGUCCCACUGCGGACACACAGAGAUGUAGUGACCAGGUUUCUUGCACUUGUGGCAUGUUCUCUUCUUGUGGUCAUGAGUAGAAGCUUCAUCAUUUCUUGAGCUGGAUCAUGAAGACUUUCUGAAGCCUUUCUUCUUUGUGAAUUUCUGGAACUUCUUCACAAGCAUAGCAAGCUCCUUUCCAAUGUCUUCAGGAUCACCGGAACUGCAGUCAGAUUCUUCUUCAGAUGAGGAAACAGCCUUCGCCUUCAAAGCACGAGUUCGGCCAUAGUUGGGACCAUAGAUAUCUCUUUUCUCAGAUAACUAAAACUCAUGUGUGUUGAGCCUCUCAAGUAUGUCAGAUGGAUCGAGUGUCUUGAAGUCAGGGUGUUCUUGAAUCAUCAGGGCUAGGGUGUCAAACGAGCUGUCAAGUGAUCUCAGGAGUGUCUUGACGAUUUCAUGCUUGGUGAUCUCAGUGGCGCCGAGAGCAUGAAGCUCAUUUGUGAUGUUAGUGAGGCGAUCAAACGUGAGCUGGACAUUCUCAUUAUCGUUCCUCUUGAAGCGGUUGAAGAGGUUGCGAAGAACACUGAUCCUUUGACCUCUCUAGGUUGAGACGCCUUCGUUGACCUUGGAGAGCCAGUCCCAGACUAGCUUCGACGUUUCCAGAGCACUCACACGGCCAUACUAUCCUUUGGUCAGAUGACCACAGAUGAUGUUCUUGGCAGUAGAAUCCAGUUGAACGAACUUCUUGACAUCAGCAGGGGUGACACCUUCACCAGUCUUGGGAACGCCAUUCUUGACGACAUACCAUAGAUCAACAUCAAUGGCUUCAAGAUGCAUGCGCAUCUUAUUCUUCCAGUAGGGGUAAUCAGUGCCAUCGAAGACAGUGCACACAGCGGAGACUUUGAUUAUCCCUGCAGUUGACAUAUCUAAAACUCCAGGUGGUUAAACCGAAUCACACAGAACAAGGAAGUACCUUGCUCUGAUACCAAUUGAAAGUGCUAGUUAUCGACUAGAGGGGGGUGAAUAGGCGAUUUUUAUGAAAGUCUUCAAAACAUGGAAGUUUUGAAGACAAACGGUAGAAAUGUACCUAUUAACAUGCAGCGAAGGUAGACUACACUAGGCAAGCCAUAGACCAGUAUUCAAUGAAGUGAAAGCACGAAGACUAUUAGCAGCUAGGCAGUAUGGAUCAGGAUGGAAGAUAGUAUGAAGCCAAUUAGAACAAGUAGUCACACAGUGAAGUCAAACAGAUAAUGCAAACAUGCAAAGACUUCCCGAAGACAAACUGUAAGUAAAGAGAGGGAGAAGAUAGAACCAAUCUCUUGGAGAGGACAAGGAUUUGUUGGACCAGUUCCAGUUGCUGUGACAACUGUACGUCAGGUUAGGGAGGCUGAGAUUCAACUCAGAAGACCGCGUCUUCACCUUAUUCCCCUUGAGCUAAGGACACCCAGUCCUCGCCCAAUCACUCUCGUAAGUCUUCAAGGUAGACUUCCGAACCUUCACAGACUUCGUUCACCAGCGAUACACAAUGACUCUUGGAUGCUCAGAACGCGACGCCUAACUGGCUGGAGGAUUCACAGUCCUCAAGUGUAACAAGUCUUCAGGUCACGCGGACAGAAAGACUUCAGUGAUGCCUAACACUCUUUGGCUCUGGGUGUUUUGGGCUUUGUCCUCGCGAGGAUCUCUCUCAAAGGCUUCGGAGGUGGGUUGCUCUCAAACGACAAAAGUCGUGCACUAACUCUGAGCAGCCACAAAUUUAUGGUGUAGGGGGUGGGCUAUUUAUAGCCAGGAGGCAACCCAACAUGAUAUGUCCGAAAUGACCCUGGGUCACUAAGGAACUGACACGUGUCCAACGGUCGGAUUUGAAACACACGCGACAGCUUGACUUGGGCUACAAGCAAAGCUGACUCAUCCAGCUCUGGAUAAGAUUUGCUCUCAUUGUCUUCCUCGAAGACAUAGGAUUUUGGUUGAGCAUCACAUCAGUCAUUCUGACUUUGUUCACUUGGACCCCACUUAACAGUACGGUGGUUCCUAUGACUCAAUAAAGAAGCAAAGAAGACUAUGAAACAACUAUGUCUUUGCACUCCAUAGUCUUCAAGUGAAUGUCUUCACAUGUCAUAAUCUUCAUCAUAAAUGUCUUCAUGAACCACCAUUGUCUUUAAUGUCUUCACAAUUUGAUCGAGGUGUCAUCCACAAUGGUCGUACAAACCACUAUAGCUUCAAGAUGAAAGGGAAGGAGUUUGUGCUACGACCUAUGUCUCCAAGCCAAUUGCUCGCCGACAAGCAAAACACCCAUCGUGGAGAGAAUAGUGAGAGAGCGAACCACCAAAAAGAGAGUGAGCGCCACAAGCCCAAAUUGAGUGCCUCCACGAUGAGGGAUAAGAAAAACUUAGUUCUCUUUGCCACCAAACGUGAUAUGAGAGAAGUGUGUGAGAACCCAUCAAGUGUCCUACACUAUGUCCUAUUGUGCAAGGACGAGGCACCAAAAGCUAACACCUCUCACAAUCUUCCUUUAGUGUUAUCUUCUUUAUUGCAGGAAUUCCAAGAUGUUUUCCUCGAUGAGCUACCUUCGGGUCUACCUCCACUACGAGGCAUUGAGCACCGAAUCGACCUCAUUCCCGGAGCGCCACUUCCAAACAAGGCUCCCUACCGUGUCAACCCCGAAGAAACCAAAGAAAUACAAAGGCAAGUAAAGCAUCUCAUAGACCAAGGACAUGUGCGCAAAAGUUUGAGUCCUUGUGCCGUACCGGUCAUUCUUGUGCCAAAAAGAGACGGUAGUUUUCGCAUGUUUUCCGAUUGUAGACCCAUCAAUGUUAUCACCGUUCGCUAUAGGUACCCCGUUCCACGCCUUGAUGGUAUGCUUGAUGAACUUAGCAGUGCCACUAUCUUUUCAAAAAUUGAUCUUAAAAGUGGUUACUAUCAAAUACACAUACAAGAGGGUGAUGAAUGGAAAACCGCUUUCAAAACAAAAUUUGGUUUGUAUGAGUGGUUAGUCAUGCCUAUGGGUUUAUCGGAAGCACCCGGUACUUUCAUGCGUCUUAUGCAUUAUGUGUUGCGCCCUUACAUUGGUGAAUUUAUUGUUCUCUCCUUCGAUGAUAUCCUUGUGUUUAGCAAAUCUCUCAAAGAGCAUGUCACCCACCUUCGCACCGUGCUACAAACUCUUCAAAAAGAGCAACUUUAUGCUAAUAUGGAAAAAUGCCUCUUUGGUGUUGAUAAGCAUGUUUUCUUGGGUUUCGUAGUAUCUUCUAAGGGUGUUCAUGUUGAUGAAUCUAAGAUCAAUGCUAUUAAAACUUGGCCCCAACCAACCAAUUUGCAACAAGUGUGUAGUUUUCUUGGUCUAGCCGGUUUCUACCGUAGAUUUGUGAAGGAUUUUAGCACCAUUGCUUCACCUUUACAUGCUUUGAGCAAGAAGAAUGCACCCUUUGUUUGGGGACCAUCACACACUACAAAAAAAAGACACAUCCGUGACAUUUUGGGCCGAACGAAAAAAAAAUCUGUCAUACAUAUGACACUUCUAUGACGAUAAUUGUGACAAAACCCGGGAUCAUCAUAGAUGUGGUGGGCUCCUACUUGUAUGACAAAAAAUCAUGACAGAAAAUGGGCUUUUCGUCCUGGGCGGGCCGGAGACGCAGCUGCAUGACAUUCUUUGGUCGUCCAUGACGGAAAAAACCAUGGUAGAAGCGAGGGGGAGGAAAAUUUCGGGGAGUUCCCGGUUACGGUGGGAGGUCGGGGGCCGAGCGAUGUGCGUUUCUCUCGUACACGUACGCGCGUGUGUGCAAGGCGUUGGCUCUAACUAAACCCGAGCGAGGCGUUGGGCUCUAAUUGAACCCGAGCGAUUGCACCGCAGGCUACGCGUUACUGAACCCGAGCGAUCGAUCGAUGGCUAUUAACUGAACCCGAUCGAGCGAUUCCUUCGCUACUGCUGCUAACUGAAGCCGAUCGAUUGGAUGAACAGUGAGCGUUGCGGGGGGGUUUGGAUGAACAGUGAGCGGUGGCGUUGCCUCUGGAUGAACAGGACCCCGUGGUGUGGAGGGCUGGAUGAACAGUAGACGGUGGAGGGGUGCCCGUGGAGGGGUGGUUGAACAGGACCCCGUGGUGUGGAGGGCUGGAUGAAUAGUAGAUGGUGGAGGGGUGCCCAUGGAGGGGUGGUUGAACAGUAGCCGGUGGAGUAGCGCGCGGUGGAGGCUGGAUGAACAGGAGCCCGUGGAGGCUGGAGGAGGUCAACGGUAGCCCGUGGAGGCUGGAGGAGGUCGACGGUAGCCCGUGGAGGCUGGAGGAGGUCGACGGUGGAGAUGAACAGUAUCCCGUGGAAUCCCGUUUUGCAGUACGCCACACCCCUCCCGAUCAACAGAACCCCUGUUUCGACCGUAGCGCUCCAACACAAGUCCGUUUCCUCCGUUUUGCGGUACGCCACACCCCUCCCGAUCAACAGGACCCUCGUUUCGACCGUAGGAGGUCCGUUUCCUCCGUUUUGCGGUACGCCAGACCCCUCCCGAUGAACAGGAUCCCGUUUCAAACAUGGCCGGUCGAACACAAGGCCGUUUCCUCCGUUUUGCGGUACGCCAGGCCUCGUUUCCAUCACCUGUCUCGUCCAAGCCCUCCCGAUGAACACGACCACGCAUUCCGUUCCGACCCAGCCGGUUGGCUCCCACGCGUUCUGUUGCCUCCCGAUGAACACGACGCAUUCCGUUGCCUCCCCAUGAACACGACGCAUUCCGUUGCCUCCCCAUGAACACGAUGACGACGCUGUUUCUCCGUUCCGACCCAGCCAUGUACACGAGCCCUGGCCGUACGUAUGCGCGAGUAGGCGUUCGAGACCCUGCCCGUAUGUACGUACGUGGCCGUAUUUUCUUUCUUGCACCCUGGCCGCUGUACAUAUGUGUACAUGCUACGUGCGCGCCUCUACUACGACACGUACGCGCCUCUACUACGACACGUGCGCGCCUCUACAUCGACUAGUAUAUAUGUACGUACACGUUCACGACCAGAAUGACAACGCUACGUACGCUUCGACCAGGUGGGUCCCGACUGUCAGGCACUUCCUUGCCUGUGAAGAUGUAGCUGGUGGGUCCCAGCAGUCAGGGGGGCGAAUCGUUUUGUUUUUUGUUUUGCCCGGACGCACUUCCUUGCGUGCGAAGGUGUAGCUGCUGGGUCCCAGCAGUCCGGGGGGAAUCAUUUUGUUUUUUCUGCCCGGAUGCACUUCCUUGCGUGCGAAGAUGUAGCUGGUGGGUCCCAGCAGUCAGGGGGGCGAAUCGUUUUUUUUUCGGAUGCACUUCCUUGCGUGCGAAGACGUAGCUGGAGGGUCCCAAUAGUCAGGGGGGCGAAUCGUUUUUUUGAUGCACUUCCUUGCGUGCGAAGAUGUAGCUGGUGGGUCCUAGCAGUCAGGGGGAAACGUUUUUUUUGCGAAAUACGGUGGCCCAUCCGGUGGGUCCCCGCUGUCAGGUGGAGGAAUAAUUAUUUUGCACGUAAUAAGGAGGCACUUCCUUGCUGCAGCCGUGGACCCAGCUGUCAGCCUCUCCACGUACAGUUCACGUCCGAUGGAAGCCAUUCCUUGACCACAUUGACCACGCCGCGCCGAGAGCACCAGGGCGGUGGACGACGGCGAGGCCUAGGAAGGGGACGACGCGGAGCCGGGGAAGAUGCGGCAGUGGAUGCCCACGCAUAGAGGAGUAUGAGGGUUCACUCGUUCGGCUGCGGUGUGAGGCUGCCGUCGCCGCAGAAUAAUAGGGGGUGUGGGUGCGUAGAGGGAUGGCCUGGCAAGCGGUGGGAGUAGUAGGGGGCGGUGAGGCCUCCGCGGCAUCACAGUCGGCCACGGGCGGCAGGAGCAGGCGGCACGACCGGCGCUGCUUUGGGCAGCUGGAGCAAGAAGACCAGAGGUUGAAGAAGCACUACGGUCGUUGGAUGGACAUCGUACGGUCACUGGAUCUAGAAUCGUUCAUAUAUUGAUUAAAGUUGACAAAGGCCACCGUCCCAGUCAACUUAGUAGGCCCACAAGUCAGCCUCCCACCAAGGUGGGUCCCAGCUAGCAGGGGGUAUUCAUUUUUUUGUGCGUAAUAAGGAGGCACUUCCGGUGGAUCCGAGCUGACAGCGGGGGGAACGUUUUUUUCGCGAAAUACGGUGGCCCGUCCAGUGGGUCCCAGCAGUCAGGGGGAAAUUUUUUUUUCGCGAAAUACUGGUGGCCCGUCCGGUGGGUCCCUGCUCUCAGGUGGAGGAAUAAUUAUUUUCCGCGUAAUAAGAAGGCACAUAAAUAUAUAUUUUGACAGAGAUAUACUCCCUCUGUAAAGAAAUAUACAAAUCUUUUAUAUCACAGGAUCACCUUGCCGAGAAAUAUACUCCCUCUGCAACGCACGGGCAUUAUGGGGGUUCAGCUUUUUUUAUGGGAGUUCAGCUGAGAAUAUAAUACUCAGAUAGGCUCACGGUUCUGGACUUUGGGCCGCAGGUCGACCCUGCAUGUUUGGGGGCCCAUGUGUUCUACCUCAGCGCUUUUCAUAUUGCAAGCGAUCGGUACGGCACUGGUUUUAGAUGCUGUCGCAAGGCGAAUACACAAAAUUGAAUAAAGCACGCCAGCUGUUGGAAUGAAAUCGAACGAUAGUUCCUAACCAGCAAUCAGAGUUGCAAUUCUAUCAACGAUAUACCAUGUGAUAAAUAAUACUGUCGUACUACUUAUACACAUAGGACACUUGUUUCACCAUGCCAGAUUAUUACAUCAAAAUCUCUCGGAGGAUAGAUCAGUUCGGCAGUUGUGUGCUGCUACUGAAGAAUUUCAAAGUUGAUUUGGACCAGCUCUCCUUGCCGAGAAAGUUCGAUUUUGACAUCAUCCCCUACCGCAAGAUAUGAUUUAGAUUUGAACCUUGACCAUCCUUUAGCAUCAAUCAUCAUGCGACCAUCCUUUGUACUUACGGUAUAUUGAGCAGGUUCAUUCACACCAAGGCUGCGCAUGGUAAGAGAAACUUGGCCGCGGUCGCCCGGAUUGUUGAACGACUCCCUGGUUGCUCUAGGAAUUCUCUGUUUGCAAACAAGAAGACAUACCCAAACAGUUAGAUCAACACAGUGAAUCAUGUGAAACAACAUGGAAAGAAAAAAGAACGAAGCACUUGGGCGGCCAAUGCUUACCAAGAAGGUGGACAUGUCGGUUUUUGUAAGGACUUUGGUAUAUGAAGUGCGAACUGCAGCCCAGUCUGUUGCCGGUGCAACUGCACGGGCCGGAGCAGAUGCAAGUGCAAGUGUUGGCGCAGGUGCCGAAGCCACUGCUGCUGCCAGAGAUGGUGCUCCUUGUAGAGCUGGUGCCAGUGUCGGAGCAGGUGCCGGUGUCGAUGCCCGAUCCUCCGGUAGAUCAGACUGAUCCGCUGACGUGGUCGGUGCCCAAUCCUCAGCUGGAUCAGACUGAGCUGCUGCCGCUGUCAGUGCUAGAGCAACUGCCGGUGCUCGAUCUGUGCGAGACAGCGGCGAUCGUGUCUGGUCUGCUAUGAUCAGCUUUCUAACUUGACUAGGAUCCGUGACCGUGAUCCAAUUUUUUUCUUCAUUUCUUUUAAACGCGAGAAGGACUAAUUGUGGCGUUUUUCUUAAACCAAACUACAGUUCAUCAUAGGGAUUCAGCUUGUACUCAGACAACAGACUGAUCCAAUUUUUUCCAGUAACAUAAGUGAUGGACAGUGCCUUCGUUACUGACACGACAUAAGAAUUGAAACCUGCAAAAAUAGCCAUCGUAGAGCAAACCAAACAGUUUAUUCUGUGAUGAAUGUCACAUGGAAAAACCUGCAUCGUAAAAUUGCAGGAAAAGAAAGAAAACAUGACAUUAAAUCAAUAAGAUUUAGACAGUAAAUCAAUAAGAUUUACUUGAUGUGACACGAGUGAAUCCUUACCAGGAAAUCACUAUGUUGAAGUACUAAACAGAAGAUUGAUCGUCCAACUACGCGUGGCAUGCAGGGGCCCCGCCUACUCCCACAAGCAGGACAGUCCAAAGGUCGUGACAAAUCGUAUGGACCGAACAUCCAUGGGACUGGAAAUCCUGGUGGGUGCGAUAAACCCUGCAAUGCAUACAGAUAUUGGAGUGUAACCAUAAUUGAUAAACCGUCCUCACAAAAAAUAUGAUCUGGAUACUUCAAAAUAUACAGACUGAAUUGAGUGGACAGACAUUAGCAUAGACCUUUCACACACCAAAAGCGGCAGUACUAAUAAACAAUACAGGGUUCACAAACACAAAUCAAGUACUGAACAAUAGUACUUACUACAGACAAGCAAAGUUGCACUAACUAAACUCUGCAGACUAUUUCUUGCCACCGACCUACGGGAUGAACCCCGCAUAACUGACUAGGCCAUGGACUUCGUGUGAGAUGUCUACAUGCACCAUCACCAUCUUGUCAACCUUGGAGAACCUAACAGAGUGGUCUUUCCACUCAUAAACAUGAUGAUGAAGACAGGCCGCAUCAGAUUUGUUGGGAAGCUUUACAAGAACCACACCCUUCGUAAUCGAAGGCACAGCUAGGAAAUUGUUGUGAUCAAGUACAGCCUCGAGAACACGCCUGACAACAAUGCUACAGGAAAACACUAGUUCAGGACACGUGGCGACAAGGACACAGCAGCGGAUAGUUCAGCAGUAGAACUCAUCAUCAGGUCUUCCAGUUCACACGGCAUGACUUUGAGAACUUCAUCUCCACCGCGGACCUGGUUCUAAUUCAAACAGAAACCAUAUUUUAUUACUACCUCCGUUCAGAAAUAUAAGAUGAUUUUUGAUAUUAUACUCCAUAUAUGAUUACAUAUAUGCACAGAAAUGAGUGAACAAAGACACUAGAACAUGUCUUCAAAGGCAUGAGAGCAGAGGGAUUACAUGCAAUAUCCAUAACACAAGUUACUGAGGCAAAUAUACCCUCUUAAAAGGUAGCAUUGAUGUUCAUAAAGUACUCCCUCCGUCCCGUCUUAGAUUUGUCUAGAUACGGAUGUAUCAAGUCACAUUUUAGUAUUAGAUACAUCCGUAUCUAGACAAAUCUAAGACAAGAAAUUUGGGACAGAGGGAGUAGUUGAAAGUAAUCUAUAAGAAAUCAGUGUCAACCUCUCGCAUGUUUUGGUCAAAAGAGGAAUUUAGAACCGUCAUUUGGCACACUAAAAUCACAUGCAAGAUCACCCAGAAAGUUGUACUACCAGUACUAGUACUGCGUGUUAGAUGAAAAAACACGAUCAAGAUCGAGAAAAAGAUCGUCAACAAGAGACAUUACCUGGACUUGCUUAAUGAGGGAUCCCGGAGAGGGGGGCUUGGACAGGGCGAUGGCUUUGAGCUUGUCUGCGGUAGUCUUGGCGGGGUGCUUGCACUUCUUCGUACCAUGAGCCUCGACGGUUUUGGCCAGAGCCAUAGACAUCACGUCGGCCGGUGCUCCGGCGUCCAUCCAAGAGAGGAAGCUGAGAGAGAAGAGUGAAAGGAGGAACGAGAUGAGGGAGAAAUGAAGCGAGUGGGGGUUUUCUUCAAGAGAGGAAGCUGAGAGAGAAGAGUGACAUGAUGGUUUCUUCGUCCGUCCAACUUACUGCUGGAAAGGAGGGGGUUUUGUGAUUUGACGGCUCAUUGGGCAUUACUGCGGCGGUUCGAUCGGGGUAGUCUACCAUCACUCUACUACGGAGUAAUUUAGUGCAUGGCUGGUGGACCCAGGUGCUGGCUGUCCCACACGUCGGCGAAAGUGAGUAAUUUAGUGCAUGGCUGGAGGAGGAUCCGCACGGUAGAGCGUGUCCACUGUUUUUCUGAAGAAAAAAAUGAUUACAGCAAACGUUUCCACUCUUACGACGGAGGAGUGUGAAACACGGCAGCCACUUGAACAUACACAGUGCUCCUACUACUAGGCAUGUGCAGUGGUUCAUACGUCAGUACUACACAAUCUUGUUGCUAGUGUAGUAAGAUAUGACGAUAACAAAUGAUGUUGUGCACAUGUCAACUACUCCUAUAUGUAACAUAGUACCGCUUUUUCGACUGUCCGGUCGAGAAUGAACGGUGAGAUCAAUGUUAACAGAACUAGGUCCAUAGCGCACGGAGAGUACGGUGCUACAGUACUCCACGAAACAUGAACCAUAUGAAGCACGAAUAGUGUUAGGCAGGGUGUAUGAAGGGUGCACGGGAUGGGAGCAAAAGUUCCCUUCUCGACCCACUUUUGGGUGUUUGGCAGAGUGCAUGAAGGGUGCAUGAGUCCACACUAGUAGGUUGAAAAAAAUACACGAAGAGGAAACAACUAUAUUGAGAUGAGAAUGCAACCAAACACACCCACACGCUUUGUGCUACAGUGACUGAUCUGCACCGUCUGAGUUUGAUCCAACGGUCAUGUUGCGCCGAGACAUGGACAUGCCCAUGCAGAGGGCGCCUAAACACCACCGAAGUCCCUCUGCUUCUCGAGGCGCAUGACGUUGGUGAUGCAGGGUGCAACCGCCCGCAGAGCCCGCUCCCGGUCGACGGGAGCCAGCUCGUCAAAGACGGCGUCCAAUGGUACGAAUGGAUUCCGGUGACGGAGCCCUGAAAGGAUUCGCCCGGUAACGGCGGUGGCAGCCCGCAACCCCUCCUUGUCCAGCUCAGCCCCCACCAUCGCGCGGAGACGGCUCAGAUCCUCGGAGAUAUAGGUGAAGAAGGAGACCAGGUCAGGAAGCCACAGCUCGUUGAAGUUGAUCGGGUGGUCGAACGGGUUUAGCCCGACGGCCGGCAUCGUCGCGCUGGCACGACGGUAGGCAUCGCAGCCGCAACACGUGCGUGGCAACUUGGUUCACCAAGUGGCUGAGGCGAUCCUGGACCUCGUCACGAUCGGCCCGCUCGCGCUCCAGCCGGCUCCCCUGACGGCCUAUCGUAUCUCCCGCUUUCUGCAACAACGCCGCCGACGCCUCGAGCAUCUUUGUGGUGGACGCCUGCCACUUUUGAAGCUCCGUGAACUCCCGCACAUAAUGGAGGAGCAUGGCACUCCUCUCCUCCUUGAGCUCACGGAGCUCCACGUCCUUGGCCCUGAGCUCCGCAUCCUUGGCAUGGAGCUCCUGUGUCAGGCGCCUCACCUCGGACUCCGUGAUCUGCUGCGCCGCCAUGGCACCAGGUAGAAGCAAUGGGGAGAGGAAGGAAAGGGGGCGAAACGGCUGAAAGCCAAUGCAAUCUACGGGAAGGCGGAGGGAGCGGGGAAUCUUUUGGUUUUCACCACGGUAAAACACCAGUCGACGACUUCUCACAUCAGGGAGCAGUGGGUUUUUACAGGCGGAGUCAUCAUGACUAAUUGCUGCCGCGCCUGCUCCCGUCAAUCAAAAAAUUAAAAAUCCUCCCGCGCCUGCUCCCGUCAAUCAAAAAAUUAAAAAUCCUGCCGCACCUAAACACCAGAGCAACGCCGCGGUGGAUAUUUAAAUUUACCUGCCGGCAAGUAGAUAAAAAAGGGGUGAAAAAACAAAUGUGGCGGCGGCCUAGCUAAUCGGUCGAACUAGCCCAACUAGCUAGCCACCCUACUUCACUGAUGUACUCGGCGGGAAAGGUGGUCUUUCGUGAUUUGAGGACUCAUUUACUUGCUUCGGCGCUACGACCGAGGAGGACCCAGAAAUCGCGCGGUAGGGCGUCCCACGUCAGGAAGAAUAUAUGCGUGCACCACCCGGGAGGACCCCGAAACUGCGCGGUAGGGUGUGCCACGUCUCGGCACGGAGGAAAAAUGUGCGUGUAAAAAUAUACUGUAUCAGACGUAGUACCUAUGGUUCGACCUCGGGACCCAGCCAGUCGGUCGAAAACACCCCACUAUCCACACAGGUUCAUCAUGCAAACGUGGCACGGAGGAUAGAUGUGGUUAGCUCCGUCUCGACCAGCCACAACGUCUCUUGUUCUAGGCGAUUCUUCUAUUUUCCAAGCUUUUUUUAGUUGUAAUAACACCACGGCAAGCUAGCGCCGCUCUUCGUGUGUGCCCGUGCAAAGGUUAGACGAUGGAGAGAAGAGAGAUUGAGAUCGCAGACCUGGGACCCACCUGUAAGUGAGACAACGGUCAUGCACGUGUUGACGAGGCACUCCCUCUACUCUACUCAACGCAAGUACUGUAUAAAAUCAAGUUAUGGGACAAAGCCAACAACCGUUCAUUUUUUUCAGGCUAUCGACUUACGCUUUGUAGUCCAGGUUGCCAGUUUGAAUCUCGUCUUUCAGAUUUGUUAGUUUUAGGUCCAAAUUUGAUUAAUGACAAGUGGGACCCCCGUGUGUUGUUCCGAUAUUUCAGUGUAGGAUGGUUUUUUUGAACAAACACUUUGCGCGGUUAGACAAGUAACGGCACGAGUUACACGUAUUUUGCAAGUUUACGAACAAAAAUGACAGCGGCAUAGAAUAUCACAUCCACCCCGUAGCUUAGAUACUAUGGUGAUACGAGUUUUUACACCGUUGGAAGUGAGAUCCAAUGGCUUGGGAGUAGUCUUUGUAAUUAUGCGCAAUUUCCAAACUCUCCAAAGGUUUUUUUUGCAAAUAAAACAUUCAGGCCUCGUGUGUGCCGCUGCAUCUUCGGUCCAACAGCUCCCCGGUGCUCAUAUUAGGUGCUCCCCGUAGCUUAAUUACCCGCUACGGUGAUAUGAGCAUCUAGGUCGUAUGAUCAGCGAUCAGAUGGCACAUGCGUAGUACUUGUACUUUCUGCGCAUUUCCCAAACUCUAUCAGCCAUAUAUUGCAAAAACAUUCAAACCUCCUACUGUGGGCCGUUAGAUCUCAGUGAACUCGUAUCACCAUAGAAUCUACGGUGCGAGAGCACCUCAUACUCUCCCGUGCGAGAAAACUUAAGGUGCUAUCGCAACUUGGAUGCUACGGUGAUACGAGCUUGGAGGUCGUUUGAUCUGGGAUCCAAUGGCAUCUGAGCAGUCUUUGUGCUUGUAAGCAGUGGCCGAACUCUUUUGGGGCUUUUCUGCAAAAAACCAUUCGAACCACCGAGGAGGUGUUGGGUCACAAAUCCAACGCCGCCGAAGAGCUUGUAUCACCAAAGCAUCUAAGGUGUGGUAGCACAUGAUAUUCUUACAUACAGGAGAAUAUGAUGUCCUCCUUCAUCUUAGAUGCUACGGUGAUACGAGCUUCGAGGUCGUUGGAUAUGGGAUCAAAGGGCAUCUAAGUAGUUUUUGUACAAAUUGUGUGCAAUUCUCAAACUCAUCAAGGUUUCCUGCAAAAAUAUUAAGACACAUCAUGUGAGCUUCUAUAUCUCAGAUCUACAAGCUCCAAGCAACUCGUAUCGGCAUAUAGCAUCUAAGGUAUGGGGGCACAUGAUAUUCUCCCGGGGAGGAGGGGUGGGGGUGCACAACCAAUCGGUGGUUGGGAGGGUGGGGACAAAUAUAAUCUAAACAACCCUAAACAGAGCUCCACAAUUUUAUCUAAGGUCGAGGGGUUGACCCCCGACAAUCAUAGCUCCGCCUAAACACAACAUUUGCAUGUACUGUAGUACUAGAAUUAAUAUUCAUGUUUCAGUUUCAUGUUCAUUUUAAAUAUUGAACUGAGGACCAUGGAUGUCUUACAUUUUACUCCCUUCAUUCCUAGAUAUUAGUCUUUUUAGAGGCUUCAAAUGGACUGGCACAUACGGAUGUAUAUAGACAUAUUUUAGAGUCUAGAUUCACUCAUUUUUCUCCGUAUGUAGUCACUUGUUGAACUCUCUAAAAGACUAAUAUUUAGGAAUAGAAGGAGUAUUUUUGAAUUCGUGUUAUACAUGCAUGGUUUGGAAAAAUAGAUGCACUAUACUUAUUGGAUUGUUGUUGUGUUCGUGCGUGUGUGUCUGUGUGUGUGUGUGUGGUCAUAUGCUUGAUACAUACAAAGUUUUCUCACCUCCAUAUUGUUCAUCUUUUAAAUUUGAAUUUGCAUUGGAAAACUUACUAGGGAUACCAUGAAAUGUGAAAUCCACGUUGAGAUCACUAUAUCACAAACUCACUCUAAUUCAACAACUCGUCAUAAAUAAAUUACCACGUUGAGAUUAGUAUUUGCAAGGAAAAUACGGGUAUUGUAAUACACAUAGAUUCGUUCGACAAUUUAAAAGGUUCCUUUCGUAUUCUCGAAUGGUAGGACCCAACGGUGUACCAGCCAGACCUUGGCUCGUGUUGAUCCUAAAAAAACCGGGCUCGUGUCCUUUGGUGGCGUGCGUGGUACGCACAUUAGGCAACCCCAACCAGUCGAGCCUCAGCGUUUCAAGUCGAAAUAUCUGGCGGCCAGAAUUCCAGCCCUAGGAAAUUCCCCUCAUGUCCCCGGUCCAUAAUGACUACCGAUGAACAACGGAGGGAUGCUUUAGUAACUAGACAACAUUACCAACCGUGCCGAGCACGGUUCAAUUCCCUCGGUCGCCGCUCAUCAAGGUCACGCGUCAACUGCAUUGCCUAGUACUACUACUACUACACCAGGAUGAGCACAGAAUUGAGCCCAUCUGUUCGUGCCUAGUACUUGAGUUAAUAUAUCAGGCAAUGCACUGGUAUGGAGGGAUUAUCCUUUUACUCUGCAUAUAUAACUUGUCUGAAGUCUAACUAAGCAAAAUGUUUGACCAAAUCCUUUCUUAAGAAAUACAACAGGACAGAUGUACGGCUUGAAAAUUUAUUGCAUGAUGCAGGUUAUGAUAUUGUUUCGAAUCCUGGAUCUUAAAUUUCAGAAAAUCCAAAAGUGAGCAUAAAUUCUUGAAACUAAGCAUGGUCACGUGAUAUGGCACAAAUAUUACUUCGUAAGUUUUUUCUUCAAUUUGAGACAAGCUGCUUAGGACAAGUUGCACAAAUGAAGAGCCAAGGUAUUUUGGAACAAAGACCUGUCACGUUAAGGCGAACGCUUUCACUAUUAAAACCGUGGGCGUUUACGUGCCGCCACGAGUCCCCGCUUCUCAUCGGCAGGUGCCGUCCGAGCAAGCGUGUGAGUCGAUGGGAGGCGUGCGAGCAGACCGCUGCGCCGGCUGUCAGGGAGGCGUGCCAGCAGACCAUUGUGCAGGCUCACCAGGAGGCGAGCCCUUUGACCAGGCUCCGCCGCCCACCGUCGUCCCAACUGCUCCCACUUUUAAUGUCGCCGGCGCCGCAGUUUAAAAUCAACCCCGCACUACCCGGUAUCGCUACAAUCCUCUCUCUUCCUCUCCGAUUCUCCUGUCGUCUACCUCCAACUAGCCUGACCUAAACGUACGCCAUGCCGCAUCACGAUGGUCUGCCCUUAGUGUUCCAGUUUCCUGAGGAAGACACCCAGCCGGAGUCCCAAGAACAUAAGGCGCUUUCGGACGAGCUUGAACUGGCCUUGCGGGAAGACGCCGCGCCUGUCCCCGCUCCCGUUCCGGCUCCCGUCGCCCCGACUGCACCAGCGCCCAUCCCCGUGGCAUUGAUGGGCUGGGAGCCGCACAUUGUCGCCGAGCUUGAUCCCACUUGGUUCCACGAGGUCCCCGCCGACUUUCACGCGCCCGUGCACCUGCCAGCGCAUGCGCCUGCGCGUGCACUGACGCGCACGCCCGUGUCGGUGCCCGUGCACCUGCCAGCGCAUGCGCCUGCGCGUGCACUGACGUGCGCGCCCGUGCACACAAAUGUCUCCGCCGCGCCGUUGACAGCGCCUGUCCCCUCGCGGGUGCCAGUGCCCCCCUCAGCGGCAUAGAUGGCCGCCGUCGACCGCUUCCUUGCACCAACGCCAGUCGCCUCCUCCCGCCAGUUGACUCGCUCCGAAGUCCAGAACAUUUUGGCCUUCCUUGAAGCUAGGCCAACGUCCAGGAGUACGCCAACAACGGCGCAAGACGCCGCCGUCGCCAUCGGUCAGUGGCCCGACGACACACAGAGCACGGCAGAGGAGCCGCUUCCCACCACGAGACGCCCCCGCCGCCGCCACGUAAUCUAAAUUUGCCAUGAAAAACGUUCGGAUUGCCAUGCUUAAAAUCCGAACGUUUAUCAUUUCUGUUUAUUUUAUAUCGAUUGUCGUAUAAUUUAAAGUCGGAGUCAGACUGAACGAAAUGUAUGGUUUGAUCGAUUGAAUGUUCUGCUAGAGCCGUAUCAAAUUAAAUAUAAAACGUCAUCAAGCCACAUGUAUUCCUUGUCAUCCAACGACCUAGACUGCUUCAAUGUCGAGCGCUCAACACGUUUAGCGUGCAGUUAAUUUCAUGCCAAAAAUAGUGCUAAUCACAUGACAACACGCAAAUAAUAUCCUAGUAGUUAAUAUCCGCAUGCACUUAAUAUACUUCCAAAUUAACGUGCAUUGCACGUACACACUGACUAGUGCUGCUAGUACGUGAAACUGGUGUGAACGCGUCCAGAUAUGGUCAACGACAACAUCGCCCACGAGUUCUUCCUGUUUGCCCGUGCGUCUAAACGCAGAAGGGGAGGAGAGAGAGAGCACACAUGGAACCCACCAGUAAGUGAAGGCGAAUAGUACUAAAAAUAAUAUUACAUCUUAUCCAUUAAUUAGGUUGUGGUAAUAUAAAAACAUUAUGUGAACAAAGGGGGUACAACAAACAUUGCUAUUCUACGUAUGUUGCCUAUUGACGUGCGGCUUGAAGGCCCGGUCGCAUGUUCGAUCCUCGUCCUUUAUUUUUUAAUAUGUAUAUGGGUCCAAAUUUGUUUCAUGACAUGUGGGCCCCUCGGUGUGUAGUUUGUAGCACUUUAAUUUGUGGGUCGAAAUUUGUUCCAUUCCAAGUGGACUAUCGGUGUGUAGUUUUGUAGCUUAUUUAUAAUAAUUAAAGAGAACAACAUAGUUUUUUCAAUAAUACCAUGGUGCGACGUUGAAGGCAAGAAAGGACGUGCGAGAGAGCGAUGACCGAGCCAGAGGGAAAUCAACUAGGGGAGUUGCGUGGGUUGCAACGGUGUUUGGAGUAGUUGUGGGCCGAAUGCUACGAAAAUAUAAUCUAAACCGACCGGAAUGAAUGCCUACACAAAUUAAUCCAAAGUUGGAGUCCCCCUCGCAAUGUAAAUAGCUCCGGCUUUGCGAGGGAUGGAGAGGUAGUAGCUUCAACACGUGGAAGAUACGGUGUGAGAAAGCGAGGUCAAUCGAGAGACAUAUAGAUAGAGAGACAAAGUGAGUGUGGUCCGACAUUCAUUGAACAAAUAUAUAUGCUCUGGAGAGAUAUUGUCCGAUUGAGCUUUUUGGCAAGGGUGAGGGCUGUAAGAUAGGGCUUGAGAGAUGAUCCAGUCACAGACGUGUAGAUAUAUUUUGUGCAUGGGAGGAAGCAAGGUCAACCGAUCACAUAGGGUCGCCGUGCGAUCGAAAGAGUGAGACGGGUUGGAGAGAGUGACCUAGAUAGACGAUGUGCGUGAGAGAGUAUACAAUGUGAAUAGGUCGAAUUGGGCUCAAACAUGGUGAUAUAUCGUUUUUGUCCGAGAAAGAGCGAGGUCAAUCGAGACAUAUGGAGAGAGAGAGAGAGAUUGAGUGAGCGUGGCCCACCAUGAGGUCGAAAGAGUGGUGGCGGCUUGGAUGGACUGACCUAGAUAGACAAUCUGCGUGAGAGAGUAUAGAGUGUGUCGAUCGAGGCCCGAACAGGGAGAUAUAUCAUUUGUGUGUGAAAGAAAACGAGGUUAAACGAGACUCAGAUAAAGAGAGCGAGAUUGAGCGAGUGUGGCCCGCCGUGCGGAAGAAAGAGUGAGACAGUCUCGAGGGAGUGACCUAGAUAUACAACGUGCGUGCGUGCGCACGAGAGGUUGGGGGGCUAGAUAGGCAAUGCAUGUAUUUAGCACGAGAGGGUGAGAGGGAGAGGGGGGAGAGAGAGAGCUCGGCAUGGGGUGCAAUGGUGGGUGUGUGAGGUAAAUACAUUUGGUAACAGAGUGGAAAAAGGGGUUGUGUAGUUGAGAGACUUAGAGAUCGAAACAUGGAGAGAAACAAUGAACGUGUGUUGGAAACCGAUAGCUUCCUAAGGUGGUUAGGAGAGGAAGAUUGACCGAUACAGGAAGUAUGUAGCGUUUGUGCGGGGGGGGCUAAAAACAACAUUUGAAUGUACAUAGUACGAGACUUAAUAUCGAUGUUUCAAUUCGGUGUACAUUGUAAUAUCGAUGUAAUUAUUUCGAAUUCGUGCCAUACUAAGUUUCGAAAAUUUGACAUUGACUCAGUUUGUUGUGCUAUUUUGUAGGUCAUAUGUUUGAAUCCAUCCAAAAGUUUUCUCACUACCAUGGUGUUCAUCAUAUACAUAUGAAUUUGUAUUAAAAAAGUAGCAUGGAUACAGUGAAAUGCGAAAUCCACGUUAGAAUUGGAGAUAGCUACGUGACACACACUCUAAUUCAAAUAACUAACUACGUGACACACACUCUAAUUCAAAUAACUAAUUAUGUGACACACACUCUAAUCCACGUUAGCGUGGGUACCGUUUCAAUUUUUUUUCAAAUAACUCCUCAUUAAUUAAUUUAUAGUACUCCCUCUGUUGACUUUUAUAAGACCUUGAAGACAUUUCAGACAAUGUGCAAAACAGUUCAUUUUAAGUUGUCUGAAACGACUUACAAAAGUGAACGGAUGGUGUAUCUCGUUUCGAAUGACUAAUUAUUGCAAGGAAAACACGGGCAUGGUAAUACAUACAGAUUCGUUUGCAAAUGAAAGAAGAUUUGUUUGCAUUCUCAAAUGUAGGCGCACCAGGCAGACCAGGGUCGUGUCGGGGUGGACGCUGCUUCGGUGCCUUAAAGGCAACUACCUUUGGGUCACUGACAUGUGGGCCAGCCACCUGUUGGGCCCACAUGUCAUGGACACAAAGGCGGGUGCCUUAAGGCACCGAAGCAUAGUCCUGUCGGGGUGGUCGCGUGUGUCGGACGGACGCGUAGCACCCAGCCACCCACCCCUCCCCCCAAAAAAGGACGACGACAAUAUAAGUUCGUGCUUCCACGUUUCGGAUUGAAAUAUCUGGCGGCCCCAAUUCUAGCCCUGCAAAAUCUCUCUUCUCCACCGUCCCCUUCUGCGCCCAGAUUGCUCAAAUCCCUAAUUCGCCGCCAACCCUCGAAUCGCCCCUCGUCUCGUCUCUUUCCCCACCGUUCCCCACCUCUGUGCCAGACGACGACAACGAAGACGACGGUCGCGCUUCACCACCGCACCGAAGCUACCUCAUCUACGCCCUCGUCCACCGCACCAGGUGGUCCACCGACAACGUCGGCCGCCGCAACCGACGUGCCUCACAGACACCGAGUUCCACCGCAUCAGGUGCGCUUCACCGACGUCGUCUCCCAGCUCACCGGGGCUACUUCACCGAGCACAUCAUCGCACCUCCGCCCCCCGAGGCCGUUGGGGCUUCACCAACGGUCUCGUCCACCGCAUCGUAGCGCUCCGCUGCCACUCAAGAUCUGCAUCCGUGCGCGGCCAGCCAACACCAGCGCAUCACCCUCAAUGGCUCUGAAGUGACCCGCACUCUAGCUAGACGAGCAUGCCCAAACGCCGGCCCGAACUAGGUAUCCACACAUCACUCCCCUGUGCACUAUUCCGACGAUGUUUGGAUAUCCUUUCACUGCUCUCUUAGCUUACACGCCUAUGCAACUCUGACUUUAACUCUUAUUUCUUCUGGAGAUAUCAUCUGAAACAGGCAAAUCCAUUUUUUAGCGAAGCAUGACGGCGCUACGGGAUCUGGUACACAUCCUGCACACCCGUAUAACCUUGUAAGUAUCUGUCCUUCGGUACAACAUCAAGGUCGAUUCCUCUUAUUUGAUCAACCAUUCGUCGUGUCAAAAAUGCAGAGGGGGAUGCAAGGAGCACAAGGCCUGCACAUCCAAGCAAGUGGUAACAUGGACUUGUACAUGGAACAUCCCAAGCGCAAGCAGAGCUGCAGUGAGCCUGUACAACGAGCUAACGUAAGUCCCUGCAUUUCAUUUAAUUCGUACUGGCAUUCGUGUAUGAUUUGUGUGCAGUGGCUGAUCCACGAAUUCAAGUUACCAGGUGCGAACAUUUAACUUAAAAAAUAUGAAGGCACUUGCACUCCAGAAAUCAACAUAACUUGAGAAAUGUGAAGCUACAUGCACUUUGAAAACCAGCUAAUGAUCCAAAGUAGUUCAGAUUAUAAACACUAAAUGAUGCAUGCACCAAAAAACACAAAAUGCAAGAUGGUGUACAAGGACUACAAACAUGGUCUGUACCUGCUUGAAUUAUUCGUUCUCUGGCUGAAAAUAUCGAAGUGUAAUUGCACGUAUAACCAGUGCGCAAACUGCAUAUCAAUAUAUCUAUCCUGCACAAGUAUGCCAAUAGUUUCAAACAACAUAUUAGAAAAGUAUUUAUGCUAUGUUGUCAUGAUACGGGGACUUUCUGGUAGAUGGCCUCGACGUUUCCUCAAGCUAUGAAAAUGCACUAUAAUUUGCUUGUCAUCAAUGCCUGCAAAUCUCUGUCUCUCUCAACAUAGUAGAUCAUCAUUAGACACUAAAUCCUUCAAUGAGCUUGCAAAAUGCUUGCAUUAGAUCCCUCAUUAGACACUAUAUGUUCAUCACCAGGAGCAUGUAAAAUGUUUGCAUCAAAUCCUUCAUUAGCAGUCUGUUCAUUAGACACUUCAGGCUCAAGAAGAACAUGAGCUUGUAUGUUUGCACCGGAAACUUGAUUAGAUACAUCAGAUUCAAUCAGUUCAGUAUUGAUUGGGGGAGUUAUAAAAUAAGUAGAAAUUGGUUUCAUUUUCUCAUAGAUUCCCUACAUACAAGCAGUUUUACAACACCGUCAGGUUCAACUAUUGGCCAGAAAUUGAAGAGUUGAAUUAGAUAUAAUCAGGGAUGUGAUGUACCUGCUCAUUGCGCAUGCUACUCUUGCAAGCUGCGACUGUCCGUUUGCGCAAGCUCGAUGCCAUGCCCGUGCUGCCGCCGCUGCCUCCCACGCAGGCUACACCCAGGGUUGGAUCUUCAUCUUAUUGUCCUUUCGUUCGCUUGAAGCCCGGCGACCGCCCUCCAACGAGGGCGCGAGGAAGUGCUGUGUCGGUCUGUCCAGCGGCGCCUAGGUUAGGAGCGAACCAGACUGGAGGCUGGAGCGAAUGAAUUGGGAUUUUUCCUGCUGUCGAUCGAUAUGGGAGGCGCUCGUUUGGGCCGCGAGCCUGCUAUAAGGCCUGCCUUGCACUUAUGUUAUGGGCCCAUCCAAAUUGAAACAUUUUUCUUCAUUUUUUACAUUGCCUGCUCGUGCGUUGGGACGACCAAAACUAGCAUGGGCCAACCUGGACAACUCAAACUAGGUGCACACUUUCCAGCCACCUGAGGCGGCCGCCUAUACCAGCCCCUACGGUGGCGUCGCCCCUUUUUGCGUGUAUGAUUGGAUAGUGAAAAAUAUUCCAGUGGCGCUUUCGAUUUACCCACAGAAUGGUUGAAUUGCUUGUUUCUACGAACUGAGUUCGCCAAUAAUGUGAAGGAUGCCAGUCUUUUCAUCCUAUUGUAGAUUGCUUAGAUCUCGAUAUGCCAAAAGUAAUCGCAUGAAAUAUACAGUAAAAGCCAGUGUGAUGUGUUUGGCUACAACUAGUCUGACUACACGUCCUCAUAUAACAUAUCAAGGACGCACCAUCUUACCAGAUUAACCAUUCAACUUACCCAUGCAGUGUGGGAAGAAAGAAGUAUUGGGACUGCGUAUCCAAGCAAUUGAUGCCAUGGACUCCUUCGUACAACCUUGUAAGCGAGAAAGAAGUUGCAGUGUGCUUGUACAAAGAACUAGCAUAAGUUCAGUUACCUGCUUCUCAGAAUUUUAGUUAGCCACUUAUUGCAAAAAAUUUCAAUUACGUUGCUUGGCUUAAUUUAGUUUGCUACUGAUUACAUAAUGGCACGGCCUGUUAAUCAUAUUGUAGACUACGCCUAUCUAUGUGUUUGAUACUUACUGUUAAGAAUUACCUGUUUGCCUUAACUUAAAUAUCUACUUGUUUGUUUAACUGCUUUGCUGCUGCAACAGCGGGUUACAAUGAUGUUAAUAACUACUUUUCAGCAUCCAAUUGAAACUCUUUAAUUCCUUGUUUGUUUAACUGGUUUGCUGUUAUAACUCCCAGUUGAGAUGUUUUGCUAACUUCAACUUUUCUGAAUCCAAUCGAAACUUUAAUGGCAAAACAGGUUAGCCCAAGAUCAAAGAGCGAGGUCCCCAUGGACGUUGCAUCAUCCCACAGCAGUGGCACCGUCCCAAUCGUGCAUUAUGAAUUGCCAACUGCUGAUGCUCUAGAGGCUAAACUAGUGGUAGAAAGAGAUUCUGCUUUUGCACUUAGAGAUGAAGUUGACAUGUUGAGGAAGCAAACAGCACAGUCACAAGCAGUACUCAAGACAACCAUUAAAUAUUUGGUGGAUUUCAAAACGAAGCAAGCUGAGACUGACCAGAUUGUUAAGGUCCUGAAGGAAAAAAGGAAAUUAAAUUCCUACUUGGUAAAUCAUAGGUGACAUGUUCUUUCCAUAGUUGAAUAACCUUUGUGUUGUCUGUUCAUGUAAUCAAUCAAACCAUUUGUUUUAGAGAUCAUGUAAUAAUUGUUUUUUUUUGUUUGUAAUUUUAUUUGAGCACAAGUCUGUAUUAAUUGAUAAGACUCGGAGACAUUUCAUUUGGAUUGCUGUGCCAGACCUACAAAUAUGCCAAUCGGGCUGAAUGUGAAUUCAGCAAUAGUAGUAGUAUAGAUGGACCAUAAGUGGCACGCAUCGGAAAGGGCCAAGAUGCUGGCUAAAAAAAGGAUGUUGUUGUAGCCAAAAAAAAGUACAGCGGCUCGGCUUAUGUAUGUUAGUUCAUAUUAUUGAUCCAUAUACUCUAUAAGUGUUUAUAUGUCUGUUAGUUCUGUACAUUCUUGGUUGAUUGACUCGGUAUUUGAAUCUUGAUACAUCGCUUGUGUACAUAUCUAAAUGGGAGUACACAUUAUGCUGCGUGUGACAUUUGAGUUGGACAUGAAGUGUUCCAAAUAUUCGAAUUCACCUUAAACUGGAUUCUAGUUUCUAAAUUUGAGUAUCGGCAUCUGUAAACCAUAUUCAUAUAUGACAGUGGAAUACAUCUUUGUCAUCCUUUUGAAGAUAUAUAAAAACACAUAGAAUGAUUUAUAAAGAUUCAUAUAGGAAUACAAAAUGGAUUCAAAUUUAGUUGCCAGGGUAAACAUGGAUGCUUAUUGUCCCAAAAUUCGAAAGAAGCAGCAAAAUGUCCACUCCCACGUCGGCUGCCCGAAGCCAAGUGUUUGGGAGAUGGAAAUUACUGUCUACCCAUUACACGGACAAUCCAUCGGCCCGAUUUCCACUGCUCUAAAUAGGGGUAGGUUAGUAACUUCAAUUAGACGUGACAUGACCGCCUCUGAGCCCAUUCCGACACGGUGGGCGUCAAACAUGGGCGGCAAAACUCAUUUGAUUCAAGCUCGUCCGAAAGACCUCUGUCUCUCCCUCCAUUACCCAUUCAUACACGGUGGGCGGCAAAACAAACUCGACUGGGCCGAAAUUGAUGUAGGCAAAUAUUUUCAAUAGGGGCAGGUUUGUAACUUCACUCAGACGUGACACAACCGCCCUACCUGUCAGCCCCGUUCAUACACCGUGGGCGCCAACCAUGGGCGCCAACCACCCUCUCCUCGCCCGAAAUCGCUCUGGGCAAAUAUUGGCGAGAUGCGAGAUUACCGUCCUAUCCCCAACCGACGAGACGUCCAAAUUUUAAACGGGGGCUAAGUUCGUAACUUUCCCAUAUUUCAGACAGACGCGUCCCAAAAACAUGGUUCCCCGUACCUCUCCCUCCAUUUUCCCAUUCAUACACCGUCCACGCUAGAACACCCCAUCCCCACACCAGCCUCCGUCCGCCACCCCAUCCAUUGCCGCCGUCCUCCACCACAUCCAUCGCCACCGUCCUCCACCAUGCCGGAGCGCCUACCAAGACCGCGUCGUCCACUGCUAGAGAUGGACGUUUCUCAUCCACGGCAACGGACCAAUAGCCUUGCAUCGCGUCCUCUCACUUCAUCGGCGCCGUCGUCCUCUUUGCCGGGGCCGCUCACACGACCUUCUCUUCCACCGCAACGGGACUUAUCCCCCGAUGCACCCGUCUACCGUCGCAGAUCUGCUUCAACGCCACCGACAGCCAUCGCACCCCCGAUGCCUACACGGUGCCGCAAGAGAAGUGGUACUUCAUAUGUCCUCAACUUUUUGAUCUCAACCAGAAAAUAGAUCUUAACUUGGUUACUCUACUUUCUUUUCAGCUCUUAGAAUUUAGUUCUUAGUUCGAAGCAAACAAUGGAUGCUAAAUAUCAUUUCUCCAGUUUGUAGCUUCAAAUCUGCCAUGGCACAGCCAUAAUACGGUUUAAUUGAUCAUGCUUAGGGUUUGAUUGAUCAUGUUGGUUCCGUGGUGGUUUCUUUAAUAGAAAUCGGAGGGGAAACCCUCUUUUGCUAAAAAAAUAUGCUUAGAGUUCCCCCUUUUAUGAUCACUAUACGAUCAGAAUACGUGCUUCGUGUCAUAAUAACACUGCUCCACCCAUCAAGCUAAACAAAGUUGUUUAAUUGGUCAGCUAAAUGUUCCUAAAUUAGUUUCGAAAAUGCAUGUUCGCCGCUCGGGUGUGUAUCUCUACAGGGUGCCCACGGUGGGCCGGCCCACCCUGGGAUUUUGGGUCGUCCCAGGCCCCGAUUCCCCUCUGUUCAGCUGCGCGCUUCCGAUCUCUACUCGCCCCCAGCCGCCUGCCUCGCCGGCGACUUGCCGUCCCGGGACGGCAUGACUCUAGGAGGAGACGCCGGACUAACAGGAGGCCAGGAGCCGCUCGCCCAACAGCGUCACCGCUGCCCGGGCGCGCCGCCGUGCCUACCUUCCCAGUCCGUUCAGGGCUCAGGCGUGCAGCACCCACCAAGCCAACCCAAUUUAUCCUGAGAUACGUCCUCAACACUCAGCAGCCACUCCUCAUCACCCAUUUUCUAAUUGAUUCAUUACUCAUUAGGCAGGACUGUCAUUAGGGUUUGUUGUGUGCUCAGUGCUACCUACACUUAAUGGUUCAGAUGUAUUUCGGUAAUCUUUAGUACCUCUAAAGUUCACAGGGUUUUCAAAAUUCCGGCCCUCGGAACAGAAACUAGUCAUUUUGGAUUGUUGGUCGUAGUGACAUUGACCCAGAUUACUACUGCAAGCCAGGUUUGUUGACAAUUUUACUUGUCUUUCUUACUCAUUCAAUAUAAUAUCCAAUUAUUCACGUCGAUUAGUUGCAAACAAUAAGUGCUAGACAAACUUCUUCAUUCAGAUUUUGGACGGUCUCUUACUGCAGUUACAAUUCUGCAUACUUGUCCUAGUAAGCUCACAAGUAAAUGAUUGAUUCGCUACAUCUAUGCUUGCCUUGUCAUAUUUGUUGUCAAUAUUCUUUUAGGGUGGACCACCCUGUUUCUAAAUACUGGAACCGUAGACAUGAGUGAAUAGUAUUUCUCUAUGUGAUCUCUUCCAUCAUGUGUGGGUAACGAACACUGCAUUGUAUAGAAAGAAAGUGUCAUUUCCAGCUUUUACAUAGGUUUCCAUCUUUUACAUGGAAUACAAUCUGCCUACUUGCUUUGUGUCGCACUACCAACACUCCACCCUUGAAGCUAAACAUUACGCCACUCAUAAUUGCUUAGUUUAUUUGUUCAAAUACGAAUUUCAUAUGAUUCUAAUGUUCCUACUUCAGUUUUGAAAUGUGUGCCUGCCUGUUAUAGAGACAUAAGGGGUUUGUAUUUCUGUGUGUGGUCUGGUCAGCACGGUUGGGGAGGUGAACUUUGCAUAUGCAGGGGUUUAUAGGGAGACACUCUCCGAGUUGAAUCCGCAAUGCAUUCCAUAGAUAAAUUUACUACUUUUUAUGUUUUCAUGAAUCUCAGAUUCUGAACAGCAUCAUAAUGAUGAUGAGCUUGCGCGCAUGAAAAGAAUAAAGCAGAACAAUGCCAUGGCUGUCAAACUUGGCAUUAAGGGACUAAAAUCAAGUCUGGAUGCAAUGCAAUGCAAACGCUCUCCACCUACAGAUUCAUGCUCAGAAUAUGAUCCUAAAGUGAUUCUGAGCUAGAGGGAGACCUAAGUCAAUGUAGCUCCCUAGUGGAGGAGUCAGAGGAAGAUGCCCUAUCUUAUUCACCCAUCAAGGUACUUGCUCUAACUUUCCAAGGUUACAUUGCUCGCACAUAUCUUGCAACUGAUGCUUUGCAUUGCUUCUACUUUGUUGAAUUGCCAUUAGCUUAGUUUACACAUCGUGUAUGUGAAUACGCCCUGCCUAUCCAUUUUCAGUACAUAUUCCAUCUGUCAUCAUACCAUAUUUAUCCAUUCAAAUGAUGUUCUUGUGUAUUAGACGUUCAAAAGGAAGAGGGCGAUUGCUUAUCGUGGAGGAGCACAAGCAAAGUAUUUGGAAAAGGUAGUGGCACCUGAUAAAUCAAAUAGCCCAUUAGGUGUAGUUGCAAUAUCACCUGACCCACAAAAUACCCCAACUCUAGCAGACUCUAGCCCUACUACACUGGUCAUUUCUGAUGCCCCAACUUAGCAGACCCCAACUGCAGCAAACAAUAUGAUUAUGCCAGUUGACAUAGCACCAGCUGUACGACGCAAAACCCCCAUUCCAGCAAAGUGUACACCAAAUUCAGUUGCCAAAUCCCUUUUCGAACCAGAGAGAGCCCCAAUUGCAGCAAAUGGACACCUGUUCCAUUUCUUCCCAGUUUAGAAGACGAAGCUUAUGUUGUUGUCAGGAACUUUGUGCGCAUCUUUCCUUCAUGGAAAGAUUAUACAGCAUACAUAGAACAAUUUCCAGUCUUCCUCCGCAACUUACGCGUAAGUAAUGUACUAAUGUUAUUCAUGGUCAUUACUGCAUAUGUUUCUGCUGACAGAAGACAGAAGAUUUCAUUCUUUUAAAUAGGCGAGGAGCAAACUGGAUUGUGAUGACGAGCAAGGGUUGGUUGCGCUUUUCAAGCACUCGUUGAUGAAGUAUCAUUCCUACCUGAGGCAAGCGCACUUCGAUGGCAAGCCUCUGAACGAAAUUUAUGUAAAGUCUCCGGUGCUACAUUUAUCCGACGGUGACUGGAAUAAUCUUGUUACACAUUGGUCUCGGCUGCAGCGUAAGGUACUGUCUAUGAUAUCACAUCACAAUUUGAAUUACAUUUCUGCAUUUGCCUUAAUGUCUCACUUGUACGAAAACUGUUAGCAGAAGAACAUUCAUUCUCAAGGGACCACAGAAUCUCGCAACUAUACUGCACACUGCAUUGCUCUUGUGAGUACCUCUUGCCCUGUAUGACCAUACUUACUUUCAUAGCUGUUUGAUUAUGUAGCAUCACUGCACAUGUUAGCCUCGUAAUCGUCCAUUUGGUGGACAUUAUAAGAUCCGUAUGGACUCUUACAUAAAUUUAGAAUCAACCCAAUGCUUUUGAAGAGGUUUAGCUCUGCAGUCCUCUUGUAAGGACUGAACGUGGUCUAUCACUAUACUUACAUUAACAACUACUCCCUCCGUCCCAUAAUAUAAGAACAUUUUGUACAGUACACCAGUGUUCAAAACACUCUUGUAUUAUGGGAAGAGGGAUUGGUUCAUUUUGUAGCAUUCUGCAUCUUAUCUCCCUCGCCCACCAUUUACUAAAAAAGAUCAGAUCUAUAUUUAAUCUUACCAACAAGUAGAAUACACAGACAAUGUCAGUGAAGAAGUGUAGCCCAUUGCUCUUGUCAGUACAUUUUGUCCUGUAACGCUUGUACUUCCAGGGAUUGGUAGUUGAUUAUGUAGCAUCAAUCUGCAUCUUAUCUUCAUUAUCCUCUAUCCCUUCCAGUAUUAUCAUAUCUAUAAUUACUCUCUACAAAAUGUAGAGUACAGGCAAUGCUUAUGAAGAAGAUUAUGUGCUGAAAUUCUUGAGUUAUCCUUCCCUCAACAUGGAGAAGGGCAUUAUAAAGCCGGUGUUAACUAUGAAUGUAAGUCAGUCCUUCUAAAGCCUUUAUCCUCAACUACUGUUUAAUUUGCUCAUACUCCCUAUCGUUUACUGCUGUUUAGUUUGCUGUUUCUACCAAAAUGCAUGUUCGUAAGAACCGUAAGUUCUAAGUUUUACUUGUAAAACCAAAUUCCUUAUUCAUACCAUGCACAUUACUUAAUACUCCCUAGAUGUAUGCUUGUUUUGUGGAUCUAUAAUCCAGUGUGUGGUGAAGCAGCCCACGUUUGCACCUUGUCAUCUCCUGUUUUAUCUUACUGAUGUGGCUGAUGAUAUGAACAACAUGCCAUGCACAUUAUCCAAAAUAGAUACAAUGAUUUUCUUUGCCCUUCAUCUAUGCUUGUUAUGUUGACAUGGUAAUCCAGUAGUGUGGUGAAGCUCCCCGCAUUAUGAACAAUGCCAAAUUAUGCUAUUGAUAUUUUGAACUUACUCUUUAUUUUCUAAUUUGAAAUUGGAUAGAAUUGACAGAACAGUUAUCAUCUUUGUUUAUACACGUGCAAAACCUGUCAUCUGUCUGCUUUGUUUCAGGGUGAUAUGCCUGAUGGCAUGCACAAGUCUGCUGAAGGCUGUGAGACAAACCCAACAUAUAUUGCAGCAAAGAAGGCAAAACAUCUUGAAGAUAGCGAGACAACCCCAAAGUCUUGUCUUGAUGCAGUGUUCAAGUUACUUGAGACUAACAGUCAGACAAGCUCACAGAAUUCGUUGUCUGAAUCAGUUCGACUUCUUCAGUCCCAAGUUCUAGCAGAAAGGCAUUCUGCAACUCAACUUCGACUUGAAGUCCUAUCUCUAAGAAAGAUUGCGGAGAACACCAAUGAGAACCUCAUCGCUAAACAGCUACACCUAGAAGCUAUGACCGACAUGCUAGGCCGGUCUCACAGCCUUGCUCAGCAGCUUGUGCAGCUGUUCCCCCGCAAGGCUAACCUUUCUUGAACUGUCUUGGAAGUGGUCUCGGUUCAGUAUUAUUUUGUUACGCUGCAAUGGUGCCCAGUUUUUGUAAUCUGCUUCUUCGUUGCGCUUUAUGAUCACUGGUGGCGAACUUCGAUGCCCAGUGGAUGUAAUAUACCUUAAAUCCUUUAUUGUAUAGUGUAGGUUUAUUCUUAGUUACUAUGCCGUAAUUUCUUUAUUGUAUAGAGUAGGUUUGUUCUUAAUUCCUACUAGUUACUGCCAUCAUUCGCUAUCUGAAAAAAAAAUCAGAUGUAGUCGACCGGACCGAAAUAUUCGACUCUAACGGGCCAGGUUUUUAGCGGGCCACAAUUGGGACGGCCUGCGUCUUUCUUGGGCCCGAAUGAUUGGGGCCUUCACACAUUGCGCCAGGCCCAAACUUACACCGGCCCUAUAUUUUAGUUGGGCCUUUUGUCGACCCAGCGCUUAGUUUGGCCCAGGUAGCGUUGGGCCAUUAACAGGCUGAAUAUUGUACUGGCCUGUUACGGCCGAGAUGAAACCACGGGCCUUUAGCAGGCCAAAAUGCAUGUUGGGCCUCAAUUUUCACUAGUCGUCGAGGGGCCUUCAGCAGGCCGAAAUGUAGACCGGGCCGUUUCGGGCCCAGUUAGCUCACGGGCCGUUACCAGGCCGAAACAUAUCUCGGGCCUUAGUUGGCCCACUGAUAUCAUGGGCCUUUAAGAGGCCGAAAGCUUAGCACAGGCAUCAACGGGCCGAAUUACGCGACAGGCCUUUAACAGGCCCAAAGUCACGUUGGGCUUAACUGUUUCCACCUUUAGCACGGGCCGUUAGUUGGCCCGAUGUCCCGUCGUACCAUAUAUGGCCCAUGGGCAGCACGGGCCAUUCCCAGGCCGAAAGUCACACCGGGCUGAAAUGGGCACAUGUCUACAUCAGGCCUCUAAUAGGCCGAAAGUCACUGGGCUGUAGUUGGGCCCAAAUAUUCGGCGAACAAUUAACGGGCCAGAUCUGGCUUCGGGCCUGGGUCCAGAUGAUCCGGGCCUGGGUCCAGAUGAUCCGGCUUCAUGUUGAAUCUUCGGGUGUCGUUGGGCAUUGUAGUCGGAUCAUCCGGGCUGGGGUCCGGAUCGUCUGGACGGCGGUCCGGAUCGUCCGGGCUUCUGCUGACUUAGCCCUUCUUCUUCUUCUCCGUCUUCACGUCCAUCUUCGUCUUCGGAUUCUCCUUGCUCCUUGGCGUCUCCAUGGCUAACUCCUUGGUACCUGAGCAUGCACAAUGUCUCCGUUUGAGGUAGUAGCCAUGUCUCAUGUUCAUCGAAGUGGAAUUGUGAGAGGAGAGAUGUCACCUCGGUUUCGAGAGCUCUUGCACGUGAUCGAGUCAUGGGUCCACUAGGCACUUGGUGAGACGAUGGUAGGUCCAUGGGGAUGACCUUAGGAUGCUCCGCAUCAUCUCCCCUCCCUUGGGAAAGAUCCGACCUCUGAUCAAAAUCCUCAUCACCAUGGUACGGGGAGAGAUCUUUGACGUUGAAGAUGUCGCUCACGGAGUACUUGUCACGUGGGAUGUCGAUCUUGUAUGCGUUGUUGUUGUAGCAUGCAAGCACCUUGAAUGGUCCAUCGGCUCGUGGUAGAAGUUUGGACUUGCGUUCGUUGGGGAAGCGGUCCUUGCGAAGGUGUAGCCACACAAGAUCUCCAAUGUUGAAUAUCAUGGGUUGCUUGUUGACGUUGAGCUUGGUCGCGAGUCAUUGUACUUGGCGCUCGAUGGUGUGCCUUGUAUCUUCAUGCAUCUUCUUGAGGUGGUUGACUCGGGCACUCGCGUCCAUGUUUGUGCGCUCUUGGAGUGGUAGGGGUAGAAUGUCCAAUGGGGACAACGGGUUGAAACCGUAGACGACCUCGAAGGGGGACUUGCCGGUAGUCCUGUGUCUUGCUCGGUUGUAGGCGUACUCAGCGAUAGGUAGGCACUCCUCCCACUGCUUGAUGUUCUUCUUUAUCAACACGCGUAGGAGAGUGGGGAGUGUUCGGUUCGUCACCUCCGUUUGGCCUCGGUUUGUGGAUGAUAUGCCGUGGAGAAUAGUAGCUUGAUUCCGAGCUUGGCGCAUAAGGUCUUCCAAAAGUAACUCAAGAACUUGACGUCGCGGUCCGAGACAAUCGUCUUGGGUAUUCCAUGAAGUCGCAAGAUUUCCCUACAAAAGAGACCGGCAACAUGUGAAGCAUCGUCUAUCUUGUUGCAAGGAAUGAAAUGUGCCAUUUUGGAGAAUCGGUCCACAACAACAAAAAUGGAAUCCUUGCCAUUUCUAGUUCUAGGCAAACCAAGCACAAAAUCCAUGCUAAUAUCUUCGCAUGGUUGAAAUGGAAUUGGAAGAGGCAUAUAUAAUCCAUGAGAUUGAGCUUUAGACUUAGCUUUGCGACAUGUAGAGCAUCGGUUGGUGAAGCGGUUGACGUCACGAAAUAUCUUUGGCCAAAAGUAGUUCUUGGAGAGCGUAGCAAGGGUCUUGUCGCGUCCAAAAUGUCCCAUUAGUCCUCCUCCAUGAGAUUCUUGCAAAAUUAACAAACGAAGAGAAGACUCGGGGAUGCAAAGUUUGUUAGCUCUCAUAAGAUAUCCAUCUUCGAUGUAAUGGCGUUCCAAGAUGUAUGCGUCAAACAUUUGGCAUAAGGAAUGGCAAAAGUAGGAUCAUGCUCAUACAAGUCUUUUAUGUGCUCAAAACCAAUGACAUUCAAUUCAAGUUUAGUAACAAGCAUGCAUAUACGGGAAAGCGCAUCCGCCACAACAUUUUCCUUACCUUUAAUAUACUUGAUGACAUAAGGAAAAGACUCAAUAAAUUCACUCCACUUAGCAUGACGCUUGUUCAACUUAGUUUGACCCUUAAGCUAUUUAAGUGUUUCAUGAUCGGUGUGGAUGAUGAACUUAUGAGGGCGGAGGUAAUGUUCCCAUUCACGCAAGACUCGUACUAAAGCAUAUAGCUCUUUGUCAUAGAUGGGGUAAUUGAGUUGCGCUCCGGAAAGUUUCUCACUAAAGUAUGCUAUGGGGCGCUUCUCUUGAGUUAAUACACCUCCUAUUCCAUUACCACUAGCAUCACAAUGUAUGUCAAAGGGUUUGUCAAAGUUGGGUAAUGCAAGCACGGGAGCAUGAGUAAGCAAAUUCUUAAGCUCAUUGAAUGCGCUAUCUUGUGAUGGUCCCCAAACAAAGGGUGCAUUCUUCUUGCUCAAAGCAUGUAAAGGUGAAGCAAUGGUGCUAAAAUCCUUCACAAAUCUACGGUAGAAACCGGCUAGACCAAGAAAACUACACACUUGUUGCAAAUUGGUUGGUUGGGGCCAAGUUUUAAUAGCAUUGAUCUUAGAUUCAUCAACAUGAACACCCUUAGAAGAUACUAUGAAACCCAAGAAAACAAGCUUAUAAACACCAAAGAGGCAUUUUUCCAUAUUAGCAUAAAGUUACUCUUUUCGAAGAGUUUGUAGCACGGUGCAAAGGUGGGUGACAUGCUCUUUGAGAGAUUUGCUAAACACAAGGAUAUCAUCAAAGUAUACAACAACAAAUUCACCAAUGUAAGGGCGAAACACAUAAUGCAUAAGAUGCAUGAAAGUACCGGGUGCUUCCGAUAAACCCAUAGGCAUGACUAAUCACUCAUACAAACCAAAUUUUGUUUUGAAAGUGGUUUUCCAUUCAUCACCCUCUUGUAUGUGUAUUUGAUAGUAACCACUUUUAAUAUCAAUUUUUGAAAAGAUAGUGGCACCGCUAAGUUCAUCAAGCAUAUCAUCAAGGCGUGGAAUGGGGUACCUAUAGCGAACGGUGAUAGCAUUGAUGGGUCUACAAUCGGAACACAUGCAAAAACUACCGUCUCUUUUUGGCACAAGAAUGACCGGUACGGCACAAGGACUCAAACUUUUGCGCACAUGUCCUUGGUCUAUGAGAUGCUUUACUUGCCUUUGUAUUUCUUUGGUUUCUUCGGGGUUGACACGGUAGGGAGCCUUGUUUGGAAGUGGCGCUCCGGGAAUGAGGUCGAUUCGGUGCUCAAUGCCUCGUACUGGAGGUAGACCCGGAGGUAGCUCAUCGGGGAAAACAUCUUGGAAUUCCUGCAAUAAAGAAGAUAACACUAGAGGAAGAUUGUGAGAGGUGUUAGCUUUUGGUGCCUCGUCCUUGCACAAUAGGACAUAUUGUAGGACACUUGAUGGGUUCUCACACACUUCUCUCAUCUCACGUUUGGUGGCAAAGAGAACUAAGUUUUUCUUGUCGCUCCUCGUGGAGGCACUCAAUUUGGGCUUGUGGCGCUCACUCUCUUUUUUGUGGUUCGCUCUCUCACUAUUCUCUCCACGAUGGGUGUUUUGCUUGUCGGAGAGCAAUUGGCUUGGAGACAUAGGUCGUAGCACAAACUCCUUCCCUUUCAUCUUGAAGUUAUAGUGGUUUGUACAACCAUUGUGGAUGACACCUCGGUCAAAUUGCCAUGGCCGUCCAAGAAGGAGGUGGCAAACGGUCAUCGGAAGGACAUCACACUCCAAAGUGUCUCCGUAAGCUCCGAUCUUGAAAGAGACUUGUACCCUAUGCUCGACUUGGAUGGUGCCGGUUUCGCUUAGCCAUUGAACCUUGUAGGGGUGCGGGUGCUUCAUCUUGACCAAUUGGAGUUUGGAGCAUAGUUCUUCACUCGCUAAGUUAUGGCAACUCCCUCCAUCGAUGAUGACCUUGAGGGACCUUCCAUUGAUUCCGGCCUUGGUGUGGAAGAUAUGGCAUCUUUGAUCUUCGUCUUGUUGAUGUUGAAGAGUCAAGACCUUGGAGACAACGAGAGAGCGAGACUUGGAUCUUCAUCACAAAAGAUUUGAUCAUCUUCGUCUUCGUUGUUCACUUGGCGGUGCAUGGCCACUUGCUCAAGGGCUUCCAUUUCUCCUUCACUCAUUGAGUCAUAGGUUCCAUCGUCGUUGAGGAUCAUGGUGCGCUUGUUUGUGCACUCAAAAGACUUGUGGCCUCGGCCGCCGCAUGUGAAGCAUUUGAAGGAACUUGUCUUGAUGGUCUCAUCGGUUGGGGUAGAGGAUGAUGAAGCUCUCAGCUUGGAGUUGCUUGUAGUAGGAGGACGACUUGAGCUUGUCGAAGCUUUCUUGUAACUUGACUUGUCGGCGUUGCUUGUAGAUGGCUUGGUUGAGGUAGAAGGUGUUGGAGUCGUUGAUGCUUGGGUGUUGGAGAAGCGUAGGACUUGGAUGAGAACUUGGCAUACUUGAAGUCUUCUUGUACUUGUCGUUCCGCUUUGGUUUCUUGGUGCACUAGCUCAAUGAGGUUCGAGUAUGGUUGGAAGUCGGCAAUCUUCUUGAUAGGAUGAUUGAGUCCAUUCAAGAAAUGUGCCAUAGUUUGCUCAUCAUCUUCCGUAACAUUGGCUCGUAUCAUGGCAAUCUCCAUUUCCUUGUAGUACUCUUCAACGCUCUUGGUUCCUUGCUUGAGGAGUUGGAGUUUCUUGAAGAGGUCGCGGUUGUAGUAGUUUGGCAUGAAUCGUGCUCUCAUGACAUCCUUCAUUUGUGCCCAAGUGGUGAUGGGUGGUUCACCUCUUGCCUCUCGGCGCUCAAUGACUUGUUCCCACCAAAUGAGGACGUAGUCUUGGAAUUCGAGGGAUGCCAUCGCAAUCUUCUUCUCUUCUUCGUAGUUGUGCAAGCGGAAGAUUUUGUCAACCUUCAAUGCCCAUGAUAUGUACUCUUCGGGGUCAUUGCUUCCGGUAAACUUGGGCAUGGUGAACUUUAGCUUGCCAUAUCGUUGCUCUUCAUUGUGUUGGGGUCGGGGAUGAUGACGCCCAUGUCGUUGAGGGUUGACAAUCUCAUGUUGCUCUUGGCGAGGGGGGUUGUCUUCCUCAUGUUGCUCUUGGCGAGGAGGGUUUUCGACCUCAUGUUGCUCUUGACGAUGAGGGUUGUCGACCUCAUGUUGCUCUUGUCUAGGAGGGGGUCCAUUGUCUUCAUGCUCUCGAUGGACUUAACGUUCUUGUCUCGCUUGAGGAGGAGCUUGUCGAUUUUGAAGAGGAGCUUGUCGAUGCACACGUGCUUGGUAAAUCCUUUCUUGAGCUUCGUCGCGAAGUGCUUCUUGAUGUAGACGAGCUUGUCGGCCUCGGUUGGCUAUGUUGGGGAUCGUAGCAGAAUUUUACAAUUUCCUACGCAUCACCAAGAUCCAUCUAUGGAGUAUACUAGCAACGAGGGGAAAGGAGUGCAUCUACAUACCCUUGUAGAUCGCGAGCGGAAGCGUUCCAAUGAACGGGGUUGAUGGAGUCGUACUCGCCUUGAUCCAAAUCACCGAUGACCGAGUGCCGAACGGACGGCACCUCCGCGUUCAACACACGUACGGAGCAGCGACGUCUCCUCCUUCUUGAUCGAGCAAGGGGAAAGGAGAGGUUGAUGGAGAUCCAGCAGCACGACGGCGUGGUGGUGGAAGUAGCGGGAUCCCGGCAGGGCUUCGCCAAGCACAAGCGGGAGGGAGAGGUGUUGCAGGGGGAGAGGGAGGCGCCAGGGGCUGUGGUGCUGCUGCCCUCCCUCCCCCCCCCCACUAUAUAUAGGCCCCCUGGGGGGGCGCCGGCCCUGGAUCCCAUCUACAAGGGGGGCGGCGGCCAGGGGGGAAACUUGCCCCCCAAGUCAGGUGGGGCGCCCCCCACCCCUAGGGUUUCCAACCCUAGGCGCAGGGGGAGGCCCAUGGGGGGGCUCCCCAGCCCACUAGGGGCUGGUUCCCUUCCCACUUCAGCCCAUGGGGCCCUCCGGGAUAGGUGGCCCCACCCGGUGGACCCCCGGGACCCUUCCGGUGGUCCUGGUACAAUACCGGUGACCCCCGAAACUUUCCCGGUGGCCGAAACUUGACUUCCUAUAUAUAAUUCUUCACCUCCGGGCCAUUCCGGAACUCCUUGUGACGUCCGGGAUCUCAUCCAGGACUCCGAACAACUUUCGGGUUUCUGCAUACUAAUAUCUCUACAACCCUAGCGUCACCGAACCUUAAGUGUGUAGACCCUAUGGGUUCGGGAGACAUACAGACAUGACCGAGACGCCUCUCCGGUCAAUAACCAACAGCGGGAUCUGGAUACCCAUGUUGGCUCCCACAUGUUCCACGAUGAUCUCAUCGGAUGAACCACGAUGUCGAGGAUUCAAUCAAUCCCGUAUACAAUUCCCUUUGUCAAUCGGUACGUUACUUGCCCGAGAUUCGAUCGUCGGUAUCCCAAUACCUUGUUCAAUCUCGUUACCGGCAAGUCACUUUACUCGUACCACAAUGCAUGAUUCCGUGACUAACUCCUUAGUCACAUUGAGCUCAUUAUGAUGAUGCAUUACCAAGUGGGCCUAGAGAUACCUCUCCGUCAUACGGAGUGACAAAUCCCAGUUUCGAUCCGUGCCAACUCAACAGACACUUUCGGAGAUACCCGUAGUGCACCUUUAUAGCCACCCAGUUACGUUGUGACGUUUGGUACACCCAAAGCAUUCCUACAGUAUCCGGGAGUUGCACAAUCUCAUGGUCUAAGGAAAUGAUACUUGUCAUUAGAAAAGCUCUUAGCAAACGAACUACACGAUCUUGUGCUAGGCUUAGGAUUGGGUCUUGUCCAUCACAUCAUUCUCCUAAUGAUGUGAUCCCGUUAUCAACGACAUCCAAUGUCCAUGGUCAGGAAACCGUAACCAUCUAUUGAUCAACGAGCUAGUCAACUAGAGGCUUACUAGGGACAUGGUGUUGUCUAUGUAUCCACACAUGUAUCUGAGUUUCCUAUCAAUACAAUUCUAGCAUGGAUAAUAAACGAUUAUCAUGAACAAGGAAAUAUAAUAAUAACCAAUUUAUUAUUGCCUCUAGGGCAUAUUUCCAACAGUCUCCCACUUGCACUAGAGUCAAUAAUCUAGUUCACAUCACCAUGUGAUUAACACUCACAGGUCACAUCACCAUGUGACCAACAUCCAAAGAGUUUACUAGAGCCAACAAUCUAGUUCACAUCACUAUGUGAUUAACACUCAAUGAGUUCUGGUUUGAUCAUGUUAUGCUUUGUGAGAGAGGUUAUUAGUCGACGGGUCUGAACCUUUCAGAUCCGUGUGUGCUUUACGAAUAUCUAUGUCAUCUUGUGGAUGCUACCACGCGCUACUUGGAGCCAUUUCAAAUAACUGCUCUACUAUACGAAUCCGGUUUACUACUCAGAGUCAUCCGGAUUAGUGCCAAAGUUCGCAUCGACGUAACCCUUUACGACGAACUCCUUUUCACCUCCAUAAUCGAGAAAAUUCCUUAGUCCACUAGAUACUAAGCAUAAGUUCGACCGCUGUCAUGUGAUCCAUUCCCGGAUCACUAUUGUACCCCUUGACCAACUCAUGGCAAGGCACACUUCAUGUGCGGUACACAGCAUAGCAUACUGUAGAGCCCAUGUCUAAAGCAUAGGGGACGACCUUCGUCCUUUCCCUCUCUUCUGCUGUGGUCAGGUCUUGAGUCUUACUCAAUAAUCACACCUUGUAACACAGCCAAGAACUCCUUCUUUGCUGAUCUAUUUUGAACUCUUUCAAAAUCAGGUGUGCGUUCUUUGAAAGUAUCAUCAGGCGUCUUGAUCUAUCUCUAUAGAUCUUGAUGCCCAAUAUGUAAGCAGCUUUAUCCAGGUCUUCCUUUGAAAAACUCCUUUCAAACAACCCUUUAUGCUUUCCAGAAAUUUUUACAUCAUUUCGGAUCAACAAUAUGUCAUUCACAUAUACUUAUCAGAAAUGUUGUAGCGCUCCCACUCACUUUAUUGUAAAUACAAGUUUCUAACAAACUUUGUAUAAACCCAAAAACUUUGAUCAAUCCAUCAAAGCGUAUAUUCUGAUUCCGAGAUGCUUGCUCUAGUCCAUGGAAGGAUCGCUAGAGCUAGCAUACCUUUUAGCAUCCUUAGGAUCGACAAAACCUUUCUGAUUGUAUCACAUACAACCUUUCCUUACGAAAACUGGUAAGGAAACUUGUUUUGACAUCCAUCUGCCAAAUUUCAUAAAUGCAGCUAAUGCUAACAUGAUUCCGAUGGACUUAAGCAUCGCUACGGAUGAGAAAAUCUCAUCGUAGUCAACUCCUUGAACUUGUGAAAACACUCUUUGCCACAAGUCGAGCUUCAUAGACGGUAAUCUUACUGUCCACGUCUGUCUUCUUCUUAAAGAUCCAUUUAUCUCAAUGGCUUGCCGAUCAUCGGGCAAGUUCACCAAAGUCCAUGCUUUGUUCUGAUACAUGGAUCCUAUCUCUGAUUUCAUGGCCUCGAGCCAUUCGUCAGAAUCCGGGCCCACCAUCGCUUCUCCACAGCUCAUAGGUUCAUCGUUGUCCAACAACAUGACUUCCAAGACAGGAUUACCGUACCACUCAGGAGUAGUACAUAUCCUUGUCGACCUACGAGGUUUGGUAGUGAGUUGAUCCGAAGUUUCAUGAUCACUAUCAUAAGCUUCCACCUCAAUUGGUGUAGGUGCCACAGGAACAACUUCCUGUGCCCUGCUACACACUAGUUGAAUUGAUGGUUCAAUAACCUCAUCAAGUCUCCACCAUCCUCCCACUCAAUUUUUUCGAGAGAAACUUUUCCUCGAGAAAGGAACCGUUUCUAGAAGCAAUUACUUUUGCUUCCAGAUCUGAAAUAGGAGGUAUACCCAACUGUUUUGGGUAUUCUUAUGAAGAUGCAUUUAUCCACUUUGGGUUCGAGCUUAUCAGCCUGAAACUUUUUCACAUAAGCAUCGCUGCCCCAAACUUUUAAGAAACGACAACUUAGGUUUCUCUAAACGGUGUCGUCUCAACGGAAUUGCGUGGUGCCCUAUUUAAAGUGAAUGCGGUUGUCUCUAAUGCCUAACCCAUAAACGGUAGUGGUAAUUCGAUAAGAGACAUCAUGGUAUGCACCAUAUCCCAUAGGGUGCAAUUAUGAUGUUCGAACACACCAUCACACUGUGGUGUUCCAGGCAGUAUUAAUUGUGAAACACUUUCCACAAUGUCUUAAUUGUGUGCCAAACUCGUAACUCAGAUAUCUCUAUGAUCAUAUCAUAGACAUUUUAUCCUCUUAUCACGGCGAUCUUCAAUUUCACUCUGAAAUUACUUGAACCUUUCAAUAAUUCAGACUUGUGUUUCAUCAAGUAAAUAUUCUCAGCAUCUACUCAAAUCAUCUGUGAAGUAAGAACAUAACGAUAUCCACUGCAUGCCUCAGCACUCAUUGGACUGCACACAUCAAGAUGUAUUACUUCCAACCAGUUGCUCUAUUGUUCCAUCUUACUGAAAACGAGGCCUUUCAGUCAUCUUGCCCAUGUGGUAUGAUUUGCAUGUCUCAAGUGAUUCAAAAUCAAGUGAGUCCAAACGGUCCAUCUGCAUGGAGUUUCUUCAUGCAUAUAUACCAAUAGACAUGGUUCGCAUGUCUCAAUCUUUUCAAAAACGAGUGAGUCCAAAGAUCCAUCUACAUGGAGCUUCUUCAUGCGUUUUAUACCAAUAUGACUCAAGUGGCAGUACCACAAGUAUGUGGUACUAUCAUUACUAUCUUAUAUCUUUUGGCAUGAACAUGUGUAUCACUACGAUCGAGAUUCAUUUUAGGUGCAAGACCAUUGAAGGUAUUAUUCAAAUAAACAGAGUAACCAUUAUUCUCCUUAAAUGAAUAACCAUAUUGCGAUAAACAUAAUCCAAUCAUGCUCAACGCAAACACCAAAUCUCGAUGGUAGAGGGAGCAUGCGAUGCUUGAUCACAUCAACCUUGGAAACACUUCGAACACAUAUCGUCAUCUCACCUUUAGCUAGUCUCCAUUUAUUCCGCAGCUUUUAUUUCGAGUUACUAACACUUAGCAACCGAAUCGGUAUCUAAUACCCUGGUGCUGCUCGGAGUACUAGUAAAGUACACAUUCAUAUAAUGUAUAUCCAAUAUACUUCUGUCGACCUUGCCUGCCUUCUCAUCUACCAAGUAUCUAGGGUAGUUCUGCUUCAGUGACCGUUCCCCUCAUUACAGAAGCACUUAGUCUCGGGUUUGGGUUCAACCUUGGGAUUCUUCACUAGAGCAGCAAAUGAUUUGUUGUUUCAUGAAGUAUCCCUUUUGCCCUUGCCCUUCUAGAAACUAGUGGUUUCACCAACCAUCAACAAUUGAUGCUCCUAUUUGAUUUCUACUUUCACGGUGUCAAACAUCGUGAAUAGCUCAAGAAUCAUCAUCUAUCCCUGAUAUGUUAUAGUUCAUCACGAAGCUCUAAUAGCUUGGUGGCAGUGACUAUGGAGAACCAUCACUAUCUCAUCUGGAAGAUUAACUCCCACUCGAUUCAAGCGAUUGCAGUACUCAUACAAUCUGAGCACAUGCUCAACGAUUGAGCUUUUCUCCCUUAGUUUGCAGGCUUAAGAAACUUGUCAGAGGUCUCAUACCUCUUGACGUGGGCACUAGUCUGAAAUCCCAAUUUCAGUCUUCGGAACAUCUCAUAUGUUCUGCGACGUUUCAAAACCGUCUUUUCGCCACAAUUCUAAACCGUUAGCAUUACGCACUGAACUAUCAUGUAAUCAUCAAAACGUGUAUGUCGGAUGUUCCGCAACAUCUACAGACGACGCUGAGGUUCAGCACACUGAGCGGUGCAUUAAGGACAUAAGCCUUCUGUGCAGCAAUGAGGACAAUCCUCAGUUUACGGACCCAGUCCGCAUAAUUGCUACUAUUAACUUUCAACUAAAUUUUCUCUAGGAACAUAUCUUAAACAGUAGAACUAAAGCGUAAGCUAUGACAUAAUUUGCAAAGACCUUUUGACUAUGUUCAUGAUAAUUGAGUUCAUCUGAUUAAUGAACUCCCACUCAGAUAGACAUCCCUCUAGUCAUCUAAGUGAUACAUGAUCCGAGUCAAACUAGGCCGUGUCCGAUCAUCACGUGAGACGGACUAGUCAUCAUCGGUGAACAUCUCCAUGUUGAUCGCAUCUACUAUACGACUCAUGUUCGACCUUUCGAUCUCUUGUGUUCCGAGGCCAUGUCUGUACAUGCUAGGCUCGUCAAGUCAACCUAAGUGUUUUGCAUGUGUUCCGAGGCCAUGUCUGUACAUGCUAGGCUCGUCAACACCCGUUGUAUUCGAACGUUAGAAUCUAUCACACCUGAUCAUCACGUGGUGCUUCGAAACAACGAACCUUCGCAACGGUGCACAGUUAGGGGGAACACUUUCUUGAAAUUAUUAUAAGGGAUCAUCUUACUUACUACCGUCGUUCUAAGCAAAUAAGAUGCAAAACAUGAUAAACAUCACAUGCAAUCAAAUAGUGACAUGAUAUGGCCAAUAUCAUUCUGCUCCUUUGAUCUCCAUCUUCGGGGCGUCAUGAUCAUCUUCGUCACCGGCAUGACACCAUGAUCUCCAUCAUUGUGUCUUCAUGAAGUUGUCAUGCCAACGAUUACUUCUACUUCUAUGGCUAACGCGUUUAGCAAUAAAGUAAAGUAAUUUACAUGGCGUUCUUCAAUGACACGCAGGUCAUACAAAAAAUAAAGACAACUCCUAUGGCUCCUGCCGGUUGUCAUACUCAUCGACAUGCAAGUCGUGAUUCCUAUUACAAGAAUAUGAUCAAUCUCAUACAUCACAUAUAUCAUUCAUCACAUCUUCUGGCCAUAUCACAUCACAAGGCACAUGCUGCAAAAACAAGUUAGACGUCCUCUAAUUGUUGUUGCAAGUUUUUACGUGGCUUGUAUAGGUUUUUAGCAAGAACGUUUCUUACCUACGUAAAACCACAACGUGAUAUGCCAAUUUCUAUUUACCCUUCAUAAGGACCCUUUUCAUCGAAUCCGUUCCGACUAAAGUGGGAGAGACAGACACCCGCUAGCCACCUUAUGCAACUAGUGCAUGUCAGUCGGUGGAACCUGUCUCACGUAAGAGUACGUGUAAGGUCGGUCCGGGCCGCUUCAUCCCACAAUACCGCCGAAACAAGAUAAGACUAGUAGCGGCAAGAAGAAUUGGCAACAUCUACGCCCACAACUGCUAUGUGUUCUACUCGUGCAUAGUAACUACGCAUAGACCUGGCUCAUGAUGCCACUGUUGGGGAUCGUAGCAGAAUUUUAAAAUUUCCUACGCAUCACCAAGAUCCAUCUAUGGAGUAUACUAGCAACGAGGGGAAAGGAGUGCAUCUACAUACCCUUGUAGAUCGUGAGCGGAAGCGUUCCAAUGAACGGGGUUGAUGGAGUCGUACUCGCCGUGAUCCAAAUCACCGAUGACCGAGUGCCGAACGGACGGCACCUCCGCGUUCAACACACGUACGGAGCAGCGACGUCUCCUCCUUCUUGAUCCGGCAAGGGGAAAGGAGAGGUUGAUGGAGAUCCAGCAGCACGACGGCGUGGUGGUGGAAGUAGCGGGAUCCCGGCAGGGCUUCGCCAAGCACAAGCGGGAGGGAGAGGUGUUGCAGGGGGAGAGGGAGGCGCCAGGGGCUGUGGUGCUGCUGCCCUCCCUCCCCCCCCACUAUAUAUAGGCCCCCUGGGGGGCGCCGGCCCUGGAUCCCAUCUACAAGGGGGGCCGGCGGCCAGGGGGGAAACUUGCCCCCCAAGUCAGGUGGGGCGCCCCCCACCCCUAGGGUUUCCAACCCUAGGCGCAGGGGGAGGCCCAUGGGGGGGCGCCCCAGCCCACUAGGGGCUGGUUCCCUUCCCACUUCAGCCCAUGGGGCCCUCCGGGAUAGGUGGACCCCCGGGACCCUUCCGGUGGUCCCGGUACAAUACCGGUGACCCCCGAAACUUUCCCGGUGGCCGAAACUUGACUUCCUAUAUAUAAUUCUUCACCUCCGGACCAUUCCGGAACUCCUCGUGAUGUCCGGGAUCUCAUCCGGGACUCCGAACAACUUUCGGGUUUCCGCAUACUAAUAUCUCUACAACCCUAGCGUCACCGAACCUUAAGUGUGUAGACCCUACGGGUUCGGGAGACAUACAGACAUGACCGAGACGCCUCUCCGGUCAAUAACCAACAUCGGGAUCUGGAUACCCAUGUUGGCUCCCACAUGUUCCACGAUGAUCUCAUCGGAUGAACCACGAUGCCGAGGAUUCAAUCAAUCCCGUAUACAAUUCCCUUUGUCAAUCGGUACGUUACUUGCCCGAGAUUCGAUCGUCGGUAUCCCAAUACCUUGUUCAAUCUCGUUACCGGCAAGUCACUUUACUCGUACCGCAAUGCAUGAUCCCGUGACUAACUCCUUAGUCACAUUGAGCUCAUUAUGAUGAUGCAUUACCGAGUGGGCCCAGAGAUACCUCUCCGUCAUACGGAGUGACAAAUCCCAGUCUCGAUCCGUGCCAACUCAACAGACACUUUCGGAGAUACCCGUAGUGCACCUUUAUAGCCACCCAGUUACGUUGUGACGUUUGGUACACCCAAAGCAUUCCUACGGUAUCCGGGAGUUGCACAAUCUCAUGGUCUAAGGAAAUGAUACUUGACAUUAGAAAAGCUCUUAGCAAACGAACUACAUGAUCUUGUGCUAGGCUUAGGAUUGGGUCUUGUCCAUCACAUCAUUCUCCUAAUGAUGUGAUCCCGUUAUCAACGACAUCCAAUGUCCCUUGUCAGGAAACUGUAACCAUCUAUUGAUCAACGAGCUAGUCAACUAGAGGCUUACUAGGGACAUGGUGUUGUCUAUGUAUCCACACAUGUAUCUGAGUUUCCUAUCAAUAUAAUUCUAGCAUGGAUAAUAAACGAUUAUCAUGAACAAGGAAAUAUAAUAAUAACCAAUUUAUUAUUGCCUCUAGGGCAUAUUUCCAACAGGCUACGGCUCGACUUGAGUCUCGAAGGGCACGUUGCGCCUCAAGUGCUUGAGGUUCACGUAGUUGUUGUUCUUGGCGUUGUGCCUCGGCGUCUUGUGCAUCUUGGUGUUGUCGCGCUCGCUCCUCUUUUUCUUGUUGGCGUUGACGUUGUCGUUCUCGUGCUUGCAUGAAUGUAUCUUGGUUUUGACGAUGUCAAAGCUCUUGAGAGUCGGUGUCGUGUAGAGGAUUGCGGUUAGCUUGACGGUCUUGACGCGCGGCACGACGAAGAGUAUUCGAUGUCGGUGUACUUGAACCGGAGAUAGUGUCGUCGGAGUGUCGACUUGAGCGGCUCCGUCUUGAAGAGGACGAAGUUGUAGAAGAACAUUUGACCAUCAUGGUUCGGAUAUCUUCUUUGAGGGAACUCAUGGAUGUGUCGAAGUAGUCUCUUGUACGUUGCUCGGAUUGUCAUAGGUCGGUGGCGAGAUUGUCGAUGCGAUCGCCCAAAGUAAGUUGUUCUUGAUGCAAAGCUCGAUGUGCACCAAAUAGUUGCGCCUUGGUGACGUAGGAGGUCAUGUCAGCGUCUUGCUCCAAGAAGAGUGGGUCGGUAGAAGUACUUGGCCUAUCCAUCAUUCCAAACAAAGAUAUGUGAGUGGGAGAAAAAGAAGAACCAAUACCAAAUGUACCUUGACCGAUGUUGCAGAUGGAUCAAUGAUCACUCCAAUGUGUAACAAGGAAAUAGCACAAUUGGUACCAAUUCUUGUCGGUUCCUCACACCUACACAAGUAAAAGCUUAUGGUGGAGCUUGGUUAGGAUGGUGGCACAAUUUUUUAUGUGAAAGUAAGCAAGAUUCAAUAAUGUUGGAAAAGAUUCGUGACUUCUAAAUGCAACAAGUAGACCAAUAGCAAGAUAUGGUACAUGGAAACACAACACACGGAAAGAUAAAUGGGGUCGUGCGACCAAGGGUGAGCCAAAAUGUGGAAUCCAUGAAAAUGCUCUUGCUGCACAACACUAGAGAGACGCUAGCACGAUUGCACAAUAGGCGGAUACGAAUUUGUGCACAACCUACUAAGCAAAAAUGCAACAACUUCUAUCCCAAGUAUGCUCUAUGUAUAAUGUUCCGAUGAUAAGAUCCAAGAUGAUCGAGUAUGACAACCUUAAUGUUGUAUGAUGCUAUGGUUCUUGCUUAUAAGCUCUUUGCUUAUCUUUCCUUUUUGCUUAAAAGCUUGUUUGGCUCUUUGUUGUUUGAGCUCUUUUCUCAUGCAAUGCUUCACGAAGCAAGAUAGCAAUUGUGUAUGCAAUGACAACUUUGUGACACAAGAGAUGAUUCCAAGAUAUGCAACACGAUGAUAGUAUGUAUGCUAUGGGAAGUAUGAUCACUAAUGUCCACAAGUCACGUUGCCGGCAAUACUCAAAGGCUAGUCUCGAUGGGUAAGCUACGCAAAAGUAAGGCUAUGGGGUUAUCGAUGCAAAUGCAAGAGAGUAUGAUGAUAUCACAAGGUGUAGUCGUUCGUAGUAGUCCUUGGCGAAGAUGAGCGGUGGUGAUGUUGAUGUCGAACCGUCCCUAAGUAGCCGAAACACGAUAGGAAACGGUGAGCCACAACUCAAAUUCUCAAAAUCAAAAGCGACAAAAUGUAGUGGAGUUGGUAGCGGUCAAGUGGUGGUAUGGUUUGGGUUUGUGGUAGGGUUUGCGGAAGUUAGGUGGUGGUGGUCGAAGUGGGUAUUCGGAGGCGUAGGCGGUGGUGUCAAAAACUGCAGAAAAUGCAGUUUCGUCAGGGGAAGCCGGAUGAUCCGGGCCAGGAGCCGGAUGAUCCGGGCGGGUCAAUCUCGCUCGGGGAUGGCUCGGGAUGAACACGAAAAUGGCCACAAAUUCGGGGAAUUCGCGGAUUUUGGAGGGAUUGCGAGGUGGAGAUGGUGGGGGGAGGUAAGAUCCACUUGCAACACAACAAAUUCACGGAUCAAAACCAACAAAACAUCAUCAAAACUCACAAAUCACAAGAAAAUUUUUUGGGGCUAUUUUUUGUGGGGAUUUUCGGAUUAGGACGAAAAACAACAAAAUCAAGCUAGAAAAUGAAGAGGGGAGGCUCCGAAAUCGUGAUCAACGUGGCUCAUGAUACCAAGAUGAUGUAGGGUGGAACCCUAUACGACCGAUCUUUCACGAAAGGAGCGGAUCCCUACUAAGGACACGAAGAACACGAGGGGAAAACGAGAGAAAACACAAGAGGAAACACGAGAGAAUCACUCAACCAACAAGAAUAGAUCACACAUGCGCUAGAUCGAUGAACACAAAGGUGAGAUACAAGAUCCAAAGUCAAAAACGGACGAUACAAACGGUAACCGGUUCUUCUCCUAGAGGAGGUCUUGAUGGGGCCACCCAAGAGGGGGUCUUGAAUCCAAGGGGAUCUUCUUCGUAGAGGGGCUGCGGUCACUCUCGAGGAGACGAUCCGUAUGGAUGAGCAAAAGCUAUCCUCACAUAUGAGCUACUACUUUGCUAACCCUAAAAAUGGGGAGGAGAAGGUCUAUUUAUAGCCCAAGGGGCGAGGGGGUAAGUGAGGGGACGAAACGGGUACACGGGCCUCGGCCCAAGUCACGCACGCAGGCGGUGGCCAGAUGAUCCGGGAGUUGGUCCGGAUGAUCCGGGCUUCGGUGGUCCGGAUGAUCCGGGUCGGCGUCCGGAUGAUCCAGCUGUGUUGGAGCAGCUGCGGGAGGGCCGGAUGUCCGGGUCCUGGUCCGGACGUCCGGGUGUGGCCGGAUGAUCCGGUUUCAUGUUGAAGCUUCGGGUGUCGUUGGGCAUUGUAGCUGGAUCGUCCGGGCCGGGGUCCGGAUCAUUAGGGCUGGGGCCGGAUCGUCCGGACGGCGGUCCGAAUCGUCCAGGCUUCUGCUGACUUAGCCCUUCUUCUACUCCGUCUUCACGUCCAUCUUCGUCUUCGGAUUCUCCUUGCUCCUUGGCGUCUCCAUGGCUAACUCCUUGGUACCUGAGCAUGCACAAUGUCUCCGUUUGAGGUAGUAGCCAUGUCUCAUGUUCAUCGAAGUGGAAUUGUGAGAGGAGAGAUGUCACCUCGGUUUUGAGAGCUCUUGCACGUGAUCGAGUCAUGGGUCCACUAGGCACUUGGUGAGACGAUGGUAGGUUCAUGGGGAUGACCUUGGGAUGCUCCGCAUCAGGGUUGCUCUCAAACGACAAAAGCCGUGCACUAACUCUGAGCAGCCACCAAUUUAUGGUGUAGGGGGUGGGCUAUUUAUAGCCACUAGGCAACCCGACCUGAUUUGUCCGAAAUGACCCUGGGUCACUAAGGAACUGACACAUGUUCCAACGGUCAGAUUUCAAACACACACGGCAGCUUGACUUGGGCUACAAGUAAAGCUGACUCAUCCAGCUCUGGAUAAGAUUUGCUCUCAUUGUCUUCGCUCGAAGACAUAGGAUUUGGUUGAGCAUCACUUCAGUCACUCUGACUUUGUUCACUUGGACCCCACUUAGCAGUACGGUGGUUCCUAUGACUGUGACGCCCAGAUAAUUAGGCUACAGUAAUCCCACGUUAAUGAUGCCAUGUCACCCCGGUUUCUGUGCUAAUCUCGCGUUAGUUCGAAAAAAAAACGAUUCAAAUUAAAAAUUUAAAAUAAAAACAAACAACAAAAGUUUUCAAACACUAAAAACUAAAAUGUUCACAAUAUUGCAAAAAUUACCAAAGCUGUUAUAAAAAUAAAACCAACAAUUUAGAAACUCCAGAAAUGCCCCUAGAAAUUAAAACAGUGGACCAACGGCACAUCACUUGGCCUUUUCGAUUUUUAAAAUAAUUAAACCUUUUUGAAAGACCUUCAGCUUUUUGUGGCAUUGCUAUAUAAUGCAAUGAUGUUCAUGUGACAAGCUCCAUGAUUUACAAAAGUCCUUUGGUGGUUAAGCAAUUAACAAACCAGAGCAAAAAUAAAAUAAAAACUGUAGAAAAGAAAAAAAAGAAAAAAAAGAAGCCCCCCCCGACUGGGCCUUGGCCCAGUUGGCCGAAGGAGCCAGUCGGCCCAGCCGACUCACUCCCGCACCCCCUGGCCUACUAGGCCUCCUCCACCCCCCGAAACCCUAACCCCCCCACUCCCCCUCUCGCUCCCCAUCCCCCCGAUCCAGAANNNNNNNNNNNNNNNNNNNNNNNNNNNNNNNNNNNNNNNNNNNNNNNNNNNNNNNNNNNNNNNNNNNNNNNNNNNNNNNNNNNNNNNNNNNNNNNNNNNNNNNNNNNNNNNNNNNNNNNNNNNNNNNNNNNNNNNNNNNNNNNNNNNNNNNNNNNNNNNNNNNNNNNNNNNNNNNNNNNNNNNNNNNNNNNNNNNNNNNNNNNNNNNNNNNNNNNNNNNNNNNNNNNNNNNNNNNNNNNNNNNNNNNNNNNNNNNNNNNNNNNNNNNNNNNNNNNNNNNNNNNNNNNNNNNNNNNNNNNNNNNNNNNNNNNNNNNNNNNNNNNNNNNNNNNNNNNNNNNNNNNNNNNNNNNNNNNNNNNNNNNNNNNNNNNNNNNNNNNNNNNNNNNNNNNNNNNNNNNNNNNNNNNNNNNNNNNNNNNNNNNNNNNNNNNNNNNNNNNNNNNNNNNNNNNNNNNNNNNNNNNNNNNNNNNNNNNNNNNNNNNNNNNNNNNNNNNNNNNNNNNNNNNNNNNNNNNNNNNNNNNNNNNNNNNNNNNNNNNNNNNNNNNNNNNNNNNNNNNNNNNNNNNNNNNNNNNNNNNNNNNNNNNNNNNNNNNNNNNNNNNNNNNNNNNNNNNNNNNNNNNNNNNNNNNNNNNNNNNNNNNNNNNNNNNNNNNNNNNNNNNNNNNNNNNNNNNNNNNNNNNNNNNNNNNNNNNNNNNNNNNNNNNNNNNNNNNNNNNNNNNNNNNNNNNNNNNNNNNNNNNNNNNNNNNNNNNNNNNNNNNNNNNNNNNNNNNNNNNNNNNNNNNNNNNNNNNNNNNNNNNNNNNNNNNNNNNNNNNNNNNNNNNNNNNNNNNNNNNNNNNNNNNNNNNNNNNNNNNNNNNNNNNNNNNNNNNNNCGCUUCGACCUGGGGGCCACGCCGUGCCGCCCCCACGUGCUGGUCGCCGCUCAGGCUUGACCCCGCCCGCGGCGCUCGUCGCCGGGUCCGCCCGCACCACCGCCCAUCGCCCACGCCCGCCUGUGGCCCCUCGGCCACUGCCAGGUGGGGCCUCGCGCCCCUGAGCCACCGCCCCUGGGCCCGAACCCCCUAUGGGCCACAGACAGGUGGGCCCCGCUCCCAGAACGUAAUAAAAAAAUGAUUUAAAAAAAUUAAAUAAAUAAAAAUAUAUAAAUAAAUAAUUAAGAUAAUUAAUUAACUUAAUUAAUCCUGUUAAUAUUAACUAAUUAAGAUUAAUUAACUUAAUAACUAAUUAACCUAAUUAACUACUGUUAAUUAGCUAACAGUCCCUGACAGGUGGGACCCACCUGUCAGGUUGACCAGGUCAACGGUCAAUGUUGACUGCUGACGUCAUGCUGAUGCAUUAAUUAAAUUUCGAAUUAAAUUAAUUUAUGAAAUUCUAAAAAUAAUUUAAAUCUUUAAAAUUUAAUAUAAAAUAAACCGUAGCUCGGAUGGAAAAACUUUGUACAUGAAAGUUGCUCAGAACGACGAGACGAAUCCGGAUACGCAGCCCGUUCAUCCACCACACAUCCCUAACCUAUCGAACUCGCAACUUUCCCCCUCCAUUUCAUCUGUCCGAAAAUGCGAAACAUCGGGAAUACUUUCCCGGAUGUUCCCCCCCUUCGCCGGUACCACCUACUGCCGCGUUAGGACACACCUAGCACCGCUCAUUGUCAUGUCACGCAUCGUCAUGCUUAUGUUUGCAUUGUAUUUACUGUUUCUUCCCCCUCUUCUCUCCAGUAGACUACGAGACCGACACUGCUGCUGUCCAGUUCGACUACGGAGUUGACGACCCCUCCUACUUGCAAGAGCAACCAGGCAAGCCCCCCCCCCCCUUGAUCACCAGAUAUCGCCUAUUCUUCUCUAUACUGCUUGCAUUAGAGUAGUGUAACAUGUUACCGCUUUCCGUUAAUCCUAUCCUGAUGCAUAGCCUGUCCUUGCUUCUACUGUUGUUACCUUUACCUGCAAUCCUACAUGCUUAGUAUAGGAUGCUAGUUUUCCAUCAGUGGNNNNNNNNNNNNNNNNNNNNNNNNNNNNNNNNNNNNNNNNNNNNNNNNNNNNNNNNNNNNNNNNNNNNNNNNNNNNNNNNNNNNNNNNNNNNNNNNNNNNNNNNNNNNNNNNNNNNNNNNNNNNNNNNNNNNNNNNNNNNNNNNNNNNNNNNNNNNNNNNUACUGCUUGCAUUAGAGUAGUGUAGCAUGUUACUGCUUUCCGUUAAUCCUAUCCUGAUGCAUAGCCUGUCCUUGCUUCUACUGUUGUUACCUUUACCUGCAAUCCUACAUGCUUAGUAUAGGAUGCUAGUUUUCCAUCAGUGGCCCUACAUUCUUGUCCGUCUGCUGUGCUAUACUAUCGGGUCGUGAUCACUUGGGCGGUGAUCACGGGUAUAUACUUAUAUACUAUAUACAUGACACAUGUGGUGACUAAAGUCGGGUCGGCUUGUAGGAGUACCCGCAAGUGGAUCUUUGUGGCGGAGCGACAGGGCAGGUUGAGACCACCUAGGAGAGAGGUGGGUCUGGCCCUGGACGGCGCCCGCGGUUACUUCAAUAUAACACGCUUAACGAGUUCUUGGUAUUUGAUCUGAGUCUGGCCAUUUGGUCUAUACGCACUAACCAGCUACGCGGGAACAGUUAUGGGCACUCGACGUCGUGGUAUCAGCCGAAGCUCUUUUUGACGUCAGCGACGGAGCGGCGCGCGCCGGAUUGGACUGGAAUGCCACUAGGCUAGGUCUGCUUCCGGCCGCCCUCGCAACAUGCAGGUGUGCAAUGGGCGAUGGGCCCAGACCCCUGCGCGCAUAGGAUUUAGACCGGCGUGUUGACCUCUCUGUUGAGCCUAGGUGGGGUUGCGACGUGUUGAUCUUCCGAGGCCGGGCAUGACCCAGAAAAGUGUGUCCGGCCAAAUGGGAUCGAGCGUGUUGGGUUAUGUGGUGCACCCCUGCAGGGAAGUUUAUCUAUUCGAAUAGCCGUGUCCCUCGGUAAAAGGACGACCCGGAGUUGUACCUUGACCUUAUGACAACUAGAACCGGAUACUGAAUAAAAUACACCCUUCCAAGUGCCAGAUACAACCCGGUGAUCGCUCUCUAACAGGGCGACGAGGAGGGGAUCACCGGGUAGGAUUAUGCUAUGCGAUGCUACUUGGAGGACUUCAAUCUACUCUCUUCUACAUGCUGCAAGAUGGAGAUGGCCAGAAGCGUAGUCUUCGACAGGAUUAGCUAUCCCCCUCUUAUUCUGGCAUUCUGCAGUUCAGCCCACUGAUAUGCCCCUUUACACAUACCCAUGCAUAUGUAGUGUAGCCCCUUGCUUGCGAGUACUUUGGAUGAGUACUCACGGUUGCUUUUCUCCCUCUUUUCCCCCUUUCCUUUCUACCUGGUUGUCGCAACCAGAUGUUGGAGUCCAGGAGCCAGACGCCACCGUCGACGACGACUCCUACGGCACUGGAGGAGCCUACUACUACGUGCAGCCCGGUGACGACGACCAGGAGUAGUUAGGAGGAUCCCAGGCAGGAGGCCUGCGCCUCGUUCGAUCUGUAUCCCAGUUUGUGCUAGCCUUCUUAAGGCAAACUUGUUUAACUUAUGUCUGUACUCAGAUAUUAUUGCUUCCGCUGACUCGUCUAUGAUCGAGCACUUGUGUUCGAGCCCUCGAGGCCCCUAGCUUGUAUUAUGAUGCUUGUAUGACUUAUUUAUGUUUUAGAGUUGUGUUGUGAUAUCUUCCCGUGAGUCCCUGAUCUUGGUCGUACACAUUUGCGUGCAUGAUUAGUGUACGGUCAAACCGGGGGCAUCACAAUGACUCAACAAAGAAGAAAAGGAAACUACGAAACAACUAUGUCUUCGCACUCCAUAGUCUUCACGUGAAUGUCUUCUCGAGUCAUAAACUUCGAUGUGAUUGUCUUCAUAUACCACCAUUGUCUUCAAUGUCUUCAUACAUUUUUAGGGGUCAUCUCCGGUAGGUAAACCGAAUCAAUGAGGGACUACUACCUGUGUUAUCCUGCAAUUCUCACAAACACAUUAGUCCCUCAACCAGGUUUUUCGUCAAUACUCCAAAACCAACUAGGGGUGGCACUAGAUGCACUUACAAACACCAACUUCCCUGACUUGCUUGCUGAAAUCCACGCCUCCCCUCCCCGCUACCGCCAUAUUAGAUGGCUAUGCGUGGAGGUUCUUGCCUGGACGCUUUGGACCGUCCCCAAUAAGCUUGUCAUUCAGAAAGUGCCUCUUCGACGUGCAACUGACGCAAUCUUCAAAAUGUGUGGUUACUUGCAGCUCCGGCGGCUGCUUAGCCGCCCUCAGGACCGGGACACCAUCAACACUCUCCUAGCCGACCUUCGGUCGAUGGCCUUCCGCUUGGCGCCCCCGCUCCCUCCGCCUCCCCCGGAGCCCGACUAGUUCCUCUUUCUGCGCUCCGUGUGUGCGAGUUUUUUUUUCUGUUUUCAGGGCUUGUUGAGUUGUGCCCUCAGCACUAACCCUUGGAUACCUCUCUAUUUGUGAGACUUGUGUGUGUGUGUGUGUGUGAACCUUGUUGGAUGUUUGGUUUGGGCGGUUGCUUUAUAAUAUAAAGCGGGACGAAAGCCUUUUUCGGUAACUUUCUUGAUAGGCUUGCCAUCGUUGUAAAGUUGGCGCUUGACCAUGUCGCAUGCCUCCGUACCAGGCAUCCAGGGAAGGUGUUGCCUGCCACCAUCACCGUCCUCCAUGUCGAUGACCUCUCCCAUGCACUAGCAGUGUUGUGGCUGCCCGCCGUCAAACUGGAGGACGCCCGCCUCAAGGUCCCGUUGGCUGCCAGCUAAGUCAAGCCAGUGUGCACGACGUCUUUCGUGCGGCAAAAAACAACAAACUUAUAGAAAAACACAACCGUCUUAAUAAAAAAAAUGCCCACGAAACAGACCGCCUCGUCACAAACUGGCAAGCAAAAGCAAAGGCUCCGCGGUCAAGUCCGUUAAACGUCAAGAGAACAUCGAGCCAGGCGCACAUGCAUACGCAUGUCAAACAAAGUGCCAGGCCAGCUUCACCAUCACCUCACUGCUGCAAAAGAAGGUGGAGACUGAAUGAACACUAGCAGUGGCACGCUCGAUCGUGCUGGCGCGAUGGGGAGCUCGCGGGCGCAGACACGACUUGCAUGUCACGAUCGAACCAGCCCGAACGGUGCAAAAGCGCCGACAUGAGGGUUCGGUUGGACCAUUGCGCGCGACCGGCGUCACGAGCGGCACGUACGACCCGACUGUCGUGCCCGCACCAACCUAGUGCGGGGGCAAAGACAGUCGAUAGGCGGGUCCGUGGCCCGCUGUGCACGGGGUUGCGCGCGGGAUGCCACGGCCAACGCCGCCGGGCGGUGUCUAUUUCUUAGCUCACUGAUUCUUUUUCCUCGACCGGCUGAGCGUUUCGCGUGAACGAGGCAAGACAGCUAGGACCAAAGGUUGCCAACGCCAACGGUGUUAAUAGCUGCCCCCUAUGAGACACGGGCGGCGGAUGCAACGCGUGGGCCGGCCAGCGCCGCGGGUGCAAUGCAGAGCUUGGCCGACCUAACUGGCUCGCCCACAUGCGCCGGCUCACUCAAGUGUGACACAGGACCCACGCGCGAGCCAGCGCAGGCGAGUGCGACACACGCCUCACAUGUCGCGACCGGACCAUCCCUGCAUGGGACUAGGAUGCCGACAGACGGGUCCGGCUCACACGUCGGGCACGAGACAAUGCGUGAAAAGGUCAUCACAUGUGCGCCCUCCGCCGCGCAAUGACAAUGGCCCAGGACGCACCUUAGGUCCACCCGUCAUGGACCAUGGAGGCGGGUCUCCUUGGCGCGCGUCACCCGGGAAGAUCGGACAACGCGGAGAGCCCCUCGUGGCAUGCCAACCAGAAAUGGACAGUGCCGAGGCUCUCUUUGCCCUCGAAGCUCCCGAAGAGGCGGGUACUCUAGAAUGCUUUUAUAGGAGUAAUGACACACACGUCAUGCGUUCUCGAGAAAAAAAAGGAAGCAACAUAAACACCAACGAUUAGAUUCAACAACUAUUAGAGACAUCAACAAGGUGUACUACAACAAACAGGAAUGCUAAGCAAAUAUACAAGAAGAACGAACCUUUUUAGGAAAAUCUUUGGGGAUUUUCAGCAAAUAUACUUCUAUGGUUGUUCAUAUUUGUUUGUCGUGUGUACAAAACACAACGCCAGGGGCAAGGGAUGCCCCCUUUCCUUGUUUGGUGAACACAGCGCCAGGGGCAAGGGAUGCCCCCUUUCCUUGUUUGGUGAGGGGCACAGCUUUACUAAAGACUAUCUCUACAAGAUGGUGAUUUUAUCCAGGUUCGAACAACUGAGAAGUGUGACACCCUACGUCCUGCUAGAUUUAUUCAUUGGAAAUAGUGAAUGAAGUUUACAAGUCAGUUUAUGUUACCGGGGCUAGCUGGGACUAGGAAACGAUCUCUAACGUACUGGAGUGAACUCUCUCGGAGUCGAACCCUUAUAUACGUAGCUUGGGCUUCCUUUUAUCAUUGCAAGGGGUCGCCACAGUAGCUACAAUGUAGUGGGUAUAGUAUUGGUACAAUUGAAUACCCACCACAUUAAAUGCGGGGUAUGUGGCGCUGUAUCAUGUUGUCGAGAGUAGGCACAUGUUUCAUCGCACCGGCUUUAUUGACAGCCCACCAUUUACCGUGACAUGCAGCGGGUGAGGUGUCGCGCAUGGGGUAAAAGGGAUGGUGUGAAUCACCUCGCAUGCCACCUAAUCUCUAGGGAUGCCCUGUCUGUUUCACAACUCGCCCCGCGCCACCGUAGGCCGUCGCAUGCCUAUGUUACAACUGCUCUGCCAUAGACCCAAGCUAUCCCGCAGCCACACCCACCGUUGACUGGUCAUUGGUGGGCAGGAUGUUCACAGGAGGUGGACGCCAGGGCAGCCAUUGCCAGGAGGCAAUCCCUUGUCAAGGCAAUCUUGGUCUUGACAUUGUCAACGGUGUCAGAGGGCACCUCCUCAAGCAUGUUGUUGUUGGCAGUGAGAGUCUUUUACAAGGGUUUCACCACACCAAGACACGAGGGCCGUCCUCUUGUGGCGGCCGCCUCUAGCGAUGAGAGGACCCUCCAAAGCAAGCAAGAACGAGACUCGUGAGAACGAUUCUUCAAAGAGAAACACGGCUGCACAAACCAGAGAAACAAAACCCUGCAACCACCAGGACAUAAACAUUGCCGGGUCCAACCCUGAGUUUGCCGCCUCGCUUAAUUCUUGCAAAGGUUAUCACAGGGUAUUUUACUAGAUGUGAUACUAACGAUUUAUUCGUUUCUAAUCCGAUAAAGGACAUUUGUUGUUAUCAAGAAAAACUAUCAAAACAUACGAAGUAGGAAAGUAAGGGUGUCCCGAUUCAACUUCUCACGAAUGAGAAUAUUAGUUCAUAUUCACAUUAUUAGUUUUCUUUCGAAAAAGAGCAGCUACCAACCAGCAGCAAGAUUACACGAGUGAGGAGGUAAAUCCUUUGAAAAAAGAGAAAAAAUAGAGAGAGAGAAAGAAAGAAGCAAAAUACUGAAUGCGUCAGUCUGCUUUAGUGUAUUGAUAAGAAACGUUACUCCAAAAUGGCACUCAUAGUAAAACAGAACGUAACCCUUCGCCCUUGCCGGCGGAAGGGCUCCGUUUUAGAUGCUUUUCUGAAUUUUGUUAGGGUUUGCGCCAUGCUCAAGAAGAUGAGGCGGCGUCGGCUUCUUGAAGAUGGAAUAAGGUCCUCCCCGCCUAGCCCCAGUUCCUGUGAUGUUUUAAGCAUCGUCGGAAGGCGUGUGGGGGUUUGUCUCUGGCGGAUCUCGUGGGAUCCGGUAGGCGUUUGUCUUCGGUGGAUCCGACUGGAUCCGGUUUUCGUUCGUCUACGUCUGUGUGCCUGCAGGUUGGAUCCUUCCGGUCUAUUCUUCUCUUCAUCGACGAUGGUUACUGUUCUGGUGCGCUGGUCCUAUGGGGCCUUAGCACGACGACUUUCCGACUGUCUACUACAACAAUGUUUGCCCGACUCCGACGAGGGAGGGCGAUGACGAUGGCGUGCCUUCGGCUCGCUUCAGUGCUUGCAGUCGUCGCUAGGUGGUCUACGAACUUGGAUGUAAAAUUUACAUCUAGUGUUCUUUGUACUACCUUGACAGUUGAUGAAUAGAUCGAAAGUUUCUCGAAAAAAAAUGGCACUCAUAGUGCUUCCUUUUAACAAUGGAGAAAUAAACCCGCAAAAAAGAAACCAAUGGAGAAAAUGAAAGGGGAGGGAAACGGAGAGACGGACGCAGGAGAGACAGAGGAUAGAAAAGUGACGACGCGCUUCCUCUCUGUGAGCUGUGACCGUCGUCCAGAAGAAAACCCACCUCCGCCCGCAUCGCACCUCCGGGACCCUUACGGACGCCGGCCGAGGAAGCCCCCGAAUUCAGGUCUCUCUCUUCCCGUUGCUUCUUCACUUCUUCGUCCCGUUGCCGCAGACCGCGCGCUUGGCAUCCUCACUUGUUCUUGUUCUGGAGUAGAGGGUUUUUCAGGCUCCCACUUUCUCAUUUUUGACGAAACAGGGAUUCAGGGUUUUUGCGCUGCAAGUUCAUCUUGGCUUUCUUUCGUGAUCGAUCGACGGGUAGCUUUUUAAUCGAUCUGCUCGUGGAGUGGGAUUUCUACUUCUUGUUCUCUUUUCUUUAUUUUUUUCGCGGGUAAUAAUUUUGACGAGCCGAGCCGUGGCAAUUAUUUUGACCAAGAUUGGCUCUGCCUCUCAAGAUUCUGCAUGUUCUUAACCCUCAUCGACAAUGUGCUGCUCCCCGCGGAGUAGGAGAGUAUUUAGUAGCAGCGUGGGGGUAUUCACUUACCCUUUCUGGCUUUUCCCCACUCUUUCUCCAAGCCCCCAAAACCCUCUUUUCCCCUCCUCCUCUUCUUCUUCCUCUGCUCUGCUCCCGGAUUCUGCUUUGCUUGUUGGUGUUGCUAGGUAUCUCGAGGACCCAAGCACACAAUCCAUCUCCCCCUCUGUUUAUUUUGCUCUUUGUUUUGUGUUCUUAGUUAUUGUCGCUCUCUGCUUCUGCCCUAUCUUGCUCCUGAUCGUUCUUCGGUCUCUACUCUACUGAGUGUUGCGCUUCGUCGAGGCCCUCUGCCCUAUCUUGAUUCCUUCUCCUUCCGUUGCCUUCACUUUACUCCAUCUGUUUUGUGUGGUAUUUUGCAUCAUCUGCUUCUACCUUUACCUGACAUGUGGUAUGAUUUAAUCUCACUUGUAGAGGAGAAGAGAAGAGGAAGGGGCAGAUCUAUCAUCUAUGGGCAACUGCAAGAGUUCAUGUAUGUAGCUCUCUUAUAAACUGAAAGUUAGGUGCAAUUUACAGCAUUAAUUCCUUGGCAAAAGUCAGGGUAAGAAGAUGACAUCCUAGCUCUGAAUUGAAGAGCACUUACUCUCACCAUCAUGCUCAUAAAUUAGCAAGAUGCCUAGCUAGUCAUGUGUUGAGUAUAUCACUCUCCUUAUGUAGAAACACAAAGCUGUUUGAGUGCUGGUCUUGAUGUCUUAUUGGUUAGAAGCAAUACUACAAUGCUAAUGACAUAGUACUAGAAGCAAGUACCUGAAUGAUAUCUUGUUGAUUGGAAACACAGUGUCUUCUGCCUUAUUCUACCCCUGAUUGGUGACAUGAAUAAAUAUGUGCAUCCAAGAUUUUGAUUCAUUUAUUAAUCAGAAGAUAAAAAACUUAUAUGCAUGUAUCCCAUUCUUGCGGUAGUCGAUAUUGUAGUUUGUUUAUUUGGAUCUGCAACAUGACAUGAAUUUUAUCAUAGCCUGUUCUCUCUUUCUUUGUUUUGUAAUUUUAAGUUAUUGCAUUUGUGCAAAUAUCAGCUCGGGCACUGCUAGGAAAAGCCCAUGUUGUUCCGGAUGCUGAAUGGAGGAUGCAGGACUUUGGAAAGACCCAUGUUCCAGAUCUAGAAUGGAGGAUUCAUGACUUCUCAUCGCUGCUUGAGACGGGAGCUAAGUCAGCAACAUCUGCCACUUUUCACUGCUCUGGGUAUAACUGGUAUGCACCAUAAUUGCAAAAGAAACUCUGCAAAAUUCAGGUAUUAGAUGUACUAGUAGGUAUAUACACGUGCAAUGCACGUCUUAAUAUAACGGAGUGAUUUUGGUAAAAGAAAUAAAAAAGGUCAAAGAUUUGCUAAUAGAUUCGGGCAAAAAGAAAUAUAGUGAUGUACGAAUGCAGAUAUUAAUUAAGUAGGAAUUAAUAUUCGUUCCUCCUGCAAAAGAAAAGAAUUAGUACUCAUACAAAAACUGUACAUUCACAUCUAAAACAACUAUAGGUUCAUGUAGAAAGUUGUAUGUUACUCUAUUUUCUUUUUCUCCUCAUUCUCCUCCCAAACCAUCAUGCCUGGGCUCAAGUAGUCAUGCGCUCAAGCAGCACUGCAGCAAGCCGGCAAUAUGGCCCAUGAGGCACCGCAUUUUUUUUAUGGGCUUCUUUUCUCUGGAAGGGCCACAUGAAUGUUCUAUAACACAGAAGAGGCAAUAGCAGUCUACUGUUCAUGGCGAAUCCUACUGAUCUUAGCCCUUGGAUUUUGGGGACCAACAGUUAUGAUUGAUGCUCUAGAUCCAAUUCAAAACUGGUACACUAUAUAGUAGUGGAGAAAUGCCAUCUGGUUUGUUUUAGUAGAAAAGGUAAUUAUAUGUUAUCCAUAUACACAUUGAUUUAGGAUGACAUUUACUCACAAUGAUGUUUCGAUGUAAUCAAAUUAGUAAUCACAAUCUCAUAAACAAACAGUCAGACGCUAAAACUUGAUAUGGUGCAGGAAGUGAAGAAAUUAGACUUCAUUCCUACUUCAGUUAUGAAUUCUAGACUGACUUUGGCUUCUUCGCAUGAUUUCAUUUACCAGGCACCUGCAAGUAAUUCCAAUGCAUAAAGAAACAGGUUCUGAAACGCCAUAUGUUGCUCUUCAUCUUAUGACAUCCCAAGAAAGGAUGGUGCCAGGUCACACGGUGCAUGUGGUUUUUGAGUUGUCAAUAUACAACCAUUCAAAAGGAAUGUACUGUGGAUGCAAAGGUAGUCUCAUGGAUGUGUUUUUUCAAUCACAUCCAUCAUAUUGCAGCUACAAAUCCAUACUCAUAUGUGUGUCAUAAGUUUGGGAUAUAAAUACCAUGAUUCCACCAUCAUUACAAGGCAAUAUUUGUAAAUAUUGAAAUAUGAUCAAAUACAACGUUUUCCCAUUAACAAGUCACUUUCUAUUUGCUUUGCUGUCAAGUUUCUCUGUAGAUCUUCAGGAAUGUGUCACAUUUGAGACUACUAUGGUUCAAAACGGCAUACACAUGUUCUCUUAAAAUUUGAUUAUCAUUAUUUGGACGUAAAUAUUUGGUGCAAGGUUGGUUAGAUUAUUUGGUAAUAUUUGCUUCUUGCAUACAAGUUGUCGUUCUCUAAUCUUCUAAGUUCUAACCUUUACCUAAAUGCAGCUGGCUGCAACUUUGAUUUCAAGAAUGCCCACUCGAAGGAAAAUUGCUUGAUUCCUCUCCAGGAGCUACUGAACUCAUCUGCUUUUCUAGUUGAUGAUAACUGUGUCUUUGCUGUGGAGAUAUUAAAAAUUGAUGCCUCUUCUCCUAAAAAGAAGGCUGUUGUGCUUCAGAAGAAAGCUACCACAGUUCAGAACCUAUUUGUCCAGAGGAAGGGGUUUGUCAAAGGGACAUACACUUGGACCAUGAACAAUUUCCUUGAACUGGACUUGAAGUACUUCGUCCGUUCUCCUACAUUUGAAGCUGGCGGACAGAAAUGGUAUACAUCUGUUACCACUUAGGCAGUUACAUCACAAAUGAUGUAUAUAAACAGUGCAUGUGUAAUCCAACAUUUUAGCUUAUAUGUAUCCUUUAGCUUACCAUACCUGGUCGGUUCACUAGUUUCAUAGUGGAAAGAAGCUUCCUGUUUAAUGUUUUAUGCCAACGGACAUUAGCGAUGGCGGGAUUUUUGUGGAAGGCAAGGUCCUUGAGAUAUUCCAACUAGAUAGUUUAGCUUGAUCUCUAAGCAUGAAACCAAACUGUACUUCUAGUAUAUUUACAGAUAUGCGGUAGCACAUUCCAAUUUCAAUAGAAAGGGGUUUUGUCAUCAUGAUGUACCGAAAUUCAGGAACCAAUUUGAAACAAUGUAGUACUAAAAUCUAUGUUGGCAUAUAAAAAUUUCAUGGUCAUAUGUUAUGUUGUUUAGGAGAUUUUUCCCAGAAAUUUUGUUCUCAUGUAUAUAUGUGGUAUCACUGGUUCUGGUAUGUUCUCCCAGAAAUUUCAUUCUCAUGCAUAUAUUUUGUAUCACUGGUUCUGGUAUGUGUCACAUACCAUCAAUUAUUUUGGCAGAUUGUUUUUGCUGAACAUUGUAUUAUCUUGUACUGUAGUCAUGGUUUGCUUAGAUUUUUUGUACAAUUUAGUAAUACCACGAAGUUGUGUCCAAAGAUAAUGGCAUUCUACACCCAAACUCAGCCACAACUUUCUUAUUUCAAUAGCUAACCACAUUCUGCAAAUACAUUUUCCGGGGUACUUAAUUAUAUUUUUGUCAACAGGUACAUCGGCAUGUAUCCGCGUGGUGACUUGUACAGCACUGAUUGCCUCAGUUUGUACUUAUACCUGGAUGCCUGGGAUGAGCUCCGUCUUGAGUCCAAGAAGGUGGUUGUAAUGACUCUGUCCAUCCUGGACCAAAAGAAUGGGAAGCACUUGACUGUAACUUCAGGUUCAGCUCUCCUUAGCAAGUAUCACUGCUAUUGAUAUGUGUGAUUUAAGAAGCUAGUGUCUGUAACCUCAUUAUUAUUACAGUUGAUCUUACUUUUUUCUUGAUCACAGGUCUCUGGGUGUUUACGGGUGGACAUGGCUUGGGAUGGGCUGAUUUCCUUAGACUCAGUCAACUCAAGGACCCUUCUGGAGGCUAUGUUGUGGGAUCGAGCUGCAUUGUGAAGCUAGAUGUUUACCUCAUGGCCUGAUGGAGAGAUAAUGCUAUUUAAUCCUAGCUACUAAUAACCGGACUUAUAUAUGAGACAAUGUUGUGGUAGCAGUACUAAGAACUUGUGGAAUGAUUAGUAGUAGUAAUGAAAGCCGGAUUUGAGAAGUGAGAUGAUUUCACGCAUAUAUAUUUCUACGUAUAUGUGUCGGACAGAAAUAUGUUACUGGAAGUACUUGUAUAUGCAUGGAUGAUACAGCUAUGUCGUUCUGCUUGCCUCGAUUACAUGCAUGCUGGAUUCAGCUGAACACUUUGGUUAUCUUUCGCUUGGUUUAUGCGGAUCAUGUCCCCAAUAGAUAACAGGAUAGGAGUCUAGGGAGCUUAUCCUCUUUUCUGCCUUACCGGUUGUACUUUUAUUUUCUUUGUCUUUGCUCUGCUUGCGAGCUGUAAUACCUUCAUGACUUUGGGAUACUUCGAGAAUUUUUAAUAAGAUGGCUGCAUGCAUCAUUAUGAUGCAGAGGCCGAGGGCACGCCUCCAUUUUCAAAAAAAA
rnacentral:lncRNA from 1 species